rnacentral:lncRNA from 1 species
GGGCAUCACAAGAUCGCAAAGAAACUUACAAUUGUUGGACUUCGGUGCAUUCAGUGGUAUCCAGUUGAUCGUCCUUCAAUGAAAUCUGUGGUUCAAAUGUUGGAAGGAGAAGCAGACAAUCUGACAAUGCCACGAAAUCCAUUUGCCUCUAAAGAUGAAAAGAAGCCUAAGAAGCCCAUUAACAGAGAGUUAGCAGCUAUUUCUGAAUAAGAAGAAAAGCAAUUUGCAGAAUGCAGCCUUACAAUCAAAAUGAGUAGAGUUUUUACUCUUAAUUUUGUUCUCUAUUAUUUUUAAAUGAUAAAUUUUAUGUAUAAUUAAUUUUUAUUAAUCUGGUAUCUACAAUAACAAGAGUUUAAAAUAUAAAAGCAUACGUGAUUCUUAAUACAUGAUUAAUUUGAUAGUGAAAAUAAUAUUGACUAAAUUAACUUUUAGACAUAUGUCCUUCAAAAUUAAUUUUAUUAUUUAUUUAUGAGAUAAAUAAAUUUCUGCGUCAAUUAUUGAUUUCAUACAUAUGAUAUUUUAAUGGAUAUUUAAUUAUUUAUGACAUAUAUGAUUUGAUCAGUUAUUUUUAAACAUGAAAUGAAGCCUAAAAAGCCCAUUAAUAGAGAACUAGUGGCUAUUUCUAAAUAAGAAUAAAAGCAAUUUGCAAACUACAACCUAAUCGAAAUGAGUAGAGUUUUUGCUUUUAAUUUUGUCUUGUGUAUAAUGUAAACGAUAAAAUUUAUAUAUAAUUAAUUUAUACUAAUUUUGUACUAUACUAGGAAUUUAGAAUACAAAAGUGUACAUAAUUUUUGAUAUAUGAUUUUAUAGCAAAAAUAAUACUGAUUAGAUUAAUUGUUGGGAUUUAGUAUACUUGGAUCUUCUUUUUCUUUUUUCUACGUAACUCUUCAAUAAGUGAGAUCUUAAUGUUUUUGUGUGAUGGGCCUAGCCAUAUCUUUAUAUAAUGAAUCCCUAAUCUCAUCCAUAAUAAGAUUUAGGGUUUCCUACACAUACUUACGCUUUUGAUCUCACAUUUGAUAUCGGAGUCUAGCCCACUUUAUUAAAUCAUAUUAUGGACUAUAAUAUUAUCACUUUAUAAAGGCCAAAAUAACUUAAUUUGGUUUUAAUAACAUACAAAAAAUAAAUAAUGUAACUCUACAUUUUGAUUUUACAAGAAAAUCUAACAAUCUCUCACUUAGUGUAAAACCCGACCCUAUAAACACAUGUCAUGACAUACAUGCACUGAGUAGCAUGUUAUUAUGCUAGGAAAGCACCUAAGAAUAGACGAAACCCGGUAUUGUACCUAACGGUACACUUGAGUUGAUUUAACCUCAAACUAAUUUAAAUAGGAAUCGUAGGAUGAAAUUUAAUAUUUUACAGUCCAGGAAUGACUAAAAAUGAUUGUUCGGAGUUCGAGGGUUCAUUUGGGGUAAAAUUGAAAAUUUUGAUGUUCAGGGGCAAAAUAGUAAUUUUUCCACCCGUGGAUAAAAUUUGAGAUUUUGAGAGAAUUUAGAUCACAUUUGACAAAUUGGAGAAUGGUAUGAGUAUAAGGGAUGAAAAUAUGUCUAUGGGCAAUUUUUUAGUUUUUGGGGUAAAAAUGUAAUUUUUGACUUUUACGGGGGCAAAAGUGUAAAUUUCAAAAAUUACUCCACCAAGACUUUGGAUAAGUCUGAGAAUUUUGUCUAAGCUAUGGAUAUGUGAGACAAGUGUAUGGUGAAAAUUUGGAAACAAAUGGAUGAAAUUUUAAAAACGGACAAAUGGGAAAAUGACACAUGGCAUUUUUUUAAUGGUUUAAUAUUAUUUUAAUGAAAAGUCAGCCCAUUUAAACCCCAUUUUAAGUGAUGGCCAGCCAUAAGGGAGAACAAGACAGAAAAUAGAGAGGAAAGGAAGAAAAAAAGAAAAACCAAAGAGAAACAAGAAAAUUCAAAGGGGAAUUCGCGUUUUUUGCUUGUUUACGCGUCUAACGGUAAGAUUUUUCGACUUUAGCUUGAUUUCUACCUUUCCUAUGCCUUUGUUUCCAUUUAGCAUGCUUGAGGAGAGAGAUCUAAAAGUGACAUCAAGGGCUGGCCGAGUUUCAAGGGGGGAGAAAUUGAAAUUUUUAGGUUUUAAUUUUUAGUUAAAUUGAUAGUUUUAGUUAGUUAAAUGUGUUUAGAAAUUAAAUUGGGCAAGAAAGCAUUAAAUUUUCACAAUACCUACCCUUGGCCGAAUCUGCAAUGAGAUACAAUGAUGAUAAUCUGAUUUUUAUUCUAANAAUACAAUGUCAUCCACAUAUAUUUGUACAACAAUUAAAUCAUGUAAGUAUCUUUUAAUAAACAAUGUAGUAUUAAUGUUGCCUCUAUCAUAACCUUUUUCAACCAGAAAUUUUGAAAGCCUCUCAUACCAAGCUCUAGGAGCUUGUUUCAAUCGAUACAAGGCUUUAUAGAGUUUGUAAACAUAGUUUGGUUUUUCAAAAUCUUCAAAACCUGGUGGCUGUUCAACAUACACUUCCUCUUGAAUGAAUCUAUUUAAAAAUGCACUUUUUACAUCCAAAUGGUACAAUUUGAAAUUCAUGAAGCAUGCAAAAGCUAACAACAACCUUAUGGAUUCAAUGCUAGCAAUGGGUGUAAAAGUUUCAUCAUAGUUUAUUCCUUCUCCUUGGUUGUAUCCUUGGGCUACUAACCUAGCUUUAUUUCUUACUACAUUUCCUUGCUCAUCUACCUUAUUUCUAAACACCCAUUUUAUGCCAACAAUAGGGUGAUUUAAAGGUCUAGGUACUAGUGACCAUACAUGAUUUCUUUUGAGUUGGUUAAGUUCCUCUUACAUGGCCAUUAUCCAACUUUCCUCAUUUUCAGCUUCUUCAAAGUUUUUAGGUUCAAUUUGUGAUAUGAAGGCUGAAAACUCACAAGUCUCUCUUGUUGCUCUCCUAGUUUUGACACCUUGAGAGAUAUCACCUAUGAUUUGCUCUUGUGGAUGCUCUCUUAUAAAUCUUCAACUUUUUGGAAGAUCACUAUGCUGAUUUUCUAUUCUUUGCAAAUCUUCUAGAGGUUGAGUUUCAUUUUUUCUUCUAAGUGAGCCUUAUUCAUUAUUCUUAUUGUUCUCUAAGCUCAUUUCUUCCAUUUGUUUUUCUAGGAUUUCGACAUCAUCAUCAUCAACAUGAAUUUCCUUUUGUAAAUCAUUUGACUCAUCAAAAACUACAUGGAUUGAUUUUUCAACAUUUAGAGUCCUUUUGUUGAAAACUCUAUAAGCCUUGGAGUUUAAUGCAUAUCCUAAAAAUAUUGCCUCAUCACUUUUUGCAUCAAACUUUCUUAGGGGCUGUUUUCCAUUGUUCAAUACAAAACAUUUACAGCCAAAACUCCUAAGGUGAGAAAUGUUUGGUUUCCUACCCUUGUAAAAUUCAUAUGGUGUCUUAGAUAUCAUGGGUCUUAUUGAGACUCUAUUAAGUAUAUAGGCUGCUGUGUUCAUAGCCUCAGCUCAAAAAUAUUUUGGUAGGUUAUUCUCACAUAACAUAGUCCUAGCCAUUUCUUUUAAGGUUUGAUUUUUCCUCUCUAGUACUCCAUUUUGCUGAGGUGUUCUAGGUGCAGAGAAAUUGUGAUCCAAUCCCUUUUCAUUGCAAAAUUUCUCAAAUUCAUCAUUUUCAAAUCUUCCUCCAUGAUCACUCCUUAUGCUAACUAUGGCUAGUCAUUUUUCAUUCUCUACUUUCCUACAAUGACUUACAAAAGCUGAUAUAACAUCAUUUUUAUGGGUAAGAAAAUAAACUCAAGUAUAUCUAGAAUAGUCAUCAACUAUUACAAAGCCAUAAGAUUUUCCUCCUAAACUAGUUGAACUUAUUAGACCAAAUAGAUCAAUGUGUAAUAAUUCAAGAGGUCUAGAUGUUGACUCAAUCUUCUUAGUCUUGAAAGAUGUUCUAACUUAUUUGCCUAGUUGGCAAGCAUCACAUAUUUUAUCAUUUUCAAGUUUAAAUCCGGCAGCCCAACAACUAAGUUCUUUCUAAUCAAUUUUGACAUAGUAUGCAAGCUUACAUGUCCUAAUUUCCUAUGCCAUAACCAGUUGUCAUUUUCAGCAUUUGCAACAAAACAUAAUUCAUUGUUUAUUUCAAGAUCCUAAAGAAAAACAACAUAUAUAUUCUUUAAUCUCUUUCCUAUAAAUGACACAUUGUUUGUACCUAUGUCUAUUACUUCACACUUAUUUGAAUCAAAACAUACUUUAAAUCCUUUGUCACAUAAUUGACUAAUACUCAAUAAAUUAUGCUUUAAGCCCUUAACUAUCAACACAUGACUAAUUUGAGUUUGGGAGUUCUUACCAACUGUGCCUAUCCCAUGGAUUCUACCUUUUGAAUCAUCACCAAAGGAUAUGGUACCUCCCUUUCUUUUGUCUAGCUGAGCAAAUAACAUUUCAUCUUCAGUCAUAUGUCUUGAGCAGCCACUAUCCAUGAACCAAGGCUGUUUUUUCUUGAGUUGAGCUCUUGAACAUGUCUCCUUUAAGUACAGCUCAACCUACAAAAUAGAAUUUUAGUUUUUCUUUAUAGGUACCCAUACUUUGAUGGGUCCUUGAGAGUUAGUUGCAAUAUAGGAUCCCUUAGGGACCUAAAUUCUUCUAACUUUCUGCAACUUACUUCUCUUAAAGCAAUCAUGUGAAACCUCGACUCUCAUAGAUGAAUACCUCGAGGUGGAACUUAUGUUUAAAGGUUUAAUUUGAGCUAAUGAUGCUAGUUUUACAUUACUUAUAAUUAUUUUAUGUUGUUAUAGGAGUAGGAUUCAAAAAUAGUUUCAAUUGGUGAAGAAAGGUGUAUAAUGGGCUAUUACUCUAUUUGCUUAUGUUAUGGUUUUUCAAGCAUAUCUCCCACUACAGAAGUCCAAAUGACAUAAUUUUUAAACUAUUGAAAAGCUAAGAGGUAGGGCUGCAACUUUGAUGUUUACCACUUUUCCCAGUUUUGAAGGGAAGGUGGUCAAAUCUUUGUUGAAGUGGAAGUACUACACCAGGAGAACAGAUUCGGACAAAACAUUUGAGCGUCGCAGUGCUGGAAAUUGAUAGCCGUGGCCCUCAUCGUAAUUUCCACAAAUAACAAGUUUAGGGGAUUUUUUAAGCUAAGACUUUUGAGGGCUACUUAAGGGACCUCUUUAAGAGGAUUUGAGACCUUUUCCAAUGUCAAAAGAGUAAAAGAUUACACAAGAAAAGGAGGAAGACAAGUGGCCUUGUUAAGGGCAUUAUUUUAAUUGCAUGAAGAUUUAGAUAAGUUUUAACUAUAAAAAUCUCAUUCUUUCAGCAGCUUCUUCACUUUUCCAACAACUUCUUCUUCUCCUUCCCCCAUCUCACGUUUCUCUCCUCUUCCAUGAAAACUUCUCUCAAGCUUCCAUCACUCUCUUAAACUAACCUCAAUUUUUAUGCUUUACACACCCUGUUGUAGGGUUUUUCAUACUUUUUUACUCCCUCGCCUUAAACAAACCCUUAAAAGUCUUUCUUCAAUACUUUCUCUCACCAGUUGAACUUUGUAGAGAGAGAAAAAGAGGUUUUAUGAUCGCUUGAGGACUCUUGGGAAGAAAUUUCAUUACAAUCCACCAAGGUGAGUGAUGGAUUAGGACUGGUUUUAAGUUGUUGAUAAAGGCUAAUAAUUAGAAUUAAGAAUUGUGUAUUACUGAAGUUGUUUAUCUAUUUCUAGUGUUGCUAAAGUAGAUAACUGAAUAACCAAUCAAAUGGUAAUGGAAGAUAAAUAGGAAGGGCUAGUGAAGCUUGAUUUGGGAAAAUAGCUUUGGAAUGGUAUUAAUGCCAAGUUGGGUUGAUUAUGAUGUUGUUGUGUAUAUAGGUUCCACCGAAACCCCACACCUCUAUUCGAAACAUUAGUCGAAGUUAGAGCCCAUUGAAACAUCAAUAAAGACUGGUGAGUGAACUUUCAUUUCAAAAUAUUUUGGGGAAAUGUUUACGUGUUUCAAUGAAUCAUUUGGGAAUUUUAUCGAUUUUUGCUUUAAAAUUACUUGGGAACAAGCCCUUGAAAAAAUGUUUGAUGUUGUGAAAUGUGAAAUGUGAAAUAUGUAAAAGGAUAGACAUCCACAUGUUUUUGUAUGAUGUUGAUAUAUAUAUAUAUAUAUAUAUAUAUAUGUAUACUAUGUCAUAAAUGGUACUGUUGUGUGACAAAUGCAACCGUGGCAUGUGCGGGGUGAGUGUGCACUUGGUGAGUGAUGACGGUGGUGAGGGAGAUGGAUGGUGAUACUAUCCGGCUAUGUGCACGAUGUGGUGGGAUGUACAUGACCUGGGUGAGAUGCACAUGAUGAAUCUUAAAAAUUUGUCAGUUAUUUGCAAAUUGAUUUUAUUGCAACGAGAAACACUCUGUUUAUACUGCCUUACUUGGAUAAUUGUUGGAAAUUUCCCUUUUUUCCAAUUUCAUGCUGAAUACGGUUCCUUCAUCAUUAAAUGGUUUAAUAACCAAGGGUUUAAAUGGAGGGAUUUUAAUAAGAACUUGAACUAAGUUGCAUUGUUUUCGAAUAAGUGCAUCAUGAUUAUCAACUUUCCUUGUUGUUGCUUGUUCCCUUCUUAUGUUCAUUCACUGAGUUUGUACUCACUAUUUUCAACUUCAUGUUUUCAGAUCAAGAGGCAGUUGGAACCUAGGUCGAGGUGUCCACAUAGUUUCGCCUUUGUUGGUAGGUAUAUUGGCAUUCAGUAGCCGUCCCUUCACCUUGGUCAUUCCGCUAGAAGUCAAGAAUCAUUUUGUUUGUGAAUACGUUCAUGUGAUGUAAAGUAUUAAGAUAUGUGUCUUAGACAAUGUACGUAUACUGUGACGGGUAAUGCCACCACUGGUUGGCAAUGGUUAACAUUAUUUGGGUAACGUGAAAUGCAGUUUUUGAUUGCUACAACAUAUUACUUAGGUACUUAUAAAUUGGAAGUAUGAAAGGUGACUUUAAGAAUAAUUGAUGGAAUGAUGAGUAGGAUUACGUAAAUAGGCUUGCUUGGGCUUAGUAGACUACGUCCAUUGAGUCCAUGCGCCGGUCACGUCUUGGAAAUCAGGUUGUGACAAUAAGAAUGAAGUUAGCAAACUUCUUUGGUGAGCUUAAGACAUGUUGAAAACUUCAGCCACGUGAUUGGAAACUACCUUGGAAACCCUUUUUAUAAAGGUCUUAAGUUGCUUAAGAGAAAAGAAAUGAGUAUGAAAUCGAAUGAUAUAGAAUUGGACUGAAAUAUUACAAACCAUGAAUGAAGUAUCAACACUUAUUGUCCAAAAUGCCUUGGGAAGCAUUCUAAAUAGAAAGUAUCAAUACCUAUAAAAGAAGUAUUAUUACCCAAUGGCCAGAAUGCCUUGGAAAUCAUUAUGUGUGGAAAGUAUCGAUACCUACAAGAGUAGUAGCAAUAACUAGUGGUCAUAAUGCCUCGGGAAACAUUUUGUGUAGAAAGUAUCAUUACCUAUAAGAGAGGCAUCAAUGCCUAGUGGUAAGAAUACAUUAGGAGCAUUCUUUGUGAAAGUAUCAAUACCUCAAAGAGAAGUAUCGAUACUCAGUGUCUUGAAUGCCUUGGGAAAAGUAUCCCACGUGAAAGGUUUCGAUAUCUGACUUACAAGUAUCGAUAUUUGAGGUAAAAAUAUAAAAAGAAGGCCUUGAUUUGGCCACCCAAUUCACACCUUUUUCUCAGUUACUUUAAAACCCUUUUUCUCCUGGUUCCAAAUCCUUUCAUAACCACCCAAACUUAACUUAUAUCAAAGCUUCUGAGUCAACUUAUAUCAAAGGUUUCCACCCUUUAAAAUGUUUUAAUCGAUCAACUUUCGAAUUAAUUUCUCUCUAAGAAAUUCUUCUUAUCUCUUAGGUGUUAGGGUUUCCAACUUGAGUCUCUUGAGGCAAGCUCACCAAUUGUUGUUGGAUUUACCACGCAAGUACAUGUAUUGUUAACAACUAAUUUAUUGAAGAGUUGAGUAUCAUUCCCAUAGAGAAUUGCAACAAAAAUCUUUUGCAAAGUACUAAAAUUAACACAAUUUAAUCUUAUAUAAAUAACCAAUUUUUAAAGUGAUUAAAAAUUAAAUAAAUUAAAAUUAAAAACAAGAAUCGCAAUUUAAAUAGAAUUAAUCAAUCAAACAAGACUUAGAAUUACAAUAUCCCCUCAACACUUCAUCUAAAUCUCUUUUACUUUCUCUUUACUUACUAAAUAAGCUUGAGUUGUUAACCUAGAAUUCUAAAAUAUUUAUAAGUCUCCGUCGAGUUUCUUAUAAAAAUAUCUCUCUUAACCAAUUCACUAUAUGUCUAUACAAAUUGCAAUGAAGAAAAACUCACUAAGAUUAUAUUCUAAUAUUGGCUACAUAUGUCAUGCAAGUGUAUGUUUACCUCACACACGAAUCAAAUCAAUCAUCUCAUGUAAUUGAUAUUGAACAUCUGCUAUUUCAUCUAAGGCUUACAUUAAACUCCCUUUCUCAGUUUUGUUUAGGUUAUCUUAUUUAUCUAAUUGGUGAUCAAAUAAUUAGACGCAUUAAGUGCAAGAUUGAAAUAAAGAACUCAAACACUAUCCAUCAUAAGCAAAGAGAGUAUUAAAAUUCAAAUUACAUGUUGGGUUCAAUUGCAAUUCUAGAUAAGAAAACUAGUUCCUCAUAGCUAUUAAAAAAAAAACAAUUUAACCAUCAACACCAAACAAAGAAAGUAUAAAAAGAACUAAAGAAGAAAAGAAAACUCAGAUUUGUUAGAUCUUCAAUCUUCAAUCUUCAAGAGUUUUUCCUUCACUUUCUUAAUUGCUUGACGACUCUUUUUGCUGAGAGAAAGCCUAGCUUAAUUGUUGUUCUCAAGUGCUUUGAAAGUGUCUUUAAAUAAGGCUCAAAAUCCUUGUCGAAAUAAACGUUCAAAUGUUGAAAAACUUGAGUUAUCGUGUCGGCACCGCAGCGCCGAGCUCUUUGCCUUGGCCCUUGUAUCCUCUUAUUCUUGGCAUCGCGACACCCAACAUUCUGUCUUGCCACAUAUGAUUUGAUGCACUACUUAGACUUGUGGUGCAUUUUUCUCCUUUUUUUAAGCUAAAUUUGGAAAAAUGUUAAACAUAAAAGUUAUAGCCCUAUCUCUUAACUUUCCAAAGGCUUAAGAAUCAUAUUAAUUAGACUUCUAGAAUGAUAUUUAUGCUCAAAAUACCAAAACAUGUGUAGAAAAAGCAUGGACCUUGUGUGCACUUUUUUUCAUUAAUUAAAGCCCUUUCAAUUGUACACCUAUAAGAACAACAAACUUAAACAAUAACUAAACUAAAGCAAAUUAUCAUAAAAUAACAUAAAAUAACUUAAAUUAAAUUGAUUUAACAAGAUUUAAUAAGAUAAAUAACUCAAACUUACUAAUUUAUGAAUUAAAUGUCAAGAACUUAGCCCAUUUAAAGCUCAAAAUGUGACAAAAUAAAUAUAAGAAAUAGAGUUAUCAUACCCCAAACUUGAGAUUUUGCUAGUCCUCGAGCAAAACAUAAAAGAAAACUUAAAGAAAACAAAAUUAUGUAAAUGAUGAAAAUAAUUUAAAUAAAGAAAACAACUAGCUAGCUAGAGAUGAAUUACGCCAAUCCAAUGAUCUAUCAUAAUUUCCUCGUAUGUUAUCUUAAAAUUUCAACUCAAGGUAAAACAUAGAUAUCAUUCAAGUUCAUGUUUCAAUUCAAAUGCAAGCUCAUUCUCAAAUGGAUUUCUGAGCGUGUAUGCAAUCUUUUACAAAGAACAUCAUGCAAUCCGGAUAAGUCUAUGCCAAUGCAAAAUUCAAAUUAGUACAAGAAUCCCAUAGGUUUGCUUUUCAUUUCUCUUUCCAUUAAUUUAAACUAAUACUAAGUCAAGGAUCAUUAGGUCUUUAUCAAGCUUGUAAUAAAUAACUAGGAUCAACAUAAGAUAAAGGAUAUUUAUAAGGCUCAAUUCGCCUAAGCACAUAAUCAUUAUAAGGCCUAUAUAGUUGUCACGACCCAAAUUUCGGGCCAUGAUCGACGCAUGGGCCCAAUGGGCAUAGCCCACUAAGCCUAAGCAAGCCUAUUUAUGUGACCUGUUCAUCAUUCCAUCAAAAGUUCCUAAAGUCACAUUUCAUAAUUCUAAUUCAAAAUAAUGCUAACCAUUGCCAACUCAUAGUGGCAUUUCCAAUCAAAAUAUACAUAUAUAGUCUAAAACAUACAUCUUAAUAAUUUACAUCGGGUUUGUCUAUACACAAAAAAAGGGAUACUUGACUUCCAGCGGAGAGACCCGAGUGAAAGUAGAGCUAUUGAAUGCCGAGAUACCUACCAAGGAGACGAAUCUACGAAGACACCUUGACCUAGUUACCAACUACCUCUUGAUCUGAAAACAUGAAGUUGAAAACAGUGAGUAUAAACCCAGUGAGUGAACAAAGUAAGGGAAUGAGCAAACGAUAAGAAAAGUUUAAAGAAAUCAUGAUGCACUUAUUUUCAAAAACAAUGCAAUUUAGUUUAGUUCUUAUUAAAACCCCUUAUUAAACCCUUAAUUGGUUAAUCACUUGAUGAUGAAGGAUCCAUGCACAACAAAGAAUUUGAAGAGUGAAAACUUUAGUAGCAUUCAAGCAAGUCAAGCAAAAUGAUUGAUCCUCGCUGUAGUAGAUAGGCAUUCUCGCUGCAGCAAAAUUUGGGCUUAAAUCAUCAGUUGGCCAAGGGUUUCUCACAAAAAUCCCUCAUUUCAAACUUAAUUAAUUAAUUCCUUGAUGUUGGAAGUCCAUGAUCAACUAUCAUGUUAAAGAAGUGGAAAAUAUGGCAAAAACCAAACAAGAUAGCAAGCACGACAAAGGUUUCUCGCUGCAGCAAAACCACCUGUAGACAUCUCACUGCAGCGAGAAUAGCGAGAAUGUAUUCUCACUGUAGCGAGCUACAGAACUGUAGCCAGCCUCCCAACCCGAGACUUUCUCGCUGUAGUGAGAAAUAGAACACCAAGAAGAAAGUUCUCAUUAUAUCAAGAAAAGGCCAUUCUGCUGCAAUGACAAAAUCAACUUGAAAAUACUUAGCAAUUUCCAAGGUUCAACAUGCAAGAUUUCACAUACAUUACAACCAUAUACCAUAUUCAUGAACUUUCUCUUGCAUAAAUGUGUAUAUAUAUAUAUAUAAACACCAAUACCACCACUGCCUCACCCAGCUCAUGUGCAACCCCAACAUCGUGCACAUAGCUGGAGUCAUCAUGUGCAUCCCCCACAUCAUGCACAGCUAAUACCGUCGUGUGCAUCCCCCACAUCACGCACAAGCAAUAUCAUCAUCCACAUUCCUGCACCCGUCAUCACCGGCAUAUGCAUCCCCCACAUUGCGCACACGCACAGUUAUAUUUAUUAUACAAUAUUAACUAUCGAUAUACAACAUAUAUAUAUAUAUAUAUAUCAGCAUCCUAUAGAAGCACAAGGAUUCAUCAUAUUGCACACUCACUACAUAAAACGUUUUAAUAAAGGCUUGUUCCCAUGCAUAUUUUAAAGAAAAACAAAUAAAAUAUUUCAAUGGAUUUAAUCAAACACAUAUGCCCUAAUCCCAAAACAUUUUAAUGCAAGUUCACUCACCUUGGUGGAUUUGUAAUUGAAUUUCUUUUCAAAAUUCUUCCAAGCUAAUAAGGGAAAUCACUCCCUUUCUCUCUACACGUCCAACUAGUGAGUGAAUGUACUUAAGAAAGACUUUUAAAGGUUGUUGAGGUGUAAAAGUUGAAGAGCAUGAAAAACCCUAUGAAAGGGUGUAGAAACACAUGAGAAAUAAAGCUAAUUUGAGGAAGUUUUAAAGGUUUCAAAGGAUAUUUCCAUGAAAGGUGCAAAGAAACAUGGAAUGCAAAGGAGGAUAGGAGAAAGAAUAAGAAGAGAAGCUACUGGAAAAACUGAAGAAAAGCUACUAGAGAUUAGAUAUUUAUAGUUAAAGUUCAUCCAAUUUUCAUGCAAUUUACAAUAAUGCCUUUAACAAGGCCACUUGUCUUCCUCCUUUCCUUUAUGCACUCUUUUUACUCCUUUAACACCAAGACAAAGUCUAUAAUAGUUUAAAAGUACUCGAGUUCACGAAAACUUAAAAAUUUAGGCUUGAGGUACAAAAUGACCAUUUUACCUUUAUCGUGGAAAUUAUUAAUAUUUAUAUCUUCUUCAUUUAUUUUACCCUCAUUCAUUUAUCCCUUAGGCCUACUUAGACCUUAAUAAUGUCUGAAAGCCUACUUCUAAGGGCUCACCAUGAGAAAUGAUAAAAUUACCCUUGGCUCGUGUUAUCGCGUCUACACCUAGUUACAGGCCUAUAGAAGUCGAGGUCUCACAAUAGUGCCCUAGUCAUAUUUCCAAGUAACACCUUUCUUUUGAUGCCAACUUUUCCUUUUGUUCAGUACUUUAUUCUUCUUCUUUUCUUUUUCUCUUUUUUUUCAUCACAAUUUUACAUCCCUAAACUUAUUUCUUUCUAUGACGGAUAGUGGGGUGAAUAUUGAGCAUUAUUGAACUUUUUCAACAACUUCACCCUCUAAACAUCAAGCUCAAUACACUUCCUAAAAUGAUUAACAUACUUAAGAGUGAAGGAUGCAAAAUUGGAAAUUUAAUUUAUAGGCCUAGGCUAAAUAAAAUAGGUGUUUAACAAAGAAAAGGUAAUAUUAGGCUUAAAGGGGUAUUCUAAGGAUAAACAUAUAAAAAGGUAGGCUCGAAAGGUUCAAAUGGUCCAAAGAUGGCCUAUUUCAUUUCCUUAACUAAGUAUUGCCUAGGAUUUGGCCUCGAGAGAGAAUCAAACAAAUUCUAGAAUUCAUGACAUAAUCAAAUUCACAUCAACAUAAACUGUCUCUAAAUAUGCACAACAAUUCUAAACAAAAGACAAUGUGCUUUAUUUAUUAAUAAUCUCAUUCUAACAAUGAUACUUAACAUAAGAACUUAUCAUAAACCAAAUAAUAUCCAUAUUUACCAAAAGCUAAAGAUAACAAGAUAACUAAAUUUUCAUCAUUGGAUAAGAAAAUCAUAAGAAAAUUGGCACAAUCUACUUUAGUUUAAAAUUCUUAAAAAAACACAUAAAGAAAAGUAAAUGAUAAGCUAAAAAGCCUUAAAAACAUAAUUGCAAAUAAAUAAAAUAAUACUCUAAAGAAAUAAAACCAUAGCAAAAAAAAUUUUAAACUACCCCAAAACUUAAUAUCAACAUUGUCCUCAAUGUUAUAAAUAGAUAAAGAAAAGGUAAAAAAAACUCCCCUAGUCUGUGGAGAGACUUUACUCUUCUUCCUCAUCUUUCUCAUUGUUGCCUAUGCUAGAAAGAUCCAGUAAGGUAGGAAAGUUGGUCAUAUCCAUCCCCAUGUAGUUUGCACUUCAUUGGAACAUCUGCUCCAUGCCUUGAUUGCAAUCCAUUUGAUAUGACAUUUGUUGUUUGUAUCAGAGCUUAAGACGUUCCAUUCUUUGAGGUAAUGUCAAGUUCUAGGCUCGAGGUUGAGUAGCUCUAGGUUGAGGUGCAGAGGAAAAACUACUGACAGUAGUUGAGGGAUCAUAGUAUCUCUGAAUAAGUCCCACAUCAAUACGAGCUUUUGGGUGCAGCAAUUCUACACUCUUGUUCCAUUGGACACUAGCUCUCCCACCUAAGGUGGUUAUCAAAGAGGGGAACUAUAAACCAUCACUUUUUGAAUAGGUUGUUUGUAAUAUGGCGUUGAAGACCACUUGGCCAAUGUUGAUGUAUUUUCCCGUAACAAUGGUGUAAAUAAGGAUUGCUCUUUCCCGUGUAACAUCACUAAUAUGUCUAGAUGGAAACAUCAUUGCUGGAUGGCCAACGUAUGGCCCUAUUACUAUUUGUACAAAAUUUAAGCCAGAGAUAUUGUAUUUUAUUCGAAUUUAUUAUGAAUAUUUGAUGAUUGAAUCCCUUGGCCUAUGUAUGUUUGAAUAUGAACUCUAAGGCUUGCUCGGGUUUAGUGGGCUUGCUUGUUGAGCUUGUGUACUGGUCAUGGCCCUCGGGUUUGGGUCAUGACAAUACACACAUCAUCAACAUAUCAAUCACAUCUUUUUCUUUAACUCAUAUUCAUGAAUAAUCUAAUCUCAAAGGGUAUGUGGUAAUGCAUCACAUAUUAUCCCAUAAAAUCAUGUCUCACAUGUUCCUUAAAUGAAAACAUAUCAUAAGUUUAAGGGUGGGAAUGUCUACCUCACCUAAGCUGUCACGACCCGGAACUCCCCAUCGGGCCCGUGACAACCGUUGCGAGGCCUCGACAAACAUUCUUCACCCCGAAUGUCGAUCGAAACUUUGCAAGGCUCUCGUAUCAGCUUUCGCACUUCCCCGGUGAGCAAUAGUUAUCAAAUAUCAAAAUCGAAGGAUUACAAAUCAUUUCCAAAUCAGAACAUAACAUAUUGUUUUCUGGCUCACAAGAGCAUUUUCGUCAUUUUUGUCAAAAAUUUUGAAACUUGCUAAAAAUGUAGUAGGUAAGCAGAAAAUAUAUAUUUAAUGAUUUAAAAACAAAUUAAGUAUCUAAAAUGUUCAUUUGAAGUGAAAAUUUGACCAUUUGAAUAUAAUAAAAAUAUUCAAUAAAAUAAACUAUUUUCUUGUAAAAUAAUUUUCAUAAAACUAUCGGUACAUAAUACUUAUAGCGUAAAAGUUAAUUAUAUUCAUAUAUACUAUAAAGCAAAUAACCAAAGCAUAAAAUUUCUUUUACAGUGACCGAGGGCCCACAUCUAACCAAAAUGCAUCGGAAGUUAGAAACCUAUAGCUUUUACCGAUUCGAGUCCAAAUGAAGGUNNNNNNNNNNNNNNNNNNNNNNNNNNNNNNNNNNNNNNNNNNNNNNNNNNNNNNNNNNNNNNNNNNNNNNNNNNNNNNNNNNNNNNNNNNNNNNNNNNNNNNNNNNNNNNNNNNNNNNNNNNNNNNNNNNNNNNNNNNNNNNNNNNNNNNNNNNNNNNNNNNNNNNNNNNNNNNNNNNNNNNNNNNNNNNNNNNNNNNNNNNNNNNNNNNNNNNNNNNNNNNNNNNNNNNNNNNNNNNNNNNNNNNNNNNNNNNNNNNNNNNNNNNNNNNNNNNNNNNNNNNNNNNNNNNNNNNNNNNNNNNNNNNNNNNNNNNNNNNNNNNNNNNNNNNNNNNNNNNNNNNNNNNNNNNNNNNNNNNNNNNNNNNNNNNNNNNNNNNNNNNNNNNNNNNNNNNNNNNNNNNNNNNNNNNNNNNNNNNNNNNNNNNNNNNNNNNNNNNNNNNNNNNNNNNNNNNNNNNNNNNNNNNNNNNNNNNNNNNNNNNNNNNNNNNNNNNNNNNNNNNNNNNNNNNNNNNNNNNNNNNNNNNNNNNNNNNNNNNNNNNNNNNNNNNNNNNNNNNNNNNNNNNNNNNNNNNNNNNNNNNNNNNNNNNNNNNNNNNNNNNNNNNNNNNNNNNNNNNNNNNNNNNNNNNNNNNNNNNNNNNNNNNNNNNNNNNNNNNNNNNNNNNNNNNNNNNNNNNNNNNNNNNNNNNNNNNNNNNNNNNNNNNNNNNNNNNNNNNNNNNNNNNNNNNNNNNNNNNNNNNNNNNNNNNNNNNNNNNNNNNNNNNNNNNNNNNNNNNNNNNNNNNNNNNNNNNNNNNNNNNNNNNNNNNNNNNNNNNNNNNNNNNNNNNNNNNNNNNNNNNNNNNNNNNNNNNNNNNNNNNNNNNNNNNNNNNNNNNNNNNNNNNNNNNNNNNNNNNNNNNNNNNNNNNNNNNNNNNNNNNNNNNNNNNNNNNNNNNNNNNNNNNNNNNNNNNNNNNNNNNNNNNNNNNNNNNNNNNNNNNNNNNNNNNNNNNNNNNNNNNNNNNNNNNNNNNNNNNNNNNNNNNNNNNNNNNNNNNNNNNNNNNNNNNNNNNNNNNNNNNNNNNNNNNNNNNNNNNNNNNNNNNNNNNNNNNNNNNNNNNNNNNNNNNNNNNNNNNNNNNNNNNNNNNNNNNNNNNNNNNNNNNNNNNNNNNNNNNNNNNNNNNNNNNNNNNNNNNNNNNNNNNNNNNNNNNNNNNNNNNNNNNNNNNNNNNNNNNNNNNNNNNNNNNNNNNNNNNNNNNNNNNNNNNNNNNNNNNNNNNNNNNNNNNNNNNNNNNNNNNNNNNNNNNNNNNNNNNNNNNNNNNNNNNNNNNNNNNNNNNNNNNNNNNNNNNNNNNNNNNNNNNNNNNNNNNNNNNNNNNNNNNNNNNNNNNNNNNNNNNNNNNNNNNNNNNNNNNNNNNNNNNNNNNNNNNNNNNNNNNNNNNNNNNNNNNNNNNNNNNNNNNNNNNNNNNNNNNNNNNNNNNNNNNNNNNNNNNNNNNNNNNNNNNNNUUUUUCACUUAAUUUCCUUGAAAAUUCACACUUUUUCUUUGAUUUUCUCUCUCUAGGGUUUUGUUUUUGUUUUCUCUCUCUUCUUGCUGGUUUGGCCGGCCAUGGGGUGGAAGAUGGGCUGAUUUUUGUGCCUUUUAAAAAGAAAAAUAAUAAAUUAAUAAAGGCAUGACGUGGGGCAUCAUGUCAUUGGCCUGUUUUUAAAACUUUAAAAAUUUUAAUCCUUUUUGUCUCCACCACACAAUUAGUAAAUGGUCAAAAUGAGGAUAAGAGAUGACCAUGUGCUGGAAAAAUGUCUUGGUGGUGGAAAAUUACUGUUUUGCCCCUAGGGUGGUAAAAUUACCAUUUUACCCCUAUACUCCAAAUUAUACCGAAAUUAAAAAUUUUCACUUCUAAACCUCAAAUCAUACUCCAAUAAGUCAAAUGGGGCCAAAAAUCGUUUCUAAAAAUUCCCAUUUUGUCCUUAGGUGGCAAAUGACCAUUUUGCCCCUAGAUAGCGAAAAUUUCAAUUUGACUCCAAAUUGAUCCUCGAACUCCGAAUCACCAUAUUAAACCAUUCCGAGACUUUAAAAUUCUUAAUUUCAUCAUAAAUUCUCUAUUUGAUCUAGUUCGAGGCUUAAAUCAACUUUGUUGUACCUCUAGGUACAAUAUCGACUUUUGUAAAUUUUUCAAGACUCUCCUAGCAUGCAAACAUGCUAUCCAUCACAUGUAUGUCAUGACAAAUAUUUUUAUAGAGUCGGGUUUGUCAUCUUCUCCCCCACUUGGAUCAACCAUAUGAUCCUUCUUAAUGACUGAUUUUGAUAUUCGACUAAAUAUUAAUAUUUUAAUAUUAUUUUAUUAAUAAAAUAUUAUUUUAUUUUAAAAAUUUUAUCUUGUCUCCUUGGUACCCAAAAUACCUUAUUAUGCCUCACUUGACUUCCGAAUUGCCUUUUAUCUCACAAAUUCUCCUUCGAUAAAAUUAUUAUUAUUUUAUUAUUAUUUUCUCACUUGCGGAAUAUUUUAUCCUAAACUACUCUUUUCGCCUUUUAUCACUUUUAAAUAUUUUAAUUGACCUCAAUUUGCAUUUGAUCAACUUUAUUUAUCACCAUAUCAAAGUAUGGGGUAUUUCAUAAGCAUUCAUUUCUUAUACUUUUCCAUAGCAACAAUGUAGGUACUAACUUAUCUGAAUCGUAUUUCUCCAAAAAUACUAAAUCAUUAUGCUCAUCAUCAAGUAUAAAGAUGGGAACUUACAUCUAUUUCUCAUCCAUAAAUCCAUACACAUUUUUUAUUUCCUAUUCAAAACAGAAUUGAAGUUUUUGAAGUAAAACAUGUGAAAGGGCUUAUCCCCCCUUAUUGAAAACUAUUACACAAUAGUGAUAUUUACGUAUAGAAUUAGAUUUUAAAACUUUUUGAAAACAUUUGGAUAAAAAUAAUUUGAUUUAAUUUUGUAAACCAAGUAUUCAAAUCAUGCAAAGUUAAACAACUCAAUCAAACAUGCUUAGCUUUAUUGUAUUAAUAUACUUAAAAGGGUGUAUCCACUCAUCUUCGAAAUGUUGACCGCUAUCAAUAAACAAGACUUGACUCCAACAAAUUCCUUGGAGCUUUGACAGCACCUAAAGUGUUCGACAAUUAUUACAAUCAGUACUCAAACUAUAAAUCACAUAAUAACCAUUCUAAACCUUUUAAAAACUAACCAAGUUCAUUCAAACUACUUUUCUAGACCAAAACCACUGUUGUUCACUAACUAAAGCUGGAAAUUCAUAAACUCAUUUUUCCUUACCUUGGGUGUGCUUUAAUCCAUGAGAAAAAUCACCAAAUCCUUAGCUUGAAAGACAAAUAAAAGUGUGGGACUUUGACCUUUAUUGAUUUAUAGAUAGAAGUAAACGCGAUAUCCCUGAUCAGGGGUAAUUUUGUCAUUUCUUUAGUAAAUCCCUAAAAGUAAGUUUUAAACAAUACUAAGGCCUAAGUAGGCCUAAGGCAUAAAUGAAUGAUGAAAAUAUGGUUAAAAUGAUGAUGAUUUCCACGGUAGGGGCAAAAUGGUCAUUUUUCACCUCUAGUUAAAAUUUUUAAGUUUUUGCAAACUCAAUCAUUUCUAGACCAAUAUGGACUUUGUUUCAGUGUCAAAAGAUAAAAAAGAUUGCAUAAAGGAUUAAAGGAGAACAAGUUAACUUGUGAGGGAAUUUUGGUAAUUUAAGUGGAAUGGAUAAGCUUGGGCUAUAAAUAUCUCUUUCUUCCAGUAGCUUCUUCUUCCUUCUUCUCUUUCACAUUGCUUCCAACCUCCAUGGAAGCUUGAUAUGAACCUCCAUAACCUUUCUCAAAAUAGCUCCACUUUUCAUGCUUUUGGUGCACCCUUUCAUAAAUCCUUGUGCUCUUCCACUCUCUCUCUUUAAAACCCUUGAAAAAUCUUAUUUCCAUACUCUCUCUCACUAGUUAGGUGUUUUAGAGAGAGAAAGAGGAAGCUUUAUUAAUAGCUUGAAAGUUUUUGAAAAGAAUUUCAAGCACAAAGCUACCAAGGUGACUAGUGAACUAGAAUUGAUUUUUAGUGUUGAAAAUGAUUAGUGUUUAGACUUGUGGGUGUUUUGGUAGUUGAGGUUGGAAAUUCACUUUUGAGUGAUUAGGAUAGUGAAAAUGGAUAGCCAUUUAAUGGCACUUGGAAACUAGUAGGUGAUAGCUUGUAGAACUUGUAAUUAUGAGAAUUGAGUUAAUUAUGAUCUUAAUGUGAUGAUAGGUUCCAACGAAGCCCCACAGUCCCAUUUGGACCAUUAGGGAAGUUAGAAUCGACUAAAGGUUCAACGAAAUACCGGUGAGUGGACUUGCAUUUCAAACUUGUUUUGGGAAUGCGAAUGUGUUUGCACAAGAUAUUUGAAUGACUUUAUCCAACUUUUCUUUGCAAAUGUGUGCCAAAGAACAAGCCUUGAUUAAAUGUUUUGAUAUUAUGAAAUGUGAGAUGUGUAUAAGGAUGAAUCCAUGUGAUUUAUAUUAUGUUGGUAAGUAUGUAUAUAUCAUAUGAAUAUGUGCCGUGUAUUGAAGAAUGAUGUUGGGUGAUGUUGAAGUGUGCGAGUAGGGAGUGCACACAUGAUGAUGAUGUAUGUAUAUGUAAAUGUGUGUGUUAUAAAAAGCUCAUGAAUGUGGUUUAUGGAUGUAAUGCAUGUGAAGUCUUACAUGUUGAACUUUGGAAAUUUCUAAGCAUGUUUAAGUUGAGCUUGUCUUUAUAGCUAAAUAGCUUAUCCUUGAGAGAAUCAAAAUUUGUUAUUGGUGUCCUGUUCUCGCUGCAGCGAGAUUCAGCGAAAAACUCUCGGGUUUGGAAGGUUGCAUUGGUUUGAUUCUCGUUGCAGCGAGAAUGCAUUUUCGCUACAGCGAGAAACUUUCUACCUUGCUUAUUAUCUUGUUCCCUUGUUGCCUUAUUUCCCAUUUCUUUGGCACCAUAGUUGAGUGUGGACUUCCAAAUUUAGGAAUUUAUUUAAUUAAGUUUGAAAUGAAGAGGUUUGUUGAGAAACCCUCGUUCCCUGAUAAUUUGAGCUCAAAUUUCGCUACAACGAAAAUUCAUUCUCACUGCAGCGUACCUUUCCGCUACAGCAAGGACUCGUCGUCUUACUUGACUUGACAUGCUUGAAUGCUAAUAAAGUUUUCACUCUUCAAAAUCCUUUGUUGUUCAUGGAACCGUUAUCAUCAAGUGAUUAACUCAUUAAGGGUUUAAUGAGGGGUUUUAUUAAAACUAAACUAAAUUGCAUUGUUUUGAAAAUAAAUGCAUAAUGAUUUCUUUAAACUUUCCUUAUUGUUCGCUUGUUCCCUUCCUAUUCACUCACUGGGUUUAUGCUCACCGUUUUCAACUUCAUGUUUUCAGAUCAAGAGGCAGUCGAUAGCUAGGUCGAGGUGUCCUUGUAGAUUCGUAUCUUUGGUAAGUAUCAAUGGUAUUCAGUAGCUACACCUUCAUUGUAGUCACUUCACUGGAAGCCCAGAGUCAUUUUAUUGUAAAUAUGUACAUGUGAUGUAAAUUAUUAAAUUUGCAUGUUUAGACAAUAUAUGUACAUUUUGAUUGGUAUGCCACUAUGAGUUGGAAAUGCUUAAUAUUAUUUUGAUUCAAAGUUAUGAAAUGUAACUUAGUAACUUUUGUUGGAAUGGUGAACAGGUCUUAUUAAUAGGCUUGCUUGGGCUUAGUGGACUACGUCCAUUAGGCCCAUGCACCGAUCAUGGCCUAGAAUUUGGGUCGUGACAAAAAGUUUGGACUUAAAAGUAGUAUUUUUUUUAGUUGGAAAACCAUAGAUUUAAAGAUUCAAAGUUGAAAAACAUCACCCUUGUUGAAAAACCCAAAACCUAAGCUUCAAUCCUCCAAGAAUGGUGAUUUAGGUGUAAAAGUGUGUUAAGAGAGCUUAGAGUUGAAAGAAAACUGAUGGAAAAUCGCUAGGAAUGAAAAAACAUAAAAGAAUAAGUCAUAUUUAUACUAUGGAGUGUGAAAAUACCCAUUUGUCCUCUUUUAUUUUUCAAAAAUCGACAUCAUCUAUCGAUAGACUUGGCCAUCUAUUGAGAGAUAGGAUUUAAAGUCCUUUUAAAAAGCUUUAGGGUUGCUAUCUAUUGAUAGAUAAGCCUGAUCUAUCGAUAGAUGUUUUCCAAUUCUCUUAAAAAGACUUUUUGGAUUCAAUCUAUCGAUAGAUGAUGAACAUCUAUCAAUUGAUUUUGUCCAGAAUGCACUCUAGAUGUCCUUAAUAGGCACUAAGCUUAUUUACAUUGAGUAAAUGUCCUCAUUUUUACUUCUUUCCUUUUUUCUUUCCAUUUACUUAAGAUAUUUAAUAUAAAUAAGCAAACACCCCUGAAUUUGUAUUCAAUAAAAAUAUAAAAAAAAUCAAAAUCCAAAAGAAUCAAAAUCAAAAUUUUGAUUUAAAGAACAAAAUCGGAAAAGUUCGAUUGAAAUUAAAUUUGCAUCUCCUAUUUACCAUAGCAAAUGUUUUCCAAAAAUUAAGAAAAAAAUCAUUUUUAAUUAUCUAAAUUUUAAGAGAACCAUUAUCGUUAUUUUUUAUUUCCAAUUGAUUGUUCUACAAAAAUUACAUAUCUUAACCUUUUCCAAACUUAGAAAUUUUCUGCUUUUACAAUGACAACCAACCAAGGUGACAGCCACAAAGGAUAAAAGAAUAUGUGGCAGGGACUAUAACCAAGAAACAAAAUCAAGUAUGAUAGAUAUCCAAAGCUCAUAUAAGGAUUUAUCCAACCACCUUUCUUAUAAAACUUAGGGGUUUAACAAAAGAAGAAAAGAAAAUUCAGAUUUUUUAGAUCUUUGAUCUUCGAUCUUCAUUCUUCAAGAGUUUUUCCUUCAUUGUCUUGCUUGCUUGAUGGCUCUUUUUUUUUAGAGAAAACCUAGCUUAAUUUUUGUUAUCAAGUGCUCUAAAAGUGUCUUUCAAUAAGGCUCAAAAUCUUUAUCGAAAUAAAAGUCCAGAGGUUGCAAAACUUGGGAUAUCGUGUCAAUGCUAUAGCGUCGCUCUCUGCCUUGCUCCAUGUAUCCUCUUCUUCAUGGCACCGUGGUGCCCAUUGAUUCAUGGCUAUGGUGCCUAACAUUUUCUCUUGCCACAUGUGCUCUACUGCAUUACUUCAACUUUUGACAUGAUUUUAUCCUUCUUCUAUGCUGAACUGGGCAAAAUUGUCAACAUAAUUAUUGUAGCCCUGUCUCCUAACUUUCUAAUGGCUUAAGCCGUACAUGAAUUUGACUUCGAGAAUGAAAGUUAUGCUCAAAAUACUAGAACAUAUGAAGAAGAAACAUGGACCUUUUUAUACACUUUUCUUCAUCAAUUAAAGCCUUUUCAAUUACACACCUAUAAGAACAUCAAACUAACUUAAAUAAUAACUAAAAUAAAGGAAAUUAUCAUAAAAUAGCAUAAAAUAACUUUGAUUAAUUGACCCAACAAGAUUUAAUAAGGUAAAUAACUAAAAAUAACUAAUUUCUAAAUUAAAUCUCAAGAACUUAGCCCAUUCAAACCAUAAAAUUUAACAAAAUAACUUUAUGAAAUAGAGUUAUUACCAAGGUAAGUGUAAGCUAGAAUUGAGUAAAAUUAUGUUGUGAAUUGUGAUUUGGAGGUAGUUGAUGAGCUAAAGAUUAAGUAUUUGUGGGUAAGGGUUGUAUGGAAGUUGGAGGAUGACAUCAUAGUUUUGGAAAGAGAUUGAAAAAAUGUUGUUAGAAAGCUAGUGUGAAUUCUAAAUUUGAAAAGAUACGUUAGAAUUUGAUUGUAUGAUUUGUUUGCCGUAGGUUCCAUUAAAGCAUUAAGGUCUAAUAACUAGGGGAACUUGGUCGGGUGGAUUUGAAGUAGCUGAGGUGACUUAUAGGUGAGUGGACUUGCACUAAAAUGUUUUGUUAAGAAAGGCAAGCAAAAUGUUUGUUUAAAAAUAAUAUGCCUAGAAAAUGUUUUGAUACAACUUGAUAAAUAAGGUUAGGCACACCUGUAUGCUGGAAUUCGACCUAAUGCUCAAACAUAAAAAUAAUCAAUAAAUGAAAAAUAAAAUGCAGUGAAAAAAUAAAAGAUGCAUUUAAUUAAAAAAAUAGUCGAAUCGCACAAGAUCAAUGUUUGUGUUUUUUCAUGUAAUUUUCAAAAUAAUUAUAAACAUUUGUAAAUUUAAGUAUUACAUACCUUGCUUUAGAUAUCGUAAUUAAGAGCUAAUUAAAUAAAAAAGGCUUGUGAUGAAGCAAGUAACCCAAAAAGAUAAUAAGAUGGCCGAAAAUCUUGCAAUCGAAAUUGUCACGACCCAAUUUUCGGACCAUGACCGGUGCAUGGACUCAAUGGACAUAGUCCACUAAGCCCAAGCAAGCCUAUUUAUAUAUAUUCCUGUUAAUCAUCCCGUCAACUAUUCUUACAUUUACAUCUCAUAGUCUCGACCCUUAGGUACUUAAAUAGUAAGUUAUAACAAUCAAAAGAUUGUAUUUGUUGUGGCCCAAACUAACAUUAAUCAUUACCACUCAUGGUGGCUUUACCAAUUAAAAUAUACAUAUACGGUCUAAGGCAUUCAUCUUAGUACUUUACAUCAUGUACAUAUUUACAAACAGAAUGACUCUGGGCUUCCAGCGAAGUGACUAAGGUGAAGGAACGGCUACAGAAUGCUAAGGUACCUACCAAAGAUACGAAAUUAUGAAGACACCUCGACCUAGUUACCGGCUACGUCCUGAUAUGAAAACAUGAAGUUGAAAACGGUGAGUAUAAACCCAGUGAGUGAACAUAAGAAGGGAAUAAGCGAACGAGAAGGAAAAUUUAAAGAAAUCAUGAUGCAUUUAUUUUCAAAACAAUGCAAUUUAGUUUCAUUUUUAUUAAAACCCUUCGUUAAACCCUUAAAUGGUUAAUCACUUGAUUAUAAUGAUUCCAUACAUAACAAAUAAUUUGAAGAAUGAGAGCUUCAGUGAUAUACAAGCAAGUCAAAGCUGAGUGGAAAGGCGUAGCUUCAGUGAGAAUGAAUUUUCGCUACAGUGAAAUUUGGGCUCAAGUUAUUAGCUGGACGAGGGUUUUUCUCUAAACUUCCUCUGUCACGACCCGGUACUCCCUUUGAGUCCGUGACAAUCGUCGCGACGUCCCGAUGGACAUUCAUUGCCCGGAAUGCUAACCGGAACCUCGCAAGGCUUUAAUAUCAAUUUUCGCACCUCCCCUGUGAGCAACAGUUAUUAAGUAUCAUGUUUUGAGAGAUUAUAAACUAUUUUCAAAUCAAAACAAUAGAAAAAUAAUAUUUUUUUUCACAUAGGGGCAUUUUGGUCAUUUUUCCUCAAAAAUCUCGAAACCAGCUAAAAAUGUAGUAUGCGAGUGGAAAACACAUAUUUCAUAAUCAAAAAUAACUUUAGAUGUCUAAAACAUUCAUUUAAAGUGAAACUAUACCUAUUUGAAUAUAAUAAAAAUAUUUAAUAAAAUAUUUUAUUUUUUUAUAAAACAAUAUUUAUAGAGUUACCGGUAAAUAAUUUUUGUAGCGUAAAAGCUAAAUUAAUUCAUACAUACUGUAAUACAGAUAACCAAAGCAUAAGAUUUAAUUUACAAUGACACAUGGGCCCACGAAUGACCAAAAGUAUCAAAAACGGUAAACCUACAAUUUUUGAGGAUGCAAGUCCAAAGGUAGCCCUCAAUGAAAUCAACUAUCUACAGCCUAUUCUGAGCCUGAAAUGGGUGGAAAGGAGGGUGGUGAGAUUAUAUAAUCCCAGUGAGUAAACAAAUAUCAUCUAAAAUAUCUAAAGCUGAGUAAAUGGAGACAACUAAAAUAGAUGAGUACAAAAAUGAUUCUCAGCAUUUCGAACUCAUUUUAAUAAGAUAAAAUAGAUUCAUUUCACCAAAAUAAACAACAAGGCUUAUGAUUUCCUGAAAAGUUUGGCUCGUGCCAAAAUUAUUCUCAUACUCAGUUAUAAGGAAUACCUUGGCCGAAGGCUAUCCCAACCGAGUCCGCCAAGGCUGUUAAAGAGUUAUGUACGCAUAAAUCAUGUUUUUAUUUUGAAAACAUAGUCGUUCCUUGGCAUUGGCUGAGUUCACCCUCACGUGGUGGUUUAGCGUGAAGUGAACUCUAAAGUGUUAACCUCAGGAGUUAUCCAUCCGCACCUCUCAUAUUGAGGUAUGAAUAUAAUAAGGUUACCAUGCCCCUCUAAUAGGCUGGUCCACGAAACCCAUCCACUGCAGCGACAUGGCAAUUAUUUUAUUUCACAGCCUCUCAAGGCAAAUCAACAGUUCAUACAUUUUCAGCACAUUUACCAAAUCCAACCAUUCAUGCCAAUAUUAUCAUAAACCAUUCAAUUCAAACCAUGAUUUAUAACACAGUAAACAGUCUCCAAUUACUCCAUUUUCCAAGACAUAAUUCAAUUUCAAGACAAUUUUAUAAAAUCAUUUCGUUUAAUCACAUUUUGAUUAUAAAACAUAAAGAUUUACCAUUUAAACUCAUUUUUCAUAAAAUCAAAAAAACGAAUUAAAAUUCACUUUAGAUAAUCAAGAUGAUGAUAAGGUUACUCACUAUAUCAGGAGUUUGAAAUACUCCUAUUCUCAGUCCUCUGACACAACGUCUUUACCCUUGUUAGAAGGCUCACCACCUAAAUACAAUACACGAUACACAAUUCAAUAUACUGUGUCAUACCAUUAUAAAUAUAUUUCAGGCUUUUUACUAAUGCAUGAAAUGGAAUGCAAAUCGUUCGGAUUAUCAUCUAAACACGGUGUUCUACACAAAUUCAAUUGUGCACAAAAAAAAAAUCGAUAUUGGCCUAAUUCGAUCUAUCACCCGAUUAAUUGGCCAAUAUGUCCAAUUCAACUCCAAUUAAUUCCAUUUUCUCCCAAUUCUGCAAAUCGCCAAACACAAGUCAAAUAACAUAAAAUUUAGCAAAACUAUCCUCACAUUUCUUCUUGAGAAUUUCAGCCAUGGUGAGUGCAUCAACACUAUGAUUUUUCCUACUUGAUUUUCUCACCAUAAUUCAUCAUUUCCUUACCAAUUCACUUGAAAUAAAAUCAAAUUCACCAUCAACACUCUACAAGGAUGAUUCGGCCAAUGAUGAACUCAUGAGGAAUAUGUGAAUUUCAAGCUUAAUUCUUACACUUAACACCAUAAACAACUAAAAACAUCCAUAUAUCUUAAAAAUCUAUCUAAAUCAUCAUCAAAUUCUCUCUCCUAGGGCUUGAUCAGCAAGAUACCUAUCAUGAAAUCAUGUGAUUCAACCAUGGAAAAUAAGAAAAAAUGCUUAAGAAAGAAAGAUCUCAAGCUUAAUUGAAAAAUCUUACCUUUUUUUCACUUGUUUUCUUGAAUUUUUAAACUUUUCCCUUGAAUUUUUUCACCUAGGAUUCUUGUUCUUUCUUUUCUUCCUUUGUUCUUCUUUGGCUGGCCAUAUGAAUGAGAAAUGGGCUGAUUUUGUGCUAAUUUAUAAGGAAAAUAAUAAAGAAUUAAAAGCUUGACACUUGUCACCUUACCAUUGGUCCAUUUUUAAAUUCUUAACUAUUAAGCUUUCUUUCUCCACCACAUAAAAUCUUUCAAUUAUCCAUGAUAAUAUUGGGUAAAAUUCAUGUGCUCGACAAGUUUUGGGUGGUGUAAAAUUACAAUUUUGCCCCUGGGUUUGCAAAAUGACUAUUUUACCCUUUAUGCUCGAAAAAUGUCGAAAUUAAAAUUCUUCACUUCCCAAACUCAAAUUAUGUUCUAAAUAGUCAAUCUUGAUCAAAAACUUCUUCCAGCAUUCCAAUUUUAACCUCGAGUGGCAAAAUGACCAUUUUGCCCCUAGAUCAUGAAAAUUCCAAUUUGACUCCAAAUCGGUCCUCGAACUCCGAAUCACCAUUUUAAGUCAUUCUGGGGAUUUAAAUUUCUCAAUUUCAUCUUAAAAUCUCUAUUUGGACUAGUUUGAGGCUUAAUUCAACUUAAUUGUACCAUUUGGUACAUUGCUGUCCUUUAACGAUUUUCGAGGUACCCAAGUAAGCAAACGUGCAUUCUUAUAUAAGAAUGGCAUAAUAAACUUAUUGUAGAGUCAGGCUUCACAUCUUCAUUUCAAACUUAAUUAAAUAAACCCCUAAAUGUUGGGAGUCCAUGAUCAACUAUGGUGUAAAUGAAAUGGAAAAAUAUGGCAAAAACCACCAAGAUAGCAUACCAGACAGAAAGUUUCUCGCUGUAGCGAGAUUCUUUCUCACUGUAGUGAGAUUCAAGCGGCCAAAACAAAAAGUUUCUCUCUUUUGCAAGAAGCUCCAGCGAAUUUCUCGCUGUAGCGAGAACCAGGUUAAUAAACCCCUCAAACUUGAGAGUUUCUCGCUGCAGCAGGAAUCAUUUUCACUGCAACGAGAGACAGGGCAUCAAAGAAAAGUUUCCAUUUUCUCAAGAAGAAAGCCAUUCUACUGAAAUGACAAAAUCAACGUGAAACAUUUAGAAAUUCCCAAAGUUCAACAUGCUAAAUUUUCACAUGCAUUACAACCAUAUAUCAUAUUCAUGAACUUUUAUUUCAUAAGCAUAUAUAUACAUAUAUACACAGAUAAACACCAAUACCACCAUCGUCUCACCCAACUCAUGUGUAUCCUCCCACAUCGUGCACAUAGCCGGAGUCAUUGUGUGCAUCCCCCCACAUCGUGCACAGUUAGUGCCAUCGUGUGCAUCCGCCCAUAUCGUGCACACGGGCACUAUCACUAUCCAUCUCCUUCACCUUCGUCAUCACCGGCAAGUGAACAUUCACCCCGCACAUGCACGGUUUCAUUUGUCACACAAUGGUAACAUUUAUGACAUAGUAUAUAUAUAUAGCAACAUUACACAGACACAUAUAGAUUCAUCACACUAUCCAUUUCAUAACAUAAAAACAUUUCAUAAGGGCUUGUUCCCGUGCGAGUUUUGAAGAUAAAACAAAUAAAACGUUUUAAGGAUUCAAUCAAACAUACUUGUAUACAUACCCCAAACCCUUUUUAAUGCAAGUUCAUUCACCGGUAUUUGUUGAACCUUUAGUCGACUCUAAUUUCCUUAAUGGUCCAAUUAGGGUUGAGGGCCUUGUUAGAACCUAUCACACACCAAAAACAUCACAGCCAAUCCAAUUUACAUUAAUAUUGCUCCAAAAGCUAAUUCCCAAAUCAAAUUUCAAAAGCCCUUCCUACCUACCUUCUAAUUACCAUUUGAUUGGCUAUUUAGUUUCUCUCUCUAGUAACACUAAAAAUAGAUAAACAACUUUAGCAAUAACACAACUCAUUUCUUCAAUUUGUAGCCAUUAUCAACAACUUAAAAUCACUCUUAAUUCAUCACUCACAUUGGUGGAUUAUAAUGAAAUUCCUUCUCAAAAUUCUUCCAAGCUAUUGUAGAAGUUCCCUUUUUCUUUCUCUAAAACACCUAGCUAGUGAGAGAGAAUAUGAAAGUAAGACUUUUCAAGGGUUUCAAAGUGAAAGAGUGAAAGAGCACAAGGUUCUAUGAAAGGGUACACAAAAUCAUGAAAAGUGGAGCUAGCUUGAGAGAGUUAUGGAAGUUUGAAGAGAACUCCCAUGGAGGAUGAAGAAACGUGAGAGGGAAGAAGAAAGAAGAAGAAGAAGCUACUGGAAAUGUGAGAAGAAACUGCUAGAAGAUGAUAUUUGUAGAUCAAGUUUAUCCAACUCCACUUAAAUUACAAAAAUACCCUUGACAACUUAGCUUGUUCUCCUCCAAUCCUUUAUGCUAUCUUUGUACUCUUUUUACAUUAGGACAAGGUCCAUAAUAGUCUAGAAAUACUUGGGUUCACAAAAACUUAAAAAUUUUGACCUCGAGAUGAAAAAUGACCAUUUUGCCCCUACAUUGAAAAUCAUCAUUAUUUUUAUUUCUUUCGUCAUUUUACCCUUAUUUUCAUCAUUCAUCUAUGCCUUAGGCCUACUCAGGCCUCAACAUUGUUUGAAAGUCUACUUCUAGGGGUUCACUAAGGAAAUGAUGAAAUUACCCCUAGCUCGUAUUAUCGCGUCUACACCUAGUCACGAGUCUAUAAAGAUCAAGGUCUCAUAGAAAUCUUUCCUUAUUAACCUUUAGGAUUUGUCAAAUCUUUAGCCACUCAAGUGUUUGGCCUCUAACAAUAAUCAACAAAAUGACCGAAUAAGACCUUCUCAAAGGUAGGAUUUUUAUUGUGCUAGCAAGUUUUGUCUCUAAAACAAAAAGACCAAAGUUUGUGCCGAAUUUUAUUUCUGUAAGACAAAGAAAACUAUUUUUCUUUUUUUAUUUUUUUGAAAUGGCUAAGAAGUGGUUGAAUUAGUUUAGCUCUUAUCAAAACCCCUCAUGUAAACCCUAAAUGAGUAAAUCACUUGAUAAAAAAGUCCAUGCUCAACAAAUGAUUUGAAGAGUGAAAACCUUAAUAGCCUUUAUGCAAAUUACGUCAAGUAAAUGACGGGUCUUUGUUGUAGCGGGAAGGCAUUCUCCCCAAACGAGGGUUAGUCGAGGAGGGUUUCGUAAUUGGCCGAGGGUUUCUCACCAAACCUCUUCAUAUCAAACUUAAUUAAUUAAUUUCUUAAUGUUAGAAGUCCAUGCUCAACUAUGGUACCAAAGAAGUGGAAAAUAAGACAGCAAUUGAACAAAAAUAAGGAGCAAAACAUAAAGUUUUUCGCUGCAGCGAGAAUGAUUCUCGUUACAGUGAAAUUUCAGCCAUAAAACAAAAAGUUUUUCUUUGCAGCGAGAAUCAUUUUUGUUGUAGCGAAAUACUACAGUAACGACUCGGUGCAGCGAGAUUUCGACUAGCGUUACCCCUCCAAACCCGAGAGUUUCUUGUUGCAGCGAGAAACAAAACAGCAAGAAAAAAAGGUUUCAUUUCUUUCAAGGAAAAGCCAUCCUACUAAAAUGACAAAAAUCAACAUGAAAGGCAUAAAAAUUCCCAAAGUUCAACAUGCAAGAUUCACAUGUGCAAAACCAUAUACCAUACUCAUGAACUUUCUAUAAUACACAUAUCUAUAUAUGUAUAUAUAUAUAUAAAUAUAUAUAUCAACCAUCAUGCACACCCUCCCAUCAUCAUCAGCUCAUAUGAGCUCCCACUAGCACAUGGCUGGGUCAGAAUCGGCUUAUGCUGUAAUGACCCUUCCUCGGUUGCUACCGGCGUCUGAGACCUCCGGAAUAUCCCAUCAAGUCCUAAACAAGCCUUAAUGAAAUUGCUCAAUAACUCAUUGUACACUUUUACUAAACCAUAUUAAUGUUUGAACCAUAUAUAUUCAUAAUGUGAAUUCAACAACAAGCAUAACCAUUAAAAUUUGACUUUAAGUCAUGAUAUCACAAUUAAAUACAUUGAGUUCAAAAAUCUCAAAUUUUUGUUUAUAUCAAAACUAAUAUUUGUUUACAUAGUAAAACCAAGUACUACAACUCAACCUAUAACAGCGGAGCGACUCGGGAUAAAAUGCUAUGAGAUGCCUUUACCUAUUUACAAUGGACUCUACGCGCUGAUGAUUACACAUUAGACCGAUCUCUAUUUGCAAAAAGGGGAAAAAGAGGGGUGUGAGUCUCACAGACUCAGUGAUCAUCGACUCUGUGAAUAGGGCGUAGAGGGGAAACAAGCAAAUAGCAGAUCAGUUGAAUAUUAAAAUGCAAGAUUAUAAAAACAAUUUAUUUCAAACAGAAGUUUGUGCCUUAUGUGAAAUACCAAGGAUUUCUUACACAUUGUACUACUUCAAUUGUAAAUCAACCAAGGUAGAUAAAAAUUUUCGCUACAAAACAGAUCAAUAACCUUAUUCAAGUCAAUCAUUUAAAAUAUUGAAUUAAAACAAUUUUACAUAAAGAAAAUUCCGUCGUGAAAAUCAAUUGACAUUUUUCUUAAAUCAAAUCAAUGUAUUCUGCAAGCUCCCUUAAAAUUGAAUGUUAAUCAAACUCAUACGUAAAUCACAAAUCACCUCGCACUCAAGGAGUUAAAAUUCAUUUCACCGCAAAAAUAAGAGAGUUGUAGAAAAAUCGUUAAAUUUCACUUUCACCAUGCAAAGUGAUGCCACUCUCGAGUAGGGAAUGAAAAUAAACCCGUGGUCCCACUACCACGUAAUAACAUCUGGGAGCAUUGCUUCCAUCGGAUUCCCAUGUGCCAUGGCAGUCUCACAAUGUUGGCUGACAUCGGAGAAUCAAGUGGUCGCAAUCACAUAAUCAUCUGGUGGCCUAGCCACACAUACAUAUAUCACAGGUCGUGGCCCCAACAACGCCUAAUCGUCUGUCGGUGACCUAGUGGUUCUGUAGCUAGAGCUCACUUGUGCAUGAGGGUCACACUUCACACUUAAUUGAUGUGACAUCCGACUUACUCUCGAUGCUCUCGGUUUGUAAAACCAUUUUGUAAUUGUGUUAUGUCUUUAAAAACUCGUCUCAAAAUUAUUUUCCAAAGCAUUCAUCACAAGGUAUGAUAAAAUCUAGAGGAAAUUGUGAGAAAAGGACCUCGUGAUAAGCUGAUUUCAGAAAUAAUCACCCAUAUAAAGUUAUCUGUUUCUAGCCAGAAAUAAGCAUGAGUAGACCAAAAUGCCCUUAAAAUCAUCGUUUCAAAUAGAUGCUCAACUGUUGAGGUAUCUGCCUCCCGCUAAAGAGAAAAUAGAAAAAAAUAAAAAUAAAUGCUCCCAGCUGUUUGGGCUGGGUCAUCAUUCUCUCUAAACUCUCUGAAUUGUCUUAACUCUGGCAAGUGUCAGUUGAGCACCAUCGUUGUCAGCUUUCUCAGAUCUAUGAACUGUAUGAGCUUUGUCAACUCUCUGUUGAGCACCAUUGUCAUCGGGCUAUGGUCUAUCUCUCGACAUCUGGCCAUAUUAUCGUAGAUUAACAAACCCUAUAGCAGAGAUGACAUCAAAAUACUUGUUAUUGGGUUUAUUUCUGCAACACACUUAAAUUUCUGAAACAUUUGAUGUAAAUUAGAAGAAGGAUUCAAAACAUUGCCCAGAGUUGUUACAUGCCAAAAACAUGUGUUAAGAGUUAUUUUAGCAUCUCACGGUUGUUCCUGGCAUGUUGUGGGUUAACUAGUUUUAUGGGUUUUUGGCGUGUCACCGCUGUUACUGGCGUGUCGUGGGUUAACUGAAUUUAUGGGUUUUUGACGUGUCACGGCUGUUACUGACGUGUCGUGGGUUAACUAGUUUUUUGGGUUUUUAACGUGUCACUGUUGUUGGUGUAACGAGUCAGUAAUUACAGUGAUUGGCGUGUCACAACAUUUGACUUGAUAUGCAUGGCGUGUUACAACAUUUUACAUUAUAUGCAUGGCGUGUAACAACACGACUGACAAAUUUUUGAUCACGGCAUGUAUUGUGUAAAAUGAUUGAGAAAAUUUUUUUUUUCAAAAUUUCAAUGGGGUUUCAAUUGUGCGACUUGUGCUAAGACACGGUGGUCAGUGGGUGGAUGGCAUUUACAAGGGUGGUGAGUCACGAAUGCAGGGGGUUAGGAGUGAUUUGUCGAUUGUGGGAUUGAUGAAGCUGGUUGAAGAUGUUGUUGAGGUAAACUCAAAAAUUGACGAGAUUGAGUUACAUGCAUUGAUCAGUACAUCGGCAGAGCUAUCACGGCCAAUUAUCAAUGACGAUGAAGAUGUUGCAUUAAUUUUGCUAGAACAGAGGAAUGUUCCGACUAUGUAUGUCAGCAUUAAGGGAUGCCAAACAAAUGUUAUGUCACAUGAGGAAGUUGGACAAUAUGGUAAUCAGCUCAAUCAAAAUGAGAUUUACAAGGCUUCACAAAUACCAAAGCAUUCGUUCCAUAACCCACAACAAUGGCAAUUGAGGUAUGCACAAGAGUUUGUGUAGCUUGGUAGACAGACGACAUUCAUAGAAUAGUUGGCUGCACAAUUCCAAUCAAGAUGUGCAUCAAACCAAUUUCUUCAUUCUCUUGAACAAAUGCAACGAUCGGGUGAAACUGUAGAGUGUGUAAUGCCAUUGUCAAAUGAGAAUACGACAGUUGAGGACAACAAUGUGAGGUUGGAGGGUGACACUACGACGCCGGAGGAUAGUACUACAUUUGAUGAGGGAAAUGAGGAUUUGUUCACUACUGGUGAAGAUAGAUUUGAUGACACUUCAGAUGAUGGGCUUGAACAAUCGCAAGAUGACAGUUUAAACAAUGACUGCCUUUAUGAUAGUGACAUUCCAAUUUGCAAUAAUGUUGAAGGCAAAGCGGAACCUAUUGGAGGUGUUGAUGUAAGAGAUGUUCAGUGUGAUGACCCCAUAUACAAUAACCCCAUCGCUGAUGAGAACUGGAUUUGUUCCCUUGAUAGAUUGCUCGAUGACAGUGAUCAGGAAAGGGGAAAUGCAGGGAUAUCUCGUACAUGGGUAAUUGCAGGUGCAGAAAGGUCUCCUUCCAAACAAUUACCACUGAGGAGUCGACAUGUACCGAAGAUCACUUAUACAAAGGAAGAAUGUUUUCAUCGAAGGCCAAGUUGAAAUGAGCUUUGAACAUGUUGGUUAUAAAAGAGAAGUUUACGAUUAGAGUAAAGAGGUCAUGUAAAGUUCGUUAUAAGGUUAGUUAUAAGGACAAGGCAUGCAAGUUUAGUGUUCGUGCAACGAAGUUACCUAAUAGAGGAGAAUAUUGGCAAGUUCGAACAUUCCAUAAAGUACAGACCUAUACCUUUGAUGGUUUGCAAGGGCGGUUUUCAACUACAAGUGCGAAGAUGAUUGGUGAACUUAUGUCACACAAGAUUCAGCCUAAUGGAGUAAAAUUGAGACCUAAGGACAUAAUUUGUGAGAUGAGGGUUUAGUGGGGAUUAGAAUGCUUGUAUGGUAAGGCUUGGCAAGUGAAGGAGUAUGCGGAGAAGCUUGUUUUCGGUCCACCAGAGGAGUCAUUUCAACUACUACCAUCGUAUUUUUAUAUGUUGGAACAAGAAAAUCCUGGCACAGUGACUGCAGUGGCAACUGAUAAGGAAGAAAGAUUCAAAUAUUGUUUCUGGUCAUACGGGGCUUGUAUUCGGGCGUUUAGGGAUGUAAUGCUUCCUACAGUUGCAAUUGAUGCUACACAUCUAAAAGGGCGAGCGAGUGUGUAUAUCCAGUUGCUUUUGGCAUCGGCCAUGUUGAGGAUGAAGACUCAUGGAUGUGGUUUCUUAGCAAGUUAAGUGAUGCAGUUGGUUGUCCUGAAAACACUAUGUUCAUUUCUGAUCAGCAUCUGGGCAUUAAGAAAGCAAUCCAAAAUGCAUACGCAGAAGUGCACCAUGGUUUAUGCGGUUACCACUUGAAAAAAAACUUUAAAAACAAGUUCAAGCGCGAUGAUGUUUGUAUGCUUUUCACCUUUGCUCGAGAUUACUAUAAGGUGGCCAAUUUCAAUAGACAUAUGAACCAGAUACAGCGGAUUCACCUUGGAACAAACGCGAACCUUAUGAGAAUAGGGCCUGAGAAAUGGGCACGUGCAUGUUCACCGGCAAGGCGAUACCAAAUGAUGACAUCCAACAUUGCCGAAUGUGUUAACUCAUGCUUGAAGCAUGCAAGACAAAUGCCAAUCACUGUUUUGAUCGAGUUCAUCAGAGACAUGUUCCAGCGUUGGUUCCAUGAACGGUACGAGGAGGCGUCAAGGUGACCAUGCCCCUCAGCCCUUGGGUUGCCAGGCAGUUGAGCAAAAGGUUCAAUGAUGCACAUCGCUUUCUAGUUAAGCCUAUCAAUCGAGUUGAGGUAGAAGUUAAAGACAGGAAGAUGGAUGGACUUGUAAACCUGUCCAGGAAGACGUGUACAUGUUGUGAGUUCCAAACAGAUUUACUGCCAUGCAGCCAUGCCAUUGCAGCAAUAAGGUCAGAAUAUCAUAAUUUCUUAUUUGAACCGUAAUUGACAUAGCAUUUACAUUGUGCUUGAAGAUUGAGUUUAUUGUGUUUUUAGUAAAUGCAAUCGUGAAGCCAUUGAAUUCUGCGCUGACUACUACAAGACAACUGUUUUGGUGGAGGGUUAUUCAGGAUCCAUUAGGCCGAUAGGGCAUCCUAGUGAGUGGGACAUUCAAGAGGGAAGACCUAGGAGGAGAAGGAUUCCAUCAGCUGGUGAAGGCAGUCAAGCACGGAGAUGUUCGCAAUGCUUAUCGUACGGGCAUAACAGACAAAACUGCCCAUUCCCAUUUGCAGUUCCAUCCACAAAUCUAGCACCAUCUCCAAGUCAAUCGACGCCUCCACAACUACGCUGACCCAAAGCAUGUUCAAGUUGCAGACAAACCGGUCACACAUGCAACAAUUGUCCAAUACGAAGGACAAUGUUUGAAAAUUGUAGUUGAAUUCGUUUUGCUUUACGGCUUUGUCUGCUCUGUCAUUCUAUGAGCCACUUUUAGUUACGGACUUUGUUGCCAAACAUUUCAGGCAGAUAAGCCUGUCAAGGCCUCUGUCUGAUCAAGAUCGUGUUAAAGUACAUUCUUACAUUGUUUGUAAAAAUGUUUUCAAUUAUAAUCUCCAUUAGACAGGAGCCUUGACCAAAUUAUUUGCCUGAAAUGUUUGGCAACAAAGUCUGUAACUAAAAGUGGCUCAUAGAAUGACCGAGCAGACAAAUCCAUAAAGCAAAACGAAUUGAACUAUAGUUUUUAGACACAUUAAGUACAGGUGGCUACACAAAUCUUCUAAAGGAACAGCAAGCAUGGAAUGGCUACCACUUGUAUCAAAUAAUUAAUGAUUAGAUUUAAUUCCUUUCUAUUUCAUUUGAUUUAACCGUUUAUGUUCUUACUGCAAGUUUUGUGGUGACACGCCACGUGCAUGCAGACUUGGCAUCAAUGUAGACUAACCUGAUAUUUUAAUGGCGGGGUUUAGGGCUCUCAUAUGCUUAUCCAUACUCAAUAUUAAAACCAACUGUAAGUGUUGGUAGCUGCAUUACAUCACAAAGACUCUCGAAGAGAUAGGGGAGUACAAUGCACUGAAGGCUAUGUGUUUCAAGAUGCUCUUGGAUGUCUAUCCAUAAGCUUGGUCUAUCAAACUUUGACCUUGCUUGCACGGUUGAGUUCAUUGUAGCUCGGUACAGUUGACCAUGUAUGCUUCCUUUGGGGUACUAGGAAAAUUGUAUCGGGCUACAAUCAACUCAACCGUGUAAGCAAGGUCAAAAUUUGAUAGACCAAGCUUGUGGACUGACCUCAAGGACCAUCCCAAAAAUGUACGCUUCAUUGCAUGAACUCCCCCAUCUCUUGGAGAGGCAAAAUGUCAAGAUCCUCAUGCGUGAUGCGUUGGAUCUGCAAAACAUGGCAUAGAUGCACUAGUGAGUUAACCCAUAAUGUGCAAUAAGGUAUACAAAAGAAAUAAAUAAGGAAUAAAUGUGAGAAAAGUCAUGCAAAACAAGUAAAAUGUUAUGACACGCCAUGCAUAACAAUUAAAUUUCACUGACCCGCCAUGCAUAACAAGUUAAACAUGGUGACACACCAUGCAUAACAAUUAAAUUUCACUGACCCGCGAUGCAUAACAAGUUAAACGUGGUGACACGCCAUGCAUAACAAUUAAAUUGUUCUGACCUACCAUGCAUAAGAAGUUAAUUGUUCUAACCCACCAUGCAUAAGAAGUUAAACGUGGUGACACGCCAUUCAUAAUAAUUAAAUUGUUCUAACCCGCCAUGCAUAAGAAGUUAAUUGUUCUAACCCGCCAUGCAUAAGAAGUUAAACGUGGUGACACGCCAUUCAUAACAAUUAAAUUGUUCGAAACAAUUAUUUUUUUUAACUUAAGUGGAAUUUGAAAUGGUUACCAUGGCGUGUCAGUUGUUCAAGCAAUGGCGUGUCACAAUCUUCUCACAUAUUCUAACCGUGGCGUGUCAUAAAUUCUUAACCUUGCUGUUUCACAGUCGUGACCCGCUGAGUGCAAGCAGCACCAUGGCUUGACACAUCACACGUCAAUUGUUCUGACACGUUGAGUGGAAGCAGAUUUAUGGGGUGACACGCUGAGUGCAACCAAAUGUAUGUGGGGACACGCUAAGUGGAAGCAGAUUUAUGGGGUGACAUGCUGACUUCUUGUGACUGAGUAUCAAAUUAAAUAUAUUGUAUACAUGGAUGGAAAAAAAUUCUUGGUAUCAAAUUAAUUGUGUAUAAAAUAAUUGUAUAAAGUAUAUUAUGUAUACACAAAGAAAUAAUUCUAUUUACAAUGAAUUGUAGAAAAUAAAUUAUGAAUACAAAAAAUUUGUGUAUAACAUUAAUUGUAAAAAAAAAAUUCUCUAUACAAAAAAAUUGUACUGACAAGAGCCGAUAUGUUCAGGGUUCGCUCUCACAAUUGUUGGAAAAAAGUUUCGGAGCGUAUUGUUGACGCAUUUUUGCAAUCAUAUUCUGCUUAACUCCGAUGUUUUUUUAUUGUAAAAUAUGGUCCAUGUACCUUAUCAUGAACAUACCGCAGCUGGCACUAUCAUUCUGUCGAUGCACUUUAGCUUUUGGCAAAUGAAUAUCUAAUGGCAUCGGCAUUAAAUCCCAUCUCUUCCGACGUAUGUUGUUGAAAUAACCGGCUUGGUGGCAGAUGAAUGGCAUCAUUGUCGUCAAGGGUGUCAUUUGACCCGCACGAACUCCGUUAUCCUUAGCAUUCAAAGUUCUUGCGAAGUCCACCACCUUGAUCGUCCAUCUCACCAAGUCAAUCUUCGCAACCACCCAAUGCCCACCAACGUUGCAAGGCGCGAUGAUGAAAUCCACAUCUUUCCAUUUUUUGUCGUAUGUUGGCCUUUCACCCUCCACAUACCCCCGCAACUCAUCUGGAAUUUGCAUUGUGGCCUGGGCAUCUUCUGUUGGAAAUUCUGUGUGUAGCAUACGGAUGGUGUCCUGUGAAACAUGUAAACAUUAGCUUACAAUUCAUGCAAUCAAAAACUUAGUAUUUAUAGAAUUGAACAAUUUUCAAAUAAACUUACGAAGAAUAUCAUGUCAACCACGAAUGCACGAGUAGUGUAGAGCUUCGACUUCGGCCCUGUCAUUCACUUGAAGAGUAGGCUGACGCAUGCGUCGAUAUGUUCACUUGUCAUUUCCUCAUUGGGAUCUUCUAAGGUUGUGAAAACUCAGCCCUUUGAUCCCUUAAGAUGCUGACGUUACACCUGCAUAAGCCACAUAAUGAAUUUCAUAAGUCUUGGUGGAUUAAUGUUUCAUUAAAAAAUAAUAUUUGCAAUGUUAUUUACGAGCUUACCUUGCCGACUCGUCUUUUUUGAAAACUUCAUAGUCUUCUACAAUUUUUUCCCUCACAUCUCGACGGGUCACUAAGGGGGCGACGAAUGGGCUUGCCAUGUAUUCGCUCGCCAUUUUCAGCAGUGCCCUCUCAGUUGGGUCUGAAAUUUCUGCUGCACCAUGAUGGACAGUAGGUGACUCUGGUGACGACGAUCGAAUCUUAACUGCAUCAGAGUGCUCCCACGAUAAAGAACGAUAGCUUCUGCUGCUGCGUCGACGAAUGCAUCGGUUGGAGGAAGAUGCUCUCCUUCAACCAUGAUUGAGUCAGGCUCCCUGUCCCCUCCAGCAGAUGCAUCAAAAAUUGACUCGGGCAGAGGAACAUGUUCUCCUUCAGCAUCAUCUGAUUGAAGGGUGACAUCCACUACCACAGCUUCAUCGACGACGUCAUCGACAUGAGUUACGUGCUCUCCAUCAGCACAAAGAAUGUCAUCGUCAAUGUCAACACCAGGUUCAUGAUGCUGUCCAUCACAGCAUCAUCGUGCUCCAGACCAGCACCGUCAGAUGGACCGCCCUACAAAAUGGGAAAAAUCGUUAGUUAGCUCAUAAAAUACCACAAACCUUAAAUAGUAAAAUGUUGUGACACGCCGUGCAUAUCAAGUAAAAUGUUGUCACACGCCAUCCAUAACAAGAUAAAGGUUGUGGCAUGCCAUCCAUAACAAGCAAAUUGUUAUCACACGCCAAGGAUAACAAGCAAAAUGUUGUGACACGCCAUGCAUCUCAAAUCAAACGUUGUGACACUCCAUGAAUAAAAAAUGUUGUAACACGCCAUGCAUAUCAAGUCAAAUGUUGUCACACGCUAAGGCUGACAUGGUAAUAACUAACUAUAAUACAAAUGUCCUAACCGUUAAUGACCAAAAACCAUUUAAACCACUACCACUAAACCCCAAAAACCAUCAAAAUAGCAAGAAAAUACAAUCUAAGCAGUUGCUAAACGUAAACCAUAUAAAAAUAAGCGAAGAUACAAUAACGUACUUGUGAUUUAAGGCCGUCAAUAAUCCGACCAACGAUACGGUCCUCAAGUGUUUGCAUUGCUACACUUAAUGACUGAAUUGAAGCCUUCAACUCCAACAUCUCUUUUGCAUGCUUACGCAUGAUCCGUCGGAGCUGACGGGUAAUGAUUGCUCCGUCAUUGACUAUUCUCAAUUGGGUCAACUACAAUAACAUAUAUAAUUGUGUUAUUCAAUAAUCAUAUAUGGAAUUGACGAACAUUAACUGUUACAACUUUAAUAUCCUAACCAGUGGCUCGUUAGUAGUUUGUGGUGGAGUCAAACCGAUCGGUGCUUGAGGACCUAUCGUCGCUUCCAUAAACUUCAAUUAUAGAAAUUACUGUGUUACUUGAUAAACAUAUGUGGGAAUGUAGAACACAAACCGUUAGAAUCGAUCUUACCAUCGAAUCGUUUCCAUUCUACAACUGAGGAAGACCGGUGAGUGGUUCUGGAGCUGUCGGUGCAUGGUCCAACUACAAACAUAGAAAUGUUUUUCGAUAAUCACAUAUGGAAUUGGAGAACACAAAACCGUUACAAUUGUCCUUAUUGGCUGUUCACUACCUUGACCAUGGUCGUCCCCUUCGUCCAUCAACUUAAGGCCGGAUAGCUCAUCAACUAAAGUAGUGGUGGUGCGCAUCCGUUUCGUGCCACCAGAGGCUCUUUUCUUCUUCAAGCUUAUCCUUUUUUGCCUCGCUCCCAAACCCCAAUCUGACCAAUCCUUCAUGUGCCCUAUUGGAAUGUACUCGUAGCUCUCUAAUAACGGGACAUCAAGGUCCACAAAAUACUCUCGGAGGGCCUCAUCCGCAGUGGGUUCCAACGUCUCUAGUGCCCACAACUGCAAAUAAACAAAUAAAAUGUUGUCAGUAUCGAAUAGAGAAAAUUAUUAUACAACUAUAACACAAAAAUAUGCAACUGUUCACUCACAUGGUCAGAUGACUUUAACUUCUGAAUUGCCUUAUAGAAGUUUUUUGGCUUCUGAUUGUAAUCCCAUUUGCACAUUCAUGGGUAGACGUUGUCCUUUAGACCAGAACUGCAUGUCAACUGUAACCAUUAUCAGACUGUAAAUCAUAAACGAGUGCACCAAUCAAUUUUUUUUUCAAAAGGAAAUUGAAAAAUAUUACGUCAUAGUACCUGUAUCACCCAUGCGAAUUUGUAAAUAUUGUAGCGUAACCGAGUUCCCUUUAUCACGCUUAAGUCAGGCACUUUGAACCCCUUCAAAAUGUAGUCCAAGGUCAGCUUCAAAACAUAGUGCCCCCAUGGGAAGACAUUCCAAGCGUCGAUGUCCUCCACCAAUGACAGCAACCAAGGCGUCUCCCAUCUAUGGUAGUCUUGACCAAAUAAAAUGUUAUUCGUAAUCAAGACGAGUGCCAUGUUGGUCGCAUCUCCUGCUCGUUGGAAGUUGCCCCUACAGAACGUAUCAAGCAAAGCCUGUAGCUUAACGUUCUCCUGCCCAUUCCAGUAUCGGGCAUGAAUUCUGUCUGUAGCAACCUCGUACUGUCGUUUGAACACAUCGGGCAUUGGACCAAACUUCAGCCCAGUGAUAAGGCAGAACUCCUGCUUUGAUAGCUGCGCCUUGCUCUUGCCAAUGGCAAACCAUAGCUCGUGGUCCAUUGACUGGCUCUCAGUGAUCUACCGAAUCAUGAUGUUGUGCAAGAGAUCGACACAAAAGUACCCCUAAGGAUACACGUUCAAGAGCAUUUCGAAGCGGGUACACUUAACUGCAUCAUACUCCCCCUUCUGUUGGAGAGUCUUUGUGAUGUAAUACAGUUGCAGCCACUUACAGUGGGUGUUAAUUAUGGCGUUGAAUGCCCAUUUCUCCCUCGGCACUAUCAGCAAACUGUCAAAAUCCUCAUACUGUCUGCGUUGGAUCUGCAAAACAUGGCACACAUACACCAAUGAGUUAAGCUGUCAUGUGCAACAAGGUACACUCAAGACAUAAAUAAGGGUAAAAUAUUGUGACACGCCAUGCAUAACAAGUAAAAUGUUGUGACACGCCAUGCAUAACAAGCAAAAUAUUAUGACACGCCAUUCAUAACAAGCAAAAUGUUGUGACACGCCAUGCUUAACAAGUAAAAUGUUGUGACACACCAUGCAUAACAAGUCAAACGUGGUGACACGCCAUGCAUAACACGUAAAAUGAUGUGACAUGACAUGCAUAAAAAGAAAAAUUCUAUCACACGCCAUGCAUAUCAACUAAAGUUCACACGCCAUGCAUAUCAAGUAAAGUGCUAUCACACGCCAUGCAUAUCAAGUAAAGUGUUGUCACACGCCAUGCAUAUCAAGUAAAGUGCUGUCACACGUCAAUAACUAACUAUAAUAAUAAUAGUGUCACAUGGUAAACAUCCAAAACCCCUUAAACCACUAUGACUUAACCCCAACAACCAUCAAACUAGCAAGAAAACACAGUCUAUACAUUUACAAAACAAAACAAAAACCCCGAACAUAUCAAACAAACCCAAGAAAAAACCAUAAAAUUAACGAACACAAGAAUAUUUUAAUUUGACACUCAUUGACCUCUUCAUUCAUGGACAACAUUGUUGCUAGUGCUGUGGUGUCGUUACGCUUGAAAAGAGCCUUCUCGAAUACUCCGGUACCGACGGGAAUGAUAAAUGAAUCACACAGACAUUACCAAUUCUUAAUAAUAACUAUUUAAAAUGAAAAAUGGCCUUCUAAUAUUCUUAUUUAUUCUGAAAAAGGGGAAUUAAUUUAGUGAAAGUCUAAACGAUUACCACGUUAACUGCCCACUUUUUUUUUCCUCUCUCUAUUUCAAACCGUGACGUGUCAACUGCUCAAGCAUUGCCGUGUCACACACUCUAAACCAUGACAAUGGCAUGUCAGCUUUACAAGCAAUGCCGUGUCACACACUAUAAACCACGACCAUGGCGUGUCACCAACUAUGAACUCUAGCAUGUCACAUCUUCCCUCCAUGGCGUGUCACCAACUUUUAACUUUGGUGUGACAUAGAUUCCCUCCACGGCAUACUAACUCUGAAGGCUGGCGUGUCACAGAUUCCCUCCAUGGCGUCUCACCAACUCUGAUCGCUAGCAUGUCCUAGAUUCCUUCCAUGGCAUGUCAUCAACUCUUAACUCUGGCGUGUCACAGAUUCCAUCCAUGGCAUCUUACCAACUCUGAAGGCUGGCAUGUCACAGAUUCCCACCAUGGCGUGUCACCAACUCUUAUCUCUAGCGUCUUACAGAUUCCCUCCAUGGUGUCUCACCAACUCUGAGCGGUGCCAUGUCACAGUCUUGUCACACAUCCCCAACAUGACAUUACACAAACUCUAAACCCUGCCUUGCUACAGCCGUCUAACAUAUAGCCUACUAUAACAAGACCAUUUCCUGCUUUGGAUUCACAUCUUUCUCCUUUCAAUUCACCACCGUAUCAAGGAUUUCUAGUUUCACAUCAUUAGCCAAGCUUUCCAUUCAUGACCACCGGUUCCUCGUUCGAUUUAAUAUCUCUCUUCUCCUAUUAUCUCAAUGCCAUGUCCCAAAUCUGUGAAAACCCAUCUCAUGCAACAUUAUUUUGUUUUGCACAACCUUCGAAAAAAAUUAAAUAAAUGGAUAUUUUGCACAACCAAUCUUUGCAUAUUUUUUUCUCCAGUUUUUCGCCUGUUUGAGAGUGCACGCUAACGAAGAUAGCUCAUUAAGGGUAUUUUUGUCCCAAAAUCUAUUCGGGUGGCUAAAAAUAGUUAAAAUUAUUUUGAGGGAUAUUUACAAAAAAACGUUAUCUUUAAGGGCUAAAAAAAAAUCCCCCUAAAAUCUAUCAUUUUCUCACAAUAUAUUUAUACAUGAAUUUCAGAAUAAUAAUUUGCAUGGUGAAUAAGCAAUAUAACCAUGAAUCCACUCUGCACAUAUGUAUAAGGCACAUUUUGAUGUAAAACAGUGUGAAGGGCUUGCUUCCUAAUUUUUAAAACACUUUACAUAUAAUUUAUACAUAUAUAUAUAUAUUCAAAACAAUUUCUAAACAUAAUUUGCAAUCACAAUUUCCUAAGAUUGCUACCAGAACAUGCUAUCCACAAUUUUCACGUUUAAAACAAAUCAUACAUAUAGGUAUAUAUUUAUGGAAAGUUUAAAAUUGACACCUUCUACUCACCUCAUAAUAGCGGGAUGUUACGUCGUUAUUAAUUCAAAGACCUAUCGAGCUACUCCUUCUUAACUAUUGUUCGUUAUUUCUUUCAGCCUUUCACCAUAGUGCACCACUUAUUUAUUUCUCCAAAAUAUUGAAACUCACUUAAUUGAUAUAUCUAUAUAUAUUAUUUUAUUAUAACAUCAUUAUUAUAUAUAUAUUUUUUCUUUUUUUUUCUUCUCUUUCCCCCCGGUCAACAGUACCUUGCUUGUCUUUCUUUUUCCUUUCUUACAUGCACAAGCUGUCCACAAUUUCCUCCUCUUUCUCCCUUUCACCGUCGGUAACAACUUCUUACUUCUUUCAACCAAAACUUUUCAGCAGCCAAAGCUGCUCAUAUCAACAUCAAAAUCAGAAGCUAAGCUGCUCUAUUUUUCCUCAAAAAUCAGCAGCUAAGCUGCUCUAUUCUCCCUCCAAAAAUCAGCAGCCAAGCUGCUCUUUCCUCCCUCAAAACUCGGCAGCCAAAGCUUCAAAGAUCAGCAGCCAAAACUGCACCUUUCAGCCUUCAAAAUCAGUAGCAAAAAUUACACCUUACAGCCUUCAAAAUCAGCAGCUAAAGCUGCUCCUCUCACCCUUAAAUUGAUAGAAAAAUAGCUAUCCUUUCCUCCCUAAAUGGCAACAAAACCGCCCCCUCAACUCAACUCAUUCUCCUCUCCUUUUCUUUCUCACCGCUCGGCUUUCUCUUCUUUUCUUUUUGCUCUUUUUGCUCUCAUUUUGCUCUCUUAUGCCCGACGCCUUCUUCUUGUUUCUUUUUCUUCUCUUCCACUAACUGACUUCUUUCUUUCUUCUUCUUUACUUUAUUUAUUUACUUAUAUAUAUAUAUUUCCAUUUGUUUUCCAAUUUGGACGGCCCCCCCAUCUUUCUUUCCAUCAUAUAAAAAUGUUUGUUGACCCUUUUAUUGACCACAUGGGCAGUUGCCCAUGUUGGUCUUCCUUUUUUUUUUUAUACUUGUAUUAUUUUAUUUCUUCCAUUUAAUUCGACUAUAUAAUCCUUCACCCUUUAUAUUUUAAAAUUCGAUCCUUUCGAUACGUCUAAAAAUUUCAAUUUUCAUCUAUCUUCCUUCCUUUGUACGUGUACCACCAAAAUAUCAAAAUUGCACUUCAAUGCUGUAUUACCAUAAUAUUUAAAUAUUUACUUAUUUGCGUUGGCUUGACUUAGCAAAACACGCGUAUUUCACUUUUGUCGCUCAUCUCCAAAAAUUUAUUUGUAUUCCUUCUCCACCACUUGGAUUAACCAUAUGAUCCUUCUUCAUGACUGAUUUCGACAUCCGGUUAAAUAUUAAUAUUUAAUAUUAUUUUAAUAAUAAAAUAUUAUUUUAUUUCAAAAUUUUCUCGUCUCCUUGGUACCCAAAAUACCUUAUUACGCCUCAAUUGACUUCCGAAUCACCUUUUAUCUCACAAAUUCUCCUCUGAUAAAAUAUUAUUAUUUUAUUGUUAUUUCUUCACGUGCGGAUCAUUUUAUCCUAAACUAUUCCUUUCAUCUUUCAUCAUUUUUAAACAUUAUAAUUGGCCUCAAUUUGCAUCCAAUAAGCUUUAUUAGUCACCAUAUCAAAGUAUGGGGUAUUACAUAUGCGCACUCCUACUCGCACAUAGCCAGGUCAGCAUCGGCUUAUGCACACUCCCACUCACACAUAGUCGAGUCAGCAUCAGCUUAUGCACACUUCUACUCGCACAUAGCUGGGUCAAUAUCAUUACACAACAUUAUUCGUAUACAUAUAUAUAUAUAUAUAUAUAUCAACACAGUAUAGGAACACAUAGGUCUGUCCUUUUUACACAUUUCACAUUUUCACAACAUCAACAUAUUUUAUCAAGGGCUUGUUCCCAAGGCACACGUUUUUAAGAAAAGUUGGAUAAAAUCAAUCAAUGUUUUGUGCAAAUAGAUUCACAUUCCCAAAACGGUUUUGAGAUGCAAAUUCACUCACUGAUAUUUUGUUGAGCCUUUAGCUGACUCUAACUCCCCUAAUGGUCCAAUUGAGGUUGUGGGACUUUGUUGGGACCUAUCAUGCACAACAACAUCACCAUUACCCUAACUUGGCAUUAAUACUAUUCCAAAACUAUUUUCUAAAUUGGGUUAUACUAGUCAUUUUUAAUUAGUUUCCAACUACCAUUAAAUGGCUAUUGUUUGCAAUACUCUAAUCACACUUAAAUGAAUAACAAUCCCAACAAAUAAACUCUCACAAAUCUAAUUACUAGAUAUUCUCAACACUUUAAACUCAACUCCAAUUUACUACUCACCUUGAUAGCUUUGUGCUUGAAAUUUUUUUCAAAAACUUUCAAGCUAUUAUUGAAGCUUCCUCUUUCUCUCUCUAAAACACUUAACUAGAGAGAGAGUAUGAAAAUCAAAUUUUUUUCAAGGGUUUUAAAGAGAGAGAGUGAAAGAGCAAAAGGGUUUAUGAAAGGGUGCACCAAAAGCAUGAAAAGUGGAGCUAUUUUAAGGGAGGUUAUGGAGGUUCAUAUCAAGCUUCCAUGGAGGUUGGAAGCAACGUGAAAGAGAAGAAGAAGCUGCUAAAAAAUGGGAGAAGAAGCUGCUGGAAGAAAGAGAUAUUUAUAGCCCAAGCUUAUCCCCUCCACUUAAAUUACCAAAAUGCCCUCACAAGUCAACUUGUUCUCCUCCAAUCCUUUAUGCAAUCUUUUUGCUCCUUUGACAUUGGUACAAAGUCCAUAAUGGUCUAGAAAUGCUCGGGUUCAUGAAAACUUAAAAAUUUUUACCCGAGAUGAAAAAUGACCAUUUUGCCCCUAUCGUGGAAAUCAUCAUCAUUUUUAUUUCCUUUGUCAUUUUACCAAUAUUUUCAUCAUUCAUUUAUGCCUUAGGCCUACUUAGGCCUUAAUGUUGUUUAAAACUUACUUUUAAGGGCUUACUAAAGAAAUGACGAAACUACCCUUAGCCCGUUUUAUUACGUCUAUGCCUAGUUACGAGCUUAUAGAGGUCGAAGUCUCACAGUAACCCUCGAUACAAUAGUUGCAUUUUAUUCAAUUAAGUCUUAAUGAACUUAAUUAAUUUCUCACUUUAUUUUGGUCUAUUCUAAUUAAGUCCAACUUAAUUGAUUAUCCUUAUUUAAUCUCAAUCAUGUCACUUAAUGUGUGUGACCUAUUAGGCUUCUAACAUGUUGGCAAUAAAUAUAAAUCCUAAUCAAAUAUCAGUUUGAUAAUUGAUUUAUAUUUAUAAAUCAUGAGCAACAUUUAGCAAUACAUCAUAACCACCCAAAUGUUAGAGAGUUAAUUAAAGAAUUUGACAAAACACUUUAGUGAUAAGCCUCUAAGUGAAAUACGAUCCUUUCAUCAAAUAUCCCGGAUGCGUCAAAAAGCAUGGCUCAAUGUCUACUUAUGACAUUCCAUAUUAGUUCUCAUAAUUCAUGAUUAACCUUAUGAAUUUAGGAAACUAACUUUCCUCAAAUUCAUCAUGCUUUGGCUGAAGACUUUAUACAAGUUAAUCAAGAAUCAAGAAUAAGUGAGAUACAUCCUUUCAUAUCACUUGGGGUGAUGAAUCCUUUCUUGACCACUCAUUCACCUUUAGAUGCUUCAUGACAUACCCAAAAACACCAUAUUUAGGCAUCUGGUCUCCUCUAGACCCGUAGAGGUGAAAUCAAAGUAUGUCAUUCCCCAUGUAAGAUAACUUGGUGUCUCAAGUCUGAAGACUAGUUGCACAACUAUCACAUGAGAACAUAAUCCAUAGACAAUUUAGUGAAAAACUAAAUGGAGUUCUCAUAACAGGUUAUGUUUAGUGAACUUGUUCUUUAACAAGCAUUUAUAUGUUAUUGUCAAGUAUCUCCUAUACUUCAAUUUAUAAGAUCGAUUGCUUACUUUUCAAGUAAGGAGGCUUAACAUGUACUAGUCUUUGAGCAUUGUCAAUGCCUUAUCUUGACAAUACAAUGACCAAGAAUAAUUUUAGGAAUAUGGCUUUGAUGCAUAGUGAUCUCAUAAUUAUAACAACUUUGCAGUUCUCUUGCAAGGGCUUUAUGUUACAUGGGCUUCAUCCAAUUAAUACUUAAUAACUCCCUAUUAUUGCACUAACAUGAAGGAAAACCUUUUGUGAGACCACAACCUUUAUAGGCUUAUAACUAAGUAUAGAUGUAAUAAUACGAGCUAGGGGCAGUUUCGUCAUUUUCCUUAAUAAGCUCCCAAAAGAAAGUUUUAUGAUAUUUUAAGGUCUAAAUAGCCAUAAGACUGCAUAUAUGUCGUGUAAAGAUGAAAGCACGAAGAAAACUUUUAAAAGUUUUGCAAACCCGAACAUGUCUAGACCAUUUGGAUGUAAUGGUGAUGUUAAUGUAAUGGUAGGUUCCAACGAAGUUCCAUCAUUCCGUUUGCACAAUUAGAGAAAUUAGAGUCGGUUAAAGGCUCAACAAAAUACCGGUGAGUGAACUACAUUCAAAACUUGUUUUGGGGAUAUAAUGUAUUUGCUAAACAUUUGAAUGAAUUAUCAAGCUUUUCAUAAAAACAAGUGCCUUGGGAACAAGCUUUUGAUAGAUUGUCUCCAUGUUGUGACAUGUGACUAUUAUUGAUUCAUGCACUGCCACAUUGUGUUGAUAUAUAUAUAUAUAUAUGCGUGUGUGUGUGUGUGUGAAUACAUUGUUGUGUAAUGAUAUUGAUUCGGCUAUGUGUGAGUAGGGAGUGCGCAUAAGCCGAUGAUGACCCAGUUAUGUGCGAGUAGGGAGUGCGCAUAACCCGGUGAUGACCUAGCCAUGUGCGAGUAGGGAGUGCGCAUGAGUUGGGAAUGAUGGGAUGGAGUGCAUGAUGAUGAUAGGUAUAUGUAUAUGUAUACAUACGUAAACAUGUGUGUUAUAAGAAAUUUAUGAGUUAUGUAUAUGGUUGUAUUGUAUGUGAAAUUCGGUAUGUUAAACUUUGGGACGUUUUUAUGUAUUUCUUAUUGGUUUUGAACAUUUCAGCAGGGUGGUUUUCUUUGGGAGAAAGGGAAAUUUUUCAUUGGUGCCUUGUAUCUCGCUGCAGCGAGAAACUCUCGGGUUUGAGAGCUUUCACCAGAACUGGUUCUCCCUGCAGCGAGAAAUCUUCUGUCCAUUUUGCUAUCUCGUGGGGUUUUGCCAUAUUUUUCCAUUUCAUUUAUACCCUAGUGGAACAUGGACUUCCAACAUGUUUGGGAUUAUCUAACUAAGUUUGAAAUGAGGAAAUUUUGAGAGAAACCCUCAGUCUGUUGAGAAACCCUCGUUCGACUAAUAACUUAAAUCCCAACAUCCCUGCAGCGAAAUUUCAUUCUCGCUACAGCCACGCUGCAACAAGAAUGCCUUCCCGUUGUAGCGAAGAUUCGUUGUCACAUUUGAAUUGUUGGUGUAUCACUGAAGCCUUCAUUUUUCAAAUUAUUGGUUAUGUAUGGGUUCCUCAAUACCGAGUGAUUAAUCAUAUAAGGGUUUAAUGAGGGGUUUUUAAUAGGAAUGAAAUUAAGUUGCAUUGUUUUAAAACAAGUGCAUCAUGAUUUUAAAUUAUUCCUUAUGGUAUGCUUGUUCCCCUCCUUGUUCACUCACUAGGUUUAUACUCACUGUUUUCAACUUCAUGUUUUCAUAUCACGAGGCAGCCGGUAACUAGGACGAGGUGUCCUUGUAGACUUGUGUCCAUCUUUUGGUAGUGUCUCAGCAUUCAGUAGCUGUACAUUCAUCUGAGUCUCUCCACUGGAAGUCGAGUAUUAUUUUGUUGUGUAUAGACGAACCUAAUGUAAAUUGUUAAGAUACAUGUUGUAGACAAUGUAUAUACACUUGUUUUGUAUGCCAAUAUGAGAUGGCAAUGUGUAGUAUUAUUUUGAUUCUAAGUGAUGAAAUGUGACUUAGCAGUUUAUGAGGGAAUGAUGAACAUGACAGAUUAAUAGGCUUGCUUGGGCUUAGUGGACUAUGUCCAUUGGGCCCAUGCACCGGGCAUGGCCCGAAAUUUGGGUCGUGACACCUUUAUCAUAUAUAGUUAGGCAAUUAAGUGUGCAUUAAAUGACAAUAUUUAUAUUCCUUGACCAAUCCAAUUGGUUCAAGAGCAUAUACCAAUAAUCUCCCACUUGCAUUUGAGUCAAUUGCUAGCGUAUCCAAUAUCAAACUCUUUCGCUUAGCGACUGUGUCUCUACUAGGACAAUUCAAAUUGCAAUAUUUGGGAAUAUGUUAAUUUAUAUGUUUGACAAUCUCCAUUGUCAUAAUCAAAAUAUUAAUUUAAUCACAACGAGACAUAUAUUCCAUUAUUAUGGCUUUUGUUGUUACUUUAACAACUUGGAAUCAUUUAUUAGUUUAUUAAUCCAAUGAUCCAAAAAUCUCUCCUUUCUUAGCCUAAACAAAAGGUUUGUAUCCGAUUAUAGAUAUAAUCAUGCAAUUAUCUCUUGUUUUGGAGCCAUCCCAAUACAACUGCUCAAUCAUGACUUUAUGUCACUUUUAGCAUUUAAGAUUGUCUCUAUGUUACACUCUUUUAACAUGUUAUCCUAAAUUUCUUUUAUUGAGUCCCAUGUUAGGAUGUAACUCUUUAGUCUUAAUUUGUUUUUCUUAGACUGGCAAAUGUAUCUUAUACACUUUUAAUGAGUAACUUAUCUUACUCCCAUUAACCUUAUGAUUUGCACAAAAUAUGUUUAUUUUAUUCAAUAUAUUCAAUUACUUUGAAUUUAUUACAUUGAAUAAAGAUUAUUAUCCAAUCAUUCAUGUUGGAUUAUUUAAUAAACUCUUCUUAUGAGAGUAGUACAUCAAUAUGCAUCCUACUAAUGGUUUGCAUUUAAUGGACGAAUUAGGCAUAUUUAUGCAUCCCAUUAAAUCAAUCUUUGUGCAUAGAUCUUAUCUAUUUGAUUUCAUAAUUUCAUGACCCUUGACCUUUAAAGUGUCAUUAGCUCCCACUAUUUCUAUCAUGUAUAGAAAUCUUACCAAGUAAACUUAUUUACUUUCCUUUGGGGCGUUAUAUCCUUAACUUUUAUGUAUACGUACAUAUCAUACGUCGUUCAGCAUGAAUGAAAUCCUCUCAAAGGUUACUUCAUGGGAUUAACUGGGUUAGUUCACAUAAUCAAUUAUUAUUUAGUUUUCAGCAUUCUUAAUUUAGAUAUUUUAUUUCAAUAAGAAUGUUCCUUAGCUAAAUGUGUUCAUUAUCAUAUUAUGAAUUCGUUGAGUUAGGACUUAAUUUUAUCUAAGUCAUCUCAUUAAUUUUUCUUUCUGAUUCAUAAUCAAAAGAAAAGUAAUCUCACAAUGAUCUUAUGACUUAGUAUUGAUUAUAAUAUAACCUAAAAAAAUGUGAUAUAUUUAUGAGCUAGGGUGUAAAAAUACAUUUUUACCCCUUUUAUUUUUUCUAAAAUCAACAAAAUGUAUCGAUACAUUGACCCAUGUAUCAAUACAUUUAGUUUUGAAAAAAAUGUAUCGAUACAUUAUGAACAUGUAUCGAUACAUGUUCAUCAAGAACACUUUUUGGGCUAAAUGUAUCGAUACAUAAUGAAUAUGUAUCAAUACAUUUGAGAUAGAAUGCAGUUUCUGAGACAGAUUGCCUAUAAAACCUGCUUAGCUUAUUUACAUUAAAUACCAUUAAAGUAAAUAUCCUUUUUACUUUUUGCUCUCCAUUUACUUAAGAUAUUUUAUAUAAAUAAGCCUAAACCCCCCAUUUGGAUUUGAUUAAAAUAUAAAAAAAAUCAAAAUCCAAAAGAAUCAAAAUCUAAAUUUUGGUUUCAAGAAUAAAAUUGAAAAAGUUCGAUUGAAAUUAAAUUUACGGCUCCCAUUUACCAUAGCAAAUAUACACCAAAAAUUAUGGAAGAAUAAUUUUUGGUCAUAUAAAAAUCAAGAGAAUCAUUAUCAUCAUUUUUAUUUUCAAAAGAUAAUUCUAUAAAAAUAACAUAUUUUGACCCCUCCUAAACAUAAAAGAUUUUCCUACAUCAAAAAUGACAGACAAUUAAAGGUGUUAAUGAAUUCUUUUGAAGGGUACGUCAUGACCCAAAUUCUGGGCCAUGACCGACACAUGGGCCUAGUGGACGUAGCCCACUAAGCCGAAGCAAGCCUCUUUACGUAAUCCCGUUCAUCAUCCCUUCAAUUUUUUAAUCACCAUUACUAGACCAACAUUUGUAAUUUGCAACUAGACGUAUUUUCAUAAUACAACAUCGAUACCAAAAAUUUACAUUUGUAUGAUCUCAAAAUAAGGUUAUUCAUAGCCAUCUUAUAAUGGCACCAUUAUUCCAAACUAUACAUGCAUCGUUGGCAAGUGGUUCCUAACAAUUUACAUUUAACGUACAUGUAUUCAUAUAAAAGACUUCUGAUGACCAGCGGAGUGACUUUUGUGAGGGUACUACUAUCGAAUGCCAUGAUACCUACCAGGAGUGAAUGCAAGUGAUGCCUUAGUCUCGGUCCCAACUAUCUAUGGAUCUAAAAACAUGCAAUUUAAAAGAGUGAGUAUAAACUUAGUGAGUGAACAUAAGAAGGGAACAAGCAACAAAAAGGAAUGUUUUAGAAAACAUGAUGCACUUACGAUAAAACCAUGCAAUUUAAUCAAAUUUUUGGUUAAAACCCCUUAUUCCAAACUUUGAAUGUUUAAUCCCUUAAUGUUACAAGAUCCACGAUAAACAAUGAAGUUGAAUAGAAUGAAAAUUUCAGCAAUGACCAAGCAAGACAAGCAACAGAGGGAUUAAACAUUCUAUUUAGUUAACCCUCCCAACCCGAGUGUUUCUCACUGUAGCGAAAAUGAAUAUCGCUGCAGCGAGAAACAGAGAAAUUUAGUUAAAAGGGGUCUUGUUAUAUCAAAAGCUAUUUUUUUGUUGAAAUGAAAAGCAAUUCAGGAGCAAUUAACAAUGCCAACAUACAACACAAUCACAAUUAUUUUCAUAAACUUUCUAUAACAUAUAUGUAUUUGGAUAUACAUACAUCUUCAUGCAUACCAUCCCUCUACACUCAACUCAUGUGCACUCCUUACAUGCACAAGGCAAUAUCAUCAUCAUGUGCACUCCCUACUCGCACAAGGUAAUAUCAUCAUCAUGUGCACUCCCUACUCACACAUUUCAAUAUCAUCACACGCACUCCUGCCCACAUCAUUACCGGCGUGUGCUCUCCCACACCACACACACAUGGUCAUACUUAUUACACAAUAUUAUCUAUUAAGGCACAUCACAUAUGUAUGUAUACCAAUGAAAUAAAGGAGUACGUGGACUCAUCAUAGUCACAUUUCACAAUGAAAUACGUUUCAUUAGAAGCUUGUUCCCAUAUACAUUUUAAAGAAAAAGACAAUUAAAACCUUUCAAGUAAUUCACUCAAACAUUUACACCUUUACCCCAAAUCAUUUUAAUACAAGUUCAUUCACUGGUAUUUGUUAAAUCUUUACACAACUCCAAUUUCCUCUAACGGUCCAAAUGGGACAGUGGGGCUUAGUUGGAACCUAUCAUCACAUUAGCAUCACAAUUAACUCAAUUCACAUAACCAUAAUUCUAAAAGCUAUCUCCUAAAUCAUGUUCUACUAGUUAUCCCUAACUAGCUUCCAAUUGCCAUUAAGUGGCUAUUUACUUUCACUAUUCUAAUCACACUAAAGAUAAAUAAAUAUCCUCAACUACAAAACAUUCAUAAAUCUAUCCACCAGCCAUUUUCAACAGCUUAAAAAAAUCAACUUUAAUUCACUAUUCACCUUGGUAGCUUUGUAAUUGAAUUUCUUUCCAAAAAUUUUCAAGCUAUUAUAGAAGCUCCCUCUUUCUCUCUUUAAAACACCUAACUAGUGAGAGGAAGUAUGGAAGUAAGACUUUUCAAGGGUUUGAAAGUGAAAUAGUGAAAGAGCACAAAAGGUUCUAUGAAAAGGUGCAUAAAAGCAUGAAAAUUGGAGCUAACUUGAGAGAAGUUAUGGAGGUUUCAAAACAAGCUUCCAUGGAGGAUGAAAGAAACGUGAGACGGAAGGAAGAAGAAGAAGAAGUUGUUGGAAAAAUGAGAAGAAGCUGCUAGAAUAUGAUAUUUAUAGCUAAAGCUUAUCCAACUCCACUUAAAUUAUGAAAAUACCCUUGACAAGUUGGCUUUGUCUUCCUCCAAUCCUUUGUGCAAUCUUUUACUCUUUUGGCACUGAGACAAAGUCCAUAAUCGUCUAGAAUACUCGGGUUCAUGAAAACUUAAAUUUUUGACCCAAGGUGAAAAAUAACCAUUUUGCCCUUACCUUGAAAAUCAUCAUUAUUUAUAUUUCUUUUGUCAUUUUAUCCUUAUUGUUAUCAUUCAUUUAUGCCUUAGGCCUACUUAGGCCUUAAUAUUGUUUGAAAGCAUACUUCUAGGGGCUCACUAAAGAAUUGACGAAACUACCCCUAGUCCGUGAUAUCGCGUUUACUUCUAGCUACAAGUCUAUAAAGAUCAAGGUCUCACACUCUCUCCCACUAAAACAAAUUGGGUCCUCGAAUUUAAAUUUAACUAUAAGGUAGCAUACCUCUAAGCAUUAAAGAGGUGUGGAUAUUUUGUCUGCAUCUCCUCCUCGGCUUCCCACGUUACCUCUGCACUCGUGUGGUUUCGCCAUAACACUUUCACUAAGGAUACAUAUUUUGAACGGAGCUUUUUGACUUGCCUAUCAAGGAUAGCUAUCGGUUGCUCUUUAUAGGUCAAAUCAUCUUUUAGUGGGAUGGUUUCAUACCGUAUUACAUGAGAUGGGUCUAAGUUAUACUUCCUAAGCAUUGACACAUGAAAUAUGGGGUGGAUAUUCGAAAGGUCCGGUGGUAGCGCCAAACGAUAUGCCGCUGCUCCAAUCCUUUCUAAAAUCUCGAAGGGUUCUAUAUAUCGAGGGCUUAAUUUUCCCUUCUUGCCAAACCUCAUUAACCCUUUUAUUUGUGAAACCUUCAAAAAUACAUAGUCCCCCACUUGAAAUUCCAAGUCUCUCAGUCUAUUAUCAGCAUAUGACUUUUGUCUAGUUUGUUCUGAUAACAUCCUUUGACGAAUCAUGCAUAUUUUGUCGAUGGCAUCCUGUACCAAUUCUGACCCCAAGAGUUUCCUUUCUCCCACCUCUAGCCAUCCAAUAAGUGUCCUGCACCUCCGUCCAUAUAAUGCUACAAAUGUCGCCAUCUGGGUGCUAGCUUGGAAACUAUUGUUGUAAGUAAACUCCACUAAGGGUAGAUACUGAUCCCAUUUGACCUCAAGGUCUAUUACACAUGCCCUUAGCAUGUCUUCCAAUGUCUGUAUUGUUCGUUCAUACUGUCCAUCAGUUUGGGGGUGGAAAGCUGUUUUAAAAUCCAACUUAGUGCCUAACGCUUCUUGUAACUUUUCCUAAAACCUACUAGUGAACUGUGCUCCUCUGUCAGAUACUAUAGUAAUGGGGAUACCAUCCAGUCAUACUUUCUCGUCCACAUAAACUCGAGCAUAUUGGGCAGCCCCAUAAGUAGUUUUAACCGAAAAAAAUGAGAUGACUUCGUCAAUAAGCUUGCUAUAAUCCAAAUCGAGUCGUAGCCCCCACUAGUUCGUGGCAAGCCUGUUACAAAGUCCAUUACAAUAUGCUCCCACUUCCAUUCGGGCACUAGUAAUGGCUAUAGUAACCUUACGGGCCUUUGGUGCUUUGCCUUAACUUGCUGACAAACUAGGCACUUAGAAACAAACUCAGCUACAUAUUUCUUGAGUCUUUCCCACCAGCACACCUCCCUCAAGUCUUGAUACACCUUUGUAGCUCCAGGAUGUAUCAUGUAGGCUGCCAUAUGUGCCUCUUCCAAUAUUUCUCUCCUCAAUCCAUCAUUAUCAGGCACAUAAAGUCUGGUUCAAUUCUCAAUACUCCAUCCGUGCCUUAGUAAAUAUCUUUCCUUUCCUUCCUUGAGGGUCUUCUAAGGCCUUAGCUACGAACUCAUCUUGACUUUGUGCUUCUUUAAUCUGGUCCAUUAAGAUAGGCCUCACUCUAAAAUGUGCUAGCAAUGCAUUUACCUCCAAAACUUCCAAAUGCAUAUCCAUGUCUCCCAAGCUAUGCAUCUCCCUAAUCAAGGAUUUUUUGUCUGUAGAGAUAUGUGCCAGACUCCCCAUCAAUUUUCGACUCAAGGCAUCCGCCACCACAUUUACCUUACCGGGAUGGUAAAGAAUAGUACAAUCAUAAUCUUUUAGCAACUCCAUUCACCUACGUUGCUGCAAGUUAAGAUCCCUCCGCUGACAUAUAUACUUUAAGCUUUUGUGGUCCAUAUAUAUCUCGCAAGUCUCACCAUACAAGUAAUGUCUCCAAAUCUUUAAGGCAAACACGAUUGCUGCCAUCUCCAAAUCGUGUGUGGGGUAAUUUUGCUCAUGCCUUUUAAGUUGCCUUGAUGCAUAUGCAAUCACCUUCCCAUGCUGCAUUAAUACACAUCCUAAACCAACCCGCCAUGCAUCACAAAAUACCAUAUAACCUUUUGUGCCUUGUGGUAGGCUUAAUACUAGAGUUGUGGUGAGACAUGCCUUAAGCUUCUCAAAGUUAUCCUCACAAGCAUCUGACCACUCAAAUUUUGUAUCUUUACGGGUCAGCUUAGUCAAAGGGGUGACUAUUUUGGAGAAGUCUUUCACAAAACAACGAUAAUAGCCAGCCAAACCCAAAAAGCUUCUAAUCUCCAUAACUGAUGUUGUCCUUGGCCAUUUUUCCACUGCCUUUACUUUCUUUGGAUCAACUUGUACCCCAUCCUUGGAUACCACAUGUCCCAAGCAUGUAAUGCUUUUAAGCCUGAACUCACACUUGGAGAACUUGGCAUACAAUCAAUGUUCUCUCAAAGUUUAGAGCACUAUCUUAAGAUGCUGCUUGUGCUCUUCUCGGCUCUUCGAGUUGAUCAAGAUGUCAUCAAUAAACACCACCACGAACUUGUCCAAAUAGGGCUUGAACACUUGGUUUAUCAAAUCCAUAAAGGCUGUAGGGGCAUUCGUAAGCCCAAAUGACAUCACCAAGAACUCAUAGUGCCCAUAUCUUGUUCGAAAUGCGGUCUUUGGUAUAUCUUCAUUCCGGAUCCUCAACUGAUGGUACCCAGAUUGUAGAUCUAUCUUAGAGAAACAUUGUGCUCCUUGUAGUUGAUCAAAUAAAUCAUCUAUUCUUGGAAGGGGGUACUUAUUCUUCACCGUUACCUUAUUAAGUUGUUGGUAGUCAAUGCACAAUCUAAACGACCCGUCUUUCUUCUUUAUAAAUAGCACUGGUGCUCUUUGUGGUGAGACGUUACGACGGAUGAAGCCUUUAUCCAACAAAUCUUCCAACUGAUCCUUAAGCUCUUUAAGCUCUGUAAGUGCCAUUCUAUAUGGGGGUAUGGAUAUAGGUUUAGUGUCGGGAAUCAAAUCUAUGCAAAAUUCAAACUCUCGCUCUAGAGGCAAACCUAGUAGUUCCUUGGGAAAUACAUCCAUGAACUCAUUCACUACCGACACUUGGCUUAUGUCUCCAACCUUCGCUUGGGUAUCCCUCACAACAGCCAAGUAGCCCUGACAAACUUGUCUUAAUAGCCUUCUAGUAGACAUAAUAGAUAUCAAAUCGGUUGGAGCAUUGUUCCUAUCCCCCUUAAUACUAAAGGAUGGUUCACUGGGAAAAUCAAAUCUAACCAAUUUAUGAUAACAGUCCACGCUAGCAUGGCAAGGCGAUAACCAAUCCAUUCCCAAGAUCACGUCAAAAUCUAAGGUGUCUAAUACAACUAGAUUUACCAAGGUUUCUUUAUCCUUGACCCAAACUACACAGGACUUAUAUUCCCAUUCUGCCACAAAUACCUCUUUUAAAGGGGUAGACACCACUAAUUGUUCUUCUUUUGUAACACGAUCUUUACCCAAACGAGAUGCAAAACAUGGAGAAAUAAAAGAGUGGGUAGCACCAAGAUCAAACAAUACCCGAGCAUUCAUAUUACAAACUGAGAGAAUACUUGAUACCACUGCGUUGGAUGUCUGGGCUUCUUGUAGUGUUAAAACAAAUACCCUGGCAUGACCCCUACCACCAGAACUUUAUCGUUCAGAGCCAGAUAGCCUGCCCUGAGAGGAAGUAAUGGCUCCUCUACCUCUCAAUCCGCUAGCCUCCUAAUUAGAUGAAAUGGCUACUGAAGGAGCAGAUGAAGCUGGCUGAGUGGAACCACGAGCAAAACCUUGCGAUUGAUGAGCUAUCAGGCAAUUCUUCCUAAUAUGUCUAGCUUGGUCACACAAGAAACAAACUCUUGUAGCAAGACAACAUCGUCCUUUAUGCCGUACUCGGCAAAAAUUGCAACGAUCUAUAGCUUGACUACCCUACCUUGAAUCUUGCUACCUUCCCUCACUAAAAGUUUUAGGCCAUGAUCCAACGUUGGCACUAGUCAAGUCACUCCCUUGUUUGGGUAAUUGUGAGUCCUUCUAUGGGCCUUGAUGACUAAAAGAUGAAACACCACUACUGAAGUCUCUGCGACCUUGAUAGCCCUCUGUCUUGGCGCUUUUUGCUCUAUCCCUUGCAGCCCUACUCUCAUUGGUCCUUAUCUCAAUCCGCUGAGCACAAUCCACUACUUCGGAGUAGGUAUUGAAAUCUCGAGAUGCCACGACCCUAAACAAUGGCUCCACUACCCCAUCCAUAAACCUCUGAAUCUUUAUUUCUUCAGUAGAAAUUAGAUAGGGCACAAAUCAAGCCAGCUGCAUGAAUUUGAUGUCGUAUUAUAACACCGUCAUACUUGAGGUCUGUACUAAUGCCUCAAACUCCCUAGCUCGUGCAUUACGUACACUAAGUGGUAAGAAUCGAUCUAAGAAGGCUAUACUAAACUCCUUCCAAGUCAAUGGCGUUGCAUUUGUGAGCCUACCUGUACGUAAGGAGCCAUACCACUCUUGCGCCACGUUCUCUAAUAGGAAGGCGGCUAGCUCGACUGAUCUAGUACUAAAGCAUCCCAAGGCCUCACAAAUUUUCUCCAUCUUAUUUAAGAAAAUCUGGGGCUUCUCUGAUGCAUCAGACCCUGAAAAUGAUGGAGGCUUAAGCUUCAGGAAAUCAAGAAGGGAAAUCUCUAAAUGACCCCUCUCAACCUCAAGAUGUUGGUGAUCGACCUGCUUUUGGGAACUAGGGGAUUCUUGUACUACAAUUCUCCCCUCCACUAUCCUCUGUAUAUCAUCCAUAUGGGUUGCCAUCAUCUCUACAAUCUGAUUAACUCCCUGUAGGCCUCCCACCAAAACCUCGAUGGCGAUGCCCCCAGUUGGUUGUCUACCUGCAUUGUCCGAAGACUGUCCCUCCUUUCAUCUACUCAUAGGCAUAUUUACCCUCACCGGCCUAUUAGCCUUGCCACUUCUACCUCGCCCCCUAAGGGUGGAUGCCCGUGGCCUAUCUGUCAUCUCAGUAAGAGCAUCUUGCUCCCUCAUCCGUCUUGAGGCGGCUCGUGUCUUAGGUGGCAUUCUUACCUAGACAAGAGCAAACACUUGUUAUUAAACACAUUUUGCAAUUAUAAUCGUAUCUAACGAAAAAGGUGCUUUCCAAGAUACGAAAUCUAUGCAGUCCCUUGGUUGUAAAAUGUGUCACGAUUCACACUUCACAACUGAAGUUUCCACAUAAAGACUCGACACUCCGCUGGACCAACAAAAAGAAGUCUUAAAACCUAAGCAAUCUAUGGCUCUAAUACUAAGUCUUUCACGACCCAAAUUUUGGGCCAUGACCCUUGCAUGGGCAUAGUGGACAUAGCCCACUAAGCCCAAGCAAGCCUCUUUACGUAAUCCCGUUAAUCAUCCCUUCCAUUUUUUCAUCAUCAUUACUAGACCAACAUUUGUAAUUUGCAACUAGACGUAUUUUCAUAAUACAACAUCGAUACCAAAAAUGUAUAUUUGUAUGAUCUCAAAAUAAGGUUAUUCAUAGCCAUCUCAUAAUGGCACCAUCAUUCCAAACUAUACAUGCAUCGUUGGCAAGUGAUUGCUAGCAAUUUACAUUUAACGUUCAUGUACUCAUAUAAAAGACUUCUGACAACCAACGAAGUGACUUUAGUGAAGGUACUGCUAUCGAAUGCCAUGAUACCUACCAAGAGUGAAUGCAAGUGGAUGCCUUAGUUUCAGUCCCAACUAUCUACAGAUCUGAAAACAUUCAAUUUAAAAGAGUGAGUAUAAACUCAGUGAGUGAACAUAAAAAGGGAACGAGCAACGAUAAGAAAUGUUUUAGAAAACAUGAUGCACUUACAAUAAAACCAUGCAAUUUAGUCAAAUUUUUGGUUAAAAGCCCUCAUUCCAAACUUUGAAUGUUUAAUCCCUUAAUGUUACAAGAUCCAUGAUAAACCAUGAAGUUGAAUAGAAUGAAAAUUUCAGCAAUGACCAAGCAAGACAAGCAAUAGAGGUUUUUCUCGCUGCAGCAAAGAGGUAGUCUUAGUUUGCAUAUACUUUGAUUUUUCAAGCAUAACUCCCACUACAGAAGUUCAAUUGAUACUAUUUUUUGGUCAUUAGAAAUCUAAGAGGCUGGGCUACAACUUUGAUGUUUACCACUGUGCCCAUUUCUGAUUGGAAGGUGGUUAAAAUCUUUGUCAAAGUGACAGCACUGCAACAGAAUCUUAGAACCACCAAAGAGUUUCUCGUUAUAGCGAGAACCAGGCCAUUGUAAUCCCCGCCAACCCGAGAGUUUCUCACUGUAGUGAAAAUGAAUCUCGCUACAGCGAGAAACAAAGGAAUUUAGUUAAAAGCCAUUUUCUUGUUGAAAUGAAAAGUAAUUUGAGAGCAAUUAACAAUGCUAAUAUACAACACAAUCAGAAUUAUUUUCAUAAACUUUCUAUAACAUAUAUGUAUAUUUGUAUAUACAUAUAUCUUCAUGCAUACCAUCCUGCCACACACAGCUCAUAUGCACUCCCUACACGCAUAAGGCAAUAUCAUCAUCAUGUGCACUCCCUACAUGCACAAGGCAAUAUCAUCAUCAUGUGCACUCCCUACUCGCACAAGGCAAUAUCAUUAUCAUGUGCACUUCCUACUUGCACAUUUCACUAUCAUCACAUGCACUCCUACCACAUCAUUACUGGCAUGUGCUCUCCCGCACCACAAACGCUUGGUCAUACUUAUUACACGAUAUUAUCUAUCAAGGCACAGCACAUAUGUAUGUAUACCAAUGAAAUAAAGGAGUACAUGGACUCAUCACAGUCACAUUUCAUAAUGCAAAACAUUUCAUUAAAAGCUUGUUCCCGUAUACAUUUUAAAGAAAAAGACAAUUAAAACCUUUCAAGUAAUUCACUCAAACAUUUACACCUUUACCCUAAAUCAUUUUAAUGCAAGUUUACUCAUUGGUAUUUGUUAAAUCUUUACCCAACUCCAACUUCCUCUAAUGGUCCAAACAGGACGGUGGGGCUUCGUUGGAACCUAUCAUCACAUUAGCAUCACAAUUAACUCAAUUCACAUAACCAUAAUUCUAAAAGCUAUCUCCUAAAUCAUGUUCUACUAGUUAUCCCUAAGUAGCUUCCAAUUGCCAUUAAGCGACUAUUUACUUUCACUAUUCUAAUCACACUAAAGAUGAAUAAAUAUCCUCAACUACAAAACAUUUACAAAUCUAUCCACUAGCCAUUUUCAACAACUUAAAAAAAUAAACUCUAAUUCACUACUCACCUUGGUUGCUUUGUAAUCGAAUUUCUUUCGAAAAAUUUUCAAGCUAUUAUAAAAGCUCCCUCUUUCUUUCUUUAAAAUACCUAGCUAGUGAGAGGAAGUAUGGAAGUAAGAAUUUUCAAAGGUUUUUAAGUGAGAGAGUGAAAGAGCACAAAAGGUUCUAUGAAAAGGUGUACAAAAGCAUGAAAAUUAGAGCUAACUUGAGAGAAGUUAUGGAGGUUUCAAAACAAGCUUUCGUGGAGGAUAAAAGAAGCGUGAGAUGGGAGGACGAAGAAGAAAAAGCUAUUGGAAAAAUGAGAAGAAGCUACUAGAAUAUGAUAUUUAUAGUUGAAGCUUAUGCAACUCCACUUAAAUUACGAAAAUGCCCUUAACAAGUUGGCUUUGUCUUCCUCCAAUCCUUUGUGCAAUCUUUUUACUGUUUUGACACUAAGACAAAGUCCAUAAUAGUCUAGAAAUACUUGAGUCCACAAAAACUUGAAAAUUUUGACCCGAAGUGAAAAAUGACCAUUUUGCCCCUACCUUAGAAAUCAUCAUUAUUUCUAUUUCCUUUGUCAUUUUAUCCUUAUUUUCAUCAUUCAUUUAUGCCUUAGGCCUACUUAGGACUUAAUAUUGUUUGAAAGCAUACUUCUAAAGGGUCACUAAGAAAUUGAUGAAAUUACCCCUAGUCCGUGAUAUCGCAUUUACUUCUAGCUACGAGUUUAUAAAGAUCAAGGUCUCACGGGUAAAACUAAUUUUCAUAGUCAAAAUAUGUAAUCUAUAUGCUCACUUAAGGAUUUCCUUAACUUAUCCUCUCACUCAAGGUGGGAUUUUACACUCUAAAUAACCUAAAUCCUGUCCAAAUUUUAUUUUUGAAAAAUUCUCUAGCCCCUCAGCCUUGGGUUCAUUGCCGUCACGGCACUGCCCCGUUUACUAUAGUGGCACUGCGACGCUUUAGCCUCGAAAUUUUUAUGAUGCCAUUCAUUCCACUAGUGUUGUGGCCUUGCUCUCCUCAGCGCUACAACCUUAGCUUCCUUGGCACUACAGCCUUGAACAACUCCAGGCCGCAACCUUCAGUCAACAUGUUGCUUUGUAUAGAACUAUAACAGUCUGGCAUCUUCCAACGCGAUUUUCACCUUGAUCUGAUCUGAACUAGGUAAAGUGGUAAACAUAAAAGAUGUAUCCCUAUCUCUUAUCUUUCCCAUGAGUUAAGAAUCGCAUCAAUUGGACUUCUGUACCUCAUGAUAUUCUAGAAAUAUUGCAUCAUGUAUGAUUGAAGCCAUAACCAUACUUGUGUAAAUUUUCAUCAAAUGAACCUUUUUCAUCAAAUAUCCUAUAGAAGAAAUAAGAGAAAUCAACAAUAACUAUUCUUAAAUUAAAUUAAAGCAAAAAUAAAGUAAAAUUAAACUAAAAUAAUUUUAUUUAACUACUCAACAUGUAAUCAAACUUAAACUAGACAAACACCUAAAAUACUAAGAUUCGAACCAAAAAUCUCAAAGACCUAGCUACUUAAGCACCAAAAUGUGACAAAAUAACUCUAUAUAAUAGAGUUAUUACAUCCCUAAACUUAAGAUUUUGCUAGUCCUCGAGCAAAACAUGAAAUAAAAUGCAAUAACUUAAACGAAGAAAACACUUAACUAGAAAUCAAUUGUACCAAUUCAAUAAUCUCCUUUAAUAUCUUCAAAGCUUAAUUCAAAUUCUCAACUCUAAACAACACACAAAUAUUAUUCAAGUUCAUGCUUCAAUUCAAAUGCAAGCUUAUGAUUUAGUGGAUUUUGGUGUGUGUGUGCAAUCUUUUCACCUUGAACAUUGUACAAUCCGGAUAAGUUUACAGUCAUGCAAAAUUCAAAUUAAUAAUAAAAUUCCAUAAGUUUGUUUUUCAUCUCUCUCUCCACUAAAUAGACUAAUGCGAAGUUAAAGAUCAAUAUGACUUUAAUUAGCUUGUAAUGUAUGGCUAGGGUCAAGGUAGGAUAUAGAAUAAUAUGUAGCUCAAAUCACCCUAAGUACAUAGUCAAUUUAAGUCCUAUUCAGAGCUGUAUUUUCUUUCACCUAGUAUACCCCUUUUUCAUCAAAAUUUUCUUUUGUUUAACAAUUCAUUCUUUUUCUUCUUUUUAUACCUCUUUUACUUCUUUUUCUCAAUACUACACUCCCAAACUUAUUUCUUUUAUUUGGUAGUGAGAUGAAUACAAUCAUAUUUUUGAAGUUUUCAUCACUUUUCAUCCUUAUUGCCUCUUUUAAUAUUUAGCUCAUAACACUUCCUAAAUUGACUUAUUCAUUUAGGAAUGACGGAUACAAAAGUUGGCAAUAUUAAUAUAAGGGUCUAGGCUAAAAAUUAACUAUUUAAACAAAAAAAAAGGUUAUAUUAAGCUCAAAAAGGGUAAACUAAGGAUAAAUUAUGUAAAUGAAGGCUAAAAAGGCUCAAUCACUACAAAGAUGGCUUGAAUCAUAAAGUAUAUCUUAGGAUUUCACCUUUAGAGAGAAUUAAACAAAUUCUAGAACUCAAUGCACAAUUCAAAAAUUCACAUUCACACAAACCUUAUCUAAGUACAUAUAAUGAAUGCAAGCAAAAGACAUAGUGCUCAAAAUGGAGAAAUCUCAUCCUAACAAUGAAGUUUAUCAUAAGAAUUUGCAUAACACUAAAAAAAUAUUCACAUUUGCAAACAAUUAAGAUAGAAUAUAACUAGGUUCUGAUCAUUAGAUAGGUAAAUUAAAAGAAAUUAACACAACAACUUCUAGCUCAAAAUCUUAAAAUAUGCAUAAAAUUAAAUAAAAUUUAACAAAAAUAUAACAAAAACUAAUAACAAUAAAACCUCCCCCAAAUUUAAAUUGCACAUUGUCCUCAAUUUGAAAAGCUAGAAAGAAUAAGGAAAAUAAACUUCAUUAUCAUGGUGACAUGCAUUGACAUCUAUAAUUUUCUUUCUCUUCAUCUUCAUGCUUUCCAAACCUGCACUCUCAAAAACAAGCUAGGGAGAGGUUAAAACCACUUAUUUAAAUAGAAAAACAAAAAUUAACUAAAAUAAUAACUAAAUCUAAAAGGAUAUGACUUGGGUUGCCUCCCAAACAACACUUUUUUAUAGUUACUAGCUUGACUAUGAUACCUUUUUUUCACUUCUUCAUCAUCGCACUAAAUCUUGCGGCCUUGUUUCAUUACCUUGAAUGCUCCGGUAUGUGUACCAAAAUCUUAAUAUAGCCAUAAGACAGAACUUUUACCACUUUAAAGGUUCUCCGCAAAUAUGGUUGAAGUUACUAUGGUAAAAUAUGGAUGCGUGAACUAGAGAGUACUACUUGCUGUCCAACCUUAAAAUCAAGGUCACUAAAAAGUGGUGGGUUAUGCUCAUCAUAACACCACUUAGAUUUGAGAUGUGGUGGUGAUGGCUCUUAGUCAAAACUUGAUGCUUUCUUACUUGUAGGUGGUGGAGUAGGAUUACCUUUACCUUCAUCAACUGAGUCUAGUUUGUAGCAAUAAUCUGUGGUUGAAGGAUAUUUAGGUGCAUUGAAAAUAGUAAAUUCAACUACUUCUUCUCCAACUCUAAAAAUUAUUCUACCUUUUUUUACAUUGAUGAGUAUGCCUAUAGUGGCCAAGAAUGGACGUCCUAAUAUGAUUGAAAUCUUUUGAUCCUCCUUCAUCCCAAGUACAAGGGAGUCCAUUGGAAUGUACAAUUUCUCUACUCUAAGCAAGGCAUCCUCUAUAAUCCAAAAGGGUUACAUUAUUCUCCUGUCUGCUAGCUGUAAUUUGACUGUAGUAGGUUAAAUCUCUUUUAGUCUAAGUCUCUUAGAAAUAGAUAAAGGAAUAAUUAAGACAUUAUCACCCAAAUUACACAAAGCUUUCAAAAAAUUAAUAUUACCAAUUGAGUAAAGGGUUAGAAAACUCUCUAGGUCAUUAAGCUUUAAGGGAAGCUUGUUUUGGAUUAUUACGUUGCACUCUUUAAUGAGUGCAACUGUCUCGAAAUCCUCUAAUUUCCUCUUUUUCAUUAAGAUGUCAUUUAGAAACUUUGUAUAUAAUAGCAUUUGCUCUAAAGCUUUUGUGAAAAGGAUGUUGAUGUAAAGCUUUUCAAAUACGUCAAAAAACUUUUUGAAGUACCUAUCAAGCUUUUGUUUAUGAAGGCACUAAAAGAAAGGUGGUGGUGGUAGCUUUGCCUUUUCUCUUUUCUCUUGAAUUUGCUUGUCAGCUAUCUAAAUCACUAUUUCAUUCUCAAUAGGCUUACUUGAAGUCUAUCACACUUAACAUGACUUUCAACCUCUUUUCCACUCCUCAAGGUGAUUCCCAUAACUUGUUCCUUACCUUCUUUCUUAGGAUUCACGUUUGUAUCACUAGGUAGUGUUCCUUGAGCUCUGUUGUUGAAUAAAUUGGCAACUUGACCAACCUAAGUCUUAAGGUUUCGAAGUGAUGCUGCUUGACUCUGAAUGACAGUCGCUUAACUUUGGAUGAUGUUAUCAUUUUGUGUCAUGUACUACCUCAGCAAAACCUCCACAACUGGCUUCUUAUCUAGGAUAGGCAUUGUUGAUUACUGUUGGAAUCUUGAAGGUGUAUUCGGCCUUGAAGAUAAAGAUGAUCCUUGAUUAUUGGUCCAAGAUAAGUUUGGAUAGUUCCUCUACCUUAGGUUGUAAGUGUUGGAGCAAAGGUUAUUUUGUUGUCUAUUUCUCACAAAUUGCACUGUUUCUAUCAUACUUGGACAUUGAUGGCUUGCAUGAUAAUCUUCACAACACGCACAAGCUACAAAAGGACUUUGAAUAGAGUUAGUACUAAAAGAUUCAAGUGUCUUAGUUAGAAUUGCUACAUGUGCAAAUAGUGUCGAAAUCGCAUCUACAUCAUGAACUAUAGCUACUCUCCUAUGUAUUGAUCAUUCUGUUGGCCACUAGUUGUUGUUUAUAGCCAUCUCUUGCAACAAAUCGUAUGCCUCAUCAAUUGAAUUAGCCAUUAAAACUCCUCUAGUAGCGGCAUCAAUGGUAGUUCGAAUAUGACCACUCAAACCAUUAUAGAAUGUCUACUCCUAAAGCUAUUUUGGAAGAUUGUGAUAAGGACAACAACGAAAUAAUUCUUUGUAUUUUUCCCAAGCCUCAUACAACAAUUCAAAAUCUUGCAGCAUGAAUAAUGUGAUAUCAUUCCUCAUUUUCGCUAUCUUGGCCAGAGGAAUGAACUUAGCAUGGAACUUUUGAGAAAUAUCAUCCUAUGCUGCUAUUGAUCCAGUAAGGAGUGCAUUCAACCAUGCUUUAGCUUUAUCCUUUAAUGAAAAAAGGAAAAGCCUCAAACGAAUUGCAUCUUGUGUGGCAUCAUUGUGUUUAAAAGUAUCACAUAUCUCUAAAAAGUUUGAAAUAUGGCCAUUUUGAUCAUCAUUUGGAAGGCUUCCAAAUUGGAAUAAGGUUUGAAUCAUGGUGAUAAUAUCUAGCUUGAUCUCGAAAUUGUUUACUUGAAUAGCCGAUCUUCGAAUGCUCGAUGGAAUUCCUUAUAUCAAAGGAACAACAUAAUCCCUUAAGCAACGAUUAGAGUAAAACCUUAUUGAUUUUCUUGUCAAAGUUUUCAGAAUGUUCUCUUAAUUUCUAGAUCACACGAUAUAAUCUUUAAGCUUUUUGCUCUUCUUAUACUAUGACACAACAAACCUGAAAAACAAAGGAGAAAAACUUAAAUUAAGACUAACUUGUUGAAUUUUAAAAUUGGCAAAUAAAUAGUAAAACAGAUCCCUGAUAAUGGUGCCAAAAACUUGUUGAGUUUUCAUCCAAGUGCACACCAUCACAAACAAGUAAUAUAGUGGUGAAGUAGAGUAUCAUUCUCACAAAGAUUUGUUCCUAAAUCUUUACUAAGUACUAAAAUUUAUGACAAAUCAAUCUUAUUUAAGUAACUAAAAUUUUCAAAAAAUUAAUUAAAACAAAAUCAAAACAAGCACUAAAUUAACUAACAUAAAUUAAAAUUACUUGGAAAAGGCAAUAGACUAAAACUUAGGACUAUGGGUUCAUUUAACACUUCAUUUAAUACUAUCUUCUCCUAUUAUUUAUAUUCUUGGGAGGUUUUACUAACCUAGAAUCCAAAAUUACAUACAAGUCUCCAUCGAGAUGCUUGAAUAAAUACUUAACUUAAUUUAGUCAUUAUAUGUUUAUAGGAAUCAAUUAAAUAAGGUUCAUUAAGCUAGCAUUCUAAUUUGGCUAUGUAUGGCAAUUGGCGUAUGUCUACCCGAAUUGCGAAUCAUAUCACCUAAGUGAUGUGAACAUAUACUAUUCAAACCUUAGUCCAAUCUAGAAUCUCUUUGUUGAGUCUUAAUUAGAUUCACAAAUCAGUCAACUGCUGGUCAGACAAUCAAAGGCAUUAAUAACAUAUUUGAAUAAGUAAAACUAUACCCAUUCAUAGUAAAUAAAGGAGAAACAAAUAUUCAGAUUACAUGUUGAAAUCCAUCACAAUCCUAGAUAAGCAAAUUAGUUCAUAAUAUUUAAAUAAAACAUCAUCCGAAAAAUAUUAGCCAUUAAUCCAAGUCAAAGAAAAUAAGAGAAACACAAAAAUAGAGAAAGAAACUAAUGAUUAAAGCUUUUGAACUUGAAUCUUUCUCAAAUUCUCCUAUUUUCUUGUUAUGUUCUUGGCUCUUUUUCUCCAGAACAGUUGCUUGCCUCCCUACUUUCCAGACCUCUAAAAGUAUUCCCUUAAAUAGGCUCAAAAUAACCUAAUAUCUCAAAUCCCAUCAAAUUUUUAUUUUUGAAAAAUUUUCUAGCGCUGUGGCCUUGGGCUCCUUUGAGUCCCGGCUUUGCCUCGUUUGCUAUAGUGGCACCACGAUGCUCUAGCCUCAGGAAUUUGUAUGAUGCCAUUCAUUCCAUCAACAUUACAGCCUUGCUCUCCUUAGUGCUAUAGGUUUGACUUCCUCGGCGUUGUAGCCUUAAGCAACUUAAGGCUGUGGCCUUUACUCAACAUGCUACCUUGUGCAGAACUACAGUAGUCUAGCAUUUUCCAAUGCAUUUUUCACCUCGAUCUAAUCUGAACUAGGAGAAGUGGUAAACAUAAAUGAUGUAUCCCUAUCUCUUAUCUUUCCAAUGGAUUAAGAAUCGCAUCAAUUAGACUUUUGUAGCUCAAGUUAUUUUGGAUAUACUGCAGCAUGUAUAAUUGAAGCCAUAACCACACUUGUGCGAUUUUUCAUCAAAUGAACCUUUUUUAGCAAUUAUCCGACAAAAAAUUGUUGAGAGAGUGUUGAGAGAGCUUGUGUCACAACCCAAUUUUUCGGGCCAUGACCAGCGCAUGAGCUCAAUGAGCAUAGCUCACUAAGCCCAAGCAAGCCUAGCCAUUUACCUUUGCUUAACAAAUUUAUCAUAUCAUGCAUACACACACACACCUUUUCUCGGGUGUGAACAUAGCCAAAACACAAUGGCAUUAUCGAUAAUAAUAUACAUGUACUAUACCAGUCAUGUAUUUAGCAAUUUACAUUGCAUACACAUAUUCACAUUGUUAGAUUGUAUUCACAAUACAAAAGGACCCAUGACUUCUAGCGGAGACAUUUACAAUAAAAGGGAUUACUAUCGAAUGCCAGACACAUACCCAGGAGAUGCACUACGGGGACUCCUCAAUCUAGGGUCCAACAGUCACCUGAUCUAAAAACAUGAAUUUUUAUAACACGUGAGUACAAUACUCAGUGAGUGAACAAGAAAGGAACAAGCAUACCAUAAGGAAUGUUUAUCGAAAUCAUGAUGCAUUCAUUUUCUCAAAACCAUGCAAUUGUUUUAGCUCCUUUAAACCCCUCAUGUAAACCCCCAAUAAGUAAAUCACUUUACAAAAAUCCAUGCUCAACUAUGGUACCAAAGAAAUGGGAAAUAUGGCAAAAACCCACAAGUUAGCAAAAUGGACAGAAAGUUUCUCUCUGUAGCGAAACAGAGCAACAAGACAAAAGUUUCCCUUCACUCAACAAAAAGGCCAACCUACUAAACCAACAAAAUCAAUAUAAAACUCAUGAAAAUUCCCAAAGUGCAAAGUAUCAAAUUUCACAUAUAUGUCAACCAUAUAUCACAUUCAUGAGCUUUCAUUUCAUAAGUCUAUAUAUGCAUAAUUAGAUAGACAAACAUCAAUAUCAUCAUAAUCACACCCGGCUCAUAUACAUCCCCCCACAUCGUGCACAUAGUCGGCACCAUCGUGUGCAUCCCCCCACAUUGUGCACAAUUAGUGCCAUCGUGUACAUCCCCCCGCAUCUUGCACUGAGCACUAUCAUCAUCCACCUCUCACGCCACCAUAAAAUGGGGCUCUGAUACCAAGUGUGUCGUUAGGGAGGGACAUACCACUCAACCCCUUCACUACAGAGGUGACAGACGGUACCUAUCAGAGCACUCAUACGGCGACUCCACCUCUUUAGGUAGCCCUUUCCUCUAUAAGCCCCUGGGCGGAAAGCCACGCUUCACCCCUGUUCAUGCGUUAGAGUUCCCAGGGAUCAGGUAAAACCCUUUGCUCUUAUACCAACUUAAUUCUUCCCACAUCGUGCACACACACGGUUACAGUCAUUAUACACAAUAUCAUUCAUCCUGCACAACACACAUAUAUAUAUAUCAUCAUAUUACAAUAAUGCAUGAAUCCAUAGCAAUCACAUAUCAUAACAUCAAACCAUUUAACAAAAGCUUGUUCCCAAGAUACAUUUUCUAAGACAAGUUGGAUAGAAUCUUUCAUAUUCCCCAAAACAAGUUUGAAAUGCAAGUCCACUCACCGAUAUCGAAAAUCCGAAUUUCGGGUGCACUCGGACUAAUAGUCCUCAAGCGCAAUUCCUUUACCUUUUUCGGACGUCUCACUACCUUGACAAAUAACAAAGUCAAAGAAUUUACUAUAUUGUCCCUAAAUUGAUAUAAACUAAUUUAAAUUACUAAUGCUUGAUAUGUAAAUGCAAAAAUACGUCCGAUUAUCGCUUAAUCGCGGUAUCGAUUAAAUUCGAUCGAUCACCGAUUAAUUAGUGAUUGUGUCCAAAUCACCCCCAAAUUAAUCCAUUUCUCCUCUAAUACCUUAAUUUACCACAUACCAUUUAAAUAAAGCCAAAUUCAACAUUAGAACCCUCACAGUUCCUUAUAAAAAAAUUCAGUCAUUUGGUGCACUAGCACCGAAAUUUUUUCUACAUAACCAUUUCACCUUAAUUCAUCAUUUUCCAAGCCAUUUUCCUUGAAAUAAAAACAAUCCCCCAUUGAUAUUCAGCCCUCAUGGUUCAACCAACAAGGAACCCUAGAGAAAUUGAAUAUUUCUUUUGUGUUUUUGUUCAUAACCAUGCUUAACUAUCCCUAAACACUAACAUAGUCUAAAAUCAAAUUAUUUCAACAACAAUUCCUCUUCCAUACCCAUUUUUAAGAAUUGAAUUCAUCAUGAUAACUCAAUAUUCAACCAUGGAAAUCAAGAACAAAAGCAUGGGUAAGCUAGGUAUCAAGGAGAAUUAAAAAAAUUCUAACUUACCUACCUUGUUUCCUUGAUUUCUUCACUUUUUCUUUGAAUUUCCACCUAGAUUUUCUGGUUUUUCCCUUUGUUCUUCCUUUGUUCUUGUUGCUGGUUGCCUAGGCUGAAUAUGAUGAGAGAAUUGGGGAUUUAAUGGGCUGAUUUCUAUAGAAAAUAAUAAAAGAAUCAAGCAUGCCAUGUGUCGCAUGCUUAUUAGCCCAAUUUUUUUAACUUUUUGACUUUUUCUUCUUAAUUUUCUACCACAAAUAUUUUGAUAUUUAUCCAAUCCUACCACAAUUAAAAUCCCUUGGUCUUGACAAGUGUUGGGACGAAAAAUUUUAUCGAUUUACCCCCGGGGCAAAAAAAUUACGAUUUUGCCCUCCGAAAUGUACCGGAAUCACAUUAUUUCUAUUUUUCAAACUCAAAUAACACUAAUAUUGAUCAAUAUUAACCAAAUGGGGCAAAAAUUAUUUUAUAAAAAUUUUCGUUUAGUCCUCUAGUGGCAAAAUUACCAUUUUGCCCUUGUGCUCUAAAAAUAUUGGGAAUCACAAUUUUUCACUACUAAACAUCAUUUUAUACUCCAAUAAUCAUAAUUAUAUUUCAUAUAAUUAUUCUUGGUCAAAUGUGAUCAAAUCUUGGCUAAAAAUCUCCAUUUUAUCAUCAAAUGGUAAAAUGAUCGUUUUGUCCCUAAUCGGUCAAUUUUCCUAGUGGACUCCAAACUAAACCUUGAACUCCGAAUCACUAUUCCAAGCCAUUUUGUGGGUUUCAAAAUUUUGAAAUUCCUCUUAGAAUUUCUAUUUGAACUAGUUCAAGGCUCGAUUUAACUUAGUUGUACCACUCGGUACAAUACCGUCUUUUAAUCGAGCUUGAUAGGGUUUUACAGCUUAGCUUUUCCUUUUUUCCUCAAAUGGGUGGACAGCUUGAGGCUUUAUAUUUUUUUGCAAAUCUGCAUGCAUGUAUCGAUACAUUUGGAAAUGUAUGGAUACAUUUCUAUGGGUUAACUUUAAAUCUAUCGAUACAUGAGGCAAUAUAUCGAUACUCUUUCCAUGGGUUGCUCUCGAUUUCAAAUCUAUUGAUACAUUUGGACAAUGUAUCGAUACAUUUCCCUUGGAUUGCUUUCUGCUUCAAAUCUAUCGAUACAUUAUGAGAAUGUAUCGAUACUUUUUCAUAAUACCCCUCUCAUGUGCUUACUGUUUUGAAUGUAUCGAUGCAUGGUGCCCAUGUAUUGAUACUUUUCAUCUAGAUUGCAUUUUCUUCAACACUUAGAGCUUUUAGCUCCAUUUUCUAACUUACAUUCUCAUCCCAUUUCCUCAUAAUCUCUUAACAUCAAUCACAUAAACUCAUCAUAUGCUUCAAUUAUUCAUCCAUGCUCUAUGUCACAUAGCAUAUAAAUCAAACAUAACAUAUUUGGUUUUCAUAGCAUACUCAUUUAAGUGCCAACAUGUGCACUAUUUCAUUUAGGUGCCUAACAUAUGCACAACAUCAUUUAAGUCUUUAAAUACUCAUACAUUCUCAUAAUCCUCACUUUAUGGACAUAGGCAUUCCUUACAUCCAUAAACAUAAACAUCAAAAUAUCAUUAGCUCAUUCCAACAGCUUAACAUACACUAGACACCAUUACCAUAAGGUCAGGAGUGUUACAUCCUCCCUUCCUUAUAAAAAUUCAUCCUUGAAUUUUUAGCUAAUCAUUGUUACAUCAUUUUCCAUGCCUUAAUUCUCAAAGAGGUAGGGAUACUUGGCUUUCAUCUCACCUUCAAGCUCCCAUGUCUCAUUUUCCAUCAUAUGACUUUGCCACAAUGCUUUCAUUAAGGCAACAUCUUUGGAGCGAAGCUAUUUCACUUGUUGAUCUAAUAUGGCUACUGGUUUCUCCUCGUAAAUUAGUCCAUCUUGCAAUUGGACUUCGUCGUAAUGAAUCACAUGCGAAGGAUCAAGGACAUAUUUCCUAAGAAUGGACACGUGAAAUAUUGGGUGUACAUCGAACAUACUCAGUAGUAAUACCAAUUGGUAGGCCACUGUGCUUACGUGUUCUAAAAUCUCAAAAGCCUCGAUGUAUCUAGGGCUUAAUUUUCUUUUCUUGCCAAAUCUUUUAAGUCCUUUGGUUGGUGAAAUCUUUAAAAACACAUGGUCUUCUACUUCAAAUUUCGGGGGCUUCUUUCUAUUAUCAGUGUAUGAUUUCUAUCUACUUUAAGCUGUUUGCAUCCUCUCUUUUAUUAUAUAGAUACCUCGCUUUGCUUAUUGGACCAUCUCUGGCCCCAGAAGUUUUCUUUCCCCAAUUUCAAGCCAUCCAAUAGGCGAUUUGCAUCUUUGCCUAUACAAUGGCUCAAAUGGUGCCAUUCUGAUAAUGGCUUGAUAGCUAUUAUUGUAAGCAAAUUCAACCAAAGGCAAAUAGAGAUUCCAUGCAUCCCCAAAAUCUAGCACAAUGGCUUUCAACAUGUCUUGGAGCAUUUGUAUCAUUUGCUCAAAUUGACUAUCAAUCUACGAAUGGUAUGCUUUGCUAAAAUCAAGCCUAGUGCCCAAGGUACUUUGUAAUUUCUUCCAAAACUAGUUGGCAAAUCGUGGUCAUCUGUCAGACAUUAUAGUCACUAGCACACCAUGUAAUCUAAUAAUUUUAUCAACGUAAAUACGGGCAUACCUUGCUACUCUGUAUGUAGUCUUAACAGGGCAAAAAAUGGCCUACCUUCGUUAAUCAAUUGAAUAUUACCAAUAUAGCAUCAUAGCCUCAUCUAGCUCGAGGCAAACUCGUCACAAUAUCCAUCAUUACAUGUUCCCACUUCCAAUCAAGAAUCGGUAAUAGUAGUAACAAUCAAAAAGGCUUUUAAUGUUCAGCCUUUAGUUGCUGACAUGUUAAACAUUUGGAGACAUAUUCUGCUAUGUCUCUUUUCAUUCCUGGCCACCAAUAAGUAGACUUUACAUCAUGGUACAUUUUCGUGGCUCUAGGAUUAACAACAUAAGCCGCAACAUGUGCCUCUUUCAAUAUCUCAUUUCUUAAACCAUUAACAUUUAGCACAUAAACUCGUGAUCGAUACCUCAUUAAGCCAUCUAUGCUAUAAAAGAAAUCUUGAGCUCUAUCUUCAGUAAUGUCUCCAAAGAUCUUCAUCAUAAAUUCAUCCCAAUCUUGGGCAUCUUUAAUUCGACUUAAAAUCAUCAGUUGAACCUUGAAAUGUCAUACCAAGGGGUCCAAACCAUUAUCCUCAAAUUGAACUCCCCUGUUGCCUAGAUCAUAAAGACUUUGUACAAUUUAUCGUAUCUUCGUAAUCACAUGCACCAAACUCCCCAUCGACUUAUCGCUUAGGGCAUCUACCAUAGCAUUUACCUUGCCUGGAUGGCAGAGGAUGGUACAAUCAUAGUCUUUUAACAAUUCCAGCCACCUACACUACCUCAAAUUUAACUUUGCCAAAAUAUAUACUUCAAACUUUUGUGGUCAGUACAUAUUUCACAAGUUUCUCUAGAGAGAUAGUGUCAUCAUAUUUUUGGGGCGAAAACAAUUGCAGUCAUCUCUAGGUCAUGCAUAGGGUAGCUCUGUUCAUACUUCUUUAGCUGAAGGGAUGCAUAUGCUAUGACUUUCCUAUUUUGCAUUAAUACACAGCCCAAACCAAUCUUUGACAGAUCGCAAUAUACUGUAUAACCUUCAGUUCCACAUGGUAGGCUCAACAUGGCCACUAAAGGGAGACAAGCCUUAAGCCUUUGAAAACUUGUCUCACAGGUAUCUGACCAUUCAAAUUUAACUCAAUUCUGAGUUAAUUUUGUUAGGGGAAAUGCUAUCUUUGAGAAAUCUUACACAAAGCAUCUGUAAUAAUCGGCCAUGCCCAGAAAACUUCAUACUUAUAUAACAUUCAUGGGCCUUGGCCAUUUCUCAAUUGCCUCAAUUUUACGAGGAUCUACUUACACUCCUGGUUCAGAUACGACAUUCCCUAAAAAGCUAACUUCAUUUUGCCAAAAUUCAUAUUUCUCAAGCUUUGCAUAUAUCUGAUGCUCUCUAAGGGUUUACAGCAUAUUUCUCAAGUGUUGUACAUGUUCUUCCGGACUCUUAGAGUACACCAAUAUGUCAUCGAUAAACACCACCACAAAUCUAUUCAAAUAGGCCCAAAAUACUUUAUUCAUCAAAUCCAUGAAAGUUGUAGGGGCAUUAGUGAGUUUAAAUGACAUCAUUAAAAACUCGUAAUGUCCAUAAUGUGUGCGAAAGGUGGUCUUGGGUAUGUCACUUUCUCUUAUUCUCAACUGGUAAUACCUAGAGGGUAAAUCAAUCUUUGAAAAGCACACUGCCCUUUACAAUUGAUCAAACAAAUCAUCUAUUCUCGGAAGUAGGUACUUAUUCUUUAUUGUAACUUAAUUAAGGUCUCGAUAGUCUAUGCAUAAUCUUAAGCUCACAUCUUUCUUUUUCACAAAUAACACCAAAGCUCCCCAAGGUGAUCCACUCAAGUGAAUAAAGCCCUUAUUUAGUAAACCAUUCAAUUGCUCCUAGAGUUCCCUCAGCUCAACCAAUGCCAUGCGAUACAGACUUAUCGAAAUAGGUCUCAUAUCUGGAGCUAAAUGAAUAUAGAAUUCAAUCUCCCUCGUAAGUGGUAGUCCAAGUAACUCACCUGAAGAUACAUCAGCAUACUCACCGACUAUCAAUGUAGAUUCCAUAGUCCCUACAUUCACCUAUAUGUCUUCCAUCAUUGUUUAGUACUCUUGGAAAUCUUGCCCUGAUGCUCAUUUUACGGUUAGAGUUGCCAUAAAUUCAUUUGGUACUAAGCCAUUAUGCUCGUCGAUUACAAAUGACAAUUCCCUUGGAAACUUGAAUUUUACUAACUUACGAUAGCAAUCUACAUUAGCAAAGCAGGAUGUUAACCAAACCAUCCCCAAUAUCACAUCAAAAUCUGAUGUCAUUAGUAGCACCAAGAUGGCCAAAGUUUCCUUGUCCUUGAUACUAACUGCAUAGGACUUAUACAUAUAUUCUGCCAUGAACACUUCCUCUGAGGGGGUGGUCACAAUUAAAGGUUCUUCCAUUUCAUAACAACAUUGAUUAAAUCUGAACACAAACUAAGGUGAUACAAAUGAAUGUGUUGAUCUGAGGUUAAACAAUACUAGAGCUUCAGUACCACAAACAUAACGUACUUGCGAUCACUUUAUUAAAGGCUUGAGCAUCAUGCGUUGUCAAAGUAAAUACUCUUACCGAACCACUUCCUACGCUACCUUGUUGCUCUGUUCUGCCUUGAGAUGACAUGGUUAUCCCUUGCCCUUAUCUUUCUUGGCAUAUCUUGUAGAAGGAACCGCCUUAGGCAGUGUAGUUUCCAUCGAUUGCAUAUAACCACGGUUAUCUUCCAUGAGCUGUCUGGGCCUUGGAUAAUUUUUUAUCAUAUGUCCUGACUGCCCACAUUUGAAACAUAACCCUAUUGAUCUAAGACACGGUCUACCAUGUGCCUUGCCACAAUUAUUACAUAGGACACCUCUUUGUCUAGGGCCCAAAUUCGAUGCUCCACUAAAUAGCUCUCGCCUUCUAAAAGGGCUAAAAGAAUCACUAUUUUAGGGUGGCCUAUGUGUAGGAGUAGUUCCCUCUCGACCCCGACAGCCCAUAAUAAUUGGAAUCCAUGUUUAACUAGAAUCCUUCUAGCCUCGUUAACUUUCCAUUCUAACUUUUUAACCCUUAUUUCUUUCUGUCAAAGUCCCCAUUCUACGGCUCCCAAUCAAUCUGACCACAUCUACCACUAUAGAGUAAGUGACAAACCUCUAGGUGGCAAUAUCUCAAAAUAAUAACUCUAUCAAGCCUCUAACAAACCUCUUCAUCCUUUUUUCUUCAAUCAGGACUAAGUUAGGAGCAUAAUGAGACAAUUGAGUGAACUAGAUAUCAUAUUCUGUCACCGACAUAUCUAGGGUUUGCAUUAAGAUCUCAAAUCCCUGUGCCUCAGUGUCACUCACGUUGUUAAGCAAAAAUCGAUGCAGAAAUACUUGGACAAAUUCUUCUUAUGUAAGUGGAGCCGAUCUUCCUUUCUUGAGGGUCAUAAACCAACAUUGAGCUACAUCUUUCAACCUGAAUCCUACUAAUUCAACUGAUCGUUGACUGGAACAUCCCAGUGUCGAGCAUAUACAUUCCAUAUCCUCUAGGAAUCUCUGCCAAUCUUCUUCAGCAUCUGAGCUGGUAAACAAAAGGGGCUUAAGUUUCAUGAAAUCUAUUAGUGUCACCAUAAUUGCCCUACAACUAGAUUCUGCUACUAGCAUAUAAUCCGAGUCCUCAAAAUUGGAAUCUAUCCAUUCCUUUAGCUGUACCUUAGCCCUGCUAUGUAACUCAACAAACUCAUGUUUCAAACUCUGCAACCCUAUUGCUAUAUCCUCUAGAGUGACACCUCCUCUCGUCGGGUGAUCAUCUCUAGCUUCCUCAUACUCAUCACUAGUAUGUACAUCACUAGGGUCUACAUGUUGAGCACGUUUCACAACUCUAACUCUUCCAUGACUCUUUGAUGAGGAAGUUUGUGGUUUAACCAUAGCUUCAUUAGGGGUGUCAUGUCCUGCCGUAGCUUUUAAGGCAACUCUCGUCUUAGGUGGCAUCUUUACCUAGACAAAUCAAAGCCAUGUUCAAAUCCGUAUUUCAAAAUCAUAGGUGGCAUAUUACAUAACUUAGGGGUUUGUGUAGCUUCCCGCUCAUGAAUUGUGUUGCAGCAACAAAGCAUGAAUAAGACUCUACACUAUACCCUACUUACUCUGCGGAUGACAUAAACUGACCUAGGACUUUCUAGAAGCUAGGUGCUCUGAUACCAAGUCUAUCACGACCCAAACCCGGGGUUCCAUGAUUGGCACACACGAGCCUGUCAGGCAAGCUUGCGAGAGUUGAGGAAGUCUUCAUAAUUAAGUCUUGUCCAACAUAUCUCAUUUAUCAUAAGGUCUCAUGGCCAACAUCAUUUCAUUCAGACUUAAAAUAUUAAUAUUUAACAUUAGCCCCUCGACUCAUAAUAACAUCCAAGACUUACGGAUAACAUACACGUAGCCAUACAUUGGCUAAUUCAUCAAGUUAUUAUAUAUCUCAUUUACAUAUCACAAACCACUCUGUGCCAACAUAUUUUUCAUUAUGAUAUACUUUAACAACAUUCUGCGGAAGCGUAAAAACUCAUCAGCAUGUUCGUCUAAGAGACAAUGCUUGCCACCAAUCUAAGAGUCUAUUUAUUUGCACAAUACAAUUGAAAUGGGUGAGUCACACUAGUACUCAGUGAGUGGAAAGAUAAAACAAUUGUAAAUGCGCAGCAAUAGUCGCUACACGUAUCCUCUAAUCAUACAUGCAUAUCAUACAUCCCAACCAUGUGCAUAAUAGGAUAGGACAAUCGCCACCUGCCAAACAUAGUUUGUCAUAAUCAUGGUAGUCAUGCUACGUUGUGUACUUUCAUCUAAUAACAUGUUAAGGUGGCGUAAUCAUCAUCACCUUAUUCAUUUACUAACAUCAUCAACAUAACCGUCUAUUAAUUCAAUCCACCAUAUGAAUUGGCCCACCUUAUGGCCAUUUACAUACGUAACUUAUCAUACGUACCUUAUAACACUUGCCUCAAUGCUAGGUUAUAGGUUCCUUAAGCUUUCAGCAUAUUGAUUUACAUAUAACAUUUCCGUAUGGCUCUUACCUUAAGCUUUUACAUUAAUCAUAAAGUCAUAACAUAGCAUAUUAUGGUGCUCAACACAUAUACAUCCUACGACAUGCCUUUACAUAUUAAUAACAUCAGAGCACAUCGUGGAAUGGUCUUCCCUAGACGUUUUCAUAGUCACGUAUGAUAACCUAUAAACGGACAACAUAUAGCAUCAUAUUACGCCCCAUUGCCAUAACAAACAAUGGAGUCAUGUCACAUCACAUUGCUAAAAUAAACGACAGAGUCAAUAAUUAUCAUACGAUACCAUGUUUGGCCCCAUUGCCAUGACAAACGACGGAGUCUAGUCACGCUCUAUGGUCGAGCAAACAACAGAGUUUGUGGUCAUCAUCCGGAUUAACCUUAACGGAUGGCAUCAUAUCGCUACAAAUGGGAAUCACAGGUGGGACAAAACCACCAUCCCUGUAGGCAUCAUACAUCAUCGUAGAAAAACUAAAGACACUUAAUCCUCAAAGUAUACAUUGUUUAGAAAUCCUCCACAGACGUAACAUGCUUAUUCUACAACAAACAUUAUUUGAAAAUCCUCCAUGAACAGUUCACAUUCAUCAUUCUCAUAUUAUCUCAUCAUCACAUUGAUCUAGGUACUAUCCUUCUAGGCAUUUCAUAUAGUUCUCAUGAUCAUAUCAACAUUAUCAUACUUAACCUAAAUAUAAUCCAUCUAAGCAACUCACAUCAUUCAUAACAUUACUAGUCUGGGUGUGUCACCUCUAGACGUACUUAUAAGGCAUACAUCACAUAUAUCAUGCAUAUUUAUUCUACAAACAUACAUGCACCUUACUCAUUAUGCUCUUUUGUAUAAAAUUUCCCACUCACCAUGACACUUCAGUGUCUCUUUGCUAGCACUUGUUUAGCUUGGCUUAUCACUCUUAGCCUCAAUUCACAUAACUCAAUAUUCGGGUAGCAUUCAUUCUCCCAUUGUACAUCUAGCAAUCAACAGUGGAUAAACAUUAACAUUUACAUCAUAAUUCUCAAUUUCAUAGCCAAAUCUUGGCUUUUAGAUCAUUUUUAGCAUUUCAAUAUAACAUAUUCUAUAACCAAUUUAUCAUACAAGCUCAACUUCCUCAUAUUCAUCAUCAAUGUAUGAAAUCCCUUACCUUAAACAUGACUUGGCUCACUUAAACUUCAAAUCUCCAACCACAUUCAAAUCCAAUAGCCACCAAAAUUGAAACAUCACAUUUCUACAUUAUUAAGAUUUUGCUUGUCCUUGAGCAAAAGAAAAAUUAACAUAAAAAUCCUCGAACAAGAGACAGAAGUACCAAACAAUGAUUUCCCAAUUUUUCCUCAAAAAUUAACUCAAAUUCCAACUUAAGGUCACAUACAGUUAAUCCUUAAAUUAAUGCAUCAAUUCAAGUGAAAACUUACUUUUCGAAUGGACUUCUUGUGUGUGUGUGAAUACUCUCUUACAAAGAAUAUCAUGCAAUUCGGAUUAGUUUAUUCUAAAUCUAAGUAUAUAUUAGUGCUAGGAUCCCAUAAGUUUACUUUUCAUCUAUUUUUCCGCUAAUGCAGAUUAACACUUAUUCAAGGAUCAAUUAGUCUUUAUGAACCUUAUAAUGUAAGGCUAGGGUCAAGGUAUGAUAAAAGAUAUAUUUAUGCUCAAAUUCACCCUAAGCACUUAAUCAAUCUAAGACAUAUAAAGAGUUUAAUUUUUUUACAGUACCCCCAAACUUGAAGUAAACUUUCCUUUGUACAACACUGUAACACCCUGUACCCCCAUAUAGUAGUCAACAUAACCGUAUCAAUAAGAUCAAGGGCUAAUUGAUGUGGAUUUAAAUGUCAAAUAGCAAUGACGGGUGAAAGGAAUAUUCUAGAGUAAAAUAUUCUGCACACGAGAAAAUAAUAAUUAAAUAAUAAUAUUUUUAUUAAGGAUGAAUUAGCAAGAUGAAAAGUGAUUCGAAAGUGAAUCGAGGCAUCAUAAGACAUUUUGGGUUCUAAGGAAACAAGUGAAAAAUCUUGGAAUAAAAUAAUAUUUUAUUAAUAAAAUGAUAUUAAAAUAUUAAUAUUUUAUUUGAUGUCGAAAUUAGUCAUGAAGGAGGAGUAUAUGGUCAAUCUAAGUGGGGGAGAAAAAGAAUGAGAGAAAUUCAGAGAAAAACAAUGUUAGUGAGGCCUGCGUGUCUUUAUUAAAUAAAGCUAGUAGGGGUAAGUAUAUAUUUAAAUAUUAUCGUGAUACCAUGUUGAAGUGCAAACUUUAUAUUUUAUUUGUACAAGUGUAAAGAAAGAAAAAUAGAAGAAAUUGGACUUAAAAGAUUGUUGGGAGGACUAAAUUAAAAAGGAAAGAAACAUUGAGGGCUAAAUGGUAAUUUUUCUAUUAACUUGGUCAAAGCUUCCAAAGGAAGCUUUGACUCUUUUCUUCUUUUUCCAUGGCUGAUCCUUAUCUGCCCAAAAGGCGUUUUUCUUCUUCAUCUUCUUCAAUGCCAUUUUUCUCUCUUCACCAUGAAAAUCAAAUUUUUUCAUUUUCUUUUUUUUUCCUUUCUUUUCUUACUUCUUCUUUCUUUUAUCUCCUUGUGCACCAAACUCACAACUUUCAACCACAUUUUUCAGCACAACCAAACCCUAGGAAAGAGAAACUCUUCAAACUAGCUUGAAAGCUCUUGAAGGAAUUCUUCCCAUUUUAAUCCUCACCAAGGAAAAUUAACUACGAGUCCACCAAGGUGAGUAAUGGGUUAAGGUUAAUUUUUAAGUUUGUUAAUGAUAGCUAAUAAUUAGAUCUAUGGGUUGUUUUAUUGUUGAUGGUUAUAUUGUGGUGAAAAUGUGAUUAUUUAUUACUAGUGUAAUUAGAAUAGUGCAAAUAAAUGGCUAUCUAAUGACUGGAAUGUUAGCUUUGUAAAUUUACAAGUAAAUUAAUACUUGGAAUGGGAAUUAGGGGCUGUUUUGAUGGGGUGAGAUUGUUGGAGGGAGAAAUGAUUAAUAAUUAUGGUAAUUCAUAGUUUAACUAGUGGUGUGGAUGACUAAUUUAAUAAAGGGCAUUGUGUUGGUGUAAGAUGUCACUAAGGGAAUUAAUUAAGUUUGGAAUUAUGAAUUUUAAGGAUGAUAUAGGUGCUGGAAAAUGGAAGUAAUAAAUAAAGUGUUAUGAAAUUAUUGGAGUUAGUACUAGGUUGACUAGCUAAAUGGUAAUUGAAAACUAGUUAGGAAGAACUAGUAAAGCUUAAUUAAGGAAAUAGAAUUUGGAUUUAUAUUCAAGCGAAUUAGGUUGGUUGUGAUACUAAUUGUGUGUUAUUGGUUCCAACGAGACCCCACAUUUCCACUUGAAGCACUAGUGGAGGUUCGAAGUCCAUCAAAAAAAGAAACUGGUGAGUGAACUUGCAUUAAAAAUGUUUUGAACAAAUACGCAUGUGUUUGACAAAAGUACUUGAAUAUCCUCGGUUGACUCUUUUAAAAAUUAUGCACAGGAACAACCCUUUCACGAGUGAUAUUUCUAUGUUUUUAAAAGUAUAAUGUGACGAAUCACAUGUUUGAAAUAUUAUGUUGAAUUGUCAAUUGAAUUAUAGUGUGUGAUACAUUGGAAAUCUUGUGAUGUUUUACACUAGUGGCAUAGCAGUUAAUAUUAUUUUCCUUGAAUGUCGGACUAUGCAACUAUGUGUACGACCAAUACAAUAAUGAACGUUGUGGAAUAUAUUAUUAUGCAAAGAUUCUUGUCAUAUGUUGUUAUGUGUGCUAUGUUUUAAAAGAUAAUAUUGAAUGAUAAUUUUAACCAUGCGUGUGUUGUGUGGGAGUGCACAUGAUGGUGAGGGUGGUGUGCGGUGUGGGAGUGCACACGAUGAUAUUGCCAUGUACGGUGUGGGAGCGCACAUGAUGAGGACGUGGUCUGAGAUGUGGGAGUGCACACGAUAAUGAUGAUAUUUGCCAUGUGCGGUGUGGAAGUGCACAUGAUGAUACCAGCUAUGUAUAGUGUGGGAGUACACAUGAGCUGAGUUGUGGAUGGUGGUUGUGUGCGUUGAGCCUUAUUGACUAGUUGGGAAUGACCUUGAUGUGUUAGAUGUAUGUUUGAAAUAUAUAUAUAUAUAUAUAUAUAUAUAUAUAUAUAUUAUUAUUAUAUAUAUAUAUAUANUGUUAGUAAUAUAUAUAUAUAUAUAUAUAUAUAUAUAUAUAUACUUAUAUUUAUGUAAUAUAUAUAUACAGGAAUUCUUAUGCGCAUGUGCGCCCGUCUCGUAGAAUAGAGAUGAUUGGAAAAUGAAACGUGAUUGCAUUGAAUGUUGAAAGUUGAAUUUCCUAAAUGUUUUAAAAUGAGUUAAAAGUCAACAUGGCAUCGAGUUUGUUUAUGAUAUAUAAAUUGCAUUGUUUUAAUACAAGUGCAUCGUGUUUCCUAAAAAUCUUUCGUAUAGUUUCCUUGUUCCCUUCCUAUGUUCACUCACUGGGUUUAUACUCAUUCUUUUCAACUUCAUGUUUUAGUUUUUAGAUCCGAAGGUAGUUGGAUUCCUAGGUUGAGGGACUUCCUCAUAUUCACCCUUCGGUAGGUUUACUAUGUCACUCAAUGAUAGUACCCACGUUCAGAGUCACUCCACUGAUGGUUAGGGUCUUUGUAUGUGUACGUGCAUACUUGAUGUGAAUUGCCAAGAUUUAUUUGGCAAACUAUCUCUAUGUAUAUUUUGAUUGAUGAUGCCAUUAUGAGUGUAUACUUGGGUGUCCUAAAUUGUUUCCGAAGAAAUUAUCAUUUGAACUAUAUGAAUUAUAGAUCUUAAAUAAAAAUGGAUGGUAGAUCGACUGAUGUACAGGUUCACAUAAAAAGGCUUGCUUGGGCCUAGUGAGUUGUGCCUAUUGGGCCCUUUCGCCUGUGAAACCUCGACCUUCAUAGACAUGUAGUAGAGGUAGACACGAUGAUGUGGAUUACGGAUAGUUUUGUCAUUUUCUUGGUGAGCUCUUAGAAGUGGGUUUUCUAAUAUUAUUAAGGUUUAAGUAGGCCUAAGGAAUAAAUAAAUGAGGUAUAUAAUAAUAGAAUAAACGAAGAAAAUAGAAAUAAUGAUAAUUUCCAUAGUUGGGGUAAAAUAAUCAUUUUGGGUCUCAGGUCUAAAUUUUUAAGUUUUCAUGAACUUGAGUACCUCUAAUCUAUUGGGGACCUUUUCUUAGUGUCAAAAGAGUAAAAAUUUUGAACCAAAGGAAAGAAGAAGGCAAAGUCAAGUAUGCAAUGACAUUUUUGUAAAUGGUGGCACUUUAGUCAACUCUAGGAAUAAAUAUCUAAUUUUUCCAGCAGCUUUCUCCUCACUUCAUGCAGCUUUUUCUUCUUCUUCCCAUUUCUCCUCCCCAUUUCUCCUCCCCAUUUCCAACUUUCCAUCUUCCAUGGAAGCCAUCCUUGAAAUCUCCAUGAAUUUCUCAUAAGAACUCCAAACCUCAUGUUGUUAUACACUUUUUCAUAGAAUUUUUCAUGUUCUUUCACUCUGUCACCUCAAGAGCCCUCAAUUGUCUUUCCUUAGCACUUUCUCUCACUAGUUGGACAUUUUAGAGAGAGAGAGACUUUCCAUAAUAGCUUGAAAAAAACUCUUGAAAAGGAAUUCAAUUACAAAACCACCAAGGUGAGUAGCGAGUUAGGGUUGAUUUUUAAGUUGUUAAUGAUGGCCAAUAAUUAGAGUUGUGGACUGUUUAUUGUUGAAGGUUGUUUAUUUAUUUCUAGUGUGACUAAAUUAGUGCAAACUAAUGACUAGUCAAAUGGUAAAUGGGAAACUAGCUAGGAAUAACUACUAAAGUUUGAUUUAGAAAAAUAGCUUUUGGAAUAAUGUUCAUGUCAAUUGAGUUGGUUGCGAUGCUAUUCUAUGUGAUAAGUUCCAACAAGACCCCAUAUCUCCACUUGGAGCAUUAGUGGAAGUUGGAAUCGAUUAAAGAAUCAACAAAGACAAGUGAGUGAACUUGCAUUAUCUUGUUUUGGGAUAAAUGCAUAAGUGUUUGAUUGAAUCACUUGAAAUAUUUUAUUGGUCUUUUCUUUAAAAAAAUAUGCAUGGGAACAAGCCCUUCAUGAAACGUUUUUAUGUUGUGAAAUGUGAAAUGUGAUGAAUUCAUGUGUUUUGAUAUUAUGACAAUAUGUAAGUUAUGCCUUGAACGAUAAUGUUGUGUGUUAAUUACAACUGAGCAUGUGUAGUGCGGGAGUGCACAUGCCGGUGAUGAUGUGGUGCAGGAGUGUACAUGAUGAUAUUUGCCAUGUUCAGUGUGGAUGUAGUACCUCGUACUUUGAGGUGGUGGCUAAUAAUGCUUACCGGCUACUAAUUGAGGUUGAUUACUAAGUAAAAAGGGUAAUUCAGAAGUGAGCCUGAAACUUCAACCUCUAUAGAUACGUAACUAGAAGUAGACGCAAUAACACUUACUAGGGGCAAUUUCAUCAUUUCUCUUGGUGAGCUCCUACGAGUGGGUUUUCUAACGUUAUUAAGGCCUAAGUAGGCCUAAGGUAUAAAUGAAUGAUGAAAAUAAGGAUAAAAUAACGAAAGAAAUAGAAAUGUGAUGACUUCUGUAGUAGGGGCAAAAUGGUAAUUUUGCACCGCCUCGAGUCAAAAUUUUUAAGUUUUUAUAAACUCGAGUACUUUUAGACCAUUAUGGACUUUGUCUCAGUGUCUGAAGAGUAAAAAGUUGAACCAAAGGAAAGAAUAAGACAAAGUCACCUUAUGGAGAGCAUUUUGGUAAAUUGCAUGAGAAAUUGGAUAAACUUUAGAUAUAAAUAUCUAAAGCUCCAGCAAUUUCCAACAACUUCCUACCAUUUCUUCUUCCUUUCCCAUCUCACGUUUCUCUAUCUCCAUGGGAGCCUCCCUUAAAGCUUCCAUAACUUUCUCUCUCUAGCUUCAAUUUUCGUGCUUUUGAGCACUUUUUCAUUGAACCUUCUGUGCUCUUUCACUCUCUCACCUUAAAACCCUUAAAAAGUCUUACUUCCAUCUUCCUCUCACUAGCUGGACAUAUAAAGAGAGAGAGAGAGUGAUUUCCCUUAUUAGCUUGAAGAAUUUGAAAGAGAAUUCAACUACAAAGACCAUCAAGGUGAGUAUAAGUUAGGGUUAAAUUCUUUAAUUGUUGAUAAUGGCUAACAAUGGGGAUUGUGAGUGUUUAUCGUUGAGGUUGCUUAUUCACUCUUAGGGUGACUAGAGUGGGGUAAAUAACUAUCCACUUAACGGCAAUUAGAAGCUACUUAGGAAUAACUAGUAGAACUUGAUUUAGGAAAGAGCUUUUGGAAUUAUAUUAAUGUCAAUUUGGGUUGAUUGUGAUGUUGUGUGUGUAAAGGUUCCAACAAGGCCUCACAUGUCCAUUUAGAGCAUUAGUUGAGGUUAGAGUCAAGCAAAAGAAUCAACAAGAUCGGUGAGUGAACUUGCAUCAAAAUGUUUUUGGGAAAUACAUAUGUGUUGGGAUGAAGCGUUUCAAUGAUUUUACUUGGUUUUCAUUAAAUUAUGCAUGGGAACAAGCCCUUGAUAAAAUGUUUUGAUGUUGUGAAAAUGUGAAAUGUGUAAAAAGAUUAAUCCAUGUGCCCUUACAUUAUGUUGGUAUGUAUAUAUGUGAAUAUGUGUUGUGCAUUGAUGAAUAAUGUUGUGUGUUGAUGAUGACCUGGCUAUGUUCGAGUAGGGACUGUGCAUAAGUUGAUGAUGACCUAGCUAUGUGCGAGUAAGGAGUGCGCAUAAGUCGAUGAUGACCUGGCUAUGUGCGAGUAAGGAGAGCACAUAAGCCGAUGAUGAUGAUCUGACUAUGACGACGAAUGAAGUGGGGUGGUGUAUGUGUUUAUAUAUGUUUCUAUACGUAUAUGUGAUAGAAAGUUUAUGAUUAUAAUAUGUGAUUGAAAUGAAUAAUGAGAAACUUUGAUUAUUGUCAAUGUGUUCACUUUGAUGUGCAAUAUCGUAGGAAUGGAUUUGGUGGCAUGUGAAAAUCCCUUAAUUGUCAUUUGCCCCAAAUCUCGCUGCAGCAAGAAACUCUCAGGUGGUGGGGGCACAAACCAGCCCUGUUUCUCAUUGCAUCAAAAAAGAAUUCUCACUGCAUCGAAAAAGAAUUCUCGCUACAACGAAAGAUUUCACUGCAGUGAAAAUGGAUUCUCACUAUAGCGAGAAAUUCUCUGGUGGACCCAAAAUUCUAGUGUAGUACUUCCACUUUGACAAUGAUUUUGACCACCAUCAAAUCAGAACUGGGCAAAAUGAUAAACAUAAAAGUUGUAUCCCAGCCUCUUAGCUUUCUAAUGGUCUAGAAAUCAGGUCAAUUGGACUUCUUUAGUGGGAGAUUUGCUGGAAAACCCAAAAUAUAUGCAAACUAAGACUGUUUCUCUCUACCACGAGAAACUUGCUGUCUUGCUUGCUACCUUACUUGAUUUUGACAUAUUUUUCACCCAUUUAACUUCAUGGAUUGAUCAUGGGGUUUUGCAACACUAUGAGGUUAUUAAUCAAAGUUUGAAAUGAGGGGUUUUUAGUAAGAAAUUAAAUCAAUUGCAUUGUUUUUGAAACAAGUGCAUCAUGAGUUCUAAGUUCUCCUUAUCGAUUGCUUGUUCACUUCUUAUGUUCACUCACUGAGUUUUAUACUCACAUUUUUAAACUUCAUGUUUUUAGAUUCGGAGGCAAUUGGGACCUAUAUUGAGUUGUCCACGUAUGCUCGCUUUCUUGGUAGGUACUAUAGCAUCUCAGUAGUUGUGCCUUCACCCACAGUCACUCCGUUGAUGGUCAAGAGUCAGUUAUCUGUGAACACGUAUAUGUAAUGUAAUCUACUAGGAUCCAUAUCAUAAGUCAAUUAUGUAUAUUUGAUUAUUGAUGCCACUAUGAGUUGGCAAACGAGUGACAUUAUUUUGACAUAAUAAAAUUGUGAGUUUUUGGUCACUAUAAAAUAUUACUGAAAUAUUUUUAGUUCAGAAUUUCAAUAUGUGGUUUUAGAAAUGAUGGUUAAGAAUGAUGAUUGGGUUUGCAUAAAAAGGCUUGCUUGGGCUUUGUGGGCUAUGCCCAUUGGGCCAAUGCGCCGAUCAUGGCCUGGUAUUUGGGCUGUGACAAAGGUGGUAUCAGAGCUCUAGGUUUAGUCGAGUCCUAAUAAUCCUUGUGUUUGUCAGCGAAGUUGUCAGAGUUAAUGUAGAGUCCUGUCUAUAGUUUGUAACUGCAGCACAAGUCAUAGACAGGAAGUUAUUUGAACUCCUACUCCUAGUAACCUACCCUUUUGCUAUCAUCAUGUAAAGGGCAUAAAUGGUAUUGUUGCUCGGGUUUGAGAUGCCACCCGAGACACAAAUCAUUAUUGGAAAGAUUUUUAAGCAAAUGCUCCUAAUGAAAGGUCAAUAAAAUGAUAUAUUCCUCCGACUAAGGAUGGAGGAAGGUGGAGCUAGACUAUUAGGUCCAUAAUAAUUUAUUCAUUUGGUGGAAUUAUGAUUUGAACCCAUGGUUAUCAAGGAAAAAAAUUAAUUAAAAAUUUAGAAACUAUGGAUUGUAUUUGAGGUCAAUAUAGGGAGGAUGUACGAUAAUGGUAAUAAAAGUUGUAUUUUGACAGGGAUGAAUAGUGACUAUUGUGACUUGCUUGAGGUUUAUAAAUUUAAGUAUCGAAAAAAAGUGUAAACUAACGUUUAUAUGUACGAAGGUAAGUGCGCUAUGUUAAAUGAGCUUGUCAUGCCGCUAUAGAAAUGGUGUGGACUUUUGAGAUAUUUUAUAAGCGUAAAAGUGUUGAAUAUGUGUAUAGUAGCUCAAAUGGAGUUGGUUUUGAUUUCAACUAAGUGAUGCGAGAUCCCAAGGUUUAAUUUGAACUAUUAUGGUUCAUAGUUAUAAGUACGUGAAUUAGCUUAAAGGUGAAAUUUAGUGACUAUUAUAAUUGAUGUGUGGUCAUCAAGUGAGAGGUUGGUAAACAAAUUUUCUCUAAGGAGGAGCAUGAACUUUGUUAUGCUAUGCGUGAGGUCAAAGGAUUAAAGAACUAGUUGUGGAUUUGAUAGCUUGAAGUUAAAUGAUUGAGAGAUGUCGAAUUUAGUCUAAAUGCCAUAUGGAGUUCUAUAUUUGAGUUUGAUAUUCGAAUUGCUUUAACGAUCAAUUUAAAAGUUUAUUGGGUUCAGUAUGUAAUCUAUGAUAAAGAUGAUCAGUUUUGAAUGUGAUCUUCCCAAAGGUAAAGGAUUUGGGAAAUAUUGAUUAUUGGAUAAGUUCUAAGAGGGAGUUUCUACAUCCUAAGUUUAAAAAAUGUUAAUUUUAUAGCCGUAAAGGCGAGAUGCAACAAUUAAGUAAAUUAUUCACUUGAUAAAUGUAAUUGGUUAAAGAUUGGUGAGUAAAGUUAAGAUCUUAACAUUAAAUGGUGUACAACUCGAUAUUUAUGUAUUUAAGAGUUAUUUGGAAACACUUGCUUAACCAAGUUGCACUAAAAUGUUAUGAUAAAGGUAUACAAUUGUUAGUAGUGAAAUAUGCCCAAAGGAUAAUCAUGGCAUACCCCAAAAGGGUGAAAUGUGUAAUGGAUAUGUCAAAAUAGAGGAAAGUAAGAAGGGGUUCGUACACGUGGUAAUGGAUGUUGACAUUUAAAGGGACGUAUAUAUGUAUAUGUGAAGUUACUCAUGUCAUCGGUGGAAAUAAAGAAUUAUUCUUAGCGAUUUGAGAGUUGAACACCAUAUGCUUGAUGGGUUGCAUAGAUGGUACUAAAAUAUACUAAUUGACCUAAUGUACGCUAUUGGAAAUAAUUAUGAAAAUGGAGGAAGAACAAGUUCUAAAAUUUCAAAGUAAUAACGUGAGCAUAAGUAGAAUGAUCAAGGUACCAACCUUAAAUGUAGACGAAAAGCGUUGAUUGAGUAAACUCCAAUAGCCAUCGUGCCACAGUGCUAAGAGCACCCCAUGUCUAAGACUCAUGAAUAAUAUGUGAAAGGCGUGAAGUUGAAAUUACGAGCUAAAUUAUGAUCAUUGGACUUGAUGUUAUGCUUCGUUAAUUGGAGCUUUAAGGUUGUGGAAAAAUAUUUAUAUGGAUGAAUUGGAAAGUUUCUCUAUUGCCUUAUAUAUUGGCAUGUAAGUCAAUGAAACAAGGGAUUAAGCCUUGUUAAGGCUAAGGAAAGAGUGAAUGAAAAGUAAGAUAAAUGAUGGGAGAAGUAUGGAGGUUGUUAUGAUGAACAUAAGAAACUUAAGGAUAAUCAAUGCAAAGAUACCAAGUAGGUUGUGUGGUCCGAAAUAAGGACAAUGAUACCUUAGGAGAUUUGAAAAUAAUGUCCAUUGGAACUGACGAGGUGGAAUGUCAUUGAGCAUACAGUGAAUUGUUAAAGUUUUAAGGGGCUUUAAAGGUAAGCUUUUGAUUGUUUAAAUCCUCAACUGAAUUCCACCAAAGGAUGUGUUUAAGUGUUUUGGAAGGCAUUGAAGAGCAUAAGAGAAAAUACCAGUUAAAUUGCUGUAAGAGGUUGAAAUGGCAUGGCCAUGAGAGGCUCAUGAGCAACCAAGCAAUGUAUAGGUAAAUGUGCAAGGGAACUAUGAUAGGUAGAUAAGGGUAGAACUUUAAUGAUGGGAUAAUGUUCACUCUUUAGGCAUUGAACCAUAAGUUAUGGGCUUGUAUCUACUUUGCGAACACCUUGGUGGGAUAAUUCGAAGGAGUUUUCACAAUGUGAAAACAUUAAAGCUCGAGGAGAUAAUAGUUAUAUAGCGAUGUUGGAGCUCGUUACUGAUAUGUCACGUAGUACCAAGGUACGCUGCAAGUCUAAGAAUGCUUGGAAACGUUGGUUUGAGGUAAUGACUAUCUUGCCAUUAUGUAGACCCGAUAAUGAUACGGUCUCGAUAUGUUUGUGGAGGCAGAGCAUACAAUGGUAAAAAGUGCUUCCCUCACAUGUUUCAUUUCAUUUUGAGUAAUUAUCAAGGUAGAAUACCAGAUAAAGGUAAGCGAAGAUUGAACUGUGAUUUAAACGCUUAGUGAAUAAUGGCGAUAUGCUUUAGUUAAUUGAUAUUACCCUUGGUGAGGGAAUAAAAGUAUACAACUAGAUUCGUAGAGAUCUACUUCGGAAAAGAGAUGAUGAUUUGAGAAUUCAAGUACUCGUAUACGAAUAAAGAUUUGGUAAGAAGACAUGACCUAGAGAUGGAAUACUACAACAUGAAUUUUUGCUAAAAAAAUCGACUUAUAAAACAAGUGGUGUUUAGGGAUCGUGCUAAUCAGUGGUUGACUCUCGUAUGAGAAUAGAAUAUUGAAAUCAACUUUGUGUAUUCACCACAAAUGGUGAGCAUGAUCUAACCAACUAUAAGAAGAAAUGAUUUUAAACUUGAUUGUCCAUCAUUUUGGUUUUACAGAUGGCUUAUUGAGCUUGAUAUGCCUAAGGCCACUUAAAGUUAAAAUUUUUGAAAAUAUAUGUAUGGAUAUAUAUGUUGCAAAUUGGUAAAAAAAAACUCAUACGGAGUUGAUUGUAAUUUGAUUUGGUGAUGAUAUCCUAUCAGCGGUUAUAACACGAAAUAAUGACUAAGAUAAUCCAUUGGUGAUUUUGGCAGUGAACAAGUUGAUUAUAAUGCUAUCAAUGUAAGGGUAAGUGUUUAUACUUCUGGUAUUAGUUCAUAAAUUUCUAUCAUAUCAUGAUCAAACUUACUGUUUUUGAUAUAGCUUGAGAGGUUUGGCAUAUGAACUAGCUUAAUUGUAAGCUAGAAAUUGAUAAGCUAUUAUAAAGUACACAAAUAGAUAAGUAUGCCAUGGAUUUAAUUCCCUAAAGGCUAAUGGAAUAAAACGUACUAGUACUGGUAUAGCCCCAAUAUAAAGUUUUAACUUAUGAAGAUUUGGAAAAAAAAAAUUAGCUUAUGCAUGAAGAUGGUGCAUUUCAGUUUAUGCAAGAAAAGUUUAAAAUCUGCCUUGUUUGGCAUAAGGCCCAUGAUUGAGAAUGAAUGAUUAUAGAUUUAAUUUUCUAAGGUAAAAAAGGCCAAAAGGGAGUUAAUAUCAAAAAGGUCUUAAUAGAUGAUUCUUUGAUUUUAAAGUACACUUAAGGAGAGACAAGUGUCUAAUUUCAUCCUCGGAUGGAUGAACUAAUGAGGCCGUGAGAUUUGGCAUUUGAAGUAAAUUUGAGGAAUCUCAAGUUAAAUAUGUUUGUAUGUGACAUAUAACUAACAAGUUGGUUAUGACCUAGGAAUUAUAAAGAUUGGUUAAGUCCAUAAGGAUGCAUCCAAAGGUAUCGUUAUUUAUUGAAAUGUAUUGUGGUAAGAGUCGAGAUUUACUUAGUAAGUACUCGAUCAUGAAGGUACUGGAGUUUUGUUUUUAGGAAUAUGGUUGCUAAUGGUUACCGGAUUUGAAUCAUCCAUGAUGUUAAACAUAUAUGAAUAAAUAAAGAGUGUUUGAUCCUUAUGUAUUAUGAAAUGCUUGAAUGGAAUUUGUAUGGAGAUAUGUAAAACGAAAUAGAUGUUGGUUGACCAUUUAGACCCAUAGUCAAUGGUGGAAUAAAUGCUUGAAUGUUGGAAGGUUUGAUAAAAGAUCAAUGUAGAGGAAUUGUGGAUGGUUAAGUAAAUAUGCAUAAUUGAUGAUUUAAGAAUGAUUUGAUUGAUAGGUGACCAGAAUUAAUAGCAUAUUUGAAUUCUCUUCAUAAGAUGAAGAAUGGUAUCGUUUUGAUCUAACAAGAGUAGUACACAUAAUUAUGUAUCUUAUGUUAAUCAUGGCCAACAGAAGUGAUGUAAAAGAAUUUUAGAAUUUUGAUUGUUCACCCCACACCGAUUCGAAUUCGAGGAUGAAUUCAUUUUAGGUAAGGGAGACUGUAGUACCUCAUACUUUGAGGUUGUGGCUAAUAAUGCUUACUGGCUACUAAUUGAGGUUGAUAACUGAGUAAAAAGGGUAAUUCAGAAGUGAGCCUGUGAAACUUUGACCUCCAUAGACAUGUAACUAGAAGUAGACGCGAUAACACUAACUAGGGCCAAUUUCGUCAUUUCUCUUGGUGAGCUCCUACGAGUGGGUUUUCUGAUGUUGUUAAGGCCUAAGUAGGCCUAAGGCAUAAAUGAAUGAUGAAAAUAAGGAUAUAAUAACGAAGGAAAUAGAAAUAGUGAUGACUUCUGUAGUAGAGGCAAAAUGGUGAUUUUGCACCUCGAGUCAAAAUUUUUAAGUUUUUGUGAACUCGAGUACUUCUAGACCACUAUGGACUUUGUCUCAAUGUCUAAAGAGUAAAAAGUUAAACCAAAGGAAAGAAGAAGACAAAGUCACCUUAUGGAAGGCAUUUUGGUAAAUUACAUGAAAAUUUGGAUAAACUUUAUAUAUAAAUAUCUAAAGCUUUAGCAAUUUCCAGCAGCUUCCAACCAUUUCUUCUUCCUUUCCCAUCUCACGUUUCUUCAUCUCCAUGGGAGCCUUCCUUAAAGCUUCCAUAACUUUCUCUCUCUAGCUUCAAUUUUCAUGCUUUUGAGCACUUUUUCAUAGAACCUUUUGUGCUCUUUCACUCUCUCACGUUAAAACCCUUAAAAAGUCUUACUUCCAUCUUCCUCUCACUAGCUGGACAUAUAAAGAGAGAGAUAGUGAUUCCCCUUAUUAGCUUGAAGAAUUUUGAAAGAGAAUUCAACUACAAAGACCAUCAAGGUGAGUAUAAGUUAGGGUUAAAUUUCUUUAAUUUUUGAUAAUGGCUAACAAUGGGGUUUGUGGGUGCUUGUCGUUGAGGUUGUUUAUUCUCUCUUAGGGUGACUACAGUGGGGUAAAUAACUAGCCACUUAAUGGCAAUUGGAAGCCACUUAGGAAUAACUAGUAGAACUUGAUUUAGGAAAGAGCUUUUGGAAUUAUAUUAAUGCCAAUUUGGGUUGGUUGUGAUAUUAUGUGUGUAAAGGUUCUAACAAGGCCUCACAUGUCCAUUUAGAGCAUUAGUUGAGGUUAGAGUCAAGCAAAAGAAUCAACAAGACCGGUGAGUGAACUUGCAUCAAAAUGUUUUUGGGAAAUACAUAUGUCUUGCAAUGAAGCAUUUAAAUGAUUUUACUUGGUUUUCAUUAAAUUAUGCAUGGGAACAAGCCCUUGAUAAAAUGUUUUGAUGUUGUGAAAAUGUAAAAUGUGUAAAAAGAUGAAUCCAUGUGCUCCUAUAUUAUGUUGGCAUGUAUAUAUGUGAAUAUGUGUUGUGCAUUGAUGAAUAACGUUGUGUGUUGAUGAUGACCCGGCUAUGUGCGUGUAGGGAGUGUGCAUAAGCCAUUGAUGACCCGGCUAUGUGCGAGUAAGAAGUGCGCGUAAGCCGGUGAUGACCUAGCUAUGUGCGAGUAAGGAGUGCACAUAAGCUAAUAAUGAUGAUCCGGCUAUGACGAUGAAUGAAGUGAGGUGGUGUAUGUGUUUAUAUAUGUUUAUAUAUGUAUAUGUGAUAGAAAGUUUAUAAUUAUAAUAUGUGAUUUAAAUGAAUAAUGAGAAACUUGAUUAUUGUCAAUGUGUUCACUUUGAUGUGAAAUAUGGUAGGAAUGGAUUUGGUGCCAUGUGAAAAUCCCUUAAUUGUCAUCUGCUCUGAAUCUCACAACAGUGAGAAACUCUCAAAUGGUGGGGGCAUAAACCAGCCAUGUUUCUCAUUGUAGUGAAAAAGAAUACUCACUACAACGAGGAAUUUCACUUCAGUGAAAAUGGAUUCUCGCUGUAGCGAGAGACUCUCGGGUAGACCCAAAAUUCUAGUGUAGUACUUGAAAUUUGACAAUGAUUUUGACAACUAUCCAAUCAGAAAUGGGCAAGGUGGUAAACAUAAAAGUUGUAUCCUAGCCUCUUAGCUUUCUAAUGGUCUAAAAAUCAGAUCAAUUGGAUUUCUGUAGUGGGAGAUAUGCUGGAAAAACCAAAACAUAUGCAAACUGAGACUGUUUCUCGCUGCAACGAGAAACUUGAUGUCCUACUUGCUACCUUGCUUUAUUUUGAUAUAUUUUUCACCCAUUUAACUUCAUGGAUGGAUCAUGGGUUUUUUCAACACUAUGAGGUUAUUAAUAAAAGUUUGAAAUGAGGGGUUUUUAGUAAGAAAUUAAAUCAAUUGCAUUGUUUUUGAAACAAGUGCAUAAUGAGUUACAAGUUCUCCUUAUCGAUUGCUUGUUCCCUUCUUAUAUUCACUCACUAAGUUUUAUACUCACAUUUUUAAACUUCAUAUUUCAUAUUCAGAGGCAGUUAGGACCUAGAUUGAGUUGUCCACGUAUGCUCACCUUCUUGGUCACUCAGCUGACGGUCAAGAGUCUGUUACCUGUGAAUACAUAUAUGUAAUGUAAUCUGCUAGGAUCCAUAUUAUAAGUCAAUUAUGUAUAUUUGAUUACUGAUGCCACUAUGAGUUGGCAACGGGUGACAUUAUUUUGACAUAAUAAAAUUAUGAGUUUUGGGUCACUAUAAAAUAUUACUGAAAUAUUUUUAGUUCAGAAUUUUAAUAUGUGGUUUUAGAAAUGAUGGUUGAGAAUAAUGAUUGGGUUUGCAUAAAAAGGCUUGCUUGGGCUGAAUGGGCUAUGCCCAUUAAGCCCAUGCGCCGGUCAUGGCUCGGUAUUUGGGCUGUGACAGUGGGAGUGCACAUGACAGUAUUAGCUAUGUGCGGUGUGGGAAUGCACAUGAGCUGGUGAGCUAAUAGUUGUAUACAUGUUUACACAUACCAUAGAGAGGUUAGGGAAAAUAUUAUGUGAUUACAUUGAAUGUUGAAUGUUGAAAUUGUUAAAUGCUUCCAAAUUGAUUUUCAUUGCAGCAAGAAUGGAUUUUUGUUGCAACAAGAAUUCUUCUAACUUAAUUGCCUUGUUUCUUGCUGCAGCAAAAUUUCAUUCUCACUGCAGCGAGAAACUCUCGGGUGCUUGGAAGCUUGACCCAGCCUUGGUUUUCACUAUAGUGAGAAACUCUUGACCUUACUUGGAUAUUUGCUGUAGUUUUCACUCUUUAACUCCAUUGUUCAUUAUGGACCUUUCAACACUAAGGGAUUAAGUAAUCAAGGGUUGAAAUGAGGGGUUUUAACAAGAAAUUAAGCUAAAUUAUAUCGUUUUUAACAUAAGUGCAUCAUGUUUUCUCAAACUUUCCUUAUCGUUUGCUUGUUCCCUUUUUAUGUUCACUCACUAGGUUUAUACUCACUCUUUUCAACUGCAUGUUUUUAGAUUCGGAGGUAGUUGGGAUCUAGAUUGAGGUGUCCACGUAUAUUCGUCUUUUUAGUAGAUACCAUGGCAUUCAGUAGCUGUACCUUCACCCAAGGUCACUCUGCUGGUAGUUAACAGUCUUUUGCUUGUGUAUACGCACAUGUGAUGUAAAUCUUUAAGAUUCAUGUUAUGAACAACACAUGUAUAUUUUGAUUGAUGAUGCCACUAUGAGUUGGCAAUGGGUGACAUUAUUUUGGGUUAAUAUAAAUGUAAAUAUUUGGGUGUCAUAGUAUAUUAUGGAAAUACUUAUAGUUAAGAAUUACGAAAUGUGACUGUGGGAAUGAGUGAUGAAAUAGGACUACAUAAAGAGGCUUGCUUGGGCUUAGUGGGCUGUGCCCAAUGGGUCCAUGUGCUGGUCAUGGCUCGAAACUGGGCUGUGACAACACCGAUCAUGGCCCAGAACUGGGCUGUGACAAGCACAUUUUAUUUCUUUUCUUUUCUUUUCUUUUCUUUUUUCAACCUGCAAACUUAUUUUUGACAAUUAUAAACUAGGGGUCAUUUUUCUAACAACCAUCACUUCUUCUUUUUUUCUUUUCACCUUCCUCAAUUUAUUCUUAGGCUCAAAUCAUUCCUUAGAAAGAUUAAAAUACUUAGAGGAUGAAAGGUUCAAAUCGCUGAAUUUAAAUAAACAGGCCAAGGCUAACAUAAUUGUGUAAUUACAAAGAAAAGGUAAAUUAGGCUAAAAAAGGGUGACAAAGGAUAUACAUAACAAGGUAGGCUCAAAAAGGCUCAAACGAUCCAAAGAUGGCCUAAAUCACUUCCUAUUCUAAGUGUUAUCUAAAAUUUCGCCUUGAGAGAGAAUCAAACAAAUUCUAGAUUUCUUGACUUCACUAUACUUUUUCAUCAACAUAACAUUUCCCUAGAUCACACAAAAACUCUAAGUAAAAGAGUAUAGUCCUUAAAUUAUUGGAAGUUACAUUCUAAAAUAAAGCUAACACAAUAAUAUCACAAAAAAUUAAAUCAUAACUAUAUACUUCCCAAAAGCUAAGAAUCAGAAGAUAAUUAAAAUAUCAUCCUCGGAUUGGGACAAUUAUGAAUGAGGAGCAACUAUCUCAAAAAUUUUUUUUUGAAACACAAUAAAACAUGCACAACAUAAAUAUGCAAAACAUAUCUUAAAAUAAAGCUAACUAAAAAUAAAUAAAUAAACUAAAAAAAUUCUAAACCACUCCCUUAAACUGGGAACAAACAUUGUCCUCAAUGUGAUAAAAGAAAAUAAAAGUCAAAAGACAAAGAUACUCCCCUAACUCCGAAGCUACAGUCUACAUGUGUUCCGUAUCGUCACCACCCAUCAUCUACUCUCAACAACAAAGCAUUCAUUAAUUAUAUAUGCAGUAAACAAAAAGUCUGUGAAUCCAUUAUAUGGGUAACAAGAAAUUAGCACUAAUCUUCAAAAUUUUCGACACUCUAAGCAUUAAUCAUGAGGAAGUAUGAAAAACCCAUUAACAAACAUGUAAAAUGGACCCAUUGAAGGUGCAAAAAUUAUAAAAUUUACCAUUAACACCAACCUCGUCCUUUCUUUACACAAAAUAAUAGAAAACCAAGUGUUAGGAGGAGUACUUACCUUAGAAGUGCAAUGAAUGCAAGAUUUCAAAGGGAAAAUACAAAAAAUCCAAGUAGAAAUAAUAUGCAAAAAAGUUAGAGUGAAAAAGAGAGAGGAAGACAAGAGAUUGGCAAGAGAAGGAAGAAUGGGAGUGGGGUUGGCGGCUGGAGAAGAAGAAGAAUGAAAGAAGAUAAAGAAAAGAAAAAAAAAUUGAGUUCUCAACGUUUUCCACCCGAAACAUUACGCUUUGGGUUUGAACACCGCGACUCUCAAGGUUGAGCAUCGUGGCACUCAACCUUUCUGUUUUUUUUUUCUUUGUUCAGCAUCGUGGGUCUCACUUAGAAGGCGCGGUGCUGAAACGUUCUGUUUUAGUCGUGUGGUAGCCUCAUUUUAGGGCCGCGGCUCCCACUUUGAGGGUCACAUUUUUUUGAAUUUUUUUCUUUUUUUCUUUUUUUUUUGAAUUUUUUUAACCAAUUACCUGCAAAAAGGAAACAUAAAAAAAUUAGUUUAAAAGAAAUAAAUUAUAACUAAAAAAAUUAAAUAAAAUAAAGGCUAAAACAAGUAAAGUUUAAGAACUUGGGUUGCCUCCCAAGAAACGCUCGUUUAUAGUCACUAGCUUGACUAUAAUACCCCCUUUUUCAAUUCGUUACCUCGAAAUAUGGUAUGAGGCUUAGCCCAUUAACCAUGAAUGUGCUCGUAUCCUCACUAUCAAUCUUAAUUAUUCUACAAGGAUAAGCCUUUAUUACUUUGAAAGGACCCCACCAUCUUUCUUUACGUUACCAUGGAAAAAGCUUAAAGUAUGAUCGAGAAAGCAUCAUUACUUGUUGUCCAAUCUCGAAAGGACAAUUAGAUGGUGGUGGAGGAUGCUCUGUUGGUGACUGCUUGGGGCUUACAGGAAAAGGUGGUGGUUCAAACUCAAAGAUUAGUACUUGCUCAAUUGUAGGUGGAGAAAUAGGUUCACCUUUUCUUUCAUCAAUUUACUCCACUCUAUAGCAACAAUUUGUAGAGCUAGGAUGUUUAUGUGCAUUGAAAAUAUUAAACUCAACUACCUCUUCUCUAACUUUAAAAGUUAUCUCGCCUUCCCUCACAUCAAUGAUUAUGCUUGCAGUAGCCAAGAAUGGUCGUCCCAAGAUUAAAGGAAUUUCUAGAUCUUUUUCCAUCUGAAGCACAAUGAAGUCCACUGAAAUGUAAAGAUGCCUAACUUUAACCAAUACAUCCUCGAUAAUCCCAACAGGGUACCUGAUUGUUCUAUCUACUAAUUGCAAAGAAACUAUAGUAGGUUGUAUCUCAUUAAGUCCAAGUUUCUCAGCAAUUGACAAUGGCAUAAUUGAAGCACUUGCACUCAAAUCACAUAAAGCUUUAGUAAAUUGAAAUCUACCAAUAGUACAAGGGAUAGAAAAACUCCUUGGAUCCUUAAGUUUUGGUGGAAGCUUGUUUUGAAUUAGUGCGCUACACUCCUUAGUAAGUGCCACUGUUUCAAAAUCUUUCAGUUUCCUCUUCUUGGUUAAGAUGUCUUUCAAGAAUUUAACAUAACUUGGCAUGUUUUCCAAAACUUCAGUAAAAGGGAUAUUGAUGUGGAGCUUCUUGAAGACAAUGAGAAACUUCUCAAACUAUUUAUCAAGCUUUUGCUUUUGCAACCUUUGUGGGAAUGGUGGUGGAGGAUAAUUUGCUUAAGAAUUCCGUUGGUUUUUAGCUUGCCCAUUAUCUGUCUUGUCCACUUCAACUUCUUUCUCAAUAAUUGCCUUGUCAUCAUCUACAUGCUCCUUUAAAGAUUCAACUGAUUUUUCACUCACCCCUUUAACUUCUUUUCCACUCCUAAGUGUAACUACAAUACAAUGUCCCUUACCUUUGGGACUGACUUGUGUAUCACUUGGUAGGGUACCUUGAGGUCUAUUGUUGAUGGAGUUUGCAAGUUGUCCCACUUGUGUCUCAAGAUUUCUCAAGAAAGCUCCAUAGCUUUGAAUUAAAGAAUCAGUCUUAGACAUAUAUUGCAAGAGAAGUUCUUCCAAUUAGGACUUCUUUUCAGGAAUUUAUGGUCUAGCUUGUUGCUGAAAACCAAAAGGCAUUAUGGGUUUUCGAUUGGAAGGCCCUGCAUUGUUGUUCCAUGAAAAGUUAGGAUGGUUUCUCCAACUCGGAUUAUAGGUAUUGGUGUAUGGGUUAUUCUACUAUCUAUUAAAGUUUCCCACAAAUUGGACUGAUUCAAAGUUGUAUGGGCAUUGAUCAUACGAAUGGCCAUCUCCACACAUCUCACAAACUACUAAUGAAUUUUGAACUGCAUGAACUCUCAGUGUGUCAAACUGCUUGGACAAUGCAGCUACUUGAGCAAUUAAGUUGCCAAGUGCAUCAAUUUAAUAGGAUCCAAUAGCUUUUCUCGAACUCGACCUUUCUAAAGGCUAUUCAUAAUUAUUUGAAGCGAUCUCUUCCAACAAAUUAUAAGCAUCUGCAGCAUUCUUACUCAUUAAUGCCUCACCAGCAACAACUUCAAUUGUGGUUUUUAUUGACCAAACCAACCCAUUGUAAAAUGUCUGAACUUGAAUCCCAUGAUGUGGACAUAUUUUUUGUAGUUCUUUAAACCUCUCCCAAGCUCUAUACAAGGACUCACCAUCAAAUUGUGUGAAUGAGGUGAUAUCGUUCCUCAUCUUUGCAGUCUUGGCAAGUGGAAAAAAUUUUGCUAGAAACUUUUGUGCCAAGUCUUCCCAUAUAGUGAUAGACCCAUUGGGUAAUGAAUUAAGCCAGCUUUUUGCUUUAUCCCUCAGAGAAAACAAAAACAACCUUAAUCUAAUAGCAUCAUUAGUUACUCCAUUGUAUUUAAAGGUAUCGCAGAUCUCCAAGAAAUUUACUAAAUGAGAAUUAGGAUCAUCACUAGGUAACCCACUAAACUGGACUAAAGACUGAAUCAUCUGAAUGUAAGCUGGUUUAAUUUCAAAAUUAUUUGCAUUGAUGGGAGGUCUCCUAGUGCUUUGGUGCAAACCUUGCAAAAGAGGAACAACAUAAUCGCCGCAGUGCUCUAUUUGCUUCAGGAACCAAAUUAAUGGCAUUGUUGCCAUUAUUAUUGUUAUCCUCAGCCAUUGUUUAACAUAAAGCUGCAACUUGUAAGUUCUCCCUUAGACGUCUUUUGAAAGGAACAAGAUUCAAGCUAUUUCUUCUUUGCAUAAAAUGACCAAAGAUAUCUGCAAACAAACAAAAUCUAAUAUUAAAACAAGAAAAUUAAAAUUUGAAGUAAGACUAAAUUGCUUGGUAUUAGUAUUAGUAAAUAUUCUAAAAACAAUUCCCUGGCAAUGGCACCAAAAACUUGUCAGUUAAAAUUCUAUUGCGCAUGUAUAUGUAUCGAAUAGAUAGUAUAUAAGCAAGCAGAAUAUUGAUCUCAUAGAGAAUUGAUUUAAAAUUUUACUAAGUACUAAAAUUAGAACAAUUUAAUCUUAUCCAAAUACUCAAAAUUAAUUGAUUAACUAAAACUAAUUAACUAAAAUUUUAAUCAAGAAAAAAUCAAAACAAUAAUAACUUAAGAAAAUAUCAAAUCAAACAAGCCUAGGAUUACAAUAUCCCUCACACUUCAUCUAAAUCUUACCUUUCUUCCUUAACUUAUUUCAAUGGGUUGAAUUGCUAACCUAGUGUAUUAAAUUAUUUAUAAAGGUCUCUCGACUCAUCUUAUAAAAAUAUCUAUUUUAACUAAACCACUAUAUCUCUAUGUGAAUUGAAAUUAAAAUAGACUCAUUAAGUUCAUGCACUAAUCUGGUUACAUAUGGCCUAUAAGUAUAUCUAUAUCCUAUACGCAAAUCAAUUAAUGUGAUCAUAUGCUAUUUCAAUUUUAGUAUACUCUAAACUCCCUUUCCCAAGUUUUCUUAGGUUCUUAAACCAAUUUAAUUGGUGGCAUGGCAAUUAAAAGUAUUAAGAACAAAUUGGAAUAAACAAUUCAAUUCCAAUUGAAGAUAAGUAAAAAGAGAUUAAAAAUCUAGAUUACAUGUGAGUUCAAUUGUAAUCCUAGAAAAAGAAAAUUAGCUACUCAUAAUCACAAAAACAAAUAACAUUAUAAUAAAUUCAGCCAUUGAGAGUAACAAGAAAAAUAAAAACCAAGGAAGAAAAUAAAACAAUAUUCGCCGCCUUGAUCUCCAAGUUUCAGCCUCAACUCCUAGCUUCUUGAAUCUCCCAAAAGUUGUCUCCCCUAAUAUUCUUCAAACUAUCCUAUUUAUGCUAAUAACUUAACCUAUUCUUCCUUAAGUUGACCUAGGGUUUAAUUGGGCUUAAAAGUGUAAUGAGAGGCCUAAAAAUAAAUUGUUAGUCUUUACAAAUUUCCAUUUCCAUUGUAGUACGUCAAGCCAUUUUCCAACGUGAUUUUCUCUAUCUUCAAAGCAGAACUGCAUAAAGUAAUCUUCACGAAAGUUGUAGCUCUGUCUCUUAGCUUUCCAAUGGUCUAAUAAUUACAUCAUUUGGAGUACUGUAGCACGAAUUAUGGCCAAAACACUGAAGUAUAUGCAAGCAGACUCUAGGUCUUUCAACACCUUACUUUCCAAAAUUAAGCCCAAUUCUUUUAGUUCCUAUGAAAAAUAUAAAAACUAAUAAAUAAUAACCAAAUUAAAAAGAAUAACAUAAAAUUAAAAUAACUCAAUAAAAUAUAAUUAUAAAAACAAUUAGAAAUAAAUAAAUUAUAAUUAAAAAUUGAGGACUUAGCUAAUAUUUAAUAACAAAAUUGGACUAAAAUGAUUCUAUAAAAUAGAAUUAUCAACCGUUUAAUUCAAAAACCAUUUAGUGGAAAGAUUUAAUCUUACCUCUUGAUUAGUUUUCUAGCCUCUGAACACCUUUUUGAAGCCUCAAAUCACUAGGGGAGACAAUGGUUUUGAGAGUGUUGAGAGAGCUUGGUUUUUCCUUUUUGCCUCAAAUGGGCAGAUAGCCCAAGGCUUUAUAUUUUUUUGCAAAUAUGCAUCAAUGUAUCAUGACAUUUGGAAAUGUAUCGAUACAUUUUCAUGGGUUAACUUUAAAUAUAUCGAUACAUGAGGCAAUGUGUAGAUACGUUUUCCUUAAUGUGACACCUAAUACCCUCGUAUAGAAGUCAAUAUGACCUUAUAAAUGAGACAAAGGGUCAAUGGAUGUUGAUUUAAGUGACAAAGGAUGGAGACGAGUGAAAAGAGUAUUUUAAGAUAAAAUAUUUCACACGCGAAGAAAUAAUAAUAAAAUAAUAAUAUUUUUGUCAAGGAAGAAUUUACGAGAUAAAAGGUGCUUCGGAUGUGAAUCGGGGCAAAGUAAGAUUUUUGGAGCCCUAGAAGGCUAGUGAAAAAUUUUGGAAUAAAAUAAUAUUUUAUUAAUAAAAUAAUAUUAAAAUAUUAAUAUUUUAUUCGAUGUCGAAACUUUUCAUGAAGGAGAAAUAUAUGGUCAAUCUAAGUGGGGGAGAAAAAGGAUAAGGAAAUUUUAAAGAAAAAUGACGUUAAUGGGGCUCGCAUGUCUUUAUUAAAUAAGCUAGCGCAGGUAAGUAAAUAUUUAAAUAUUACGGUGUUACCGCAUUGAAUCAUAAAUUUGAUAUUUUAUUGGUACAAGUGCUAAGGAAGAAAAAUGGAAAGAAAUUGAAAUUAAAAGAUUGUGGAAUGAUACAAUUAAAAAGGGUGAAACCUUAGAAGGUAAAACGGUAAUUUUUCAUAAAGUUUGGUCAAAGCUUCCAAAUGAAGCUUUGACUCUCCAUCCUUAUCCAUGGCUGGCCAUUGUGUCCAAGGCAUCAUCUUCCUCCUUCAUCUCCUCCCAACACCAUUUUUGUUCCUUCCCCAUAAAAUUCAAGAUUUUCAUUUUCUUUUCUUUGUUUUCUUUCUUUCUUUUUCUUUUCUUACUCCUUCCUUUUCCUAACUUCUUGGGUAUCAAACUUGCAACUUCUAACCCCAAUUUUCAAAACAUCUAAACCCUAGGAGAGAGAAAGAAAAUCUCUCUUCCUUUCUUUUGUUUUCUAUUUCUACUCCACUUUCAACAACACUUGGAUUUUUGGCUUCAAAUCUUCAUUUUUAAGGCUAAAAGGUAUAUAUUUUUAACCCUUGAAUUUUUGAAUUUAUGGGUUUGUAAUUUUUUGACUUUGUUUUCUAAGUUUCUUCAAAUUUUCUUUCCUUGAAAUUUGCUAGGUUUGGUUGAUCUUUAUACCUUCAAGCACCAAGGUCAAGAAACUUAAAACUUGAACAAUUAGUUUAAAGGGUUUGCGAAUUAGGCUAGAAUUCUAGGUUAAAAGUUAGGUUAGAGUGUAGAUUGUAUAGUGUAUAUUUAUUAGAAUUAUUAAAUUCAAAUUAUGACUUGAUAGAGGUUGUUAUGGCUUAUUGGUAAAUAUAGGUUUUAACGGUAUUUUGGGACUACCUAGAUUGAGACUUUGUGGGCACUAGUUUUGUAAGGUGGCAUUAAGGUGAGUGAACUUGCUUAAAAUGUUUUGGAAUAAAUGAUUAUAUGCUUAAUUCAACCACUUGAAAUAUUUUGUUGGUUUGUCUUCAAAAUUUGCAUGGGAACAAGCCCUUGAUAAAACAUUUUAUGUUGUGUAAUAUGAAAGUGAUGAAUUCAUGUGUUUCUACAUUAUGUUAACGUGUAUGUUAUGCGUUGAAUGGCACUAUUGGGUGACAAUUGUAAUCAUGCAUGUGCGGUGCGGGAGUGCACAUGACGGUGAUAGUGGCGUGCUGUGUGAAUGCACACAAUGAUGAUAUAUGCCAUGUGCGUGAUAGUGGCAUGCUGUGUGAGUGCACAUACUAAUGAUAUAUGCAAUGUGCAUGAUAGUGGUGUGUUGUGUGAGUGCACACACUGAUGAUAUUUGCCAUGUGCGUCAUAGUGGUGUGUUGUGUGAGUGCAAACACUGAUGAUAUAUGCCAUCUGUGAGGGGGAGUGCACAUGAUGAUAUUGCCUUGUGCGAUGUGGAAGUGCACAGGAUGCUUCUAGCUAUGUGCAGUGUGGAAAUGCACAUGAGCUACUAAGAUGGAAGUUGUAUACAUGUAUACACAUACCAUAUAGAUGUUAAAGAAAUAAAAUGUGAUUGUAUUGCAUAUUGAAUGUUGAAAUUUGACAAAUGUUUUCCAAUCAAUUUUUCAUUGCAGCAAAAAUGGAUUUUCAUUGUGACAAGAAUUCUUUAACUUGAUCCUUGGUUUUCGCUGCAGCAAAAUUCAUUCUCGCUACAGCAAGAAACUCUCGAGUGGAUGGCCUUAACCCUUGCUUUGGGAUUUUUGCUGCAACAAAAAUGCAUUCUCGCUGCAGCGAGAAACUUUAAGGUUGUUGGUUCAAAAUUUUGCCCCGAAGUUCGCUGCAGCGAGAUUCACUCUGCUAUGCUUGCCUUGCUUGAACUUCCUAAAUGUUUUAAAAUGAGUUGAAAAAUAGCAGGGCAUCGAGUUUUGUUCAUAAUAUAUAAAAUUGCAUUAUUUUUAAACAAGUGCAUCAUGUUUUUGAAAAGCUCUCCGUAUCGUUAGCUUGUUCCUUUCCUAUGUUCACUCACUAGGUUUAUACUCACUUUUUUUAACUUCAUGUUUUCAUAUUCGAAAAUAGUUGGAUCUUAGGUAGAGGCGUUUCCUCCUGUUCAUCUUACGGUAGGUUUGCCAAAACACUCCAUAAUAUUAUCUACGCUAGAGUCACUCCAUUGAUAGUCAAGGUAUUUUGUAUAAGUAUAUGGUUAAUUAAAUGUAAUUCAUGAGAUUUGUUGUAAACAUUGUAUGUUUGGUUUGCAUGAUAAUGUCGCCACAAGUUAGCAUAUGGUAAUAUUAUUUUGUGAAUGGUAUUGUUCAGUUGCCAUGAUUUAUUUUCGAAAGGAAAUUAUUUUUGAAAAACAAUGAAUUAAAAACCUUAAAGGUAAAAGAGGGAGAGGUGGUCUAAUAAACAAGUUUCAUAGAAAGGCUUGCUUGGGCCUAGUGGGCCUUGCCUAUUGGGUCCUUGAGCGAAUCAUGGCCCGGGAAUUGGGCUGUGACAUUUAAGGUGCUCUCAGUUUCAAAUCUAUCGAUCAUUUGGACAACGUAUCAAUACUUUUUCAUAAUACCCCUUUUAUGUGUUUACUGUCUGGAAUGUAUUGAUACAUGGGCACCAUGUAUCGAUACUUUUCGUCCAGAUUGCAUUUUUUUCAACACUCAAAGCUUUUAGCUCCAUUUUCUAACUUACAUUCUCAUCUCAUUUCUUCAUAAUCUCUUAACAUCAAUCAUAUAAACUCAUCAUAUGCUUCAAUUAUUCAUCUAUGCUCUAUGUCACAUAACAUAUAAAUCAAACAUAGCUAUUUGCUUUUCAUAGCAUACUCAUUUAAGUUCCAACAUAUGCACUAUUUCAAUGCUCAUACAUUGGCAAACAUAGCUCAUACUUAUUUGCUUUUAGGUGGCAAACGUAUGCACAACAUCAAAAUGCUCAUACAUUCUCAUAAUCAUCACUUUAUGGACAUAGGCAGUCCUUACAUCCAUAAACAUAAACAUCAAAAUAUGAUUAUCUCGUUCAAACAACUUAACAUAAAUUAGACACCAUUACCAUCAAGGUCGAGGGUGUUACAUUCAUUUUGUAUGGUUAUCUAUUGAUAGAUUCCAUGGAUCUAUCGAUGAGUUGUGUUGUAGUCACAAACCAUGAACAAGACUCUACACUAUUCUUGACACUCUGCUAACACACAUAAGAGGACCUAGGACACUCUAAAACCUUGGUGCUUUAAUACCAACUUUGUCAUGAUCCAGACUCGAGGGUCCGUGACUAACGCACAAGCUUAACAAGCUAAACCCACGAGGCCCAAGCAAACCUCAAAAUUCCAAAUCGUACACAUACAUCUAAAGGUUUCCAAUGCCACAAUUUCAUAUAAUACUUCAAUUCCAAUACUUAAAUGUUACCCUUAGAACAUAGUUCAUCCUCAAUAUCCAUAAAGCCAUACAUUGGCCAUCAAAGCAUGUUCAUGCUUGACAACCUUUAAUACAAAUUCAAAUGGCACAUCGUGCCUACAUACAUAACUAAACCAAAUACAGAGCAGAAGCUCAUGACAGACUUACAGGAGUGGACGUGUCAGAUGGGAACCUACCGGAUGCCAAAAUUGAUUUGUCAAUGGAUGACCCUUUCCAUGCACUCCUAUGGCCUAUUUAUCUACACAUGGUACAACAAAUGGAUGAGUCAUUUAAUACUCAAUGAAAGGUGGAGAUAAAUCAACAUAUAUAAUUAACAAUAUAUAUAUAGUGCACUAUCAGUGCAACAAAACAAUUUAACAAGUAUCUUCAAGAUUAGGGGCAUAUCAAUCAUCCCUAAGAUGUCUCCAUAAAUAACACACACAACACUAGGCUUAUCCUUAAAGACAUUCAAGGUUAUUCUCCAUGGCUUACUUUAGUCACUAGAGUAUCAUAUCAGGUUUGAAUCAAACUUACCUAAGCCUAUCCGAGGCUAUGUCACAUCACCCAUAAUCCAUUUGAUAAUCAUAGAGUGGUCCUCCCUCAAACAUCAUCAAAUCAUGCACGGUGGCCAACCGAACGACCCAAAUUUCAGGCUAUGACCGGCGCAUGGGCCCAAUAGACGUAGUCCAUUAAGCCCAAGCAAGCCUAUUAAUCUGUCAUGUUCAUCAUUCCAUCAUAAACUGCUAAGUCAUAUUUCAUAACUUAGGAUCAAAAUAAUAUUGAACAUUUCCAUCUCGUACUGGCAUACCAAACAAGUAUGUAUACAUUGUCUACAACAUGUAUCUUAAUAAUUUACAUUAAACUUGUCUAUACAAAACAAAAGAAUACACAACUUCCAGCGGAGAGACUCGAACGAAUGUACAGCUACUGAAUGCCAAGACACCUACCAAAAGAUGGACACAAGUCUACAAGGACAUCUCGUCUUAGUUACUAACUGCCUUGUGAUCUGAAAACAUGAAGUUGAAAACGGUGAGUAUAAACCCAGUGAGUGAACAAGGAAGGGAACAAGCAACCAUAAGGGAGAAUUUAAAAUUAUGAUGCACUAGUUUUAAAACAAUGCAAUUUAAUUUCAUUCAUAUUGAAAACUCCUCAUUAAACCCUUAAAUAUUAAUCACUUGGUAAUGAAGAACCCAUACAUAACAAAUAAUUUGAAAAAUGAAGGCUUCAGUGAUACAUAAGCAAGUCAAAUGCGACAACGAAUCUUCGCUGCAGCGGAAAGGCGCUACAGCUAGAAUGAAUUUUUACUGCAGCGACGUUGGGAUUAAGUUAUUAGCCAAACGAGGGUUCUUUAACUGGCCGAGGGUUUCUCACCAAACUUACUCAUUUUAAACUUAAUUCACUUAUUCCUUAAUAUUGGAAGUCCAAGCUCAACUAUGGUACCAAAGAAAUGGAAAAUGGAGCAGCAACCCAACCAAAAAGGAAACAAAAUAGAGAGUUUUUCACUGUAGCGAAAUUUUGAUCCCAAAACAGAAUGUUUCUAGCUGCAACGAGAAGCUACAGUACCUUUCUCGCUGCAGCGAGAAUGUAUUUUUGCUACAGCGAAAACCAAAUUGGUGAGGCUCUCGAAAACCCGAGAGUUUCUCGCUGCAGCGAAAUUCAAUCUUGCUGCAGCGAAAAACAGGGGACAAGCAAAAAUCCCUCUUUCCCUCAAACAAAAGCCACCCUGUUCACAUGACCAACACAACAUGAAUCUCAUAUAAUUUCCCCAAAGUUUAACAUGUCAAAUUUCACAUGCAAUUCAACCAUAUACCAUAAUAUGAACUUUCUAUAACUCACACAUUUACAUAUACAUACAUCAUCAUCAUGUACACCAUCCCAUCAUUCCCAGCUCAUGCGCACUCCCUACUCGAACAUGGCUAGGUCAUCACCGGGUUAUGCGCACUCCCUACUCGCACAUAACUGAGUUAAUAUCAUUAUACAACAAUGUAUUCACAUAUAUAUAUCAACACAAUGUGGUAGUACAUGAAUCAAUAAUAGUCACAUGUCACAACAUGGAGACAAUCUAUCAAAAGCUUGUUCCCAAGGCACUUGUUUUCAUAAAAAAAAAAAACUUGAUAAUUCAUUCAAAUGAGUGGCAAGUACAUUAUAUUUCCCAAAACAAGUUUUGAAGGCAAUCCACUCACCGGUAUAUUGUUGAGCCUUGAACCGACUCUAAUUUCUCUAAUUGCCCAAAUGGAAUGAUGGAACUUUGUUGGAACCUACCAUUACAUUAACAUCACUAUUUUAUUAAUUCACAUAAUAUAAACCCUAAAGCUAUCUUUUAGCUAGCUUUCAAUUGCCACUUUAAAUGGCUAUCUAUGUUCAUUAUCUUAAUUACUAUAAAAUGAAUGAACAUCCUUAACAAUAAACAGCUCAUAAUCCCAAUUACUAGCCAUUUUCUACAACUAAAAAUUGAAUUUAGUUCAUCACUCACCCUUGGGUUUCUUUGUAGUUGAAUUCUCUUCCAAUAGCUUCUAAAUAAAUGGGGUAAUUCUCUUUUUCUCUCUCUAAAAUGCCUAACUAGUGAGAGAAAGUAUGGAAAUAAGAUUUUUUUAGGGUUUUAAAGUGAGAGGAUGAAAUAGCACAAGGGUUUAUGGAAAGGUGCACCAAAAGCAUGAAAAUUGGAGCUAGAGAGAGAAAGUUAUGGAAGCUUGAAGAAAACUCCCCUGGACGAAUUGAAGAAACGUGAGAGGGAAGAAGGAAGAAGAGGACAAGCUGCUAGAAAUUUCAAGAAGCUGCUGGAAAUUAAAAAUAUUUAUAGCCAAGCUUAUCCACUCCACUUAAAUUACCAAAAUGCCCCUUCACAAAUUAACUUAUUCUCCUCUAAUCUUUUACGCAAUCUUUUUGCUCUUUUAACACUGGGACAAGGUCCAUAAUGGUCUAGACAUGUUCGGGUUCAUAAAAACUUAAACUUUUGACUCAAGAUAAAAAAUGACCGUUUUGCCCCUAUUAUGAAAAUUGUUGAAACUUCUAGUUUUCUUUGUUUUUUCAUCAUUACACAUCGUUUAUGUAGUCUUAUACCUAUUUAGACCUUAAAAUAUCAUAAAACUUUCUUCUAAGAGCUUAUUAGAGAAAAUGACGAAACUACCCCUAGCUCAUAUUAUUACAUCUAUGCUUAGUUACAAGCCUAUAGAGGUUGAGGUCUCACAAAUCAUGUUCAGGGUUAACUCGCUAAUGGAAAAUCAAAUCACACGAGUGCUGAAGCAACGGGUGAAAAGUCAGAGUCAUCGUCUAGAGUAAUCUCCCAACGAAUGACAACAACUACAAAAAUCUCAAACAAGUGGCAUUAUAAACAAAGUCAUCAUCCGAAGUAAUCUCAACGGAUGGCAUCAAAGAAUUGCAGGCAGGACUAAUACCACCAUCCCUGCAUGCACAAAGCAAAGUCACAGCGCGUUCAACUCCACUUCGUCCUCAAAUCAAAUCAACAUUCGGAAUUCAUCGAUCGAAUAGAGUACACAUCCAUAAUUAUGGCCAUCAUGCCUUGGGUACCACAUGUACCACAAUUUACAUCAGAGAGCACUCUUAAUGAGCUUAAGAUAUUUCUAGCUCAAUAUCUCAUAUAGGUGCCUUUAAUUCUCUAAGGCAUUAAAUACUCAUAAUCCACCGAGGGGUCAAUUGUCUAGAGUAAUCUACUCUUAGAUGUUUAUCAUAUCCUCAAGACUUCCUAAUCUAGGCUCACACAACAUAGGCCACUAUGUGGCUUACACUAAGGCACACAACACAACACAUAUAUUUCGUUCUCUAGCCUAGGCACAUUCAUUUAGGCAAAUAUAUAUAUAAUUUCUAUUUUAGUACCAUGGAGGUGCCUUUAACAAAGCAUCAUGCAUCACAUGCACUUUAACUAAACUCACUCAUAGUGACAGUCAAAGGUACAUUCCAACACCAAGCUCCAAUCCUUAGCCUCCAACCAGCUUUUACCUCACUAAUGAGUUAGGUAGCUUUAACUUUCCUUUAAACACAUCAAAACAUUCAAAUAAUAUUUAUUCCUAACUUUUGAAACUAUUCACCUAGUCAAAAAUAAUCCAAUUCAAUAUAUAAGCUCAAAUCCUUCAACAAUGAACUAAAUCCUUACCUUAGUAGCUGGGUUGCCCAAGUCUGAGCUUUAAAUUCCUAGCAAACUUAAGGGAGAAAAUCUCACCCAAGCUAGACCAAAUUGAUUCUAAGUUAUUAACUAAUUAAAUUGAAAAUCAAUUGGUAAAAAGGCAUAAUCCUAUGUCCAGAAACAUUUCCCAAGCUCUAAUCUACUUCAAAUAGCUCUAAAAUUUCAUUUGGAAAGUUAGGGUUCUUAACGGUUUGAAAGAAAAGCGUUUUCCUAUUUUAUUUUAAGGUAAAUGAUGCUUUCAACCCUUUUUAUUUUUACAUUUACUGGGUCAUCUGUUGAUAGAUGGAAGGCAUCUCUCGAUAGAUCCCUCUAAAAUUUAGGCAUUGACUUUCAUCUAUCAUCUAUUGAUAGAUUCCUCGAAUCUAUCGAUAGUAUAUACCCUAACCCCAUUUUUAUUUUUCCCUAUUUGGCCAUCUAUCGAUAAAUGUUUCUCACUUUGAUUUCCAUUCAUUUCAUAUGGCUAUCUAUCGAUAGUUUCCACAAAUCUAUCAAUAGAUUCCAUCACAUAUACUUCACUUAGUUUGCAAGUGGUCAUCUAUCAAUAGAUAUCGUGGAUUUAUUGGUAGAUAUUUGUCUAACUUGGUUUCCCCGUGCUUCCUAUAGUGCAUCUAUCCGUAAAUGUAGAAUAUCUAUUAAUAGAUUAUGCCCAGAUUUCAUAUUUUCACUUCCUUAAAUCCCCAAACUCAUUCCUAAGGCCCCCAAUUCACUUUCCUUCCAUUAAAAUGCCUCAAAUCAUUCAUUUUACGUGAAAUCCUUCAUAUAUAUACUCAAUUUUAUGAUCAAAUCCUGAUCAAAGUAUCAAACUUCAAAAUUUACCAAAUUUCUUCCUAAAUAUUUGUCAAUAGCCAUACCUCUAUCUACUUAACACAUUUAACACAUCAUUAAGGUCCUCAAAUCUAUUUACAAAUUCAAAUUCAUUAUCCAUAAUUUAUAUUGAAAAAUUAGGGGUGUUACAAUUAGUGCAUGGCUAGGUAAAAGCCUACAUGGAUGAAUACAUUCCUACCCAAUUAUAUGUGAAUGUGAAAUGUUAGAGAACCCACUAUGGCGUAUAUGCCAAUGUGGAUGAAUUGAGGUGCCUCUACAAGGAGUUGAAUUUGGAUGGUAGAAUGCCCACAAAUAUAGAUUAUGAGAGUGGAUGAAUAAGUCUCCACCACUUAAGGAUUUUAUGUGGAUGUAUAGAUGCCCACGAAUGAAAUUAUACUAUGAAUGGAAAUGAUACAAUGUGAAUAUCAUGAUUCUAGUUACAGUAUUUUAUGUGAAUGAUAAUGCAUUACAUUAAGGUUGCGUUUGGUAUAAGGGAUGUAAAGUCACAUUCCCUGCAAUGUGUCCAAUUAAAUUACAGUGCAGUGUUUGUUUUGUAACAAACCAUUGCAAUGUAAGAUUGCAAUGCAAUCACAUUGCACCUAAUGGAUGUAAUGUGAUUGCAGUCCAAAACCAAUGCAAUCACAUUACAUUGCACUCUGUAAUGUCUUUAAGGAAAUUUUUACCCAUCAUCUUUUAAAAAAAUUACUCACAAUUUGAAGCAAAACAUCGUUUUUGGGGUUGAGGGUCUGCUGCUUUUUCUCCAUUAUGCUAAAGGUGCUCCUCCUUCUUCUAGCUCUGCUUUUUCAUCAUUUGAAAUUGUGGGUCGAAAUCUCCAUUCUUCUUUUUCUUUCUCCUUUUUUUAUCUUCUUCUUGUAUUCUUUAAUCUAACUUUUGGUUGCACCCUAUCACAAUUUGUUUAGUUGGUUGUGUGGUUAAUUGCUUAGUGACGCUUGCAUUAUUGGUCUCGGGUUUGAGUCCUGCUUCUUGCAGUGCAAUCUUUUUUUUUUUUUGCCUUUGAUUGCUACCAUUAAAUCGCUCUCUAGUAUCAAUUGAACUUACAUUAAAUUUUUCCAACAUAUUCCCUACAUAUAAAAAAUGGAUCCUUCUAUAUGCUGUUUUUAAAUUGAAUAUUUGUAAUGUGGACAUGAAAAGUUAACUUUGUGCUUACUAUAUGCUGUUUUUAUAUAAUGUUUAUAUUUCAUUAUUUUAAUUACUUUUUUAUAUUGUUAGUUCACACAAUGGAGGGUUUUCUCAAGUGUAAACUGCAUCGAUCGUGUCUGCUAUUGUAUUAGCCAUUGAGCUAUUCAACAUGAUACUUUUAGCUAAUACUUUGGUUUAAGAAUGUUAUCAUAUUUUAAUUUAUAAUUUUAGCUUGAAAUUUUGUUUUAACUUGAUAGCAAGUUAUUUUGAAUUUAUGAUAUUUUUAGAAGAAAUUAAUUGGAGAUUAAGAAUUAUGGGUAUUUUGUUGCCAAUUUGCUAUUGAUUACAAGAGAGGAAGCUAUCACAUUAAUGUAUACAUAUAAAACGUAUUAAGAAAUAAAAUAAAAUAUUAUCUUCUAAAGAAAAAAUUUAAAAUAAAAUAUACAAUAUAAGAAAUUAUAUUAAAAAUAAAAAUAAAAUAUAUUUAAAAAUGACAUUAUAUAAAAUUUAACAAUAAAAAAUACAUGUUCAACUUGUAUUUUAAUAUAUAAGGGUAGUUUUGGAAAUUAACAUUACAUACCCUGUAAAGUACUUGUAAAACAAACACUGCAAUGUUAUCUUCGCUGCAUUUUAAUAAUUACAUUACUUAUAUACCAAACACUGCAAUGUUAUCUUCCCUGCAAUCACAUUGCUUGCAAUCACAUUACCUGUAAUCACAUUAUAUUGUAAAGUACCAAACGCUACCUAAGUAUGAUUGCUAUAUGAGUAUAAAGGGCAAAUGUGGGGUGUUGUACCAUAUGUGAAAAGGCCAGAUGUGGGGUGUUGUACCACAUGAGUAUUUGGGACCACGUGGGGUUUCAUACCACACAUGAUUAGGUCCAGAAGUGAGGAGUGGUACCACACACCUAUGUAGCCGUGAGAUUGAGGUAGAUGUACCAAUUUUUAAUAAAAAUUAAUGACAUGAUGAUUUCUACAUUUCAUCAAGAAUUUGUUGUGGUAAUUUCAACGUUUGUAUUGAGUUAAUGAUUUGCACUUAUAUAAAAUGAUGACAUGUUUGAUUGCCAAAUUAUAUAUUCAUGUAUUGAAUGAUUGAUAUAGAACUAUUGAGUUGAAGACUUGAAUAAUUCUUCUAGAUUUCUAAAUAAAAGGUAAUUGCCUGAUCUACAAGUUGUAUGAAGAUUGAUACUACUACCCACAGUAAAGGCACAAGUAUCCUUAAUGUGAACUCUUUUGUUUUCUCCUUGCAAAUAUUUGUACUUUGGAGCUAUAAAUUGUUAUCAACUCUUUCAUGUAUCAUCGCUUUCAAAUGCAUUUAUGUAAAAUGUUCGAAACAAGGUUAUUGAACAUUUCAGAGGAAAUUUUAUGGAUGUUAUGAAUAGCAUGUUCUUCUUGAAAAGUAUGGUUUGCUGCAAAAACUCUUUCCCUUGGCUUGUCCCUUUCCCAUAUCCAAUCACAGUCUUUGUGACUCACUCGCUAUUUUCCCUUAUUUGGUUUAUAGAUCAAUAGCUCGUUUAGCUAGGCACCUUAUGGAGUAGUAGCUCAGCCCAUAUUUGGUAGGUGUGAUAAUGCCUUAUUUCCAACAACAAGUUUUUAAAUGUUUAUAUUUACAAUGAUACUUGAUUAUGUAGAAAAGUAUGAAUAUACUCAUAUUUGCUUUGUGAAUUGUGUAUAUUAUGUUGAGCCUCGAAAUAGGUGCAUAUGAAUGAUGUUCUUAUAGUGAAAAAUACCAUUAAUGAUAAAGGCAUAAAAUGUGUGCCGCAACACAGAAUUAUAUGUUAUGUGAAUAUUUAUAAUGAAUUAAAGCAAUUCCACACUUUAUGUUGAGAAGUUCUAUAAUUGUGUGAUGGUGCUUAUAUGGUUGAUGAAUAAAUGGAAUUCCACACAUUAUGUCAAAGAGUUCCAUAAUGAUGUGACAAUGUUUAUUUAUUUGUGAAUUUUAUUGCAGUAUAUGGAUGUUGUAUGAUUACAGUGGAUGACAAGCCCACGCAUGUUGAUUAAGGCUUGCUUGGAUCUAAUGUGCCAUACACACAUAGGUUCAUUCGUCGAUCAUGGCCCUUUAGAAAAUGGAUUGUGAUAACAUAUGGCAUUAACAACUAUGGUAAAAGUUUUACCACAUUAAAACUGACACAUUAAUGAUUGAUCUGGUCAUUAAUAUGGCAAAUGGUAUUUAAGAUGGGUAAUAGCCAACUGGGUAGUAAGUUCACCUUUGACUUUGGGAUUGGCGACGAGGAAGGCUCAAGUGGUUAGCAAUGAGGGCUUAGGCUAAAAUAAUAUUUUCAUUUUUUUCUUAGGAUUAAUUAUGUUUAUAAAUCUAUUUUUCAAUAUUUUAAAUCUUACCAUGUCUGUUUUUUUUCCCCUAUGAAUGACCUUAUUAUUUUUAUUUUAAGAAUGUUUUAGUUUGGACAACUAUGAACAUGAAAUUGAGUGAUGGUAUUAAGGGCUUUGUUAGUCCCACCACACACUAAUUGGCAAACUGCAGGCGUAGAGGCGAUUGAGAGACAAAUGGUGGUGCUAAUUUUGUCAUCUCCCUUUUUGUUUGAAUAAGGGAAUUCCGUCUCAGCUUUUCGAGUAGGAGUACAAGUGCAUCAAUAAAUGAGUAUGGUAAUGGUAUAUAUACAAACUGUUUUAUAUCGCAUACUUGCAACAAUAUUGUCGCAAUCAGGAGUUUUACUAAUAAAAUAUUUUUAUUUUGGUUAGAAGAUUGCCCCGCGUCAUAUACAUUAGACUCACUAAUAUCAUAUAAUUUUUCAAAAGAAAAAAUCUAAUACCGUAUAAAUUAACUUAUUUGCUUAUUGAUUGAUUUUACAUAUUGAAUGUAAUACUAAAGUCAUAUUUAUUAAGAAUUAUUUACUCAUAAUGAAAAUUUGAUUUGUGAGUGUAAUUUCGUAAAAUGAUAAUUUUGAUUUUUGGUUUUGCAUGUUUUUAACGAAUAUACAAAGUUUAUUAAUUUACUUUUCUGAGUUUAUAUAUAUUGCCUUUUUUAUGAAUUUUAAUUAAAAUUAAUAAAUUUUAAUGGAUACAUUUUAAUUUGUAUAAAUCAAUUUGUGGAGUUAAAAAAACUCCACUACCGAUGUAUAAACUGAAAAUUCAAUUAAUGAAAGAAAUACAAUUACUUGGAAUUAUUGUUCUAUAUAUCGCAGCAGUAUACCUUCUAAACUUUACAAAUGGGAUUAAGGAGUUGAUGUGUGUCAAUUUAUUAGUUAAUUAGUACUUGUUGUCAUAUGUGAAUAUUAAUCUAUAGAAUAAUAUAUGAAUUUUUUUUAAUUAUUUUAUAUAACAAUUAUGUAGAAAUACAAAUGUUUCUGAAUGUAAAGGUUAAAGUAUAAAUCAUUGGAUUUUGUAAUAUUAAUCUGUAAAUUAUUCAAUUUGUAAUGUUAAUCUAUAUAUAAAUUAUUCUAUUCAAUACUAUUAAAUUAAGAACAUAUUUUUUUUAUGAAAGCUAUUUAAUACAAUUUUUUUUAAUGAAAAAAAGGGAAAAAAAGCUUCAUUAAAAAGGAAGAAAGAAAGAGCACAAUAGUUCUCCAGGAACAACAAAACAUGAAAAGAAAAGCUAGAAAAGCAGCAAAAGAGAGAAGAAAAUGAGAAUCGCACAAAGCAAAGAAUUAGAUAAAUCUCAUUAAUAUUUAUAAUAAAAUAUUUUCAAUAAAAAUCAUUAAUACAAUUAGAAUUCUUAUUUACAAAUUAAUUGAUCUUAUUAAUAAUUUAUAGUAAAAUAUGUUUAAAUUGGUAAUAUAGAAAUAUAAUAAACAAAUAUAUGUGUUUGCUAAUUAAAAAUUUUAAUAACAUCAAUAUGUGACUGACAAUAAUUUGCCAAUCUACAUACAAUUGUCAAUAUUAUUUAUACGCUAAAUUAUGUAAUUAGUCUCUAUAUUAUAGAUUUAGUCUCUAUACAAUAAUUUAUGUGAAUUGGCAAGAGUGGCCCAAUAAGCUUAAAGGCUUAAAGCGACUAUCAUAUAUUUUUUAAAUGACUAAUAUAAAUCAUCAAUCAAAUUUUUUAAUUCAAAUAAAUCAACUAUUACAUAAAAUAAAGAUAAUAUAAUAAUAUGAUAUAAACUCCAAAUUAAAAUAAAAAAAUCCAUAAAUAUUAGAAUAAUAGUACUUAAUUGUUGAAUACUUAUUACAAACCGUAAAUAAGGCUCACGAUUUUAUAAAAGUAAUAACAUAACAGACUUUUUAUUUAUUCUUUGAAGGAAAAUUGAAAUUAAAAAGAAGAAGGAAGAAAAAGCAAAUGAGAAAAGAAAAAUUCCAAAGUAUAUAUUAUACAUUGAAAAAAAUAAUUGAUUUUAUAUAAAAGAAAAAAAUAGUUGUUGAAAUUUAUUGAACAUGUUAAUUGGAAACAGGAGAAAUAAGUAAAAAGAAAACUGUUGGAGAUGAUUAAAUACAUAUGACUGUUAGUUGAUUGGAAAUAAGAGAAGUAAUUGAGAAUUAAUAGCAUUCUAGAAAUUAAGAAAUGAUAGAAAAUUAAAAUUUAUUAAGCACAUAAUUAGAAAAAUGAGAAAAUAGAUAUUUUUAUUAAUUAUUAAUUAUUUUUAUAUAUUUUUAAAUGUUUAUAUAUUUUUAAUAUAAUUAAUUAUUUUAUAAAAUUAUAAAACUUUUUCAAAUUUGGGGCCUCUCUAAAUUGGGGGCCUAAAGCCCUUGCUUGGGUGGCUUUACCCAAGGGCCAGUCUUGUGAAUUGGAUCCCUAUACUUUGUUAAUUUGUUAAUUUUAAUCUUUAACUUAAACACUGUUAAAUUUAACUAUUAAUAUGCUGACGUAACAUUUUGACCAAAUUGACAUGACACCGAUAGAGAUAACAUGAUGUUGACUAUGUGCUGACAUGACAAUUGUUGGCAUGUAUGCUAAUGUGGCAAAAAUGCUGACACGGCAAAAGGUUUACAUGGUAAAAAAAAUGCUAAUGUCUCCCCAUGAGAUUAACAAAGAAAUUAAAAAAAAAGCACCAUAACCCUAAAUUAAAAAUUAACAAAAAAAAAAGAUUAAAAAUUUCAAAAAAAUUUAAAAGAGAAAAAAAAAACCUACAAUCGAAGAAGGAGAAUCAAAAGAGAGAGAAUCAACUAGUUUUGAAUUUGGAAUUAAAGGUAGAGAAAACAAUGGGUUUUCAUUCUAAAGAUUCAACUAGUUUUGACUCAGAAAUUUUUCAUUGAAAAUUUAACUGGUUAAUAAAAACCUUUGCUCCAAUCUCAUCUAUAUUUGUUUCUUUUGGCAAGAUAUUGCAUUUUAAAGGUUAAUGGACUCUCUUUUAGCAGGCAAAGAUUGACACGAUUCUGGCAACUUGUGUCUUGCAAAAACACUGCGACCAUAGUCAUCCACUAAAACGAAAAAUCCUAAUAAGUUGCCUGAGUUCAAGAUCUCCUUCUCAAUCAUUAUCCCAUCACAACCCUCACAAAAACAAAAGCUAUCUACACAUACUCAGAAUUGAAACUGUACACAACAAUAACAACCGCCACACACUUCCACUCAAGGGACUUCCGACUCUUGUCCAUUCCAGAAAACUCUAAGCGUCAAUUUCAAACCAUCAUACCAGACCCAGGUAGACAAUCAUCAAAAUAGAAGACAAACCGGAAAACCCCUUCUUCGAGCACACUAUCAACCCAGGUUCAAUCAUAGGGAACCAUUCACAAACUAGAAACUUAGAACCUAUCCCAAUUCACUGACGUUACCUCCCACAACAGAAUUCCAACAGAACUUCCUCCCUAUUUACCCAUACAUGAAGCCCCAAGAACACAAAUCACAUACACAAACGCAAAUUUGGAGAUAAUCAACCAAAAAAAUUCCUUCCAGACUUGCUAUGAAUGUCAAGAAAACAUUUACAACCACAAUGAAAGAGUUUGAGAUCUAUGUUUGAAUUGCUUAAGGAAAGGGGAAAUUUGUUUGAGAUUUCUCCAAAAAAAAAAGCUAUGUCAGCAAUAUGUUACGUUAUUCCUAUUAAUGUCAUGUCAACUUGAUCAAAAUGUCACAUCAGUAUAUUUAAGUAUCAAAUUUAAUAAUGUUAGAAUUAGAGGAUUAAAAUUCAUAAAUUCACAAAGUAUAAGGAUCCAAUUCACACAAAUUAUUAUAUAGAGACUAAAUUUAUACUUUUUGUAUAAUACAAGGAUUAAUUGCAUAAUUUAACCUUAUUAAUAUAAUUAUUAAGAAUUAUUUAAAAUGACAAAUAGUAAUUCAUAAAUAUAUUUGAAUAAAAAUGUUUGUUUUCAUCAUAAAAUUUUCUGAUUUAUGUCAUUAAAAAUAGCAAAAAAACUAAAAUAUAAAUUUCAUCAUAAUGUUUAUCACUUCAUCUGCAUCUCCUUUCAUGUACAGCUAAGACUCAAAUCCCUUCUAUUCCAGUAAUCCAGGAAAGUUCACCUUGUUUAAUUGUUCAAUUGAAGAUCAAUCCUACUAUUAUGAUACUUACAUGAGCAUCCCUUGCUUAAGUGGGUCUGGCUUCUAUGUUAAAUAUGUGGAUUCUUAUUCUGGAAGCAAUCAACCGUUGAAGUGCAGAAAGACUCUAGAUAUAUCUGAAGUUCCUGAAGAGAAGUUGUCUGACAGGAAAAACAAAUUUGACUUUAAAUGGCCAGGAAUGUCGACCUAAUACUACUAAGACAUCGGGCAUAGAGUGCUAUUCCAUCCACAGGGAAGAUAAAGGUACCACAUACAUAUGACUUUUUAAGUAGUAUUGUUCUAAUAUCUGAAUUUAGUGUUGAUUACCAGUACCACAUUUUUCAUUAAGCCUUUUACAGGGUCGAUGCUUUGAAAUCUAAGUCGAGUCAGUCAGGUUUAAUUAUCCUAUACAUAUUCUUUUUAUUACUAUUAAAAUAAUAAAAUUAUUUUAUAUUAAUAUUUUAAUUUUUAAAGUGUAUUUUAGAGUUUAAAAAAUUUACUAUCUGUUAAUUAAUAAUAAAAUAGCAAGCUAAUUUUGGAAAAAAACCACAAAAUAAAAUUAUAAUAAGCUCAUUAUGAUUUCAUAAAUUAUUAAAGGGUAACGUAAUAAUACAAAAAAUUUCAUCAAAUAUUUGUUAUUAUUCAUUAAAAUUAAUACUUUUUAAAAAGUUUUGAUUUAUAAUUUUGUCUAAAAAUUCAAAUAUACCUCAUGCAUAAAUUAAAAUUUUUAAAUUUUGAGAUCUAAAUACCUCGCUUUUGCUCUCUUCUAUAAUAAGUUAGGUAAAAUUUUUUAUUGUAAAAUUAUAGAAAUUAUCGGAUAAAUUAGGCUUCCCAAAAUUAACGUACUUAGCAUCCAAACCAAAUUCUUUUACUUCCAGUUCAAGUAAGAAAUAGCUUAAUUCAUAUUAAAUCAAUGCUACUUUUCUAAAUAUGAUUUAAUCUACUUAUGUGGACAUAAUUUUGUCUCAAACUUAUAAUUAAACAUUAAUUUGUAGGGCAAUCAAUUUUGAAUGUUUUAGAAACCUAAGGGAGACUAUAUAUAGAGUAAUGAUAUAGGAUUAUUGUACUGAUGUUGAGAAAUAUAGAAUGUUGUUUGUAGAUACUUGAUUUUGGUUAAUACCUAUUCUCUAAAGAAUUAUGUUAUAACAUAAUAUUGUAUAGAAAAUAACUAGAACAAGUAAAACAGUACUUCACAUAGAACAACUAGAAUAAGUAGAGCAUUACUCCAUAUGGAACAACUAAUACAAGUAGAACAGCUAUUUCGAAUAGAAUAACCACUUCACUUGGAUGACAGUGAAAACAACUAGGAAUAAGUGACAAGGUUCAUGGGUUACUUUCUUCUUAAGAAUUAUGUUACAACAUAAUAUGGUACAGAGAACAACUAAAACAAGUGAAGCGCUAUUUCAUGCAUAACAAUUAGAACAAGUGAAGUACUACUUCACGCAAAACAACUAGAAUAAGUAGAGUAUUACUCUAUAUGGACAACUAAUACAAGUAGAACAGCUACUUCGAAUAGAAUAACCNCUACUUCACGCAAAACAACUAGAAUAAGUAGAGUAUUACUCUAUAUGGAACAACUAAUACAAGUAGAACAGCUACUUCGAAUAGAAUAACCAUUUUACUUGGAUGACAGUGAAAGUAACUCGGAAUAAGUGGGAGGGUUCAUGGGUUACUUUCAUCUUAAGAAUUAUGUUACAACAUAAUAUUGUAUAGAAAACAACUAAAACAAGUGAAGCGCUACUUCAUGUAGAACAACUAGAACAAGUGAAGCACUACUUCAUGCAGAACAACUAGAAUAAGUAGAGCAAUACUCCAUAUGGAAUAACUAAUACUAGUAGAAUAGCUACUUCAAAUAGAAUAACCACUUCACUUGGAUGAUAAUGAAAGUAACUUGGAAUAAGUGACAGGGUUCAUGGAUUACUUUCAUCUUGGAAUGUUUCAGAGAGUUUAGCUUUGUGGCUUAUAUAUGGAGGUAGUUAAGAGGUCUUCCUCUUAACCUUUUGCUGAAGUACAAGUGUUUCACCAUCCUACCUUGUUCUCGUAUACCUGUUCACAUGCACCUUCUUCUCUUGUACCUAUUCAUGUAUAGGUUUUUCUCUUGUACCUAUUCUCGUAUAGCUUCUUCUCUUGUACUUGUUCACGUACAGCUUCUUCUCUUGUACCUUUACACGUGUACCGCUUUUCUAUUACCUUUUACUCAAGAACAAGUCUUAUUACACCAAAUUACGAUAACGGUUACUAACAUUAGUGUUCUUCAUAAUAAUGUCAUUUAUUAAGGGCAAUAAAGUCUAUUAUUGAGUAAUUGCCUUUUUGAGCACUAUAUAUAGAGCCUCACAAUUCAUUUAAAGGGGCUUUCCCUCUCGGAGUUAACACAUUCUCCUCUAGAAAGCUUCUCUCUCUAAAUUAUCUCUCUAAUUCUCUUCCAUUCCCUAAUUCUCUUCUUGUUCUCUUCCACCCGCCACUACACUUAGUAUCUCAAGAACUACUCCAAUCUUCCUUUCUGCCACCUUUCGCGCAUCCAUUUACUUGUUUACAACAUUUCCUCUCCUUAUCACAAGAACCCCAUUUACAUUUUGGCAACCCCAUUGGGGAAAAGUGAUUGCAUAAAGUAAAAGCUUACUAGAAAAACUUUACGUUACUAGAAGAGAUGGAUAGUUCCUCUAGUAACCAAGAUGCACCCAUUCCAACCUACAUCCAGGAGCUUAUGAAAAUGAUUGAAGCUUCUUGAGAGAGAAUGUAAAUGUUGGAAGACAACAACAAGCGGAUGUUGGAGACCAUAUCUCAACUUGCAUCCUCCACUCCCACCAUUUUUCAAGCUCAACCUAUACACCUUAACGGCGAUGAGGAUGCAAUUGAUGGAUCCACUCCUCUAGUUGUAAACACAAAUGUGAAUGGAGGAAACAGAGAAAAUGUAGUUGAUGUGGUAAGUGUUGAAAAUCCCAAUUUGAACAACUCUUCUGUGGUAGUUAGGCCAACAAUUACCUCUAUUGCAACAAUCUCGGCAACCACUACUCAAGGCUUUAUGACAAUGAAAGAGCUCCAAAAGUUACUAGAUCAAAAGAAUAAGAGAUUCAACUUUUUGGAAUUUGAUUUUAAAUUUCCUUACCCAGCAAGUAUAACGGUUAAGCCAUAUGAUAAGGACUACAUUAGUCCUUAAUUCAAGAAAUUCAAUGGUAAAACCAAUAAUGCACGAGAGCAUGUUAUGAAGUUUAUGAAAACACUCGGAGUAGUAGGAUUGGAUGAUGACUUGAAAUUGAAGGAAUUCUCUAAAUCUCUCAUUGAAAAGGCUUAUCCAUGGUAUGUUAAUCUCACCCCUAGCUUUGUUGAAUCUUGGAAUCAAAUGUAUAGGAUGUUUGGGAAAAAGUUCUUCUUCUUUACUUAAGAGAAGGUUAAUCUCGUUGAUUUGGGAGGAGAAUAUCAAAAGUCUAGAGAAUACCUCAUGGAAUACAUCUGUAAUACCCCGUAAUUUGCCAUGGUGGCUAAUGAAACUUAUCUGAUGCGAAAUAAGGUUAAUUAUAAUGUUUAAAGGUGAGGAAAGGUGAAAAGAGUAUUUUAAGAUAAAAUAUUUCGCACGCGAGGGAAUAAUAAAAUAAUAAUAAAAUAUUUAUUAGGAAAGAAUUUGAGAGAUAAAAAGUGAUUGGGAAGUGAAUUGAGGCAUAAUAAGGCAUUUUGGGUACCAAGGAGACAAGUAAAAAAUUUUGAAAAAAAUAAUAUUUUAUUAAUAAAAUAAUAUUAAAAUAUUAAUAUUUUAUUCAGUGUCAAAAUUUUUCAUGAAGAAGGAGUAUACGGUUAAUCUAAGUGGGGGAUAGGAAGAACGAGAAAAUUUCAGAGAAAAAUGAAGCUAGUGGGACCCGCGCUUUAUUAAAUAAAACUAACACGAGAAAAAAAUAUAUUUUAAAUAUUAUGGAGAUGCCGCGUUGGAGUACAAGCUUUAUAUUUCGUUUGUAUAUGUGUAAAAGAAGAUAAUAAAAGGAAAUUGGAGUUAAAAGAGUGCUGAGAAGACUAAAUUAAAAAGGGAAGAAACUUGGAGGGUAAAACGAUAAUUUUACGUAAAGUUUGGUCAUAGCUUCCAAAGGAAGCUUUGACUCUCAUCUUUAUCAGCCAUGACCGUCCUUAUCUCCUUGUAGACACCUCUUAUAUAUAUAUAUAUAGUAUAAAAAUAAUAUAAUAAUAAAAUAUAAUAAAAAAACCAAAAAAUAAAAAUAAGAAAUAAAUUGAAAAAAAUAAAAAAAUGGAUGAACAGGAAAAGACUGAGAGUGUGCUCAGCCCCUUCCCCAGUCCAUCAUUACAGGGCAUGAAUGCCCUUGAAAGGCAGUCGGAUUUGGGGGAGAAGUGGUCACCUCCGGCAACCAACCCCUCCUGUUUGCUAGAGCAUUGUGAAGUCAUGCUUAGAAGAGCAUGAUUUCACCUAUGGAUUGUCCAAAAUUUUGGACAAUCUAGUUCUUAAAAGGGGGGUUUCAAAUCGAUGAGAGGGGAGGGAAAAAUAAUUUUUUUCAGAACAAAAAAACGAGAGAGGAUUCGACAACCAAAAAACCCUAAAAAAGCCUAGCCACCUGCAAAUAAAAAAAUCCCUAGUCUCUAGCAACCAGAAACCUCAAUCCAUAAAUAAAAAAGAUACCCAAAAAAUACAAAAAAUACCAAAAAUCAAUCAUAAAUACAUAAUGGGAAGAGGAGAGUAAAAGGGGUUUUUGAGGGAUUUUUUUGGUAAUUUUUAGAGGGAUUUUAGGGUUUUUGUAUGACUGUUUUGGAGAGAGCUUCAGCUUUUUUUGGGUCAGCAUGGGUUGCCACCAGCUAGCUUAAAGGAGAAAGGAUUUGGGUUUUCUGCUAUCGUCAGCUAGGGAGUGUAGGAGUUAGAGUAUUUGCUGCCAGGUAAAAGAGAGGUGAAGAGGGAGAUUUCGCCAUCGCGAAGGGAGAAUGAGGGAGAAAGACGAUCGGCAGCUACCGGUUAGAGGAGAGAGAGAGGGUCUUUCGGGUAGUCGGCGGCGCUGCCAGUUUUGGGUGGUGGCUGAUGAGAAGGGAAGUUGUUAAGAGAGGGUGGAAGCUUUUAGAGAGAAGGUAGAGAGUUUGGUUUUAGAGAGAGAAGUUGAAAGGAGAAAAUGAAGAAAGGGUGAAGAAAAAGCCUUUUUAUACUUAGGGUUAGGGCAUCAAAAUGGCGUAGUUUUGGCACCCGAAGGCUGUUGGGCAGGAGACUGGACAGUGGGCCUUGGAGCGAAUCACAGGUCAGGCCAAUUAUUUGUGCCAGUUUAGCCCAAUCAGGUAAAAACUUUAACUUUUUUUUAUGGAAAUAUUUGUGUCUUAGGUAGGCCCACUUUAUAUGUUUUUAGGAAUAUUAGGCAGAAUUAAUUCUAAAUUAUUAUAGUGUAAUGUUCUAAAUUUUUUAGAUGAUAUUUUAGACUUAAGAGAUUAAUACAAAUAGAAGAACAUAGAAAUAAUAAAGCAUAAAAAUAAUAAUAUCUUAGAAAAUGUUUAGUUACACAAAUAACUUAAGCUUAGGAAAAUAUUUACUACAAAUAUAUAAGUAACUCUUAAAAAUAUAUAAAAAUAAAAAAUAUAAAUUAAAAAAAUAUAAAUAAUAAUAUGCCGUGACACUAACUACAAGUAUAAUAUCUCGAUGAUAGGAUUUUUCGAAGAUAUUGCGAAGGCGAGUUUCUCUCGAAAAGCUCCCUAGGUGAAAGGAUGUCCCCUAGUCCCACCAGUAUGAUGGGAAGGCUCGGGAAAUAUCUUUAAUAAAAAGGCUUUUGCUCGGAAUAGGUUCAUGUUCAUGAAUACAUUAUUUUUUUUAAGAAAAAAAGUAUGAUAACCCCGAUGAUGGGAUUUACUCGUUAAGCUUACAAAGGCGAGUCUUUCGAGUAAUUCUCUAGGUGAGAGGAUAUCUCCGGAUCCCACUAGCAUGAUGGGCGGAUUCGAAAAAUAUCCUCAAUAAAAGAUAUUCGUUUGGCAUUAUCUCGAUUCUACGCCAUGCAUUACACAAUCGCAUCACAUGCGCGUCAAAUUCGUGAAAAUCAAAUAAAAUAUUUUAAUAAAUAAUAAUUAAGGGAACAUAAAAACAAAUCAAUGGGUUAGGAUAACACAUGAUUAAAUGGUACCAUUCGUGGAACGGGCGUCAUAGGGGUGCUAACCCUUCCCUGUGCGUAACCGUACUCCCGAACCCAACUUUGACCAAAAAACGUAGACUAGUUUAUCGUUCUUUCGACAGACCUAAAAUCAAUUUAGGAUUUCGUCGAAUAGAACAAAUUUCAUAGGUGACCAAUCACAUCGAAAUAAAAAAGAUUGGUGGCGACUCCUAGUUACUCGAUUUUUGCCUGCGUCUGGCGAUCGGGUUCCCAGACCUGGCACGUUGCGACACGCCUCCAGCAAGAUAUUUUUUUCUUCUUCUUGAAGCUUCCAAUGCCAUUUUCAUUUCAAGUUCAUGAAAAUCAAAUUUUUUCAUGUGAUUUCCCUUGUUUCUUUUCAUUUCCUUUCUUUUCUUACUUCUUUCUUCUCCAAACUUCUUGGGCACUAAACCUCCAACUUCUAACCCCAAUUUUCAGCACAUCUAAACCCUAGGAGAAGAAGAAAGAAAAAGAAUGAAAGGAAGAAAAGCUUGGUUUUGUAAUUCAAGCAAGCUAAGGUAAGGAUUUUUGUGUUUUAAGCUCAUCUUUGGUUAAAUGUUUGGAGAAAUAAUGUGUGAAUCAUUUUGGUAGCUUGAUGAUUAAUGUUUUGAAGGAAUAUUGAAGUGCAAGUACGAGUCAAGCAACCAUAAAGGUAAAGACAAAUGAUGUUUUAAGUGUAGUUGAGGAAUCUUGAGAAAAUGGGUAUUGUUGUGUAGUUGACAUUUUAAGUGGCAUAUUGUGAGAAAUUGUGGUUGUUGUGGAAAGGAUGGUUGAACUUGAUAAAUAUCCUUAGAAAAGAUUAAUAUAGUGUUAGUGUCAUAAACAAGUUACUGGUAAUCAUAAUUUAAAGAAUUACGUAAGUAAAAGAUGAAUGCAACUUUGGUAAAAAUUGUGUCAAGAUAAGUUAAGUUGAAUAAGGACUCGUGAUUGAAUGAAAAAGGGAAGUAUAAACGAUGUAUGCUAAAGAUAUUGAAUUGGGAUUGUUGCUAGGAAAUGCAACAGUAAAGGUAGCGUACUGUGGUGAUGUGCCGGGGGAAAUAACGAGCGACCGGCAAGUAGAAAUAGCUAGAUACGCCUCCGAACAAAUAGCGAUGUACUAUCCCACUAUAGUAAGGUGAGUGACCUUGCAUUGAAAAUAUUUUGGAAAAAUGUAUUGGUAUUUAGACGAAGUGUGUGAAUGAUUUUUAUUUGAUUUUUCCUUAAAAAUUAUGCAUGGGAACAAGCCUUUAUUAAAACGUUUUAUAUUGUGAGUGUGCAAUAUGAUGAAUCCUUGUGCCUUAUAUGAUGUUGAUAUAAAUAUAUAUGUUGUGUAUUGAUAGUUAAUAUUGUGUAAUAAAUAUAACCGUGCGUGUGCGCGAUGUGGGGGAUGCACAUGCCGGUGAUGACGGGGUGUGGAAGUGUGGAUAAUGAUGUUGAAGUGUGCGAGUAGGGAGUGCACACGAUGAUGUUGAAGUGUGCGAGUAGGGUGUGCACACGAUGAUGUUGAGGUGUGCGAGUAGGGAAUGCACACAAUGAUAUAGAAAUCUGCAAGUAGGGAGUGCACAUGAUGAUAUAUAGUGUGCACAAUGUGGGGGUGCACACGAUGACUCCAGCUAUGUGCACGAUGUAGGGGUUGCACAUGAGCUGGUAAGGCGGUGGUGAUAUUCAUGUUAUAUAUAUUUAUAUAUACAUAUGUAAUAGAAAGUUUAUGAGUAUAAUGUGUGGUUUGUAAUGUAUGUUGCAUCUUGCAUGUUGAACCUUGAAAUCUUGCUAAUUAUCUUCAAAUUGAAUUGUAUUGCAACGAGUUACUCACGAUGGUUUUCGCUGCCAUGAGAAUGAAUCUCGCUGUAGCGAGAAACUCUCAGGUUUGUUUUAGAAACUUGUGCUCUGAAUUUCGCUGCAGCAAGAAUGCCUCUUCGCUGUAACGAGAAUCCUUCGGUCAUGUUUACUUUGUUUAUAUCCUGCUAUGGUUUUCACUCAUUUAUCUUCAUGGAUGAUCUUGGGUUUUUCAACACUAAGAGAUGACUAAUCAAAGUUUUGAAAUAAGGGGUUUUAACAAGAAAUUAAGUUAAAUUGCAUGGUUUUAGCAAAAGUGCAUCAUGAUUUUAAAACUUUCCAUAUCAUAUGCUUGUUUCCUUCAUAUGUUCACUCACUGAGUUUUAUACUCACUCUUUUAAACUUCAUGUUUUUAGAUUCAGAGGCAAUUGGGAUCUAAAUUGAGUUGUCCACGUAUGCUCGCCUUUUUGGUAGGUAUUAUGGCAUCUAAGUAGCUGUACCUUCACCCAUGGUCACUCCGCUGACGGUCAAGAGUCUUAUGCUUGUGUAUACGUAUAAGUAAUGUAGACCACUAAGAUUCAUGUUAAAAAUCAAAUAUGUAUAUUCGAUUACUGAUGCUAUUAUAGGUUGGCAAACAUGUGACAUUAUUUUAAAAUAAUACGAAUGUGAAUAUUGGGUUGCUAUAAAAUGUUACUGAAAUAUUUAUAGUUGAGAAUUACAAUAUGUGGUUUUAGAAAUGAUGGUUGGGAAUGAUGAUCGAGAUUACAUAAAAAGGCUUGCUUGGGCUUAGUGGGAUAUGUCCGUUGGGCCCAUGCGUCAUUCAUGGCCUGGAUUUGGGUUGUGACAACAUCCAACACUUUAGGUAACGGGUGUUACAUAUACAAGAGUCUCAUGAUGAGAAAGAGUUAGUGAAGGUUUGCAUUCAAAGAAUGUUUGACGAGUGUAGGCUGCAUUUGGAGAAUUUACCCCUUCCAACUUUUGCUACCUUGGUGGAAGCAUCACGAAAAACCAAUAAUAUGGUUCUCAAACAAAGGGAAGCUACUCGUUUCGAUAAAAGGAAUACUCUAACAGUGAAUGCAAUUCAAGGAAGAGGAAGAGAAAGAAUAGGCUCUUUUCAAAAGGGAAUAUUCCACAAGAAGAUGCAAGUAAGAGAGUUAUUGAUUGAGAGCAAUAGGGUCCAGAACAACUCGCUUCCCGCUCAUUUAUGAUAUUUCUAUGACUUUGACUCUUCAUUGCUUUAUGAAUUGCAAUUUAACAUUAAAAAAAAUCAUAUUCAGCCGCUAACUUUAUCGCUUAUAUUUUAGCUGUAAUUAUAUUAUAGUAUUGGUCGCAAGCUUUAUCGCUCAUUCCUUGACCAUAGUUCAUCACUCUUACUUUAGCCGCAAGCUUUACUACUCAUAUUUUGGUUGCAAGGAUAUUUUUCUAUUGGUCACAAGCUUUAUCGAUCAUUUUUUUAUCAUAAUUUAUCAUUCAUAUCCUAGCCACUAGCUUUAGUGCUCAUAAUUUGGCUGUAAUGAUGUUAUGCUAUUAGUCGUAAGUGUUAUCGCUCAUUUCUUGGCCAUAGCAUAUUACUCACAAAUUGGCUACAACUCUUACGCUUACUUAUUUUAAGGGUUGAAUUAAUCUCCUUUGCAUCAGGUUAGAGUUAAUCUCCUUGAUGUAAAGUUAAGAGUUCCUUUUGGCCGCAUACAUUGUGAAAUAUGAAUACGUACGCAACAGGAGUAUAACAUUAUUAUUAUUAUUGCAAGAAGAAAAUAGAUAUGAUACCGUAACAACAAAGUACUAGCUCAAAUGAGGUUUGAAAAGAUUAGUCAAUUACAUAUUCCAUAGAAAAGAUCUAUUAUUGACAAAGAUAUCUAAUCGUUCUCGUACUUCAACUUCACGCUUUCUCAGUUAAGCUAUAUUUGUUGCAAUGUUUUCUAAUUCUUUUUCCAAGAAAGAUUUGUUGAGAAAAGCUUUGGCUCUAGAUCUACAAUCAUUAAGGCAUUCAAGUUUGAAUCCAACAUUACAAGCAUCAUCAAAAUCCCGUAACAUUUGUUGCAAUUCUCUGGUGAAGUACUUAUUAAUGGAGCAUGGGAAAUGGCUAGAGCUCUACCCAACACUUCCAUCAUUAAACAAAUGACAUCCAUGUUUUUCAACAAAAAGUUGACUUUCCUAUCACUCUGCUCAGUAUGUGCUACUUGAGUACCAAAAACACUAUUACCAUCUUUGUGUGCUAGAAUUGGGGAGGAAGAACUCUAUCAUAAUCAGUAACAGCUCCAACAUCAUGAACAAUCUCAAUAUUAGGAGUUGCUCCAAAUUAUCGAUGACAACAUCAAGAAUAGCUCUAGCAUCAACUCCAACUUCAGAUACAACCUCAACAGUAGGAAUAACCUCAAUGUUGGGAACAACCUCAGUAUUAGGUAUAGCCUCAUCUCAAAUAACCUAAGGAGUAAGAAUGAUAUUAAUUUCAAAAAACAAAAUGGAUCAACAUCCAUUGGAGUAAAAUAGUAAUAUGUUUAUACCUGGUUCAUAAUGGAGCUCUAAACAUGAGAAGGAAAUAGAACAUACAAAUCAAUAAAAUCAUCAAAAGGGGCUAGCUCACCCUCAACUUCAACUUUAUCAACAUCAAAGACUCAUCAUCAAAUUCAUCACUACGUUUAGAGUCACAUGAUUUUUCCUCAGUCUCAGCUUUAAAAGUCUCUUCCUCUUCGACCGAGUUAAGUUCUACUCUUGCAGUUGUUUCUCUAUAAAAAAAAUAAUGAGGAAAUGAAUUUUAAAAAAAAAAGGUUGAAGAAUAAGUAAAAGAUGAACUUACUUUUUGAUCCACAUGUUUUGUUUGAUGAGUAAGAGUCUGAGGAGCAUCAUCUUCUUCUUCAUUUACAUUUCUUUUCUUUUUGAGAGAAAUCAAGCGCAAGCAUACAUUAGUGUUAUUUACAAGAGGAGUGUAGAGACAAGCUUUAGGAUCAAUUAAAGGCACAACAAAAAAUCUCCAUUCUUCAACACACUCCCUUCAAUAAGCAAACCAUCCAGAAGUGUGGAUACCAACUCUAUCAAAAGCUGGGACAGUACUGUCACGACCCAAUUUUUCGAGCCAUGACCGGCGCAUGAGCUCAAUGAGCAUAGCUCACUAAGCCCAAGCAAGCCUAUCCAUUUACCUUUGCUUAACAAAUUUAUCAUAUCAUGCAUACACACACCUUUUCCCGGGUGUGAACAUAGCCAAAACACAAUGGCAUUAUCGAUAAUAAUAUACAUGCAUUAUACCAGUCAUGUAUUUAGCAAUUUACAUUGCAUACACAUAUUCAUAUUGUUAGAUUGUAUUCACAAUACAAAAGGACCCAUGACUUCCAGCGGAGACAUUUACAAUAAAAGGGAUUACUAUCGAAUGCCAGACACAUACCCAGGAGAUGCACUACGGGGACUCCUCGUUCUAGGGUCCAACAGUCACUUGAUCUGAAAACAUGAAUUUUUAUAAAACGUGAGUACAAUACUCAGUGAGUGAACAAGAAGGGAACAAGCAUACAAUAAGGAAUGUUUCUCGAAAUCAUGAUGCAUUCGUUUUCUCAAAACCAUGCAAUUGUUUUAGCUCCUUUAAACCCCUCAUGUAAACCCCACAUGAGUAAAUCACUUUACAAAAAUCCAUGCUCAACUAUGAUACCAAAGAAAUGGGAAAUAUGGCAAAAACNNNNNNNNNNNNNNNNNNNNNNNNNNNNNNNNNNNNNNNNNNNNNNNNNNNNNNNNNNNNNNNNNNNNNNNNNNNNNNNNNNNNNNNNNNNNNNNNNNNNNNNNNNNNNNNNNNNNNNNNNNNNNNNNNNNNNNNNNNNNNNNNNNNNNNNNNNNNNNNNNNNNNNNNNNNNNNNNNNNNNNNNNNNNNNNNNNNNNNNNNNNNNNNNNNNNNNNNNNNNNNNNNNNNNNNNNNNNNNNNNNNNNNNNNNNNNNNNNNNNNNNNNNNNNNNNNNNNNNNNNNNNNNNNNNNNNNNNNNNNNNNNNNNNNNNNNNNNNNNNNNNNNNNNNNNNNNNNNNNNNNNNNNNNNNNNNNNNNNNNNNNNNNNNNNNNNNNNNNNNNNNNNNNNNNNNNNNNNNNNNNNNNNNNNNNNNNNNNNNNNNNNNNNNNNNNNNNNNNNNNNNNNNNNNNNNNNNNNNNNNNNNNNNNNNNNNNNNNNNNNNNNNNNNNNNNNNNNNNNNNNNNNNNNNNNNNNNNNNNNNNNNNNNNNNNNNNNNNNNNNNNNNNNNNNNNNNNNNNNNNNNNNNNNNNNNNNNNNNNNNNNNNNNNNNNNNNNNNNNNNNNNNNNNNNNNNNNNNNNNNNNNNNNNNNNNNNNNNNNNNNNNNNNNNNNNNNNNNNNNNNNNNNNNNNNNNNNNNNNNNNNNNNNNNNNNNNNNNNNNNNNNNNNNNNNNNNNNNNNNNNNNNNNNNNNNNNNNNNNNNNNNNNNNNNNNNNNNNNNNNNNNNNNNNNNNNNNNNNNNNNNNNNNNNNNNNNNNNNNNNNNNNNNNNNNNNNNNNNNNNNNNNNNNNNNNNNNNNNNNNNNNNNNNNNNNNNNNNNNNNNNNNNNNNNNNNNNNNNNNNNNNNNNNNNNNNNNNNNNNNNNNNNNNNNNNNNNNNNNNNNNNNNNNNNNNNNNNNNNNNNNNNNNNNNNNNNNNNNNNNNNNNNNNNNNNNNNNNNNNNNNNNNNNNNNNNNNNNNNNNNNNNNNNNNNNNNNNNNNNNNNNNNNNNNNNNNNNNNNNNNNNNNNNNNNNNNNNNNNNNNNNNNNNNNNNNNNNNNNNNNNNNNNNNNNNNNNNNNNNNNNNNNNNNNNNNNNNNNNNNNNNNNNNNNNNNNNNNNNNNNNNNNNNNNNNNNNNNNNNNNNNNNNNNNNNNNNNNNNNNNNNNNNNNNNNNNNNNNNNNNNNNNNNNNNNNNNNNNNNNNNNNNNNNNNNNNNNNNNNNNNNNNNNNNNNNNNNNNNNNNNNNNNNNNNNNNNNNNNNNNNNNNNNNNNNNNNNNNNNNNNNNNNNNNNNNNNNNNNNNNNNNNNNNNNNNNNNNNNNNNNNNNNNNNNNNNNNNNNNNNNNNNNNNNNNNNNNNNNNNNNNNNNNNNNNNNNNNNNNNNNNNNNNNNNNNNNNNNNNNNNNNNNNNNNNNNNNNNNNNNNNNNNNNNNNNNNNNNNNNNNNNNNNNNNNNNNNNNNNNNNNNNNNNNNNNNNNNNNNNNNNNNNNNNNNNNNNNNNNNNNNNNNNNNNNNNNNNNNNNNNNNNNNNNNNNNNNNNNNNNNNNNNNNNNNNNNNNNNNNNNNNNNNNNNNNNNNNNNNNNNNNNNNNNNNNNNNNNNNNNNNNNNNNNNNNNNNNNNNNNNNNNNNNNNNNNNNNNNNNNNNNNNNNNNNNNNNNNNNNNNNNNNNNNNNNNCUUGAUCAAAUCCUUGAAUUCCAACAUUUUCUCUUUGAUUUUUCUCACCUAGGGUUUGUUCUUCCCUGGUUUCUCUUCUCUUCUGGUUUGGCUGAUCACUAUGGGAGAAAUGGGCUGAUUUUUAUGCCUUUUAUAAAGAAAUAAUGAAUGGAUGAGAUUUUUGACACAUGUCACCAUUCCAUUGGUCCAAGUGUCAUACUUAGCCAUUAAGCAAUCUCUCUCCACCACACAUUUCUCAUGUUUAUCCAUUUACAGAAUGAAUAAAAUCCCUUGGCCUUGACAAGUGCUAAGCGAAAAAUUUAUCGAUUUGCCCGCGAGGCAAAAAAAUUACGAUUUUGCCCUUUAUACUCCGAAAUGUACCGGAAUCAAAUUAUUUCUACUUUUCAACCUCCAAUAACACUAACAUUGAUCAAUAUUAACCAAAUUGGGCAAAAACUUGUUUUAUAAAAAUUUCCGUUUAGUCCUCUAAUGGCAAAAUUACCAUUUUGGCCUUGUGCUCCAAAAAUACCAGGAAUCAUAAUUUUUUUUCACUACUAAACAUCAUUUUAUACCCCAAUAAUCAUAAUUAUAUUUCAUAUAACUACUCUUGGUCAAAUGUGAUCAAAGCUUGGCUAAAAAUCUCCAUUUUAUCAUCAAAUGGUAAAUGAUCGUUUUGUCCCUAAUCGGUCAAAUUUCCUUAUGGACUCCAAAUUAGACCUUGAACUCCGAAUCACUAUUCUAAGCCAUUAUGUGGGUUUCAAAAUUUUCAAAUUCCUCUUAGAAUUUCUAUUUGAAAUAGUUCAAGGCUCGAUUUAACUUAGUUGUACCACUUGGUAUAAUACCGUCUUUUAAUCCGAGCUUGAUAGGGUCUCACAAGUACAACUCUUAAAUUUAUCUAAACGGAGUUGAAGUCCUACCAUGAGAAAUGAAAAAACGCAAGAAGAAAAACUGAUAGAUGAAGAAAAGUCAAGCGGAGCUGGUUGAUCAAACACAAAUUGGCGUGCCACUCUGUAAGGGGAAUAUACCUUGACAGAAAGAAAAUCUAUAUCUCCACCUGAACUCGAAUUCUCAAUCAUAGAUGGAAUUGGGAACUGUGAACACAUACACAAAAGUUAAUACCAUGUGCACUCAUUCUUCUAGACUGUAAAGGGUGGUGAUCAUAAUAAAUUCUAAAAUCACCAAAUCCAUUUAUGGAUUGCACAUAAGGUUUGGGAUUGAAUUUUUUUGCCACAUCCAUCACUUCAAGAACAUUACCUCUCGGGAGUCGAUCAUGCCAUACCUAAGCUCUAUAGUUGUUCCUAGAUAAAGGGCUAUUCAUAGAAAAAGAUGCAAAAAGACAUGCAUUAGGCACGGGAGUGCAAGUACCAAGCCUUUACCAUAAGCACAUCUGAAUGAAAAAAGCAUCCACAUUAGUCACAACUUUGUAACGCCCAGCUGACUCGACGAUUUUGAGUUGGUACAAGUCUAGCCUCUUAUAUAUAGAUCCUAAAUACAAUGGAGCAAGAGGAAAAUGUAUUCCCUUAAUAAUUUUUAUUGCUAAAGGAACAACUGCUGAAAAGAUACCAUCAUCUGGACACCCUGCUAGUAUGUGUCGUGCCAACCAAAAGAUUAUUAAAGCCACUAAAUCAUGCUUAUGGUCUGGAUACUCAAGAAGGGCAAUCUCAAUUCCCUUAGCAUUGAACUUCUUAUUAGAUACCCCUAUCCCACUAGAGAACCGUGCAACCUUUGAAGUUUUACUCAAACUCUUGAGUAGAUCAAAGAAAAAGUCUCAAAUACACAUCUUUUCUUCAGAAAGUUUAAUAGAGUGAAAAUCUUGCUUCCCUAUACAAAGAAAGUUUUACUCAAACCUUUCCCAUAGGCACAUCUGAAUGAAAAAAGCAUCCACAUUAGUCAAAACUUUGUAACGCCCAACUGACUCGACGGUUUUGAGUUGGUACAAGUCUAGCCUCUUAUAUAUAGAUCCUAAAUACAAUGGAGCAAGAGGAAAACGUAUUCCCUUAACAAUUUUUAUUGCUAAAGGAACAACUGCUGAAACGAUACCAUCAUCUGGACACCCUGGUAGUAUGUGUCGUGCCAACCAAAAGAUUAUUAAAGCCACUAAGUCAUGCUUAUGGUCUGGAUACUCAAGAAGGGCAAUCUCAAUUCCCUUAGCAUUGAACUUCUUAUUAGAUACCCCUAUCCCACUAGAGAACCGUGCAACCUUUGAAGUUUUGCUCAAACUCUUGAGUAGAUCAAAGCAAAAGUCUCAAAUACACAUAUUUUCUUCAGAAAGUUUAAUAUAGUGAAAAUCAUGCUUCCCUAUACAAAGAAGUUCUAAGAGAAUACACACAUCUUAUAAAGUGAAAGUAAAUUCCCCCCAUGCUAUAAUCAUAGUAUGAGAAAAAAUGCUCUAUCUUGUAAGAAUAGCACGCCAUACAUCCAUUCUUUUCUAUCUACGAAUAUUGAGCUUGGAAGUGACACGUACAACAUCAAGUAUUCCAACAGAUGAGGGAAGUUUAACAGAAGUUGGAUUCUUCAACAACUUAUUUACCCACUCUUCCCAACCAUGAAUAAAUUGAAAAUUGGAACCUAGCUUAGUAGUAGAAAGUGGAAACUCACCACGGUCAAACCUUAGAAUGGAUAGUCCUCGAAUACCACUUCUUUUAUGAGAAGGUGCUUCUGAGCAUAGACGAUUCCAAUCAUAUCCAACAAGCUCAGAGGGAUGUUGGUCAACUUGUCUAGCACGAACCUCUUCCCAAAAAUGAUCUUCUCCUCUUUCUCUAAUAAUUUCAUCUUCCCAGUUUUCAGGGACAAAAGGAACUUCACCACUCUUUCCUACUUUUCUUUAGAGAAAUUACUUCAGAAUCAUUACUCUUCCUUUUAUGCGCAUUGGUCUUUUUCCUUGUUGUAACCCUUCCAAGCUCACCAUAAUGGAUCUUUGAGAGGAUAUGCGUCCUAGGCAUAGAGGAAGAUGGAAAAAGAAGCCUACAAACAUGAUCAUGGAAAAAGGGAUAAGUAUACGUAUGCAAUAAUUUUUUUAUUUACUUAUUUAUUAAGCAUAAAACAACAAAACUUAUCAAAAUUAUAGAUUUUGAUAUUAUUAUUAUUUAAAUAAUAUAUAUAAAAUAAAAAAGUUAUAUAUAUGCAAUAUAAAAAUAUAUAUAAUAAAUAAAUAAAACUUAAAAAAAAAUUACAGUUUCAAAUAAAAAUAACAUAAUAAUUAAAAAAUUAUAAUUACAAAAAUAAAAUAUAACUCGUGGCAUAUAUGCCACGAGCUUAAAAGAAAUAGCUCGCUGUAUAUGCUAUGAGCUCCAAAAGAAAGCUCCAUAAUAAAAUUAUAAACAAGUGCCACACAUGGUACAAGCUUCAGCACAAAAGCCAAGUAAAAAAAAAAAAGGGAAACCUAUGUUGUGUCUUAAGACUAAAACAAAAGCAUUGUUUCCAAAGUUCUCUUUUACACUUUUGCUUGUGAUGUGAGCUUCAAACCAAACUUCAAUCUAAUAUAAAUACAAAAAAGACAAGAGAAAAAUUAUGGCUUGUGUUGUAAGCAAUUAAAAAACUAAAGACAAAAUUGCUUUUAAGAAGGGUAAAAAGACAAAAUAAGGUUAAAAUAUCAAAAGCUCUAAAGACAUAGUAAAAGAAGAGAAUGGAAUCCAUGCACUACUCUUCAAAGAAAAAUAUAUAUAUAAUAAUUAUUAUUAUUGACAUCUUCUUCUUAUAAAAUCAAAUAAUUUAUUUAUCUACUUGAAUAUAUAUAUAUAUAAAAUUCUUUCAAUAAAAAAUUUAAUCUCAUGCAUAAAAAUUUUCUUAUUUCAUAUUUUAACUUAGAAAUAUGAAAAAAAAAAUUUCAUGCAAGGGGCAACAAACAUGUAAGCAAAAGAAAUUCAAUUUUUUUUUUGAAAAGCAAGAAAUAUACUAAUAAAAAUAGAGAGAGAACAAACAAGAAAUUAUAAGAAGAAGAAAAACUUACGUGUUCAAAAAGAUUUACAAAAGAACAGACCUUACUCUGAAUUUUGUUUUGCUUAGAAUCUAAAUAAAGAAAAUUGUUCAUAGUAGCUUCAUAAUUAUAGAGCAUAUAGAAUCAAGGUUUUUUAUAAAAAAAAUUAACUCUCUUUUUACUAUUUGCAUCUUGAAAAUAUUAUUCUAUGAAAAUAUAUUGUUAUAUAAUCAAUGAAAUAUUACACUAGACAGUAAUAUGUUAUUACCUAAAACAUUACUGCUUAAGGUGUUACUAUCCAAAACAGUACUACUUAAGACGUUACUGCCUAAGAUGUUAUAGUAUAAUAUGUUAUAGUACAAAAUAAAACUUUUCCCUAAAGUAAUGCAUAAGAAUUAUUCUUAAGUAAGAAUUCUUAUGCAAGGGGAAAAACGUAGAUACUUGAUUUUGGUUAAUACCUAUUCUCUAAAGAAUUAUGUUACAAUAUAAUAUUGUACAGAGAACAACUAAAACAAGGGAAGCGUUACUUCACGCAUAACAAUUAGAACAAGUGAAGCACUACUUCACGCAAAACAACUAGAAUAAGUAGAGCAUUACUCCAUAUGGAACAACUAAUACAAGUAGAACAACUAUUUUGAAUAGAAUAACCACUUCACUUGAAUUACAGCGAAAGCAACUUGGAAUAAGUGGAAAAGUUCAUGGGUUACUUUCAUCUUGAGAUGUUCUGGAGAGUUUGACUUGGUGGCUCAAAUAUGGAGGUAGUUAAGAGGUCUUCUUCUUAACCUUUUCCUGAAAUACAAGUGUUUUAUCCUCUUACCUUGUUCUCGUAUACCUAUUCACAUACACCUUCUUUUGUUGUAUCUAUUCAUGUACAGCUACUUCUCUUGUACCUAUUUUCAUAUAGCUUCUUCUCUUAUACUUGUUCAUGUACAGCUUCUUCUCUUAUAUCUUUUCAUGUGUACCUUUUUUUUAUUACCUUUUUACUUGAGAACAAGUCUGAUUACACACAAUUACAGUAAUGGUUACUCACAUUAAUUUUCUUCAUAAUAAUGUCAUUCAUUAAGAGUAUUAAAGCUUAUUCUUGAGUAACAGUCACUUUUAGCACUAUAUAUAAAGCCUCACAAUUCAUUUAGAGGGUUUUCCCCCUUGGAGUUAACACAUUCUCCUCUAGAAAGCUUUUCUCUCUAAUUCUCUUUUAUUCCUUAAUUCUUUUCUUGUUCUCUUUCACCUAUCACUACACUCAGUACAUCAGGAACUGCUCCGAUCUUCUUUUCUGCCACCUUCGGUGCAUCCUUUUACUUGUUUAUAACAUUUCUUAUCCUUAUCACAAGAAUCCCAUUGACACUGAUCAUUUUUGAAUGCUUUCUAGGUGCAAGAAUGAAGCUAAUGAUUUCAAGUACAAGGCAAUUAUGGAGCUGUGUCCAGAGGAACACUUUCCAAUGAUGUUUCAAUAGCUGUUAAGGUUCUGAAUAACUUCAAGGAAACUGGUGAAGAGUUCAUUAACGAAGUUGGUUCGAUGGGAAGAAUCCACCAUGUCAAUGGAAAGUUAGUUGUUGCACAAUUCUGAUAGGCAAAUGUGCUUAGCUUGCUUGUAUUGAAUAACCAAAUGCUCAAAGAGCUUUGAAAUACAUCAAAUAUCAAGUGUCUAUAGUAAACAAAAUUGAAAACAAUGGUGGCUCUCUAAGAGCUUGAACAAAUAGCUAUGAUACUUAAGAAUUAAAAAGAAAAUGUUAAGGGUUUGAAGAUUUGAAUUUGAGUUUUUAUGUUGAGCUUUAUGUUGUUGAGUUGUAUUGUGCAUUUCUUGAAUUGGAUGAUGCCUUUUCUAUUUAUGGGUACUUUUGCCAAUGGUAAGUUCUUUUCCAUAACAAUUAACAACUUGAUUUUGGUGCAAAAGGGUUUCCCGUCCUUUCCUUUCUCAAAUGUCUUUUGUUAUAGAUCAAUAAAAAGUCUCAAAAACAAUAUUUUGACCACCUACUCUUAAUCUUUUAAUGUACAACAAAAACAACAAUAAAACAUUCUUACAACUUACAAAUCAAAUUUUCUGUUUCAAUGGUUUUAGAAUAAAAGCAAACCCAAACAUAAAAAAAAAAAAAAAGAAAGAAAUAUGAAACCUUUCCCUAUCGAUACUUAUAAUUACUUCAUCUAAUUUUCCUUUUCUAUAUAUGUCAAUUAAGAACCACAGUAUAAAGUUGUGUGUGAAGCUAAAACGUACAUUGCUACGUGAGUGUAACAAAAUGUAUGUUGAACAAACAAUACUACAAGGUAAUAAUAGAUAAUUUUUUUAUGGGCUUGUCUACUAAUUCUUAUUAACAUAAUCUUCUGACAUUUUGAGAGAAAAGAGAAAAUGUUUGGAAGGCAUUUUGAGGAGACCAAUUUCACUUUGAAGCAUCUCAAGGGCAUUGCUCAUUGAAGGGUGACAAAUGGGCUUCAUUUGUAUGCACUAAAAUGCAACUAUUACCAUUUUCCUCACAAUUUUCUUUUCAUCAUCUAUAACGUCUCCCAAGUCUACUUCUCCACCUUGAUCAAAUUGAUCAGAAAUCCAAGAAGGGAAGUAUAUCUGACUUGAUUGUUCAACUGAAACAUUCAAAUUUUUCCUUUUUCCCACAAUUUCCAUCAACAACAUUCCAAAAUUAUAAACAUCAGCUUUAUAUGAGAUGCCACCUAGAUAUUUGUAGAAUAAUUUUGGAGCAAUAUAUCCUAAUGUACCUCGAGCUAUAGUAAGAGACACAAUACUCUCAUCUAUAGGAUAUAAUUUUGCCAGUCCAAAAUCUAAAACUUUUUGGACAAAUUUUUUAUCUAAAAGAAUGUUGUGUGGCUUGAUAUCAAAAUGUAAAAUUUGCAUUUCUCAUCUUUGAUGCAAGUAUUUGAUUGCACGAGCCACUCCAAGAGCAAUCUUUAACAUUUGUUCCCAAUUUAAAGAAAUAUUAUUGUCUCUUACAAAUAUAAUUUUAUCCAAAGAUCCAUGGCAUCAAGUUAUAUACCAGAGCUUGUUUUGAUCCUUCCACACAAAAUCCAACAAGUUGUACCACAUUAACAUGAUGAAUCCUUCCAAAUGGUAGCUACUUCAUUAAUGAAAUCUUGGCCCUUAGCUUUUAACUUUCCCAAUAAUUUUAUUGCAACAAGGUGACCACUUUGAAGUUUUCCUUUGAACACUGACCUAUAACCUCCUUGACCAAGUUUAUCUUUAAAUCCUUAAGUCUUUUUUUUUUAAUUUUAGAAUAAGAGUAUCUAAUUGGCAUGAAAUUGUUUUGACUUUGAAGGAAUUCUUCAAUCAAAUCAUCCAUGGAUAUAUGUUUCCUUUGCAAUUUGUGCGUAACAAGUGCAGCCAAACAUGAUAUUCCCAACAAAAAUCUUAGCAAGAUAAUUCCUCCAAAAAAAUAUAUUAUAAAAAAAAGAGAACAUCAAAAACAAAAAGGGGAAGGGCAUCAAGAAUAGUGCACGUGAUAGUCGUGUGCUUAAUAGAAUUAGUUAGUUAGUUAGUUGGUUAGUUAGUCAACUAAUUAUGAUUUUAGUUAAUUAAAUUAAGUUUAAAUGCUAAUAGUCUUAUAAUCAAAUUUUCUGGUUUCUUUUGAAAAGUUUAUAUAUAAACUAUCUUGUAAUCAUUUAAUGAAAUAACAAGAAUCAAUUUAGUUUUUUUUAUUCCUCAACCGUUUACAUGGUAUCAGAGCAAUUCGAUUAAAGUUCUUGCUGCGAGUCUUCCAAUUUUUUAGCCUUUAUCCUUCAUUCAAAAUUGAAUUCACAAUCCCAUAAUUCCAUCAUUAAUAUUGUUCAUACUCAACUUACAACUUCAAUCAAACAAGUUAAGUCAGAUAAUGGCCCAAAGUUUAAUCUUUUUGAAUUUAUUUUUCCUAAAAUCAUUUUGAAUUAUCUAUUUUGCAUACGCACUCCUCAAUAAAAUGAUGUUAUUGAGAGAAAAUACCAACAUUUAUUGAUUAUGGUUAGAUCUUUUAUUUUUAGUCUUUUUUUUCUACAAAAUUUUUGAGAAAUUUUGUAUCAAUGGCAGCCUACAUUAUUAAUAAAACACAACAUGAAAAGUUGUUUCACAAAACCCAUUUUAUUAAUUACUUCUUAGAGUCUUUAGUUGUUUAUGCUUAACACCAACCCUAUCUCAUAACAAAAAGAUAUGUUAUCCUAUGGGAAAAUUGUCCAUUCAUAGGGUAUCUUAUUAGCAUAAAAAAGGUCUAGACUCUAUGAUUUGACUACACAGAAGUCCUUCAUUUCUAGGGAUGUUAUGUUUCAUAAAAGUAAUUUUCCAUUUCAACACUUGAAACAUGAUUCUAAUAAUCUUAUUACUAUCUUUACAAUACUUAAUUUUAGUUUUAAUGAUUGUAUUUAUGAACGUCCUAUUUUUACAAUACUUGUUUCUCAUAAUUGUAGCUACACUGGUCGAGUAAGGCACCUUAAGAUCAAACUAGAAAAAUUCAAGCUCUUGUUCUUCUAAUCUAAUAGCCUUUGGAGCUCUUCCAUUGUCACAAAUCCCUAGGUAGGAGUAGGUGGGAUUACUGUAUUAGAGGCAGUUACUAGUGUAACUACAGUAAUAGAGUUGGUUGGAUUGGGGUUUGUAGCAACUAUUGCAUCACUUGCAUUUUCUCCAUUUCCUUCAUUCCCCUUAGUUUUGUAACUAGAUAAGUGACUUCGUUAGGUGCACUCUCAUUAUGGUGCACAAGUUGGGUUUAAGAAGUGGUAGUAGAAUAUGCGAGUUGGGAUAUAGUCUUAAUCAUUCACCUAUUAUUGUUCUCCAAUGUUUGCAUCCUCUCUUGAAAAGCUUGGAUCUUUCUCAUCAAAUCUUGAAUGUAUGAAGGAACAAAUGUGUCAAGCCCUACUCUAUUAUAUACUUGUCAUGUCAUUCAUGUACUUGAUAGCAUAUCUACAUACUGGGAUGCUUCGGAGAAUCGUUAAAAGUUGAUAUCGUACCUAGCGGUACAAUUAAGUCAAUUAAAACCUCGAACUAGUUUGAAUAGAGAUUUUAGGAUGUAUUUGAGAGUUAUUGAACUUUAGAAUGUUUUAAUAUGGUGAUUCGGAGUUCGAGGAUUGAUUUGGAGUUAAUUCGAGAAUUUUCAUAAGGUAGGGGCAAAAUGGUCAUUUUGCCACCAAAGGGCAAAAUUGGAAUGUUGGAUGAUAUUUUGACUAAAUUUGAUUAAUUAGAGCAUUAUUUGAAUUUGAAAAGUGAAAAAUUUCAAUUUCGACAUAUUUUCAAACAUAAGGGCAAAACAAUCAUUUUAUGUGUCCACAAGGACGUAAUUGGAAUUUUUAGAAUUUUACACCACCAUGAAACUUGUCAAACCCAUGAAUUUCACCCAUUAUUUUUUUUAAGUGAGAGAUUAUAUGUGGUGGGAAUGAAAUGCUUAAUUGUUAAGUUUUAUGCAUGGACCAAUUACAUGGUGACACGUGGUAAAUUUUAAUCCUUUUAUAAUUCCCUUUAAAAAACCAGCACACACUCCUCCCAAAUCACUCUUACGGCUAGCCAAGCAAGGGAACAAAGAGAAAAAGAGAAGAACAAACCCUAGGAAGGAAAAAUCCAAGAGAAAUUGUUGGAUUUCAAGGAAUCAAGCAAGUAAAGGUAAGAUUUUUUAAUUUUAGCUUGUGAUCUACCUUUCCCAUGCAUUCUUUUUCAUUCUCCAUGGCUGAAAUUCAAGUUUUCAAGAGGGAACCUUUGCUAGCCGAAUCUAGAGAAAGAAGUUUCGGUGAUGAAUUUUGCUAGAUUUCAUAAUAUCCUAGUGUUUUUAGUCAUUUUGUGAUGUUUGGAAGGAAAAACAAGCAUGAAAAUCACAUGUUCUUCAAUAACCCUCAUUUGGUCGAAUUUUCUAUAGGGCAUGUUGAUGAUGGAUUUAGUUGUAAUUCCUGUUAUUUAGCUAGGAAUUGAUGAAUUAUGAUGUUGGAUAUCGAAAUCGAAAUGAAUUUCGAUUACGGUGAAUUAAGUCAUAAUUAAGCUCAUUGAGGUGCUUUGGUGUAUUUGGAAUAUUGGAAGUGUAAUGAAGAUAUUUGGAGUUGAAUUAGAUGUUUUGGCUAAUUAAACAAGGCAUAGUGUGAGUUAGGUCAAAUGCCAAUUCAGUCCGAUCAUAAUUGAACCCACGUAAAACACCGUCUUUAAGUGAUUAUUCGAACAAUUCUCAUUCAAUGUCAUGCAUUCAUAUAGAGCCUGAAAUAGUUUUAUAAUAGUUUGGCACAAAUAUAUUGAAUUACGUGUCGUGUAUUAUGUAUAGGUGGUGAGCCCUCUGAUAAGGGUAAAGAUAUUGUAUCCGAGGAUCGAGAAUAGGAGUACUCCUACCACUCCAAACUCUCGCUAUUGUGAGUAAUCAAAUGUUCAUCUUAGUUAUCUAAAGUGGUUUAUACUUGUUUUAAGAUUUUAAAGAAUAAGGCACUUAAUUUGCAAAUUAUUAUGUUUUACAUUUUAAAUGUUGGUUAAAUGAAUGAGAUUUAUAAAUUAUUCUGAAACUAAAUGUUGAUUUUCGAAAUAGAGUAAGUGGAGGCUAUACAUUAGUAUUAUAUAUAUAUACAUGAUUUGAAUUGAUGGCUUAUGAAAUUGUGGUAGCAUGAAUGACUGAAAUUGUGGUUUUGUGAAUUAUAUAAAUUGUUUUGUCUUACAUUGACAGGUUGGAUAGUNGUAGCAUGAAUGGCUGAAAUUGUGGUUUUGUGAAUUAUAUAAAUUGUUUUGUCUUAUAUUGACAGGUUGGAUAGUACUAUAUUAGCCAUGUUAUGCUACCGAAAUUUUAUUGAUUUGCUGGGUUAUGUAUUUAGCUUACUGUAGUGGGCGGGUUUCCGUGGACCAGUCUAUUAGAGGGGCACGGUUAACCCCGUUAUAGUUUACCUUAGUAUGAGAGGCGCGGAGGGUAUCUCCUAAGGUAAGUUUAGAGUUCACUUCACGCCGAACCAACACGUGAGGGUGAAACUCAGCCAACGCCAAGGAACGGCUACGUUUUUAAACAUAAAAACAUGUUUUAUGUGUAUAUGUUAUUUUAACAGCCUUGGUAAACUCGGUUGGAUGCCCGGGCCAAGGUGUCACCGAGUACGAGUUUUGGCACGAGCCAAGUUUUAAGAGAGUCAUAAGCCUUGCUGAUUAUUUUUGAUGAAAUGUAAUUAUUUUAUAUGAUUUGAAAUGAGUUGUGAAUGUUAUGAAUUAUAUUAUGAUGGGAUGAUUGAAUUGUCUCCAUUUACUCGACUUUAGAUGUUAUAGAUGAAUUUUGCUUAGUCACUGGGUUUGCAAAAACUCACCCCUUCUUUUUAUCCAUUUCAGGCUCAGGACAAUCUGUAGACAACCGAUUUUGUCGAGGGUUGCUUUAAGAUUUACAUCCUUAGAAAUCGAAGGUCUACAGUCUUAUAUAUUUACAAUUAUUGUGGGGUCCACAUGUCAUUGUAGAAUAUUUUGUAUACCUGGCUACGUGUGCCACUGUAUGUAUGAAUUUAUUUUGCUUUUAAGCUACAAAAAUCAUUUAUGCAGAGUUCUAUAAAUAUUGUUUUAUAAGAAAAUAGAAUAUUUUAUUUAAUAUUUUUAUUUAGUUUGAUUAGCCAAAAUUUUAUUUUAAUUGGAUGAUUUAGAUUACUACAAUUAUUUUUAGAUAAGAAAUGUAUAUUUUUCGAUCGUAUGUUGUAUUUUCACCAAGUUUCAAAAUUUUUGGGUAAAAAUGACCAAAAUACCCCUGUGUGGCAUAAAUUACUUUUGUUUGUUUUUUAUCUAAAAAUAGUUUAUAUUCUCUUAAAACAUGACAUUUAGUAACUGUUGCUCACAAGGGAGACGUAAAAUUGAUACAAGAGCCUUGCGAGGUUUCAGUUGACAUUUUGGGUAAUGAAUGUCUAUCGAGACAUCGCGGCGGUUGUCAUGGGCUCGAAGGGAGUAUCGGGUCAUGACAAAAUGCAUCUUGGUUGCUAGUAAACUCUUUAUCUUUUCCAAUAACACAAAGUUAUUAUAAUAAGAGUUUUACUUAAUGCAAUCACUCCUCCUUAGUGGAGUUGCCAAAAUGUAAAGGGGGUUCUUGUACUAGGGAGACGAAGCAUUGCAAACAAGUAAAAGGAUGUACCGAAGGUGGCGAAGAGGAAGAUCAAGGUAGUUCCUAAAGUACCAAGUGUCAUGGCAAGUGGUAGAGAACAAAAAGAGAAUAGGUAGAGAAUGUAUAAGAGGGCUUGAGAGAAAAGCUUUAAGUGAGAAUAAGGUAGUUCUCAAAAAAGUCCCCAAAUGAAUUAUGGAGGCUCUAUAUAUAGUGCCAAAAAUGACAAUUACUCAAGAAUGGGCUUUAAUGCAUGUAAUGAUUAAUGACUUUAAUAUUAGGUGACCGUUACUAAGUUUUUAAUGUUGAGUAAUGGUUAAAAGUCCAUUAUGUGACUAUUAAAGUAAUGGAUUUUAUGACCGUUAAUAACAUAAUGAGAUAUAUUAUUGAAUAGAGAGUAAAUGGAAGAUGUACCUAAGAAAAGCUAUACAAGAACAAGUUAAGGGAAAAAGGUGUAUGUGAACAAGAAUAAGAGAAUAAGGUAAAAGAGAGAAACACUUGUACUUUAGAAAAAAGUUAAGAGAAGACAUGUUAACUACCUCUAUUUUGAGCUAUGAAGCCAAACUCUCUAGAACAUCCCAAGAUGAAAGUAACCCGUGAACCCUACCAUUCGUUCUAAGUUAUUUUCAUUGCAAUCCUUAUGAAAUGGUUAUUCCAUGAAUGCUUGAUUUGUUCUAGUUGUUCUGUGUGUUGGUUCCAUUAGUUUUUGAUGAUAAUAAAACAUUUCCAUACAUUUGUGUCUAAUGCCUUUCCUUAAGUGUGCAAGAAAAUUAAUGUAUGAAAUUAAUAAAUCAAUCUUGCAAAAGUGUAUAUCAAAAGAAAAAGAAAGAUAAAAAUGAUAAGACAUGACUGCCUAACAAGGAGGAAGCUCAUUACUUGAAUAAGGAAGAAUGUUGGUUGGCCAAGAUUCAAAUUGGAGAAAUGACGGGCUGAAGAUUAUUGAGAAACAGAACCAACUUAAUCGACCAAGAAAUGAGCUAGUCGACUAAAUGCUUACUUCCAAAACUGCUAGAGACAAGGAGCAGAAAACAAAGACAACUUAGUCGACUAAAAGCAUUCUAUCUGCAAGUUUGAAAACUGCACCAAAAAACAGAGUAACGGCUAGAACCGACUCCCAACAGUCUCCAAUGGCUAGAAAAUUGUCAAACUGCCAUCAGGGAUUUUUCUCCAAGUAUAAAAGGGUCUUCCAACAGUUAAAAAGUAGUUCUUGGAAGUAUUAGAAAGAUUUGAACCACAUAAGAGUUGAAAAACCAAAAAAUUUCUCUUGUACCCUGUCGCACCUUAACGCCCAUUCUUUGUACUUGUAUUAUGCACUCAACCUUGUGUCAUUUAGAUGAACUUGUGAUCAUAGGUACUUUCUUUUACUUCUUUUCUUGUAUUCUUAGAGUGAGGAAGUCACUCUAAGGAGUUAUUCAAGCUUGGGAUAGCUUGAUUGUUAUAGGUUGUGGUUGAGCUUUGGAAAAACCACUUUGGGUUACAGUUGAGCCCGGGGAAAAAUAGUGUAAAAGGUUUUGGCUAAGCCUUGUAAAAGCCAUUGUAAAGCUUGGUGAAAGCUUGUGAAUUUCACUAGUUCUUAGUGGAUUGUUUGGAAAAUCCUUGGUUGGAUAAUUAAGAUAGUGGAUGUAGGUCCUAGACCGAACCACUCUAAAUUCUGCUGUCUUGUUUACUCUAUUUUUGUUUUAUUUUCUUUCCUUCAUUUGUCUCACUUUGUUUACACUUAGAGACAAUUUUUGAAAGAGCCAAAUUAUGCUAUUCACCCCCUCUCUAGCACAUAUUAUUGGGACUAACAAGUGGUAUCAGAGCUAGUUCCCUGUUAUUAAGGUCUAACACCCUUUGGGAGGAUCCAAAUGGCUCAACUAAAAUCAGUAGUGGCUAAGGGACAAUCAACAAACAGACCACCUCUGUUUGAUGGCUCUAAUUACCCUUAUUGAAGCACUAGGAUGUCAAUCUAUAUUAGAGCUAUAGACUAUGAAAUGUGGGACGUCAUAACUGAUGGACCCUUUAUGCCCUUAACCGUGAAUGUGGUGACAAAUGACUUGAUGCCUAAGCCAAGGUCUGAAUGGACCGAGGCUGAAACUAAGAAAGUUCAAAUAAAUUUUAAGGCCAUCAACACAUUACAUUGUGCCUUGACCCCCACUGAAUUUAACAAAGUUUCAAGCUGUACAGCAGCUAAACAAGUGUGGGAGAAACUUAAAAUAAUCCAUGAAGGGACUUCUCAAGUAAAUGAGUCCAAAAUUGCCCUCUGAACACAUAACUAUGAAAUGUUCAAAAUGGAGCCUGGUGAAGACAUCACCAGCAUGUUAGAUAGGUUUACAAACAUUACAAAUAAAUUGAGUCAGCUAGGCAAGCCUAUCCCUGAACAUGAAUUAGUAAAAAGAUUGCUUAGGAGUUUACCAAAAAAUUGAAAGCCAAAAGUGACUGCAAUCCGAGAAGCAAAAGAUCUAAAUGUUAUCACCUUAGAUGAGAUUUAUGGCUCUCUCCUAACUCAUGAGCUGGAGCUUAAAGAGGAAGAAGAAGAAGAUAGGAGGGAAACAAAGGAAAAGAAAAAGAGCAUUGCACUUAAAGCCAACAUCCUUGAGGAAGAGCUGGAAGAGUUGUCAUGUGAUGAUGAUGAAGAGUUAGCUCUGGUUGCAUGAAAAUUCAAAAAGCUUAUGGGUAGAAGAAACUGGAGACUGGCUAGAAGAGGGUUUAGAAAAGAUCAAGGUGCUUCAUGAAAAAUCAGAAACAAAAAUGACUCUUAACAAAAAGGAGGAGCUGAUCUGCUACGAAUGCAAGAAACCUGGUCACUUCAAGUCCGAGUGUCCAUUGCUGAAAGAUGAGACUCCAAAGAAAAAUAAGAAAUCCAAGAAAGCAAUGGUGGCUGUUGCAUGGUCGGAUAGUGACACAUCAAGCUCUAAAGCUGAAGAUGAAAAAUCUGAGGAAAGAGCAAACAUCUAUUUGAUGGCACAAGAGGAUGAAACAGAGGUAUCCUCAUCCCCCUGUGAUAUUUCCAUUGAUGAUUUACAGGAUGAGUAUGAUAGCCUCUGUGAUGAAUUUGAAAAACUUUUUUCAAAAUACAAAACAUUAAAGAAAAAGGCUGGAUCUAUUAAAAAUAAUUUGGAAAAGAUGAGGCAAGAGUUCAAUUUUAUUUUUGAGCAAAGAAAUAUUUUAUACAUUGAGUUAGAACACUCAAAGACAGAUUUUGAAGUUUUAAUAUUAGAGCUAGAUAAUAAGUCUGAUGUUGUGCAAAAAUUACUUGAUGAAAACACAACUCUCAAAUGUUUGAAAAAUGAAUCUUCAAAAAGAUAUGCAUACCAUAAUAAAAAUUCUGCUAAUGCAUUACCUAGAUGCUAUAAUUGUAUUUUGCAUGGUCAUUUAUCAUAUGAUUGUUUUAAGAAAAGAAAUGUGCAGAAAAUCAAAAAAAAUUGGGUUCCUAAAGGAUCCUAUAUUACAACUAACACUCAAGGACCCAUCAAAGUAUGGGUACCUAUAAAGAAAAACUGAAAUGCUAUUUUGUAGGUUGAGCUGUACUUAAAGGAAGCAUGUUUAAGAGCUCAACUCAAAAAGAAAUAGCCUUGGUAUAUGGACAGUGGCUGUUCACAUCACAUGACUGGAGAUGAAAUGAUGUUUGCUUAGCUAGACAAAAGAAAAGGAGGUACCGUAUCCUUCGGUGAUGAUUCAAAAGGUAGAAUUCAUGGGAUAGGUACGGUUGGUAAGAACUCCCAAACUCAAAUUAGUCAUGUGUUGUUAGUGAAGGGUCUAAAACAUAAUUUAUUAAGUAUGAGUCAAUUAUGUGACAAAGGGUUUAAAGUGUGUUUUGAUUCAACUAAGUGUGAAGUAAUAGACAUAGGUACAAACAAAGUUUCAUUUAUAGGAAAGAGAUUAAAAAAUAUGUAUGUUGUCUUUCUUGAAGAUCUUGAAAUUAAUAGUGAGAUAUGUCUUGUUGCAAAUGCUGAAAAUAAUAGUUGGUUAUGGCAUAGGAGAUUAGGACAUGUAAGCUUGCACACUAUGUCAAAAUUGAUUAGGAAAAACUUAGUUGUUGGGCUGUCGGAUUUAAAAUUUGAAAAUGAUAAAAUAUGUAAUGCUUGCCAACUAGGAAAACAAGUUAGAACAUCCUUCAAAACUAAGAAGAUUGUGUCAACAUCUAGACCUCUUGAAUUGUUGCAUAUUGAUCUAUUUGGUCUAAUAAGCACAACUAGUUUAGGAGGAAAAUCUUAUGGCUUUGUAAUAGUUGAUGACUAUUCUAGAUAUACUCGGGUUUAUUUUCUUGAUCAUAAAAAUGAUGCUUUAUCAGCUUUCAUAAGUCAUUGUAGGAAAGUAGAAAAUGAAAAAGGACCAGCCAUAGUUAGCAUAAAGAGUGAUCAUGGAGGAGAAUUUGAAAAUGAUGAAUUUGAGAAAUUCUGUAAUAAAAAGGGGUUAGUCACAAUUUCUCUGCACCUAGAACACCCCAGCAAAAUGGAGUUGUAGAGAGGAAAAACCAAACCUUAAAGGAAAUGGCUAGGACUAUGCUAUGUGAGAAUAACCUACCAAAAUAUUUUUGGGCUGAGGUAGUGAACACAGCAGCUUAUAUACUUAAUAGAGUCUCAAUAAGACCCAUGAUAUCUAAGACACCAUAUGAACUUUACAAGGGUAAGAAACCAAAUAUUUCUCACCUUAGGAGUUUUGGCUGCAAAUGUUUUGUAUUGAACAAUGGAAAAUAGCCCUUAGGGAAGUUUGAUGCAAAAAGUGAUGAAGCAAUAUUUUUAGAAUAUGCAUUAAACUCAAAGGCUUAUAAGGUUUUUAACAAAAGGACUUUAACCAUUGAAGAAUCAAUCCAUGUGGUUUUUGAUGAGUCAAAUGCUUUACAAAAUGAAAUCCAUGUUGAUGAUGAUGAUGUUGAAAUCUUAGAAAAACAAAUGGAAGAAAUGAGCUUAGAAAACAAUAAUAAUAAUGAAGAAAGCUCAUCUAGAAGAGAAAAUGAAACUCCACCUCUAGAAGAUUUGCAAAGAACACAAAAUCAGCAUAAUGACAUUCCAAGAAGUUGGAGAUUUGUAAAAGACCAUCCACAAGAUCAAAUAAUAGGUGAUAUUUCUCAAGGAGUUGAACUAGGAAAGUAACAAGAGAAACAUGUGAAUUUUCAGCAUUCAUAUCUCAAAUUGAGCCUAAAAACUUUGAAGAAGCUGAAAAUGAGGAAAGUUGGAUAAUGACCAUGCAAGAGAAACUUGACCAAUUCAAAAAAAAUCAUGUAUGGUCAUUAGUACCUAGACUUUCAAAUCACCCUAUUGUGGGCACAAAAUGGGUGUUUAGAAAUAAAGUAGAUGAGCAAGGAAAUGUGGUUAGAAAUAAAGCUAGGUUAGUAGCCCAAGGAUACAACCAAGAGGAAGGAAUAGACUAUGAUGAAACCUUUGAACCGGUUGCUAGAAUUGAAGCCAUAAGGUUGUUGUUAGCUUUUGCAUGCUUCAAGAAUUUCAAAUUGUACCAAAUUGAUGUAAAAAGCGCAUUUUUAAAUGGAUUCAUUCAAGAGAAAGUAUAUAAAACUGGACCCUAUAAACAAAUGUCAUGACAUACAUGCACUGAGUAGCAUGUUAUUACGCUAGGAAAGUCCUAAGAAUAGACGAAACUCGGUAUUGUACCUAACGGUACACUUGAGUUGAUUUAACCUCAAACUAGUUCAAAUAGGAAUCGUAGGAUGAAAUUUAAUAUUUGACAGUCAAGGAAUGACUAAAAAUUAUUGUUCGGAGUUCAAGGGUUCAUUUGGAGAAAAAUUAGAAAUUUGAUGUUCAGGGGCAAAAUCGUCAUUUUGCCACCUAAGAUAAUAAUUUGAUCAUGGAGUGAAAUUUUUGACCAAGAUUAACUAUUUGGAGUAUAAUUUAAUGAUAGGAAGUGAAAAAGUUUAAUUCUGGUGAUUUUUGGAGUGUAGGGGCAAAAUCGUAAUUUUGCCACCCACGGACAAAAUUUGAGAUUUUGAGAGAAUUUAGAUCAAAUUUGACAAAUUGGAGAAUGGUAUGAGUAUAAGGGAUGAAAAAUAUGUCUAUGGGCAAUUUUUCAAUUUUUGGGGCAAAAAUGUAAUUUUUGACUUUUACGGGGGUAAAAGUGUAAAUUUUAAAAAUUACUCCACCGAGACUUUGGAUAAGUCUGAGAAUUUUAUCUAAGCUAUGGAUAUGUGGGACAAGUGUAUGGUGAAAAUUUGGAAACAAAUGGAUGAAAUUUUAAAAAUGGGCCAAUGGGAAAGUGACACGUGGCAUUUUUUAAUGAAAUAAUAUUAUUUUAAUGAAAAGUCAGCCAUUUAAACCCAAAUUUUGAGUGCUGGCCGGCCAUAAGGAAGAACAAGAGAGGAAAUAGAGAGGAAAGGAAGAAAAAAAGAAAAACCAAAGAGAAACAAGAAAAUUCAAAGGGAAAUUCGCGGUUUUCGACCGUUUACGCGUCUAACGGUAAGAUUUUUCGAUUUUAGCUUGAUUUCUACCUUUCCUAUGCCUUUAUUUCCAUUUAGCAUGCUUGAGGAGAGAGAUCAAAAAGUGAUAUCAAGGGCUGGACGAAAUUCUAGGGGAGAGAAAUUGAAAUUUUUAGGUUUUGAUUUUUAGUUAAAUUGAUAGUUUUAGUUAGUUAAAUGUGUUUAGAAAUUAAAUUGGGCAAGAAAUCAUUAAAUUUUCACAAUACCCACUCUUGGCUGGAUGCUCAAUGCUGUACAAUGAUGAUGAAUUGAUUUUAUUCUAAGGAAAAUGAAGAGAAAAUGAUGAAAAACGAUUAAACGUGAUAGAAAAACAAAGUAGAAAAUUAACCGAGUUAAUGUCCCAUUUUUGGCCGAAUUUUCCAAGGAAGGGAGUGAGCUGAUUUUGUUGUUUUUAGAAGGUUAUUGGCUGAUAUUUAAUGGUUAGAAAUGUUGGAGAGAGAAUGGGACAAUUUAGAGCUAAAAUGGAGCGCGUUAGCAAUUUAUAGGGUAAAGUGCCAAAAAUAGGUUAAUUCCGCUUUUAAGCCAUUUUAGGCUAUUGCAUUUCAUACCAUGCAUUAGUAUAGGAUUUAAGUCAAUUAUAUAGUGAUUUAGCAUCAAUGUGGUGAAUUGUGUAAUUUUUGCAAUGUGUCGAGGAGGAGAGCCUUCCGGUAAAGGCAAGAAAGUCGUACCCGACGAACAGUGAUCGGGGCACCUAGGAAGCAUUUAGUUUAUACAAACUGUGAGUAAACCUAUUAUUAUUGUAAUUAUCUAGAGUUUAUUUUUAAAUGAUCUUCAUGGAUUUUAUGAAACGAAAAUGAGAUUAAAAUGGGAUUUUUGAUGUUUUGGAAAUAAAUGUGACAAAUAAAUAUAUUGUCUUGAUUAUCUGAAAUAAGAAACUUUUGAUUAUGAAAUUGAGUAUGGGACGCUGCCAAUUGUCUUGAAAAAAAUAUAUUUUCCUAUGAAUGGCUUAUGAUAUAUGAGUAUAUGUGGCUAUAUUUUAUAAUUGCAUUGGAAAUUUAUGCAAGCUGUCUUUUACUAUACAGGCUGGGUAAAUAAAUAAAAGCCACGUUAUACUGUCAAAAUUUUAUUAAAAUUGGUGGGUUUAGUCACUGCAGUAACGGGUUUUCGUGGACUGCCUAUUAGAGGGGCACGGUAAAUCCGGUUAUAUAGUUACUCUGAUUGUAGAGGCGAUGAGGGUAACUCCCGGGGUAGUGUUAGAGCUCACUUCACGUCGAACCCCCACGUGAAUGUGUAACUCGGCCAACCCCAAGGAACGGCUUGUUUUCAAAACUAACAUGUGUUUAACAUGUAAAUAUCUUAAGAACCUUGGCGGACUCGGUUAGAUGCCUCGACCAAGGUAUCCCCGAGGACUAGUUUUGGCUUGAGCCCUGUUUUUAAUAAAAGUUAUAAGCCUUAACAACUGUUUUGGUAAAUUACAAAUAUUUUAUGGUUUAAGAAAUAAAUUGAAAACCUUAUGAAAUGGUUUUUAAUUUGUUGUUUAAACUUGCCUCCAUGUUACUCGCCUUUAGAUAUUUAUGAUAAUGUCUGUUUACUCAUUGGCAUUGCAAAAUCUCACCCACCUCCUUUCCAAAUAUUUCAGGCCUGUGGUAGCUUGUAGAUACCGAUUUUGUCGAGAAUUCCAGUUGACCCCUCUAUCUCACAGAUAGUAGGUUUCUAUCGCCAACACUUGGUGUAUUUAUGGGCCACUUGUCAUUGUAAUUAUUAUUGUACAUUAUAACUUUGUAAAUUAUUGCAUGUAUGAAUUUAUUUUACUUCUAAGUUACAAAAGAUUACUUACACGUGUUUCUAUAAAUAAUGUUUUAUAUAAAAAUGCUAUAUUUUUGUCUUUGAUUUACUUGAGUCAGAAACGAUUGAAAAUUGUUUAAAACUGAUAUGUAAGCCUUGCGGGGUUCUUAUUGGUAGUUCGGGUAACGAGUAUCAAUCGGGACAUCGCGACGGUUGUCAUGGGCCCGAGGGAGGUUUUGGGUCAUGACAAAGUAUAUGUUGAACAACCACCAGGUUUUGAAGAUUUUGAAAAACUAGAUCAUGUUUUGAAACUCCACAAAGCAUUGUAUGGAUUGAAACAAGCUCCUAGAGCCUGGUUUGAGAGGCUUUCAAAAUUUCUGGUUGAAAAAGGGUAUGUUAGAGGCAGCAUUGAUACUACAUUGUUAAUUAAAAGAUAUCUAAAUGAUUUAAUUGUUGUGCAAAUAUAUGUGGAUGAUAUUGCAUUUGGUGCAAAUAAUGAGGCUUUAUGCAAGAACUUUGCAAAAGAAAUGCAAGGUGAAUUUGAGAUGGGCAUGAUGGGAGAAUUGAAGUACUUUCUUGGUAUUCAAAUUAAGCAAAGUGAGGAAGGAAUCUUCAUCAACCAAGAAAGGUACACUCAAGAUAUGCUCAAAAAGUUCGAUAUGCUAAAGCUAAAACCAAUCUCCACACCAAUGAGUCCAUCCACAAGACUUAAUCUUGAUGAAAAAGAAAAGAAUGUAGAUCAAAGGCUAUAUAGAGGUAUGAUUGGUUCACUACUUUACUUAACAGCAAGUAGACCAGAUAUUCAGUUUAGUAUGUGUUUGUGUGCUAAAUUUGAGUCACAACCUAAAGAAUCACACUUAACAGCUGUUAAGAGAAUUUUUAGAUACCUCUUAGAAACUCAAACUCUAGACAUAUGGUAUUCUAGAAAAUCAACUUUUAGCCUAGUUGGAUAUUCGGAUGCUGAUUUUGCUGGCAGCAAAGCUGAUAGGAAAAGCACUAGUGGAAUAUGACAAUUUAUUGGUAGUAUGCUAGUGUCAUGGUCUAGCAAAAAGCAAAAUUCAGUGGCUUUAUCUACAGCAGAAGCAGAGUAUGUAUCAUUAGGUAGUUGCUGUGCCCAAAUAUUGUGGAUUAAACAACAAUUAGAGGACUAUGGGUUAUCAAUGCAUAACAUACCAAUACACUGUGACAAUACAAGUGCAAUUAAUAUUUUAAAGAAUCCUGUGCAACACUCUAGAACAAAACACAUUGAGAUUAGACAUCAUUUUGUUAGAGACCAUGUAGUGAAAAAUGAUGUUAAAAUUGAAUUUGUGAAUACUUUGCAUCAACUAGUUGAUAUUUUUACUAAACCGCUGAAUGAAGAUAAAUUCUAUGAAAUUAGAAGAAAUCUAGGUAUGAUUAGUCAGCAGGAAUUGUGAGAAAACCUUUGGUUCAUGAACAUGAAAAAGAAUGCAUUUAGUAGACUAAGACGAAUCUUAGUCAACUAAGAGUAUUCUGGUAGCAUUAAAUAAUAAGACUCAGUGAAUAAAAUAAGAAAGGAAUAAAAUAAUAUAAAGAAUGUGUGUACCGGGUGAUAAGGAAAGAAGAAAUACUGCCUAAAAAGAAUAACCAAAAUUUAGAGGGAGUUUUGAAAUUUUGAGCAAAUAGAAUAGGGCAAUAUUUAAGGGGGAGGUGAAUGGUUUUCUAAGAGAAAUUAAAACUGCUGACAACUUCUUUUUCACCAUUUUCUCUCCCCUGAAACUCAAAAAUCUGAAACCGAAAUCCUUUUCUCUCCACUUUCUUGCCUUUGAAACUGACUCAUACCUAAACCAAAACCCUCAAACCCAAGUAAGAAAUUUUUAGAAUCAAAAUGGCAAAAAUCAUCUCAAAGUAGAGAAAUCACUGACAAGAAGAAGGGAAAGAGACCAGUGGAAGAAAGAUCAGAAAUAAAAGUACUGAAAAAGAAACAGAAAAUCACGUCUGCUUUAGUGAAAGAGAUAUAUGAGAAACUGAAAGAAAAGAGGCAGAAAACAGAAAAGAAGAAGGACAAGGAAUCCACCCGCAAGAAAGGUACUAGUUCUUCCUCUUCUAAGUUCAAAAAUAGGAUGCAUGAACUAAGGUUCAGAAAAAUUGAGAAUGCACCUAUAACAUGUGGCAAAUAUAUCGACUGGAAGAGUUUUAAUGAGAACUUAGAAAUUCAGACAAGUUUAUCCGACUAUUUUAAUGAACUGAAACUGAAAGGAUAUAGCACUUUUAAGAAUAGAUCUUACUGUGCAAGUCUGGUAAAGGAAUUCUAUUACAGCAUUGCUUUAGGAGAAAAAGAAUUAGAGGAUUCUGAUGACUAUGUCGAAAAUGGUUUGAAUGUGUAUUUAAAUGGGAAAGAAUUUGUAAAGCUCGAUCUUAUAAAAUAAUUGUCAUAACAUACAUGUGAUGGAUAGCAUGUUUACAUACUAGGAGAGCCUCGAAAAAUCAACAAAAGUCGGUACUGUACCUAGAGGUACAAUAAAGUUGAUCUAAGCAUCGAACUAGGUCAAAUAGGGAUUCUAAGGUGAAAUUCAAAAUUUUACAGUUCAGGAAUGACUUAAAAUGGUGAUUCGAAGUUCGAGGAUCAAUUCGGAGUCAAAUUAGAAUUUUCACUAUCCAAGGGCAAAAUGGUAAUUUUGCCACCUAAGGGAAAAANNNNNNNNNNNNNNNNNNNNNNNNNNNNNNNNNNNNNNNNNNNNNNNNNNNNNNNNNNNNNNNNNNNNNNNNNNNNNNNNNNNNNNNNNNNNNNNNNNNNNNNNNNNNNNNNNNNNNNNNNNNNNNNNNNNNNNNNNNNNNNNNNNNNNNNNNNNNNNNNNNNNNNNNNNNNNNNNNNNNNNNNNNNNNNNNNNNNNNNNNNNNNNNNNNNNNNNNNNNNNNNNNNNNNNNNNNNNNNNNNNNNNNNNNNNNNNNNNNNNNNNNNNNNNNNNNNNNNNNNNNNNNNNNNNNNNNNNNNNNNNNNNNNNNNNNNNNNNNNNNNNNNNNNNNNNNNNNNNNNNNNNNNNNNNNNNNNNNNNNNNNNNNNNNNNNNNNNNNNNNNNNNNNNNNNNNNNNNNNNNNNNNNNNNNNNNNNNNNNNNNNNNNNNNNNNNNNNNNNNNNNNNNNNNNNNNNNNNNNNNNNNNNNNNNNNNNNNNNNNNNNNNNNNNNNNNNNNNNNNNNNNNNNNNNNNNNNNNNNNNNNNNNNNNNNNNNNNNNNNNNNNNNNNNNNNNUUGUUUGAUUUUAAGUUAUGUUAGUGAUUAAGGUUAGUUUAGUAUAUUUAGAAGCAAAACAACAAGAAAAGAAUCCAUUUUCCCCAUGAAUCUUCAUUGGCCGAAUCUUCCUUGAUGUGUGUGGGUGAUGGAUUGUUAUUAUUUCAAGAGAAAUGGCUUAGAAAAUGAUGAAUAAUGGUGAGAAAAUUAAGUAGAAAAAAUCACGGUGUUAGUGCACUGUAAGGGCCGAAUUUUUCCAUGAAGAAAUGGGAGGGUUUUGAUGCUAAAAUUGGUGUUAUUUGAAUAAUGUUUGGUGAAUUAAGGUAUUAGAAAAGAAAUGGAGUAAUUUGGGAUUAAAUUGGACGCGUUAGUAAUUUAAUCAGGUGAUAGGCCGAAUUAGGUCAACAUCGCGUUUAAGCGGUUGACCGAGCAUUCCAUGCAUUCAUUUAGACUUAGAGGGCCUGAAAUAGUUUAUGACAAAUUGACACAAAUUAUUGAAUUUUUUGUCAUGUGUGAUGUAUAGGUGGUGAGCUAUUUGAUAAGGAUAAAGAGAUUACACCAAAGACAGGGACUAGGAGUAUUUCUACUCCUGAUACUGUGAGUAACCUUAUUAUCAUCUUAAUUAUCUAAAAUAGUUUUUAUCCGAUUUUGUGAUUUUAUGGAAAAUGAGUUUAAAUGGUAAAUCUUUAUGUUUUAUAAGCAAAAUAUGAUUAAAUGAAAUGAUUUUAUAAAUUGUCUUGAAAUUGAAUGAUGGCUUUGAAAAUAGAGUUAUUGGAGACCACUUGAUGUGUUGUAAUUUUAUGGUUUUAAAUUGAAUGGCUUAUGACAAUAUAUGAGCAUAAAUGGCUAAACUGAUUUUUGGUGUUAGAAUUAUUUGUACUGUGUAUUCAGCCUUGAGAGGCUAGGUUGCGAUAAAUUACCAUGUCAUGCAGAUAUAGAUUUUAUAAAUCAGGUGGUAGAUAAAAUAAUCCACAGUUCCUACAGUAGAGGUUCUGUGGACCAGCCUAAGAGAGGGGGCACAGAAUCAGAUAUACCUUACCUCGAUCGGAGAGCCGUGUGGAGGGUGUCUCUAUAGGUAAAGAUUUAAGUGCACUUCACGUGGACCACCGCGUGAGAGUGAGACUCAGCCAAUGCCAAGGCAUGGUUAGAUUUUCAAAUGUAAAAAUAUGUUCAUGUGUGUACUACACUGAAUAGCCUUGAUGCUCUCGAUCAGAUGCCUAGGCCAAGGCAUCCCCGAGAAUGAUAUUGGCAGGAGCCAAGUUUGGUGAAAUACAUAAGCCAAGUUGAUUAUUUGAGUAAAUUGAUUAUUGAUGUUAUGAAAACAUACUAGAAUGGAAUAUCUUACUUGUCUCCAUUUACUCGACUUUAGAUGAUUUAGAUGGUAUUUGUUUAUUCACUGGGAUUUUAUAAUCUCACCACCCUCAAUUCCCCACAUUUUAGGCUCAGGAUAGCCGGUAGAUAGCCGAUUGCAUCAAGGACUUCAGUUAGUCUUGCAUCGACAAAAUUGUAGGUUCACAGACUUGCACCUUAUUGGUUAGUUGGGGGCCCACGUGUCACUGUAAAAGUAAUUUUAUACUUCAGUUAUCUGCUUUAAAGUAUGUAUGAAUAUAUUUAGCUUUUACACCAUAGAAAUUAUUUAUGGAUUUCUUUAUAAAUAUUAUUUUUUUUAAGAAAAUAGAAUAUUUUAUUGAAUAUCAUUAUUUUAUUCAAACAAUUAUAAUUUUAUUUCAAAUAAUUAUUUUAGACAUCUAAAUUUAUUUUUAAUUACGAAACAUGUGUUUUUCACCCACACACCAUGUUUUUGGUGGGUUUCGAUAUUUUCGAAGAAAAAUGACGAAAAUACCCUUGUACGCCAGAAAAUAAUAUUAUAUUAUAUUGAUUUGGAAACCACUUAUGAUUUCUUGAAAUGCGAGAUUUAAUAACUGUUGCUCACCGAGAAGAUGCGAAAGCUAAUGCUAAGCCUUAUGGGAUUCCGAUCGGCAUUUCAGGUAAUAAGUGCUUAUCGGGACGUCGUGGCAGUUGUCAUGGCUUGAUGGGAGUUCCGGGUCGUGACAGAAUUUGUUGUCACUGCUGAUGAUUUAGGUAGUUUUCUAAAAGUUGAGUGUGAAGAAGGUGAGUAUGAGUUCCCAGAGAAAUACGAUCCCUCAUCAUUAUGGGAAAUCAUCAUCGGGAGGAAGGAAAAAUAUUCUUCAAAGAGAAAUUUUGGUUUGAUAAUUAAUCCCUAGAUAAGGAUUUUGCACUACUUUGUAGCAGCAAACAUUAAGGGUAGAAGUGGAAGUUUAAGUUACGUCAGCCUUCAGGAUCUUUGGCUGAUGGAACAUGCCUUCAAUGGGGUUGCUCUGAAUGUAGGCAGGUUCAUAAUUGAAAAGAUGAGAGGAGCUUGCAAACUUGAUAAAGUCAAUCUCCCUUAUGGGAAUAUCAUCAUAUCCCUUGUCCAGAAAAAGGAAGUUUGGGCUAAGAGGUAUGAAAUGGACAUGGUGAAGACCAGAGAUCAAGCCAUUUACUAUGGCAGCUUGAUCAAAAUGGGAUACAAGCUGGAUGGUGAGAAAUUCACUAAAACACCUAAGGUUUCUAUAAUACCAGUGCCAACAGAGGGAACAUCCUCACAUUUCUCAAGUGAAAUGAUCUUUAAUUUAUUAAUGAGGAUGGAUGAAAAGCUAACUAAUUAGGGCGCUAGAUUACUGAAGAUUGAAGAGAAACUUGCUAAAUUGGAAAAGGAAGUAAAAGAAAAAGAACAAAUCCCAUCAGAACCUGCUGUUGCUGAUUCCUCUGAAACACCAAGUGCUGCACUAGCACAGCAACGUGCUGGAAGUUCAGCUUUGCAAGCAGAAGGGUCUGCUUCUCAUGGUGCAAGUUAUGGUGUUCCAGCAGGAGGUCAUGAGCCAAGAGAGGAACAGCCAAGAAAAUUACCUUCACCUGAGCUAUAGAAUAGGGAUGAAUCUGAUCAAGGCACUGAAGAAACUGCUUCUGAUCGAGAAAAUACCCCCACUCAACUAGAACCUCAACCAUCUCCUCCACACUCUGAAGAAGUUUCAAUCAUAGGAUUGUUCCAGCAAAUGGUUAGGGAAGAGCAAGUUGAAAAACAAGCUGAAAAAGCAACUAUAAAGACAGAAGCUCAACGGAAUGCACCUGCACCAGUUCCAAAAAUGAAAGCCAAAUCUGGAAAAGGAAAACCAAAAGUUAUUGCAACACCACAGCUAGUGACAAAACCACCCACCAAACGAUGGAAAACCAUGGCCAUAAAGACAACAUUUCUCAAGAGAAGGAAGUCUUCUCGAUUGGCAGACAAAUCCAAGAUAGCUCCAAUCACUUCACCUCAGAAUCCAGUCAAUGUAUUCUCACCUAAACCUUCUCUUAAAAAAUCAUCACCUCUAAGAGAACCCUCUCCUUUUCCUCUGAACCCUUUCUACGACACUGAAUCCACACCCUCGACACAUCAGAAGACUAGAAGCUUUUUGCUUUGAUGUUGGUAAAAAGAGGGAGUAGAAUGGCAGAACCAAGGAAAAAGGAACCAGGAACUAGAAAAUAAUUAAAAAAAAUGUUAGGGUGGACGAACCAGGAAGGAACUCAGGGAAGAAAGAAAGCAGAAAUGAACCAAGAGCAGGAACUUAGAAAAAUAGGGGAUAUGAAGCAAAAACAGUCUAGGGGCAAUUUCGAAACAUCCUUUUGAUUAACUGCUAUUUGUGCCAUGGUGGCACUUGAACACUCAAUUUAAAUUUUGUUGUUUAUAUGGUAGUGUGAGACAUGAAUGCUGAUAUGUCUAUGAUGUUUGAUUGCUGAAAAUUGAAUGUUUACUGAUAUUUUGCUAUCCAUGAUAUUUUAACUGUUGUUAACAAAAUCUGUUGCUGCACCAUAUUUGACUGCAUGCUGAUAACUGCUGCUGUAUGCUGAUAAUUAAACAAAUUGCAUUUGUAAUAAUUAUGGAUGUUGUGUAUAGUGUGUUGACUGAUUUAUGAAGGGAAUAGACAAAAUUUGAUGACAAUAUGCUGUUGACAGACCCUGCUGAAUUUUCUAUGAAAAACUGUCAACAUUCAUUGCUAUAAAUCACCCCAAAAUUAUGCACAUAUGUAUACUCUAAAUGUACAAUGUUAUUUUCUGUAUAACUAGAAUAAAAUCUGCUGGAAUAAAGUAAGCAAAAUAUGCACACACUAAGGGAGAGCAUAUGCUUAGGGGGAGUAAUCCUCAUUUUCUGCAGAAACUAAAAUGAGUAAAAAGAUAUUAUGCGGUUAAUCAAGGAAUGUUUUGUCAUGAUCAAGAAGGGAUAGAUUGUUGGCUCCAUUAGUUUUUAAUGAUAAUGAAACAUUCCCAUACAUUUGUGUCUAAUGCCUUUACUUAAGAGUGUCGAAAAAUUAAUGUAUGAAAUUAAUAAAUCAAUCUUUCAAAAGUGUAUAUCAAAAGAAAAAGAGAGAUAAAAAUGAUAAGACAUGAUUGCCUAACAAGGAGGAAGCUCAUUACUUGAAUAAGGAAGAAUGUUGGUUGGCCAAGAUUCAAAUUGGAGAAAUGACGAGCUGAAGAUUAUUGAGAAACAGAACCAACUUAGUCGACCAAGAAAUGAGCUAGUCGACUAAAUGCUUACUGCCAAAACUGCCAGAGACAGGGAGUAGAAAAUAGAAACAACUUAGUCAACUAAGAUAUUGGUUAGUGAACUAAAAACAUUCUGUCUGAAAGUUUGAAAACUGCACUAAAAGCAGAGUAACGGCUAGAACCGACUCUCAACUGUCUCCAACGGCUAGAAAACUAUCAAACUACCAUCAGAGAUGUUUCUCCAAGUAUAAAAAGGUCUUCCAACAGUUAAAAAGUAGUUCUUGGAAGUAUUAGAGAGAUUUGAACCACAUAAGAGCUGAAAAACCAGAAAAUCUCUCUUGUACCCUGUUGCACCUUAACGCUCAUUCUUUGUAUUUGUAUUCUGCACUCAACCUUGUGCCAUUUAGAUCAACUUGUGAUCAUAGGUACGUUCUUUUACUUCUUUUCUUGUAUUCUUAGAGUGGGAAAGUCACUCUAAGGAGUUAUUCAAGCUUGGGAUAGCUUGAUUGUUAUAGGUUAUGGUUGAGCCUUGGAAAAACUACUUUGGGUUAUAGUUGAGCCCGGGAAAAACUAGUGUAAAAGGUUUUGGCUGAGCGUUGUAAAAGCCAUUGUAAAGCUUGGUGAAAGCUUGUGAAUUUCACCGGUUCCUAGUGGAUUAUUUAGAAAAUCCUUAGUUGGAUAAUCAAGGUAGUGGAUGUAGGUCUUGGACCGAACCACUCUAAAUUCAACUAUCUUGUUUACUUUGUUUUUGUUUUUUUUUCUUUCCUUCAUUUGUCUCACUUUGUCUACACUUAGAGACAAUCUUUGAAAGAGCCAAAUUGUGCUAUUCACCCCCCUCUAGCACAUAUUAUUAGGACCAACACUGUGUGAAGUAUAGCUUCACUUAUUAUAGUUGUUCUACGUGAAGUUGAGCUUCACUUAUUCUAGUUGUUUUACGUGAAGUAGUACUUCACUUAUAAUGGUUAUUCUUAGUAUUUUCUAUACAAUGUUACACAGUAAAAAUAAUUAUUUUGAAAAUAAGUAUUAACCAAAAUCGACUAUUUACAAUACCCUUAUUACUAAUUCUAAUGCUAUUGAUUUCAAAGUUGACUACUUUACCCUUAACACCAAUUCUAUUACUCAUAUUAAUCUUGUACCCAUAAGACCACCAUCUAUUAGGCAGAGUACUAGAUUUAGAAAACCUUUGAAAUACAUAGAAGCUUACUAGCAUCAUUUACCUUUUAUAAAUCUCAUACCAGUUCAGUCACUACUCACCUUAUUGUUAGUUACAUUUCUUCUAAAUAUCGUUCUUCUUCUCACAAAGCAUUGACCACUUCCCUAUCCCUUAUUUUUAAACCCCAAUCAUAUCAUCAAGUUGUCAACUAUGCUCAAUGAUAAGAAACCAUGAAAACAAAAUUGAUUGCUUUGAAGGACAAUGGCACAUGGACUGUUAUGCCUCUUCCUAAUGGUUGUCAUGCAAUAAAAUGUCAGUAGGUCUACAAGGUGGAGCUUUAUGCAAAAACGGACGCAUUGAAAGGUACAAAACAAGACUUGAUAUCAAAGGAUAUAGUCAAAGGGAAAGUUUUGACAACUGAGAGACUCUUAGCCAAGUUGCUAAGCAAACAAUAAUAAGACUUUUCCUCGCUCUAGUUUUUGUUCAUGGGUGGCAUUUGUCUCAAUUAAACAUCAACAAUGCUUCCUUAAAUGGUGAUUUGAAUGAGGUUGUGCAUAUGGAGUUGUGUCAAGGGUACACUAUUAAGGGAGAGUAUCUACAAAACUCUAAACUAAUGUGCAAACUUCACAAGUCACUAUAUGGCCUUAAAGAGGACUCUAGGCAAUGGAACUCUAAGUUCACAUAAUGUUUACUGCAGCUUAGAUUCUUUCAGUUAAAAUCUAACUUUCUCUAUUCACUAAGAAAACUAAGGAAGGUGCUUUCAUUGCAUUAUUAAUUUAUGUAGAUAAUAUAUUCAUUGCCAAUUCUAUUGAUCAAAGAGCAACUGAGGUGAAACAACAUUUGUAGACAAGGUUCAAACUUAAAAAUCUAAGGGUACCUAAGUAUUUCUUAGGUUUGGAGAUUGCAAGGUCAGAGAAAGGUGUUUGCUAAAGAGAAUACACUUUGGAUCUGCUGCAUGAAUAUGGUAUGUUGGGAGUUAAACCAGCUUUUACCCCCAUAGAUUACAACAAAAAUCUUUCAAAGCUUACUAAUGAUGAGUAGUUGAUAAAAGUCAAUAAAUACAGAUAGUUUACUAGAAAAUUACUUUACUUCACUUCAACAGGCUUGAUAUAACAUAUACAGUACAAACCUUGUCACAGUUCAUGGGUAUACUAGGCAAUUAUCAUUUUCAGGUGCCUAUAGAGUAUUAAGAUACACUACUAAAAGUAAUGUAUAUACUUCAAGGCAACAUACAGACAAGGGAUUCAAUUUUCAACUAUUUUCUUUAAAAUUGAAAGCUUAUGUUGAUAGUAUAAGGGUAGGCUGCUGUGAUAUAAAAAGAUCAGUGAUAGGUUAUGUUAUGUUUCUUGGAGAUUCACUUAUUAAUUAGAAGUCUAAGAAACAAAGUGUUGUUGCUAGAAGUUCAAAAGAAGUUGAGAAUAAGCUUAUGAUUGCAGCUUGUUGUGAGGUGAUGUGGUUGGUGUUGAAGCAAAUACUUGCAUGCAAUCUGUAGUAGUAGUUUAACACAUGUGCAAGCUCCACUUAAGUCCCUACCAACCAUUACUUCUCUCAGUUUACAUAUGUACAUGUUGUUAACAUGCUUAAUUCUUAAUGCAUUUCAACACUUGUCUUAUGCAUGUGACCAAGCGUUGUAGGUUAUUAUCCACGUAUGAACCUAUUUUAAUUAAAUAUUUUUAGCAACUAGAGAUAAAUUGGAUGAACUUUGGUUAUUUGCUUAGCAUACUUUGUUCAUUCCUGUUUUCCUUGCUUGUAAUAAAGGUUUCAUUAUGCAACCAUAUCUCGACUUCUCCCAAAACACAACAAGGUAUCAGAGCAAUAGCUUGAUCUCUUUUGGACCUUAUAAAACCUUCCCCUACUUAGAUACCUUAUAAAACUUCAUUUGCCUCAUUUCCCAAAAAUGUCAACCUCUACUCCAAACAUUACACAUCAACUCAAACAAAAGAGAAGGCUGAUGCAGAGGAAGAGAAUUUGUUCAAGGCUAUGACCAAAGCCAAAGCUCCAACUUUUGAGGAAUGAGUUGAUGUUUCACACGCAAGUAUUAAAGAGGAGUGUUGAAGUUAAUACUUGCAUGCAAUUUGCAAUAGCAGUUUAACAUGUGCGUAAGCUCAACUUAAGUCCCCAUCAACUAUUACUUUUCUCGGUUUACGUCUUUUACGUGUUGUUAUGCAUGCUUCAUUCUUAACGGAUUCUAAGACUUGUCUUAUGCAUGUGACCAAGUGUUGUAGGCUCUUGUCCACAUAUGAACCUGUUGUAAUUGGAUGAACUUUAGUUCCUUACUAAGCAUACUUUGUUCAUCCCUAUUUUCCUUGCCUAUAAUAGAGGUUGCAUCAAGCAACCAUAUCUGGACUUAUCCCAAACAAAACAGUUGGUGUUCUUGCUUAAUGAUUUUGGUGUUCAUCAUUCAACAGUUGUUGAUCUCAACUAUGACAACUAGCUUGCUUUGCAUAUAUGUAAGAAUCCAACUUUCUAAGAGAGGACAAAGCAUUUUGAGAUGGAUUGUCAUUUCCUUGGAGAGAUUUAAUUCAAAAAGGGCAUUAUGACCCUCAGAGAAGGUUUUUUAUGUUAUGUUAUUUAAUUGGUACUCCUCAAUAGUCCAAAUACGAACUCCGUACUAUAACUGCUGCACAUUAAAUUAUUCUUAUUUUUCUUCAAAAAAUGUUAACAAAUGCUUACAUUACCUGACAGUUUCAUAUUCCUUAAUAUUUCAUAAUGUUUGAAAAACAACCCAUUAUAGCAGUCAUGCUUAGUCAUUUAUUGUGACUUCUAAUACGCUAUAUACAUUCGAAAUGCCUAUUUGAUUAUGUAGAAUGUUGCAAACUUGUUUAAGUUAUUUGAACUUUUAUAUGAGUGAUCUAGUUAAUCAGUCUCAUUAAUCCAGUAAUUCUAAUUUUUAAGCUUUAGUUCUAUAUUUACUAGUUUUAAAUUGUUUAAGUUUUACCUCACUAUAUAUUUUUUAUAUAAAUCAACGCAAUACAAUAAAAUGAAUUCAUUCAUUCGAAAGUUUAUUCUUCAAAAAAUUUGAUAAUGACAAAUUGGAGUCUUAUAGUAGUAAAGUUAGGUAAAAGAUAUGGAGUGAAUGAUUGUCAGUGGGUAAAUUUAACCUAUGAUCUUUAAUUUUUUUUUUAUUUUGGUUACACUUCAAUCUCUAAUCUUUGAAUUACUCAAUAUGCAUUUGGAUUUAUAACCUUUUAAAAUUAUUCUGUUUUGGUUUUCUGUCAAAUUCUUCUUGUUCUACUCUUUUCUUUUCUUUUUUUUGGUAUUUUGCUCUAAGAUCAUAGAGGCUAUUGCUUUUUUUUAUUUAUCUAAAUUUUGGGAAAUGGGUUUUUAUGGAGAUUUGAUUAUGUUUUAUGUUCAUUUUUUGAAAUUUGUAGAGACUAAUGAAAUUUGAUUGUAUGAAUAUUUAUCUUGAAGGAAAAGUGAAAGAUUUUUGCGCAUUUUUAUAAGAAUUUAUAUUUUGUCAAUUUUGAUAAUCUUGAUAACUAAAAAUUUUCAGAUUUUUCAUAAUACUCCAAACAUCAAAAAAUUUUCAUAAUAUUAUCUAAAUAAUAAAAAAUUUGAUUGUCAAACAAAUGCUUUUCACAAAAAUAUUUGUGAAAAUUUGUGUGUAUCCACAUGACAGCAAGGUACCCACCGAAUUGAGCGUAUCAUUCUUAAAUUAAGGUGGGAGACACUUGAGAAUUGAGAUGUUAAGUUUUAUCUUUCUUGUACAUAGCAUAGUUAUCAUUCUUUUAAUUUUUUUUAUGCUGGAAGUUCUCGCAGGGUCUAGCUACCCUGUUAAAGUUUUAUUAAUAAUGAGAAUAAACGUACAUAACGGAGGGGAGCAUAAAAUCGUACCUCCUGAGUUACAAGAAUUAUAGAAAUUUUAAUACUUAUUAACGGUUCCACUUUAUGUACAUAUUGUCCUAAAUGCAAGAAUAAAAAGAAGUACCUGCUUUUACAUGAUAUUAAGAAAUAAAAAUAAAUUAUGAGUACUACUCCUUUACAUUUAUUUAAACAAGACAUAGGGUAAGUUCAAUUUAUCUAGUUUCAAAACACCACGUAAUUCACCUUGAACUUGCCUUAAUACCUAAAGAUUUUGAUGUUGAUGGCCCUAAUUUGACAAGAAGUCUGCAACCUGGUUACCUUCCCUGUAAAUAUGUGAAAUUCUAUAGGAGAUAUUUUGUAAACAUUUCCUUUUAUAUUCCAAUAAAUAUCAGAUUUUGUGGGAACCUUGUUUAUUCUCCUGAAGCAUGUUAAUGACUACCAAAGCAUCAUCCAUUUCUAUCCAGACUCCAGAAAUAUUGUAAGCUUGGCAUAAAAGUAAACCUUUUGUAAUGCCAAUAAUUUCGCCUUAAGAGAAUUAGUGGGACCAAGAUUUGCAGAAAAACCAAAAAUGAGUGUACUUGUGUAAUCUCGAAGAACUCCCUCGCAUGCUGCAUUUUGAAAAUUGUUCUUGGAACUACCAUUAAUGUUCAGCUUAAAUUCACUUGUCACUAAUUUUACCCACCUAAUAAAUUACGACAGCAAAAGCUGCAUUUUUAAGUAUUGAAAACCCCAAAGUUUGGCUAUUUGAGUAUUUCUUUUCCAUUGCCAAUGUUUCAGAAGAUUCCGCUAGUGCAGCUGUCUCAGUAAUUUCAUGAUAUGCCAUAUUAUUCUCUCAAGAUACAUACUCAGAUUCCUAUGUAUUGCAUCAUUUCCUUUUGACCAUAGAAACCAACAAAUAAAAAGAGGUAAUAAUAUACGGAUAUGACCUUGCCUAAUAUAGUCGCAUGAGUAGUACCAUAAGUAGAUUUCUUGCAUAAUAUUCUGAGGAUUAAUAAUAUAGAUUUGAAAGAAUUUUGCAAAAUAAUUCCCAACCUGUUUAGCCACUGGGUUAUCCCAAACCACAUGUAACAAUGAUUCCUCUGAAUUACAGCAAAGGCAUAUAGAGGCUAACUGGAUGUAUUUAGAUUUCAUCCAAAGCUCUAGAGAUAUCUAGUUGUUUAUCAUUCUCCAUACAAAGAAAGAUAUCGACAGCAGUAUGUUUUUGUGCCAAAUAAGCACUCCCAAGCAAAUGGUAGGUUGUCGAUGUUGGAUUAGUUCCCAUGCACUUCUAGUAGUAAAUUUACCGUUAGAUGUAGAGACCCAAUAAGCUAUAUCAUCCCUAGAUCUAUCAAAAGGAACCCUCACAAUUUCAUCAGUAAUAACAUCUGAAACUACCAUUCUCAAUUUCUCUAUAUCCCAUACAUUUCCAUCAUAAAAAGAAUUAACUUUGGACAAUGAAUGAAAAAAUGAAGGGAAUAGAUUUACCAAAGGCUGAUCUCCCAUCCAACAGUCAUGCCAAAAAAACAACUCCUCCUUACUUAUCCGCCAUCUAAUAUUCAAUUCAGUAAAGGUUCUACCGUCAACCAUUCUUUUCUAUACUUCGAAAUCAUGCAACUUACUAGGUAUAGUAUGAGGAAUUUGGCCUCUACAAUAUUUUGUUCGCAGGUGUUGUGUACAAAUACUAUUACAUGUUUGAAACUGCCACCAUAGUUUUGCUGAAAAGGCCUCAAAGACAUCCUUCAAGUUUCUGAUAUCUGGCCCACCUUCCGAGCAUGGAAAAGUAUUUUUUUUCCAACUGGUCCAAUGAAUUCAUUUACACUCUAUAAAGCCUCCCCAUAAAAAAUUGUUGAAAAGUCUCCCUAUUUUUUCAAUCACACUUAUUAAAGGCUUAAGAAUUUAGAGGAGGUAGAUCAAUAAUGAAGAAAGAACACUCCAAAGUAAAGUAAUUCAGCCACUAAAGGAGAGGAUCUUAUUUUCCCAUCCUGAAAUAUGAUCACUUAUUUUAUUAACAAGUGAAUCAAAUAAAAGUACAUUUUUUGCACCUUUGUACAGUGGAGCACCGAAAUAAGUAACAGGUAAUGUUUUGUGCAUAAAUCCAAUGGUUUGUGAAAUAAUCUAUUUCCUCGAAGCUACAAGAUUAUUAGCUAUGAUAAAAAAGCUCUUUUGACGGUUCACUUGCUGUCCUGAAAUCUGUUCAUAUUCCUGUAAAAAAUCAAGAAUCCUCUACAAAGCUGAACGACUCCCAUUAGUAAAAAUCAUCACAUCAUCGGCAAAAGCAAGGUGACUAAUAAUCAUACUACAACCAGACUAAUAAUUAAGCGAUUUAUAUUUAGCAAAAAGAUGGUUGAGACCUUGUGAUAAAUAUUUACUAGCUAAUAUAAAUAAGAGUGGCGAGAUAGAGUCCCAUUAUCUUAACCCUUUCUAACUUGAAGUAGCCAACAGACUGCCAAUUAAUUAGUGGAGAGAAUCAGCAGUUGGAAGUACACCUUCUAAUCAUAUCAAUCCAAUGACUAUUAAAACCAAAUUUAUCCAUCACCAAGUAUAAAAAAUCCCAAUGCAACCAAUCAUAUACUUUCAUCAUACCUAACUUUAGAACAACAUUACCUCUUCUUGCUUUGUAGUCCAGUUUGCCUAUCAACUCUUGGGCUAGUAAAAUAUUAUCACUAAUAAUCCUGCCACUAACAAAGCCACUCUGGUUAUCAGAAAUAAUUGCAUGAAGAAUUUUGGAUAACCUGUUAGCCAACAAAUUAGUGACUAUCUUAUUUAAGACGGUACACAAACUAAUUGGUCUAAAAUCAUACCAUUACUUGGCCUCUUUUUUUGUUGGCAAUAAGACUAAAGUUGUGGAGGUAAUUUCUUGUGGAAAAGAUGCAUCAUCGAAAAAAUCUUGUACUGCUUCAAAAAGAUCUAUUGUUAUAAUCUCCCAAUAGUGUUGAUAGAAUAGAGAUGAAAAACCAUCAGGUCCUGCUACAGUGUCUUUAUCAAUAUUAAACAUGACUUCCUUUACUUCCUACAAUGUGGGAACUGAACAAAGAAAUGUGUUAUCAGUAGUAUAAAUAAGUUGUGGAAUUAGGUAACAGUUGAACCUGGAUAAAUCACAUUGGUUAGCCUUUAAAAGAUUCUGGAAGAACUCAAUAGCUGAGGUUUGGAUAGAAAGUGGGUCUUCAAUGGUGACUUCAUCAUUGUUUUGAAUCUUGAAGAUGUGAUUUUUAACUUGUUUUUUAUUGCAUUCUCAUAUGAAAAGAAUUUGGUGUUUCUCUCCCCCUCUACAAGCCAUUUAACUCCGGAUUUCUAUUGCCAAAAAAUUUCCUCCAUGCUCAAACAAUGAUUAAGCUGUGCAUAAGCUCUAUGCAUAUCCUUUCUAUUUUCUAGUGAUGGAUCUUGCUGGAAAGUAAUCUCCUAUUCUGCUGCGUGGGCUUCUGCCAUCCGAAGGUUUUGAAAUAUGUCCCCAAACACCUCUUUGUUCCACCAUUUUAAAUUAUAUUUUAACCUUUGCUAUUUAUACCAGAAGGCUUUUAACCCCUUUGUCUGUAUAGGAAAUUUCCAUAACCUUUCAACAAAUGACAUAAAGGUAUGAUGCUUUGUCCAGGCAUAAAGAAAAUAGAAUGCCAAAGGGCCUCGUUGAGACGUCAUUGAAUAGUUAAUAAGAAGCGGGUAGUGGUCGGACCUAUCUCGAGCUAGAUGUUGAACUUUAGUGGAGGAGAAAAGCUCUGCCCAUUCCCGGUUGUACAACACCCUAUCCAGUCUUUGUAGCAUAUGGUCGUUUGUCCAAGUAAAACUAUUGCCUUCGAAACCAGCAUCCAACAACCCACAAUCCAACAAAGUGUUAGCAAAAUCCUCUAUGGAGACAUGAUGUAGGGUAGCACCAUACAAACGUUCAUAUCUACUGAAGAUGGAAUUAAAAUCUCCACCUGCUAACCAUGGGCCCUCCAUGUCUGAAGACAAAGAUCUAAGGUAGGUCCAUAGGUCCUUUCGUUCUAGUCUGGUGCACUUUGCAUAUAUAAUGGUGACAAAGAGAAGGUUAGAAAACCAAGGCAAAUUAAUUUUUACAUGCAAGCAUUGAACAUGGUCUACCAGAACUUCGCAAUAUACUUCAUGGGAAUGAAAAAGCCAUAUCUUUUGAGAGCAGUUACUGACUACUCUCUCAAAGCCAAGCCUUCUUCUAAAAAACUCCAUUCUGUCCUCUUUAGCCAUAGGUUCUAAAAUAGCCAACACCUUGAUAUUACGCAUCUAUUUCAAUUUUCUUCAUCUACGUUGUACUACCUUAUGAGCUACUCCCUUAACAUUCCAAAUAAGUGAGCUAAUCAUGGAUAUGUUUGGACAAAAAGACUUAUAAAGCUGGAAUCUUCCAAGAAUCCAUCUUUUUCCUCUAUGACAUCUUCUUCACUAGAGACAGUAUUUAAAGCUGAAAAAUGAGACAUAUAACUGUCGAAUUUCUUUCUCUUAGAAACUUGAGGAUGUACCUCCAAGCUAUGAUCACCAGACGUUGCAUGGGAGAAAUCAAACAAUUGUUUACUGUUGGCCAUUGUACUUUCCUGAUCUACCAAGUUCCCUACCUUUGCUUCAACUGCUUUUUUCACCAUCAAAUCAACGAAUGUUCUUGUUGGAUUAUUGUCUCUAAACUAGAUGUUAACUUCAUUAACAACAAUCGAUUCCAUUUGCAUCCCUUGGUUAUUUUCAUCAUUGCUUUCAACUUCUGUGUCAACAGCCACGACUUCCUGGGCCCUAAUCUCGUCAUUAUCAUCAUUACGUGGAGUCAUUACAUGCUGCCAGUUCUCAUCACCCUUAACUGUCGAUUCCUUCACCAACUCACCAUGUUUUUCUGGUUUUUUUUAAUUUCCUGACCGUAACGUUUUGGGCAUUUUCGACCUCCCAUUGAAUAUAGUCGCGGUCCCCCAUAAUUUGGAUACUACCAGGACUUUCAAUACCACCUUCGAACUAUAUCCUUCCCUUGCAUUUGUUGAAGCCAACUAUUUGCUAAGUGUUGUCGAUGUUUGUCCCACCUAUACCGUUGCUUCGUUAACCUUCAAUGCUGGACAAUCACUACUGGAAACUCUUCCCCAAUCUUUCAUCUGAUCGACACUGCCAUUUGAAUCAUUAUGUUGGUCAUUAAGAGGUUGAAAAAAUUUUUUGGUUAAUACUAAGUCACUGUUCACCUUCUCUGUUUGCCCCUAUUUGACAAUUUGCAUAUUUCCUCCUUCCUCCAUUGAUCCGAUCGUUGCAAAAGUAUUAGAAAUCCUCACUUACACGUCUUUUGAUUCCUCUAGAGUGAUUUUCACCCCCUUAGAGUUCUUCGUUCCACUUUUACCCGAUUGCCUCACCACCUGCCAUUCUUUCCCUUGUUUUGGUGGUUCUUCCAGUACAAUUGAUUUCCUUUUGUCUAUUUUGCUCAUCGGCUCCUUGUUGCUUGGGUUUUGAUCAUUCAAUACUGUAUUCAAUUCCCGAAUCUGAACCCUAGUGCCCUUAUUAGCUAGCUUGGACUGUCCAAAUGGUGGUGCAUUGUUGUUUCCUAGUUUUACCGGUUUAUUCCCCAUUACCAAACAAACUGAUUCGUUGUGACCUACAUGGCAAUAGUGACUACAAUAAUCAGGCAUCCUAAAAAACUCCACACAUUGUGAAUAUCCUCUAAUCACAGCACCAGUUUCUCUAUUUUGGACAACAAUCCACACUUGCUCUACUGGUGGCUGUCUGCAAUCGUAUUCCAAGCACACACGAGCCACACUCGACUAAAAGCCAUUGGCCAUGGCCUUAUCCACAAAUAGCGGCCUACCAACCAUUUUAGCAAUCAAUAACAAUGCCGAUAUCUCAUGCAAAUGAGCCUUUAAGUUUCGAAAUGAAAUCAAAACAGGAAUUAUAGAGGACUCUUUCUUGGCUUCAAAUUUUGAGGAUCAUUUAAUUGCAAUAAACCAAUUUUGCUGGGCCCAAAUCCGAUUAAAAUCUUGCUCAUUGGACAGUUUAAUUAAAACAUUUUUGUAGUCUAACCACUUAAUCUCAUAUGCACCCGAAAGUCCAAUUCCUUUGAACGCCAUACGGAUAUCCUGUAACUUUGGCAUCCGAGUGAGUUUCCCAACAAGAGAAUGUUGAAACGGCUUGGCUAAACUCUGGAUCCCAUCUUCAAAAAAGGUUGCGGCAAGCCGAUCUUUAUAUAUCAUGGGGUCUCGAUUGAGGGGAAUCACAGGGGGUUUUCCUCUUGUAGUGAUGGUAAAAAAAGAUUUCUUUUGAAAUCGUGGAGAGGUUGGUUGUUGGUUGGCUUGCGAGAAGCUAUGUGAGAGUGGUGACUAAAUGUUUUUUUCUGCAAUAAAGUUUGGGGAUGAUGCCAGUGGCCUUGGGAUAGAUGAGGUUAGCGGCGGGGGUUGGUUUGGUGGGUUUGACGGUCGGCUGGUUGUAGAUAAUUUAAUUUUUUAUAUUAAAAAAGAUAUUACUAGCUUGAAUUUUUAAAAAAUAUUAUCUAACAUAAUUUUUUAAAAAAUUAUUGUAAAUUUUUUUAUUUUUUUACAUGUUAUAUAAAAUUAUUUAUUUAUUAUUAAUAUUUUGAUUGUUAGUUAAGUUCAAUAAAUUAAUUUUAAAAAUUUUUAAUUUUUAUUUUUUAUUAUCUUCAACCUCCAAUAUAAAUUGACUAACUUUGCCCCUAAUGCCGAUCAAUCUGAUUAUCUGACCAAACGUGAUUCAUAAAAAUCUCCAAUACUUAACAGGUGCGAAGAAAAAGCUUGGUACUCCUUUGUUGAUUAUUCAAACUCAAAAGCAUGAAAAAACGUGUACACGUAAGUAGUCAAAGGACAAAGGAACCUUAAAUGAAAUUGUAGUAAUCAAGAAUUUUCUCAGUUAGUGGGACCAUUUAUUUGAUAGUAAAAAACAAUUUAAUUAUUAAAUUUAUUUUAAAGGAUUAAUGUAAUUAAAUUAAAUUAAAAUAAAUAAUAAUAAUAUUAAAUAGUUAUAAGAGAUUGUAAUAAUGUUGAGUGUUGGAGGGUAACAAAGGAACUAACGCUGGAGAAUGGAGAUUUAUUUGAAAUUUUUUAAGCAAGUUGGUAGGGUUACAAUGGGUUCAUUAGACUAUAAAUAAAGGAAUUAAACUUACCUGUAUAGUGUUUAUAGUAGAAUUUUUAAAUUUCAUAAACAGAUUCAAAGAGCCGUCAUGUGUCUAUGAAGAAAAAAUUAAGUAAAAUUAACAAAUUUUAAUUACUAUUUUAAUGAACUCGUGUCAAUAUAUAUAUCCAUUUGUGAAGUUUAAAAACCUCAUUAUUAAUUUAUAGACUAAGAAGUUAAUUAAUAAAAUAAUACAAUUAAAAGUUUCAAAACAAUGAAAAAUAAUAUUUCAACAUUAAUUAACCCUUCAUUAAAAUAUUAAAUUUUUGUAAUCUCUCUAGCUUUUACUACGUUUAAAGAUAAUAAUUGUAAAGUAAAAAAUAAAAUACUUUUUUUUAAAAAAAUUGAAAAAUAUACAUUCAAUUUGACAGAUGACCGAUUUGAUGCCUCUCUUUACUUUUCUCUCUUUAUUUCCACUUGAAAAAUAGCAAAAACUAAUAUGGAGCCAGAAAGACAAGUUGACUAGGUGAAGCAUAUAGAUUAUGUAAACCAGAGGAUUCAGGUGUAUGAUGAAGAUGGCUGUGUCCAGAAGCAGCUUCAAAAUCUCACCUUAUCUGCAUCUCCUUUCAUAUACAGCUCAGACUCAGAUCCCUACUGUUAAGCAGUCCUGGAAACUUCACCUUGUUUAAUUGUUCAAUUGAAGAUCAAUCUGACCAUGUUAACUACAUGGAUUCUUAUUUUGGAAGCAAUCAACUGUUGAAGUGCAGAAAGACUAUAGUUAUCUUUGAAAGGAUGAUGUCAGACACGAAAAUCAAAUUUGACGUUAAAUGGACAGAACCGCCUUGUGGUUUUUCAUGUUAACGCGCAAAGCAUGGAAAAGCUACAACUCGCAAAUAGUCAUCCCCUGAAAAGGGCAAAGGAAUCUUCAACGAAAUUGUAGUAAUCAAGAAUUUUCUCAGCUAGAGGGACCAUUUAUUGAUUGUAAAAAAUAAUUUAAUUAAAUUUAUUUGAAAGGAAUAAUUGAAUUAAAUUAAAUUAAAUUAAACUAAACAAAUACUACAUGCUUUUUUUUUUAAAUAAUAUUUUCAUUUUUUCUUAGGAUUAAUUAUGUUUAUAAAUCUAUUUUUCAAUAUUUUAAAUCUUACCUUUUUUUUCCCUUAUGAAAGACCUUAUUAUUUCUUGAUUUUAAUAAUGUUUUUGUUUUUAAUUAUCUAUUUAAGUUUAUGUUUUAAAAUUAUUUUGAGCAAAGGCAGUUUGGACAAGGGACGAUAUUUUUUUUAUCCUUAAAAGAUAAAGUAUUUUUGAAAAUAAUUUUUUUUAAUUUUAACUGUUUUUAAUCUAAAAAAAAGAGUUUUUAACAAAAUUACCUUUAAUGAAAUCUCAUCGUAUUCAAAAAGUUCAUGUGUUGAAAAAAAUACUGUUACAUACCAUUUUGAAAAAAAAUUAUUGCAAGUCGUUUUAUUUUAUUAUUACAGAAUAUCUAACAAAUAAAAUAAUUUACGUCGAAUAGUUUUUCAAUAUAUCUUCAUUUUCAUAUCAAAUUACAUUUUGAUUUCAAUAUAGUAAACAAAUAUGUAUGUGUUUGUCAAUUAAAAAUUUCAAUAACAUCAAUGUUUGUUUUCAUCGUAGUAUUUUAUAAUGAGGAAAUUGUGAGAAAUUGACCUCCUGAUAAGGUGAUUUCAGAAAUAACUACCCAUAUAAAGUUAUCUGUUUCUAGCCAAAAAGAAGCAUGAGUAUACCAAAAUGCCCUUAAAAAUAUCGUUUCAAAUUAGGGUACUCGAUAUCUCCCUCCCGUCAGAGAAAAAAUAGAAAUAAAUAAAUGCUCAGCUGUUUGAGGUCAGUCAUCUUUCUCUCUCAACUCUCCGAACUGUCUCAACUCUGCCAACUCUCUGUUGAGCACCAUCAUCAUCAACUCUCUCAGCUCUCUGAACUGUAUGAGCUCUAUCAACUCUUUGUUGAGCACCAUCGUCAUCGGGCUGUGGUCUAUCUCUCGGUAUCUGGCCAUAGUGUCGUAGAUUAACAAACCCUAUAGCAGAGAUGACAUCAAGGUAUGUUAUUGGUUUUAUUACUGUAACACUUAAAUUUCUGAAACAUUUGGUGUAAAUUAGAACAUGGAUUAGAAACAUUGCCCAGAGUUGUUACACGCCAAGCAUCUAUAACAUGUAUUAGCAUUAUUUUAGCGUGUCACGACAUUGGUUAUUGGUUAUUUUAGGGCAGUUCAUGUAAUAAGUCAAUAAUUACACUGAUUGGCGUGUCACAUGCUAUGGGUAUCUUAGGCUAGUUUGUGUAAGGAUGGACACAAUAAUUAUAGUGAUUGACGUGUCAGCGUUGGCGAGUUACCAUAGUUUACAUUAUAUGCAUGGCGUGUUACCACAUUUGACGUUAUAUGCACGGCGUGUUACCACAUUUGACGUUAUAUGCAUGGCAUGUUACCACAUUUUACGAUAUAUGCAUGACGUGUUACCACAUUUGACGUUAUAUGCAUGGCAUGUUACCAUAUUUUAAGUUAUAUGCAUGGCGUAUUACCACAUUUUACGUCAUAUGCAUGGCGUGUUACCACAUGACUGACAAAUUCUAGAACACGACAUGUCAUGUAAUGUGUUAAAUGAUUAACAAAUUAUUGUUGUUUUCAAAAUUUCAGUGGGUUCUAGUUGUGCGACUUGUGAUAAGGCACGGUGGUCAGUGGGUGGAUGGCAUUUACAAGGGUGGUGAGUCACGAAUGCAAGGGGCUAUGAGUGAUUUGUCGUUUGUGGGAUUAAUGAAGCUGGUUGAAGAUGUUGUUGGGGUAAACUCAAAAAUUGACGAGAUUGAGUUACAUGCAUUGUUCAGUACACCCGGAGAGCUAUCACGGCCAAUUAUCAAGGACGAUGAGGAUGUUGCAUUAAUUCUGCUAGAACAGAGGAAUGUUUCGGUUGUGUAUGUCAGCAUUAAGGGAUGCCAAACAAAUGUUAUGUCACAUGAAGAAGCUGAACAACAUGGUAAUCAGCUCAAUUAAAAUGAGAUAUACAAUGCUUCACAUAUACCACAACAUUCGGUCCGCAACCCAUAACAAUGGCAAAUUGGCGAAUGUACAAGAGUUUUUGUAGCCCGAUAGACACACGACAUUCACAAAAUAGUUGGCUGCACAAUUCUGGUCAGGAUGUGCAUCGAACCAAUUAGUUACUUGUGUCCAACAAAUGCAACAAUCGAGUGAAACUGUACAGGAUGUAAUGGUAUUUUCAAAUGAGAAUGCGACACUUGAGUACAACAUUGCGACGUUUGAGGGUGACACUACGACGCUUGAAGAUAAUACUGCAUCUGAUGAGGGAAAUGAGGAUUUGUUCCCUGUUGGUGAAGAUAGAUUUGAUGACAAUUCGGAUGAUGGGCCUGAUGAAUGGCAUGAUGCGAGUUCAAAAGAGGACUGGCUUUAUUACAGCGACAUUCCAAUUUGCAAUAAUGUUGAAGGCAAAACAGACCCUGUUGGAGGUGUUGAUGUAAGAGUUGUUCAGUAUGAUGACCCCAUAUACAAUAACCCCAUCGUUGAUGAAAACGGGGAUUCGUUCCCCUAGUACAUUGCUCCAUGAUAGUUAUCAGGAAAGGGGAAAUGCAGGGAUAUCUUGUACGUGGGUAAUUCUAGGUGCAGAAAAGUUAUUCUUCCAAACAAUUACAACUUAGGAGUCAACAUGUGCUGAUGAUCGCUUAUACAAAGGAAGAAUAUUUUCCUCGAAGGCUAAGUUGAAACGAGCUUUGAAUAUAUUGGCUCUAAAAUAGCAGUUUGGGAUAAGAGUAAAAAGGUCAUGUAAAGCUCGUUAUGAGAUUGGUUGCAAGGACAAGGCAUGCAAGUUCAGUGUGCGUGCAACGAAGUUACCUGAAGGAGGAAAAUAUUGGCAAGUUCAGACAUUCCACAAAGUACACACAUGUAUUAUCGAUGGUUUGCAAAGGCGAUUUGCAACCGUGAGUGCAAAGAUAAUUGGUGAACUUAUGUCACACAAACUUUAGGCUAAUGGAGUAGCAUUGAGGCCUAAGGACAUAAUCGGUGAGAUGAGGGUUCAAUGGGGAUUGGAAUGCUUGUAUGGUAAGGCCUGGCAAGCAAAGGAAUAUGUGGAGAGGCUUGUUUUUUGUCCCCCGAAGGAGUCAUUUCAACUACUACCCUCGUAUUUUUAUAUGUUGGAACAAGAAAAUCUCGGCACAAUCACUACAGUGGCUACUGAUGAGGUAGAAAGAUUCAAAUAUUGUUUCUGGGUACAUGGGGCUUCUAUUCAAGGGUUUAGGGAUGUAAUGCGUCCUACGGUUGUAAUUGAUGCGACACAUAUGAAAGGCAGGUUCAAGGGUGUUCUGUUUGUCGCUGUAUGCAAAGAUGAGAACGAAUGCAUAUAUUCAGUUACGUUUGGCAUCGGCCAUGUUGAAGACAAAGACUAGUGGACGUGGUUUCUUAGCAAGCUGCGUGAUGCGGUUGGUUGUCCUGAAAACAAUAUGUUCAUUUCUGAUCAGCAUCUCGGCAUUAAGAAAGCAAUCCAAAAUGCAUACCUAGAAGUGCACCACGAUUUAUGCGGGUACCACUUGAAGAAAAACUUUAAAAACAAGUUCAAGCGCGACGACAUUUCUAUGAUUUUCACCCUUGCUCAAGAUUGCUAUAAGGUUUUCGAUUUCAACAAACAUAUGAACCAGCUCAAGCAGAUUAACGUGGAAGCCCACAGUGACCUUAUGAGAAUAGGCCCUGAGAGAUGGGCAUGUGCCUAUUCACCGGUAAGGCGAUACCAAAUGAUGACAUCCAACAUUGCAGAAUGUGUUAACUCAUGCUUUAAGCAUGCAAGAAAAAUGCCAAUCACUGUUUUAAUCGAGUUCAUCAGAGACAUGUUCUAGCAUUGGUUCCAUGAUCGGUACGAAGAGGCCCUCAAGGUGACCACGCCCCUCAGCCCUUGGGUUACUAGGCAGUUGAGCAAACGAUUCAAUGAUGCACAUCGCUUUGUGGUUAAACCUAUCAAUUGAGUGGAGUUCGAAGUUAAAUAUGGGAAGAUGGACAUACUUGUAAACCUAUCCACGAAGACAUGUUCAUGUUGUGAGUUUCAAACAGAUUUACUGCCAUGCAGCCAUGCCAUUGCAGCAAUAAGGUCAGAAUAUCUUUAUUUCUUAUUUGAACCCUAAUUGACAUAGUAUUUACAUUGAGUUCAUUGUAUUUUUCAGUAAAUGCAAACGUGAAGCCAUUGAAGUUUGCGCUAACUACUACAAGACAACCAUUUUGGUGAAGGGUUAUGCAGGGUCCAUUCGCCCGGUAGGGCAUCCCAGCGAGUGGGACAUCCCCCCUCUUAUGGAUGAAGACAGCUUGUCGGCCUAACUAAAUGUGUAUAUGGAUGUGUAGCAUAGUUUUCUCUUGUAGAUGAGUCUUUAUUUUUUUUAUUAAUUUUUUAAAUAUAUUAUUUGAUUAUUCAUUUCAUUUUGUCCGUAGUUUUGAACACUGAAUAGACUUACGAAGUCCCUAUACUGCUACCCCCUUUCUCACAUUUUAUUACAACUUGUAUUAAACAAUUAAUGAUUUAAUUUAAUUCCUUUCUAUUUCAUUUGAUUUAACCUUUUAUGUUCUUACAAUCAAAUCUCUUAAGAGAUAUAAAAUUAAUUCAUCUAACUUUAGUAGCUUUCUAAAUCCUUAUAUUCAAUUUGUUUUUGUAAUUUUUUAAUUACAACGUUUAUUUUAUCUAAUUAAUACCUCCAUAUAAAACUUUAAGCCAAUCACUUAACAAAAUAAUAAUAAUAAUAAUAUUGUACCAAGGAGUUUACUUUGAAGGAUGCAAGUCUAGAAAGAGAAAAUUUUGGACUAAUUAAAAACAUAUGAUAUGAAAUUUAAGAUUAAAACACAUGACUUGACCAAACAAAUUUAAAAAAUUUAUGGAUCAUCCAAUCAAAUUUCAUCUAUGAAUCAUCAUAAUUAAUUUUUAUUAAAUUAAAACAUUUAAAAAUAAAAUUAAAAUAUAAGGACGAAAAUUCUUGAAAAAUAUAUUAUUCUAAGCUGACACACGAGUGCAUGCAGAUUUCUAUGGUGACACGCUGACUUCUUGCAUUAUUGUGGGGUGACAUGGCAUGCCUCAUCUUGUGGCGACACGCUGAGUGGAAGCAGAUAGUUGGUGUGACAUGUUGAGUGCAUACAGAUUUUUGUGAUGACACAUUGACUUCUUGCAGUAUUGUGGGGUGACAUGGCACGCCCCAUCUUGUGGUGACACGUUGAGUGGAAGCAGAUGGUUGGCGUGACACGCUGAGUGCAUGAAGAUUUCUGUGGUGACAUGCUGACUUCUUGCUGUAUUGUGGGGUGACACGGCAUGCCCCAAUUGUGGUGACACGCUGAGUGGAAACAGAUACUUGGCGUGACACAUUGAGUGCAUGCAAAUUUCUGUGGUGAUACGUUGAUUUCUUGUUUUAUUGUGGGGUGACACGACAUGCCCCAAUUGUGGUGACAAGUUGAGUGGAAGCAGAUACUUGACGUGACACGCUAAGUUCAUGUAGAUUUCUGUGGUGACACACUGACUUCUUGCUGUAUUGUGGGGUGACACGGCAUGCCCCAAUUGUGGUGACACGCUGAGUGGAAGCAGAUACUUGGUGUGACACGCUGACUUGUUCCAAUUUUCAGGGGUGACAUGCCAUGCCCCAAUUGUGUGACACGCCACGUGGUUGCAGUAUUAAUUUAAAGGUAAUGUGUUUGAAUUGAGAAAGAAAAAGUAAUGUAUAAAAUGUACGAAUAUUAAAAUUAAUCAAAUUAAUUGUAUAUACAAAAAAUGUACAGACAAGGGCCGAUAUGUUCAGGGUUCGUUCUCACAACUGUUAGACAAAAUUUCUAGAGUGUAUUGGCGACGCAUAUUUGCAAUCAUAUUCUGCUUAACUUUGAUCAAUUUCAAUUGCAAAAUAUCGUCAAUGUACCCUAUCAUGAAUAUACCGCAGCUGACACUAUCAUCCUACUGAUGGACUUUAGCCUUUGGCAAAUGAAUUUUCAAUGGCAUCAGCGUCAAAUCCUAUGUCUUCCAGUGUGUUUUGUUGAAAUAACUGGCUUGGUGGCAAAUGAUUCGCAUAAUUGUCGUAAGGGGUGUCAUUGGAGCCGCUCGCAUUUCGUUAUCUUAGCAUUCAAAGUUCUUGCGGAGUCCACCACCUUGAUUGUCCACCUCACCAAGUCGAUCUUCGCUACCACCCAAUGCCCACCCACAUUGCAAGCCGCGAGGAUGAAAUUGACAUCUUCCCAUUGUUUCCCAUAUGUCGGCUUCUCACCCUUCACGUAUGCCCGCAACUCAUCUGGAAUUCCCAUAGUCGACCGGGCAUCUUCAGUUGGGAAUGAGGUGUGUAGCAUAUGGAUGGUGUCUUGUGAAGCAUGUAUACAUUAGCUUAUACUUAAUGCAAUAAAAAAUUUAGUAUUUUCAGAAUUGAAAAAAUUUCAAAUAAACUUAUGAAGAAUAUCGUGUCAACCACGCAUACAUGGGUAGUGUACAGCUUCGACUUUAGCUUUGUCAUCCGCUUACAAAGUACGCUGAGGCAUGCGUCUAUAUGUUCACUACUCAUUUCUUCUUUGGGAUCCUCUAAAGUUAUGAAAAAGUCAGCCUCUUGAUUCCCUAAGAUCCUGACGUUACGCUUGCAUAUGUGACAUAAUGAGUUUGAAAAGCCUUGGUGGAUUAAUAUUUUAUUAAAUAACAAUAUUUACAAUGCUAUUUAUGAGCUUACCUCGCACACUCGUCUUUCUUGAAAGCUUCAUACGCUUCAACCAUUGUGCUCUUUACAUCCCAACGGCUCACUUAGGGGUCGAUGUAUGGGCUUGCCCUGUAUUUGCUAGCCAUUUUCACCCAUGCCCGCUUAGUUGGGUCUGAAAUUUCUACUGCACGAUGAUGGACAUUAGAUGACUGUAGUGACAGCAACCGUGAGCCGCUGGCUUCAGGAGUGCUCUGAGGAAGAUGGUCCCCUCCUACUACUACCUCCACUAAUGCAUCGGCCUGAGGAAGAUCCUUUCCUUCAGCCACGACUGAGUGAAUGUCCCCCUCCCCUCCCGCAGAUGCAUCUAUAACCGGAUCGACCUCAGGAACAAGGUCUUCCUCAGCACCAGAAACGUCAUCGUGAAUUUGCACACCAGGAUCAUCAUGGUGCCCAUCAUCAGCAUCAUCGUGGUCCUCACCAGCACCAUGAGAUGAAAGACCGCCCUACAGAACGAGACAAAUGGGAAAAUCUGUUAUCUCAUAUAAAACCGCAAACCAUAAACCGAGAACAAAAAAUAGAACUACACUUACUAAACAUAAACGACCAAUAUAUGAGCAAAGAUAGAAUAACGUACCUGUGAUUUUAGGCAAUCUAGAAUCUGAGCAACGACAUGGUCCUCAAACGUUUGCAUCACCAGAGUCAACGACUGAAUUGAAGCCUUCAAGUUCGACAUGUCUUUUUUAUACCGGUGCAUGACCCAUCGCAGCUAACGUUUUGUGACUACUUCGUCAUUGACUCUUGUCAAAUGGGUCAACUGCAAUAACAUAUAUUACUGUGUUUUUCAAUAAUCAUAUAUGGAAGUGUUGAACAUUACCCGUUAGAACUUUAAUAUCCUUACCGUGGCUCGUUACCAUUUUGCGGUUGAGUAGGUCCGCUUAGUGGUUGAGGAGCUGUGGUCGCCUCCCUCAACUGCAAUAACAAAAAUUAAUGUGUUACUCAAUAAACAUAUGUGCAAAUGUUCAACAUAAACUGUUAAAACCGAUCUUACAGACGGGUCGUUAGCACUGUGCGUCUAAAGAGGACCUCUCAAUGGUUGAGAAGCUGUCGUCGCAUGGUCCAACUGCAAACACAGAAGUGUUAUUCAAUAAUCACAUAUGGAAUUGUUGAACACAAACCGUUAUAACCGUUCUUACCGGUUCCUCAUUAGCAUCAUGAGUCUGAAGAGGACCUAUCGGUGGUUGUGGAGUUGUCAUCGCAUGGUCUAACUGCAAACACAGAUAUGUUAUUCGAUUAUCACAUAUGGAAUUGUUUAACACAAACCUUUAGAACUGUCCUUACCGGCUCUUCACUACCAUUGCCAUGGUUGUCACCUUCCUCUAUAAACUUGGGGAUCGACAAUAGUGACGGUGCACCUCCGCUUCAUGGAACCAGUGGCUCUUUUGUGCUUCAAGUUUCUCCUCUUUUCCCUAACACCUAAGCCCUAGUCCACUCGAUCCUCCAUGUGCCCUACUGGCACAUAUUGGUGGCCCUCAAAUAAUGGGACAUCAAUGUCUACAAAAUAAUCCCGGCUGGCCUCAUCUGGGGUGGGCUCCAAGGUCUCCAUUACCCACAACUGUAAAAUAGGGAUUGUGAUUAAAUUUUUGGGAAAAUUAUUAUACAAAUUUACAGCAGAAAUUAAUAGUUGUUCACUCACCUGCUGAGAUGACUCCAACAUCUCAAAUGCCUUGUAGAAAUAUUUGGCUUCUGGUUGCAUUGCCAUCUGCACAUGCAUGGGUAGACGUCCUUCGGAGUAGAGAGGGCAACUAUCUUUCGCAAGGCCAGAAUUGCCUCCAUUGCCCAGAACUGCAAGUCAAAUGUAACCAUUAUCAGAUCGUAAAUGAUAAACGAUUGUAACCAUAAAUUAUUAUGUCAAAAGGAAAAUGAAAAAUGUUACGUGACAGUACCUGUAUCAGCCACAUGAAUCCAAAAAUGUUGUACCGCAAACGAUCGUUCUGCACAUUCGAUGAAGGCACUUCAAACCCCUUCAAAAGGUAGUCCAAGGUCAGCCUCCAAACAUAGUGACCCAAUGGGAAGACAUUCCAAGCGUCGAUGUCCUCCACCAACGACAAGAGCCAAGGCGUCACCGGUCUACGGUAGUCUUGACCAAAUAAAAUGUUAUUCGUGAUCAAGAUGAGUGCCAUCUUGGUUGUGUCUCUCGGUCGCUCAAAGUUGCCUCCACGGAACGUAUCAAGGAAGGCCUACAACUUAACGCUUAGCUGCCCGUUCCAGUAUCGUGCAUGAAUUCUAUCCGUAACAACCUCGUACGGUCUCGUGAACACAUUCAGCACUCGACCAAACUUCAGUCCGGUGAUAAGGCAGAACUUCUGCUUUGAUAUGCGCACCUCGCUUUUCCUAAUGGCAAACGAUAGCUCAUGCUCCAUUGAAUCUGUCACAGUGAUUCGACAGAUCAUGAUGUUAUGCAAAAGACUAGCAGAGAAGUAGCUUUGCAGAUAUACGUCCAGCAGCAUUCCAAAGCAUGUACGCUUCACUACAUCGUACUCCUCUUUCUCUUUGAGGGUCUUGUUGAUGUAAUGCAGUUACGACCACUUACAGUGGGUGUUAAUAGCGACAUUGAAUGCCUACUUCUCCCUCGGCACAAUAAGCAAACUAUCAAGAUCCUCAUAUUGUCUAGAUUGCAUUUGCAAAACAUGGCACACAUGCACGAGUGAGUUAACCCAUAAUGUGGUAACACGCCAUGCAUAUAACGUAAAAUGUGGUAACACGCCAUGCAUAUAAUGUAAAAUGUUGUAACACGCCAUGCAUAUAAAGUAAAAUGUAGUAACACGCCAUGCAUAUAACGUAAAAUGUUGUAGCACGCCAUGCAUAUAACGUAAAAUGUGGUAACACGUCAUGCAUAUAACGUAAAAUGUUGUAACACGCCAUGCAUAUAACGUAAAAUGUUGUAACACGCCAUGCAGAUAACAUAAAAUGUGGUAACACGCCAUGCAUAUAACGUAAAAUGUUGUAACACGCCAUGCAUAUCAAGUCAAAUGUUGUAACACGCCAACGCUGACAUGCCAGCAGCAUAUGUUAUGCAAGAGACCAACGGAGAAGUAGCUUUGCAGAUAUACGUCCAACAGCAUUCCGAAGCAUGUACGCUUCAUUACAUCAUACUCCCCUUUCUCUUGGAGGGUCUUGUUGAUGUAAUACAGUUGCGACCACUUACAGUGGGUGUUAAUAGCGACAUUGAACGCCCACUUCUCCCUUGGCACAAUAAGCAAACUGUCAAGAUCCUCAUACUAUUUGGACUGCAUCUGUAAAACAUGGCACGCAUGCACGAGUGAGUUAACCCAUAAUGUGGUAACACGCCAUGCAUAUAACGUAAAAUGUGGUAACAUGCUAUGCAUAUAAUGUAAAAUGUUGUAACUCGCCAUGCAUAUAACGUAAAAUGUGGUAACACGCCAUGCAUAUAACAUAAAAUGUUGUAACAAGCCAUGCAUAUAACGUAAAAUGUGGUAACACGCCAUGCAUAUAACGUAAAAUGUUGUAACACGCCAUGUAUAUAACGUAAAAUGUUGUAACACGCCAUGCAUAUCAAGUCAAAUGUUGUAACACGCCAACCCUGACACGCCAAUCACUAAAAUUCCUGUGUCCUUACACAAACUGGCCUAAAAUACCUGUGGCAUGUGACAUGUCAAUCAGUGUAAUUAUUGACCCGUUACACGAACUGCCCUAAAAUAACUAAUGUCGUGACACGCUAAAACCCCAAAAAGCAGUUUACCCACUACAUGCCAUAUCUAUUGUAUUUCAAAACUUUCGUACGACCUUAAAAUCGAGAAAAAAAUAGUUUAAACAUAACAAUUGAAAAAGAUUGACAAAACACGAACAUAUCACACAAACCUAGCAAAAAAUCAACGAACAGAAGAAAGUUUUAAAAGUUUUAUUUUCAGAUUGACUGACCUCUUCAUUGAUAACCGACAUUGUUGCUGUGGUGGUGUCAAGCUUGUAAAGAAGAAAGUCGAGCACUCUGCUAUAUUUGGGAAUGAGAAAGAACACAGAUGUUUGCUAUUUCUAGAAAAUAUUUAAUUAAAAUGAAAUGGCCUCACAAUUUCCUUUAUAAAUAUUCAUUUAUUGAAUUAAUUCAGUUGAAGUCCAAUCGGUUUCCUUGUUAUUUACCUGUUUUUUUUUUUCCUUUUUCAAACCAUGUGUGCCACACAUCAAUUGCCAUGCCGUGUCACACACUCUAAACCCUACCGUGUCACGGAUCUCCAUGGAGUCUAACAAACUCUAAACACUGGCAUGUCACAGAUUGCCUCCAUGGCAAGUCACAAACUCUGAACGCUGACGUGUCACAGAUUCCCUCCAUGGCGUGUCACUAACUCUGAACCCUGGAAUGUCACAGAUUCCCUCCAUGGCGUGUCACCAACUCUGAACUCUGGCGUGUCACAGAUUCCCCCCAUGGCUUAUUGCGAACUCUAAACGCUGGCGUAUCACAGAUUCCUUCCAUGGCGUGUCACCAACUUUAAACGCUGGAGUCUCACAGAUUCCCCCCAUGGCGUGUCAUAAACUCUGAACGCUAAUGUGUCACAGAUUCCCUCCAUGGCGUGUCACCAACUCUGAACUCUGGCAUGUCACAGAUUUCCUCCAUGGCGUGUCACCAACUCUGAACUCUGGCGUGUCACAAACUCUAAAUCCUGCCGUGUCACAGCCCUGUCACACAUUCCCACCAUGUCGUGUCACACAUUCUCAACAUGCCGUUUCACAAACUCUAAACCCUGCCCUGCCACACCCAUCUCACAUAUGGCCUACUGUAACACGACCAUUUCGUGCUUUGGAUUCACAUCUUUCUUCUUUCGAUUCACCACUGUAUUAGGGAUUUCUGGUUUCACAUCAUUCUCCAAGCUUUCGAUUCAUCACGACCAGUUCCUCGUUCGAUUUAAUAUCAUUCUUUUCCUAUUAUCUGAAUGCCAUGUCUAAAAUCUCUGAAAAAUCAUCUCAUACAACAUUAUUUUGUUUUGCACAAGCUUCGCGAAAAAAAGGAUGUUUUGCACAAAAUUAGAUGUUCGCAAUUUCUUUACAUAUUUAUUUUCUCAUUUUUCGUCUGUUUGAGAGAGCGCUUCAACGAAGAUGGCUCAUUAAAGGCAUUUUUGUCUCAAAAUCUAUUCUUGUGACUAAAAACAAUUAAAAUUAUCUAAAAACUUAUUUACAAAAACACGUUAUUUUUAAGGGCUAAAAAAAAAUUUUCCUCUUUUCUAAUUUAUGUCAUCAAAAAUAGCAAAAAACUAAAGUAUAGCGUAGAAAAGAUGUGUUGACUUGGUAGUUGGNGCGUGUCACAAACUCUAAAUCCUGCCGUGUCACAGCCCUGUCACACAUUCCCACCAUGUCAUGUCACACAUUCCUAACAUGCCGUUUCACAAACUCUAAACCCUGCCCUGCCACACCCAUCUCACAUAUGGCCUACUGUAACACGACCAUUUCGUGCUUUGGAUUCACAUCUUUCUCGUUUCGAUUCACCACUGUAUUAGGGAUUUCUGGUUUCACAUCAUUCUCCAAGCUUUCGAUUCAUCACGACCAGUUCCUCGUUCGAUUUAAUAUCAUUCUUUUCCUAUUAUCUGAAUGCCAUGUCUAAAAUCUCUGAAAAAUCAUCUCAUACAACAUUAUUUUGUUUUGCACAAGCUUCGCGAAAAAAAGGAUGUUUUGCACAAAAUUAGAUGUUCGCAAUUUCUUUACAUAUUUAUUUUCUCAUUUUUCGUCUGUUUGAGAGAGCGCUUCAACGAAGAUGGCUCAUUAAAGGCAUUUUUAUCCCAAAAUCUAUUCUCGUGGCUAAAAACAGUUAAAAAUAUCCUGACGGUUAUUUACAAAAACACGUUAUUUUUAAGGGCUAAAAAAAAAUUUUCCUCUUUUCUAAUUUAUGUCAUCAAAAAUAGCAAAAAACUAAAGUAUAGCGUAGAAAAGAUGUGUUGACUUGGUAGUUGGAGUCUUCUCCACUCUGCUUCAAUUUUUGGUUUUAAAAGCAUUGCCUCUGCCUCAGGCGAUAAGUAAAAGGCGAGUUCUCGUACAACUGCCCAGACUAGAUGCAAAUGGUAAUUAUUCUCUGUCACUUCCUCUUGGUAUUGAGUGCUUCAGCAGUUGGUCUUGGUCCAGUCUCGCCAGAUCAAGAUGCCUGCGAGCCAAAACACUGCAAACCCGGCCAGCCAUCCGUCCGGUACCCCUUCCGGUUGAAAGGCCGCCAACCGGACCACUGUGGCUCAUCUGGGUUUGACCUGUCCUGCAACAACAAGAACCAGACGGUGCUGGAGCUGCCCCGUUCGGUCAAGUUAUUGGUGAAGCAUAUAGAUUAUGUAAACCAGAGGAUUCAGGUGUAUGAUGAAGAUGGUUGUGUCCAAAAGCAGCUUCAAAAUCUUACCUUAUCCGCAUCUCCUUUCACGUUCCGCUCAGACACAGAUCCCUACUAUGACAGCAAACCGGGAAACUUCACCUUGUUCAAUUGUUCAAUUGAAGAUCAAUCGAAGGAUUAUGAUAAUGACUGGAGCAUUUCCUGCUUAAGUGUGCCUGGCUUCUACGUUGAAUACUUUGAUUCUGAUGAUGGAGGCUAUGACCUGUUAAAUUGCAGCAAGACUAUAGAUAUCAUUGAUAUUCCUCGAGGGUUGAUGUCUGACCAGAAAAACAAGUUUUACUUCAGUUGGACCAACCCGGCGUGUGGUUCAUGUGAAAUUCAGGGCAAAGGAUGUCGACGCAAUACUACCAAGGCCUUGGGCAUAGAGUGCUAUUACAUCCACAUGGAUCAUAAAGGUGCCACAUACAUAUGAGUUUUUAAGUAGUAUUGUUCUGAAAUAUGAAUUUUUUUAAUUAAAAGAAAAUGAGUCAAUCAAUGUAUUAAAUAUUUAAGUAUUUUUGAAAUAUGAAUUUAGUGUUGUUCACCCGUAAUUCUUCUUUUUUCAUUAAACCUGAUCUAAAGGGUCUAUGCUUUGAAAUCUAAGCCAGGGUCAGUCAGGUUCAAUCCUAUACAUAAUUUUAUUAUUACUAUAAAAUAAUAAAAGUAUUUUUAUAUUAACAUUUUAAUUUUUAAAUUAUAUUUUAGAUUUUAAAAUAUUUAUUAUCUAUUUGCUAAUAUAAAAAUAAUAAUCUCAUUCCAAAAAAAAAAAAACCAAAAAUAAAAAGUAAAUGGAGAUUACAAAUAUGAGUCAUUUUGAUAUCUUCUGUUUUAAGUAUUUUGUGCUUUUCUUGGCAACUUUGGGGAAGUAAUAAGGGACUGAGAAAUGGGUCAUUUUGGCUUUAAGAUAGUUUGACGUUCACUAGUUUGACGUUUACCUAAAGUUUGUGAUCUACGUCGACUAAGAGCUUGUUUCGUAGAAAGUGCUGUCACAACUAGAAUUGUCUUAAAAAUAUUAUAAACAGAGAUUAAAAUAAUAUUUGAUAAAUUCAGAAGAUUAGUUGAUCGUAAGAUUAAAAAAUUAUUUGAUAAUAUUUUUUAUUUAAUUUUGAUAAAUAAUCAAAAUAAAAUAUUUAUCUUUAUAAUUAAAUCAAAUUGUAAAUUUUAAAUUAAAAUAAAUGAAGCUUCUUCUUAAUUGGAAAUAAAGAUUGUCAUCAAGUGAAAUAAUUACACUAAAUGAAAUAAAUAAUAAUGUGAAGUAAUAUAAUUCUAAAUGCGAAAAUGAAAGUGCAGCAAAAAUUGUAUUGUUAAAACUCAUUUAUGCUAUAGUGCUUCAUAUAAUUUUAUAAAUUAUUAUUCAAAUAAUAUAAAAAAAGUUGAUCAAAUAUUUAUUAUUAUACAUUGCAAUUAAUAAUUUUUAAUGAAGUUUUGAUUUAUAAUUUUGUCUAAAAAUUAUAAACCUCGUGUAUAAAUUAAAAUUUGUAAAAUUUGAGAUCUAAAUACCUUGUUUAUGCUCUCUUCUAUUAGCAAAAAUAAGUUAGGUAGAACUUUUUGAUGUAAAAAUUACUGCCAUUAUGGGAUAAAUUAGGCUUCCCAAAUUAGGGUACUAAACAUGAAAACCAACUACUUUAACUUACAGUUCCAGCAAGAAAUUGCUUGGUUCAUAUUAAAUCAAUACUUGUUUUUUACCUAUGAUUUAAUAUCAUUUACUCAAAAUCUUGUAAUUAAACAUUAAUUUGCGUGGCCGAAAUCAAUUUUGAAUGUUUUAGAAACUUAAGGGAAACUAUAUAUAGAGUAAUGAUAUAGGAUUAUUGUACUGAUGUUGAGAAAUAUAGCAUGCUGAUCAUUUUUUAAUGUUUUCCAGGUGCAAGAAUGAAGCUAAUGAUUUCAGGUACAUGGUUGUUCCAUACAUUGAUUUUAUGUUGAGAAAAGAAAUGAUCUGAUGAAGCAUUGUAAUCUCUGACUAGGAUCAUGUUAUUUGCAGGUUUAACCAUAGGAUCACUUCUCCUUUUAUUGAGUGUCAUUGGACUCUGUUGGCUGCACCACUUGAAUAAAAAAGAGAAAGAGGGCCAACGCAAGAUCGAACAGUUUUUGGAGGAUUACAAAGCUCUUAAGCCCUCAAGAUAUUCCUAUGCUGAUAUUAAGAGGAUAACAAACCAAUUCAAGGAAAAACUUGGACAGGGUGGUUAUGGUACUGUGUUCAAAGGAACACUUUCCAAUGAUGUUUCAGUAGCUGUUAAGGUUCUGAAUAACUUCAAGGGAAAUGGUGAAGAGUUCGUUAACGAAGUUGGUUCAAUGGGAAGAAUCCACCAUGUCAAUGUUACUCGCUUAGUUGGUUUUUGUGCUGAUGGGUAUAACCGAGCCCUUGUUUAUGAGUACUUGCCAAAUGAGUCAUUAGAGAAAUUCAUAUUUGCAGCCAAGGGUGAGAAUCGUUUCCUUAGUUGGGAGAAGCUUCAUGAAAUUGCUUUAGGCAUAGCCAAAGGCAUUGAGUACCUUCACCAAGGUUGCGAGCAACGGAUCCUCCAUUUUGACAUCAAACCUCACAAUAUUUUACUGGAUCAGAACUUCACUCCUAAGAUCUCUGAUUUUGGUUUGGCUAAGUUAUGUUCCAAAGAGCAAAGUGCUGUUUCAAUGACAGCAGCAAGAGGAACCAUGGGCUAUAUUGCACCUGAAGUAUUGUCUAGGAACUUUGGAAACGUCUCAUACAAAUCAGACGUUUACAGUUUUGGAAUGCUCUUGCUUGAAAUGGUUGGAGGGAGAAAGAAUAUUGAUGUGACAGUGGCCAAUGAAAGCCAAGUGUACUUCCCGGAGUGGGUUUAUAAUCGUUUAGACAAAGGAGAAGAAUUAGGAAUUGAUAUCGAAGAUGAAGGGCAUCACAAGAUAGCCAAGAAACUUACAAUUGUUGGACUUCGGUGCAUUCAGUGGUAUCCAGUUGAUCGUCCUUCAAUGAAAUCUGUGGUUCAGAUGUUGGAAGGAGAAGCAGACAAUCUGACAAUGCCACUAAAUCCUUUUGCCUCUAAAGAUGAAAAGAAGCCUAAGAAGCCCAUUAACAGAGAGCUAGCAGCUAUUUCUGAAUAAGAAGGAAAGCAAUUUGCAGACUGCAGCCUUACAAUCAAAAUGAGUAUUAAGCAAUUGUUGGACUUUUGGUGUUGUGUAUAAAGAAUAGACAAAUGCUUCAUAACUAUGUAGGCCAUAUUUUAAUAUCUUUCAAUCUGAACAAAAUCAAAAUUUAAUACUAAAGGACAAAAUCUAUAUAUACACGGAAUGAUUUUGAUUUUCGGAGGAUGAUUAUAUCUAUGCGUAGUUGCAAUGAAGCUUAAAAUAUCAAAAUGUUCAAAACAUACCACAAUGCUUAAUAGAAAAAUAAGUUAAUAUAUAUAUAUAUAUAUAUACACGGAAUGAUUUUGAUUUUCGGAGGAUGAUUAUAUCUAUGCGUAGUUGCAAUGAAACUUAAAAUAUCAAAAUGUUCAAAACAUACCACAAUGCUUAAUAGAAAAAUAAGUUAAUAAUUCCAAUAGAUAGAAAUAGAAUCAAAGUAGAUAGAUUGUUUUAAUGAUUGAGGCUUAGAAAGUUGACUUUUGCACAAUUCUAAUGGCAAAUGUGCUUGGCUUGCUUGUAUUGAAUAGCCAAAUGCUCAAGGAGCUUAGAAAUACAUCAAAUAUCAAGUGUCUAUGGUAAACAAUAUUGAAAGCAAUGGUGGCUCUCUAAGAGCUUGAACAAAUAGCUAUGAUACUUAAGAAUUAAAAGAAAAUGUUAAGGGCUUGAAGAUUUGAAUUUGAGUUUUUAAAUUGAGCUUUGUGCUGUUGAGUUAUGUUGUGUGUUUCUUGAAUUGGAUAGUGCCUUCUUCUAUUUAUGGGUAUUUUUGCCAAUUGUAAGUUCUCUUCCAAUAGCAAUUAACAACUUGAAUUUUGGCGCAAAAAGAUUUCCUUUCCCUUCCUUUCUCAAAUGUCUUCUAUUAUAGAUCAAUAAAAAGUUUUAAAAACAAUAUUUUGACUGCAUACUCUUAAUCUUUUAAUGUACGACAAAAACAACAAUAAAACAUUCUUACAAGUUACAAAUCAAAUUUUUUGUUUCAAUGUUUUUAGAAUAAAACAAAAUCGAAUCCAAACAUAAAAAAAAAUAUGAAACCUCUCCCAACCGAUACUUAUAAUUACUUCAUCUGAUUUUCCCUUUCUAUAGAUGUCCAAUAAGAACCAAAGUAGUAUAAAGUUGUGUGUGAAGCUAAAAGGUACAUUGCUACCUUAGUGUAAUAAAAUGUAUGUUGAACAAACAAUACUACAAGGUAAUAAUAGAUAAUUAUUUUAUGGGCUUGUCUACUACUUCUUAUUAACAUGAUCUUUUGACAUUUCGAGAGAAAAGAGCAAAUGUUUAGAAGGCAUUUUCAAAAGGUCAACUUCACUUUGAAGCAUCUCAAGGACAUUGCUCAUUGAAGAGAAACAAAUGGGCUUCAUCUGUAUGCACCAAAGAGCAACUAUUACCAUUUUCCUCGCAAUUUUCUUUUCAUCAUCUAUAACAUCACCCAAGUCUACUUUUCCACCUUGAUCAAAGUGGUCAUAAAUCCAAGAAGGGAAGUAUAUUUGACUUGACUGUUCAACUGAAACAUUCAAUUUUUUCCUUCUUCCCACCAUUCCCAUCAAUAACAUUCCAAAGUGUAAACAUUAGCUUUAUAUGAGAUGCCACCUAGGAAUUUGUGGAAUAAUUCAAGAGCAAUAUAUCCUAAUGUACCUCGAGCUAUAGUAACAGACACAAUACUCUCAUUUACAGGAUAUAAUUUUGCAAGUUCAAAAUCUGAAAUUUUUGGGAUAAAUUUUUUGUUUAAAAGAAUGUUGUGUGGCUUGAUAUCAAAAUGUAAAAUUUGCAUUUCACAUCCUUGAUGCAAGUAUUCGAUUCCACGAGCCACUCCAAGAACAAUCUCUAACAUUUGUUCCCAAUUUAAAAAAAUGUUAUUGUCUCUAGCAAAUAUGAUUUUAUCCAAAGAUCCAUUUGGCAUGAAGUAAUAUACAAGAUGUCAAGCUCGACCUUAUAAAAUACUUGCUAUGUCAUUCAUGUGAUUGACAAUAUGCUUGCAUAUUAGGAAAGCCUCGAAAAAUCAUCAAAAGUCGAUAUUGUACCAAAUGGUACUAUUAAGUUGAAUUAAGCCUCGAACUAGUCUAAAUAGAGAUCUUAAGAUGAAAUUGAGAAUUUUAAAACCCAGAAUGACUUAAAAUGAUGAUUUGGAGUUCGAGGGUUGAAUUGGAGUCAAUUUGAAAUUUUCAUGAUUCGGGGGUAAAAUGGUCAUUUUGCAACUCGAGGUUAAGACAUGAGUGUUGGAUGAAAUUUUUGACUAAGAUUGAUCAUUUGGAGUAUAAUUUGAGUUUGAAAAGUGAAAAAUUUUAAUUCCAGCAUUUUUUGAGCAUAAAGGGCAAAAUAGUCAUUUUGCUACCCUAGGGGCAAAAUUGUAAUUUUACACACCCAACACUUGUCCAGCAUAUGGAAUUUAUCCAAAAUUAUCAUGGAUAAUUGAAGAAAUUUAUAUGGUGGAGAGAGAAAGCUUAAUAGUUAAGAAAUUAAAAAUGGACCAAUGGUAAGGUGACACAUGGUAAAUUUUUGUCCAUUAAUUAUUUAGCUUAAAAAUCAGCACAAAUCAGCCCAUUUUCUCUUCAUUAUGGCCGGCCAUAGUAAGAACAAAGGAAGGAAAAGAAAGAACAAACCCAAGGAGGAAAAAUUGAAGAAAAAGUGUGGGAUUUCAAGGGAUUAAGCUAAUAAAGGUAAAAUUUUGUGAUUUUAUCUUGUGAUUUACAUUACCCAUGCUUUCUUUUUCAUUUUUCAUGCUUAGAACUCAAGUUUGCAUGAUGAACCCAUGCUGGUCGAAUUUGAGAGGAGAGGUUUUGAGCAUUGACUUUGCUAGAUUUCAAGCUAAUUAAGUGUUUUUGGUUGUUUGGUAAUGGAAAGUAUAAAAAUCUAGCAAGGAAUCACUUUGUUCUUCACAAACCCACAAGAGGCCGAAUUUUCUAGGGAGGAUAUUGAGGCUGAAAUUGAUGAUAUUUCAUGAUAUUUUGGUGAUAUUUAAUGAUUGGUGAGGCUAGAAAUUUAAUGGAAAAUUUUAGCAUGAAAAUUUGAAUUUUUACCUAAUGUAUAGACAUGUGCGAUUUAUGAUUCGGACCAAUAAAUUGAAUCAUAUUCACAAUCAUUGAAGUAUUUUAAGUAUAAUUGGAGUGUAGAAAGUGAAAGAAAUUGAUUUGGAGUUAAAUUGGAGGUUUUAGCCAAUUACACCGAGAAUAGUACGAAUUAGGUCGAAUACCGUAUUUAAACGGCUAUUCGGACAUUUUGCAUCACAUUUCGUGCAUUCAUAUAGAUUUAUAGAGCCUGAAAUAGUUUAUGAUAAUUUGACACAAUUUAUUGAAAUUCGUGUCAUGUAUGAUGUAUAGGUGGUGAGCCCUCUAACAAGGGUAAAGAGAUUGUGCUCGAAGACCAGGAAUAAGAGUAUAUCGAACUCCUAGUACAGUGAGUAACCUUACUAUCGUCUUAAUUAUCUAAAGUGAAUUUUUAUCCGAUUUUGUGAUUUUAUGAAAAAUGAGGUUAAAUGAUAAAUUUUUGGUUUCAUAAACAAACUGUGAUUAAAUGAAAUGAUUUUAUAAAUUGUCUUGAAAUUUAAUGAUGGCUUUGAAAAUAGAGUAAUUGGAGAUUGUGUUCAUGUGUUGUAAAUUCAUGGUUUGAAUCGAAUGGCUUAUGACAAUAGUUGCAUGAAUGGCUGAAUUGGUAUUUCUGUUGAAAUAUAUGAACUGUGUAUUUAGCCUUGAAAGGCUGUGAAUUACAAUAAUUGCCAUGUCAUGCUAUUGCAAAUUUUAUUGAAUUGGUGGAUUAUAUAUUAAUUAAUCACUGCAGUAGGGGGUUUCUGUGGACCAGCCUUUUAGAGGGGCACGGUAAACCACAUUAUUUCUUACCUCGAUCGUAGAGGCGCAUAGGAUAUCUCCUGAGGUAAAGUUUAGGGUUCACUUGACACUAAACCACCACGUGAAGGAGAACUCAGCCAACGCCAAAGAACAACUGUGAUGUCCAACGAAAAAUGUGUUUGAUGCGAAAUAUGAAUUUUUAACAGCCUUGGCGGACUUGGUUGGAUGCCCGACGCAAAGUAUCACCGAGUAUGAGUUUUGGCACGAGCCAAAGUUUUAAGAAAUUCAUAAGCAAUGUUGAUUACUCGAUUUAUAUGAAUUGAUUUUAUUUGAUUGAAAUCAGUUGAAAGGUAAUGAAAUUACAGUAUGAUGACUUAUUUUAAUUGUCUCCAUUUACUCUAUAUGAAUUGAUUUUAUUUGAUUGAAAUCAGUUGAAAGGUAAUGAAAUUACAGUAUGAUGACUUAUUUUAAUUGUCUCCAUUUACUCGACUUUAGAUGGUAUCUGUUUACUCACUAAGAUUUUAUAAUCUCACCACCCUCCUUUUCAACCAUUUCAGGCCUGAGGUAGCCUGUGGAUAGCAGAUAUCGUCAGGGAUUAUAGUCGACUUUACUACAAAAACUGUAGGUUUACUGCCUUUGUACACUUUUGUUCCUUGUGAGCCCACGAGUCACUGUAAAGUAAAUUUCAUAUCCCAAUUAUCUGUAUUAUAGUACGUAUGAAUUUAUUUAGCUUUUACAUUACAAAAAUUAUUUACCGAUGACUCUAUAAAUAUUGUUUUACAAGAAAUUAGAAUAUUUUAUUGAAUAUUUUUAUUUUAUUCAAAUAGUUGCAAUAGCAUUUUUAAUAAAUUUUUUAGACACCCAAAUUUAUUUUUAAAUAAUGAAAUAUGUGUUUUCACUUAUUUACUAUAUUUUUAGUUGGGUUCGGAAAAUUACGAGGAAAAAUGACGAAAACGCCCCUAUGAGGCGAAAAUUAUUUUUCCACGGUUUUGAAGGGGAAAAAGCUUAAAAUUCUUUAAAAACCAGGUUUGGCAAUGAUUACUCACAGGGGAGAUGAGAAAAAUGGUACUAAAGCCUUACGGGGUUCCGGUUGGUAUUUUGGGCAGUGAAUGUCUAUCGAGACGUCGCGGUGGUUGUCACGGGCUUGAGGGGAGUACCGGGUCAUGACACAAGAGCUUGUUUUGAUCCUUCCACACAAAAUCCAAUAAGUCAUGCCACAUUAACAUGAUGAAUCCUAUCAAUGGUAGCUAUUUCAUUAAUGAAAUCAUUGCUCUUACCUUUUGACUUUCUCAAUAAUUUUAUUGCAACAAGGUGACCACUUUGAAGCUUUCCUUUGAACACUAAUCCAUAACCUCCUUAACCAAGUUUAUCUUUAAAUCCUUGAGUCAUUUUUUUUAAUUUAAGAAUAAGAGUACCGAAUUGGCACGAAACUAUUUUGACUUUGAAGGAAUUUUUCAAUGAUAUCAUCAAUGGACAGAUGUCUCUUUUGUAAUUUAUACGUGACAAGUGCAACCAAGCAUAAUGUUCCCAGCAAAACUCUUACCAAGAUAAUUCCUCCUUCAAAAAAAUAUAUUAUAAAAAGAAGAGCACAUUAGAAACAAAAAGGGGAAAGGUAUCAAGAAUAUUGCACAUGAUAGUCAUGUGCUUAGAAGAAUUAGUUCAUUAGUUAGUUAGUUAGUCAGCCAAUUAUGAUUUUAGUUAAUUAAAUUAAGUUGAAGUCAAUCUUGUAUUCAAAUUUUCUAGUUUGUUUUUGAAAAGUAUAUAUAAAUUGCCUUGUAAUCAUUUGUUGAAAUAACAAGAAUCAAUUUAAUUUUUUUCUAUUCCUCAAUCGUUUACAUGGUAUCAAAGCAAUUCGAUUAAGGUUCUUGCUAUGAUUCUUCCAAAUUUCCAGCCUUUAUCCUUUAUUCAAAAUUGAAUUCACAAUUCCAUAAUUCCAUCAUUUUAUAAUACGGUUCAUACUCAACUCACAGCUUCAAUCAAACAAGUUAAGUCAGAUAAUGAUUUAGAGUUUAAUCCUUUUGAAUUUAUUUCUUCUAAAAGCAUUUUGAAUUAUCCACCUAAAUAAAAUGGUGUUGUUGAUAGUAAACGCUAGCAUUUAUUGGUUGUGGCUAGAUCUUUUUUGUUACAGUCUUCUUUGCUUGUAAAAUUGUUGGAAAAUUUUGUAUCAGUGAUAGCCUACAUUAUUAAUAAAACACCAUAUGAAAUAUUGUUUCACAAAACCCAUUUUAUUAAUUACUUCUUAAAGUCUUUAGCUGUUUAUGCUUAACAUCAACCCUAUCUCAUAACAAAAAGAAAUUUAUCCUAUGGGAAAAUUGUGUGUAUUCAUAAAAUAUCUCAUUGGCAUAAAAGAGUCUACACUUUAUGAUUUGAUUACGCAGAGGUCCUUCAUUUCUAGGGAUGUUGUAUUUCGUAAAAGUAAUGUUCCAUUUUAAAACUUGAAACAUGACUUUAAAAAUCUUAUUACUAUCUUUACAGUACUUAAUUUUAGUUCUAAUGAUUGUCUUUAUGAAUUUCAUAUUUUUCCAACACUUGUUUCUCAUAAUUUCAAUUUUCAAUGACACAUCACCUUCCUUAGUUUCUAAAUCCCCUAAUGUCAUGAGCCAACAUUAUAUAGGGCUAUGACAGGGUAGAAUUCUCUAGGGGACCAAGUCCAUUGUACUUUUAGGGGAGAUGUCCCUCUUUUACAUAUUGUAAUAGCACUUGGUGGCAUCUUUGGAAAUGCUUGUUAAGUCUUUAGGGGAAGACCUUUUAGGGAAGGAAUGUCCUCAUCUCACGCCUUGUAACGGCUUUUAGUGAUAUACUUGUAAAAUCUUGUAACUUUUUUAUUAAUAGUGAGCAGUUGACAGAUUAUUGGGCUAACUCACUAAUAAAGGUAUAUUUGUAGCAAACCAUUUAGGGCUCCCUUUAUGGUUCGAUGAUGGAGUGUCUUGGUCCCUUUGUACUUAUCUUGAUAUUAAUAAAACAUUUUCUAUAUGUGGCUCCAAUGGUUGUGUACAUUUCCUUCGUUAUGCCCUAUGAUUUUAAUAUUGUGUUUCCUUAAACUAAUUUGUGGCUAUUAUUGAUAUUUGCUUAAAUAUAAACAAGUUAUUGAUUAGCUUGUGUGGAAGCAUCCAUCCAAGCAUUGCACGGACUAUUGCAUACUUACAUGAAAAAGUGUAGUUCGUGAUAGUUGGUAUUAGAGCAUGAGUGAGACAUGCUAAGUGAAAAAGCAAACAUGGUAACUACACGGAAUGCACUAGAAGACCCUCAAAGAAUUAAUGAGUUAAAGGUCAUGGUGGUCACAAUAAAAGUUCAGAUGGUUCCGCAUGAGUGGAUAGAUGAAAUUGAGACAGUCUAACGGGAAUUGUCUAAGAUGAGAAAUACUCUGAGUGAUGAGAUCAAUGAUGCAUUGAGCACUCUUCAAAACGAGUUUGGAGAAUUAAAAGCUCAAGUAAAUCUCUUAAUUAUUGUUGUAGGUAAUACCGGUGCAAACUCAAAAGAUCGAGGGAAAGGGGCUAAAGUGCCCUAGCCUAAGUGAGAAGAAAGAGCCAGAGGUGCGAAAGAGCUAGGGAACUUCAUUUUUUCUAUUGAACAGUACUUCCAAGUUGUGCACAAAAAGUCGAAGGAAGACAAGAUCACAAUAACCGUAAUAUAUCUUACAAGGGAUGCAAAGUUAUGGUGGCGUUCCAAAUUUGUUGAUGGGAAGUGCCACAUGAAUACUUAGGUGGACCUUAAGCGAGAAUCGAUGAAUUAGUUUUUCCUUGAGAGUGUAAAGUACAUGGGUUGGCAGAAGUUAUGAGAGUUAAUGAAAAUUUGGUCAAUACAGGAAUUUGUGAGAAACUUCUCUACCUUAAUGUUAGAUAUUAGGGACAUGAUCGAGAAAGAUAAAUUGUUCUAUCUUCUCAAGGGUUUAAGACCAUGGGCAAGGACAGAGUUGCGCUGACAGAAGGUGUAGGACGUGACUUCAACAAUGACGGCUAUUGAACGUUUUACUAAUUAUAGAGAUAAGUAAAAUAAAAGUAACGACCCUCUAUUAAGAAUCAAUAGCUCAAGCUCAAACAAUGGGGCAAAAUUCCCAAUAGUUAGUAGACCUUCGCGUGGGGGAAGAGAAAAGAGACCACUCCCUAGAAGCACACCCUAACUAAGAACAAUUAAGUCGUGGGGCUUUAAACCUUAAGCCCCAAUAUAUUGUUUUCUUUAUAAUGAACCUCAUCGGGUAGCAAACUACCCAUAUCGAGUCGCUCUUAAUGUGAUAUGUACUGCUAAUGUGGAAACACCUCAACCCCAAACCCUAGUUGAAAAAGUUGUGGAGGAGUCGACGUGAAUGGAUUCAAUUUGGUUCUUAGUGUCUUACAAGUGUAACUAGAAAACAUGAAGAAAGAGCCUCAAUAAGGUCUCGUGCUUGUGGAUGUGUUCAUGAAUGAUAAAAAGAUCAAAGCCAUACUCGAUAUGAGAGCCUCUGUGUCAUGACCCAAUUUCCAGGCCAUGACCGGCGCAUGGGCCCAAUGGACAUAGCCCACUAAGCCCAACCAAGCCUAUCUAUGUGACUCCAUUCAUCGAUUUCAUCAUUCGUUCUUGCCACUGUAUUUCAUAAUUCUUACUAACGAGUAUGUCAAAACUUUUCUAUCGAUACCAUAUAUUCACAUUUAUAUGAUUCAUAAUAAUGUCAUCCGUGCCAUUACAUAGUGGCAACAUUAAACAAUAUAAAUAUCUAUUGCUUAAGACAUAUACACAUCUUAACAAUUUACAUCAGGGCAUGUGUGUUCAACAAAAAGGACUCUAGACUUCCAGCGGAGCAACUAUAGCGAAGGUACAGUUAUGGAAUGCCAUUGAUACCUACCAAAAGAUGGAUACAAGCCUACAAGGACACCUCGACCUAGUUACCAGCUGCCUCUUGAUAUGAAAACAUGAAGUUGAAAAUGGUGAGUAUAAACCAAGUGAGUGAAUAAGAAAGGGAACAAGCAAACAAUAAGAAAUGUUUAACGAAAUCAUGAUGCAUUCAUUUUUCAAAACAAUGCAAUUUAUUUUUGCUCUUAUUAAAACCCCUCGUGUAAACCCCACAUGAGUAAAUCACCUUAUGAAAAGGGUCCAUGCUCAACAAAGGAUUUGGAGAGUGAAAACUUUAAUAGCAUUCAUGCGAAUCAAGUUAAAUAAACGACAGUCCUCGUUGUAGCUGAAAGGCAUUCUCGCUGCACCAAAGUUAGGAUUCAAGUUAUUAGCCAAACUAGGGUUUCUUAACUGGCCGAGGGUUUCUCACCAAACCUUAUCAUUUCAAACUUAAUUAAUUAAUUCCUUAAUGUUAAAAGUCCAUACUCAACUAUGGUACCAAAGAAGUGGAAAAUAGUCAGCAACCGAACAAAAUAAGGAACGAAACAUAAAGUUUUUCGCUGCAGCGAGAAUGAAUCUCGCUGCAGCGAAAUUUAUGCCAUAAAACAGAAAGUUUCUCGCUGCAGCAAGAAGCUACAGUAACUUUCUUGCUGCAACAAGAUUCCAGCCAGCAUUACCCCUCCAAACCCGAGAGUUUCUCGCUGCAGCGAGAAACAGAGCACCAAAGAAAUAUUUUCGUUCUUUCAAGAAAAAGGCCAUCCUACUGAAAUGACAAAAUCAACAUAAUACACAUAAAGAUUUCCAAAGUUCAACAUGCCAAAUUCAUAUGCAUUUCAACCAUAAACCAUAUUCAUGAGUUUUCAUUUUCUAAACAUAUAUACAUAUACAUACAUGGAUAAAUACCAAUACCACUAUCAUCUCAUCUAGCUCAUAUGCAUCCCCCCACAUUGUGCACAUAGUCGGAGUCAUCGUGUGCAUCCCCCCACAUCGUGCACAAUUAGUGUCAUCAUGUACAUCCCCCCACAUCGUGCACACGGGCACUUUCAUCAUCCAACACCCUCACCACCGUCAUCACCGACAUGUGCAUCCCCCCACAUCUUGCACACUCACGGUUAUCAUUAUCACACAAUGUCAGCCAUCAAUGCACAACAUAUAUGUAUAUCAACACAACGACAUAGAACAAGAAUCCAUAACAGCCACAUGUUAUAUAUAAAGACAAUAAUCAAAAGCUUGUUCCCAAGGUACCCAUUUUUAAGAAAAGUUGAAUAAACUCAUUCAAAAGCAUUGUGCAAAUACAUUCGCAUUUCCAAAAUAGUUUUGAAAUGCAAGUUCACUCACCAGUAUCUUGUUGAACCUUUAGUCGACUCUACUUCUCUAAUUGUCCAAAUGGGGCGAUGGGGCUUCGUUGGAACCUAUUAUCACAUUAGCAUCACCAUUAAUUCAAGCCACAUACUUAUAAAUUCUAAAAGCUUCUUCUUAGCUAGCUUUCAAAUUGCCAUUUAAGUGGCUAUCUAAGUUCACUAUCUUAAUCACUCUAAAGUGAAUGAACAACCCCAACUACCAAAUCACCCCCAAGUCUAAACACUAAUAAUUUUCAACACUAAAACUCAAUUCUAGUGUACUACUCACCUUGGUAGCUUUGUAUUUGAAAUUAUUUCCAAAAACUUCCAAGCUAUUAUUGAAGCUUCCUCUUUCUCUCUCUAAAACACCUAACUAGAGAGAGAGUAUGGAAAUAAGAUUUUCUUGAAGGGUUUUAAAGUGAAAGAGUGGAAGAGUAUAAGGGUUUAUGAAAGAGUGCACCAAAAGCAUGAAAAGUGGAGUUAUUUUGAGGGAGGUUAUGGAGGUUCAUAUCAAGCUUCCAUGGAGGUUGGAAGUAACGUGAAAGAGAAGAAGGAAGAAGAAGAAGAAGCUGAUGGAAAAUGCGAGAAGAAGCUGCUAGAAGAAUGAGAUAUUUAUAACCCAUGCUUAUCCACUCCACUUAAAUUACCAAAAUGCCCUUCCACAAAUUAACUUGUUCUCAUCCAAUCCUUUAUGUAAUCUUUUUACUUCUUUAACACUGGGACAAGGUCCAUAAGGGUCUAGAAAUGCUCGAGUUCAUGAAAACUUAAAAAUUUUUACUCGAGGUGAAAAAUGACCAUUUUGCCCCUAUCGUGAAAAUCAUCACCAUUUUUAUUUAUUUCGUCAUUUUACCCAUAUUUUCAUCAUUCAUUUAUGCCUUAGGCCUACUUAGGCCUUAAUAUUAUUUAAAACUUACUUUUAGGGGCUUACUAAGGAAAUGACGAAAUUACCCCUAGCCCGUGUUAUUACGUCUAUGCCUAGUUACGAGCCUAUAGAGGUUGAGGUCUCACAUUUUGAUACCUUCAUCACCUUGGGAGAGGUGAAGAGAUGUGGCCAAAGGUUGAAAAAGACUUCAGGCAAAUGAAAGUUGUCAACUCUAAAGAUGUAAAGAUUAAGAUUGGUUCUUAAAAGGGGAAAGUGAACAUGACGACUGCCACUAUAGAUGACUUUGAUUUUGUUCUAGGCUUGGAUUUUAUGAUGAAAGCACAAACCAUUCAUUCCUUGCUGUGAGUUGUGUUUGGUGAGGGCUGAUCAUGUUUCAAAUACAAAUAAAAUUGAAGUAGAAAUAAAUUUAAAAAAAUCAAAUUACGCCUCACCUUCUUAGAAUCUCUUUCAUGCCAAAUUGAGUACAGAAUUAAACUAAAAUAAAAGUAUAUGACCAUAUCACUUUACCUAAAUAACAAAGGUUGAUGAAUCCUUUGUUAAACCACCAAAUCAGCCUUCAAAAAGCUCAACCACCUCAGCCCAGUUGUUGCAAACCAAAGCUAUCGAAGAAAUCCUUGUGUAGCCUCUAACGGUGAUCCACAUCAAUGAAUGAGAAAAUCCUUCUUUAAGAAUUGAGAGUGCUAUGCCUUGACAAUGUGCUAGCAAAGAUGAGUUUCACAAACUCAUAAUCUACACAAAAUUGUGGGGUUGAACACACAAAAAAAUGAAGUGAAUGAAAAACUAUUUUUCUUCACACAAGGAACGAUAAGACAAAAGAAUUUCUAAUGUUCCGUACACUUCUUUUUUUCAGCUGUUUUCCACUAUUUUGUUUGGAGGCUAUAGCAAGGUAUUUGUACCUUGGAUUAAUUUUAAACCCUAAUUACAAAACUAUUUUGUAAUUGCCAGUUAAUGCAAUAAUUUGAAUAAAUAAUUUAAUUAAGUCCUUAAGAAGUCCAAUUAACUUAAUUGUUUAAUUUAAUCAAUUAGGCCCAAUAACUUAAUUAAACAAUUUAAUUAAUUAAGCCUAACAAUUUAAUUAAACAAUUUUAAUCAAUUAGGCCCAAUGACUUAAUUAAACAAAUUUAAUCAAUUAGGCCCAAUAACUUAAUUGUUUAAUUUAAUUAAUUAGGCCUAAUGACUUAAUUAAACAAUUUAAUUAAUUAGGCCCAAUGAUUUAAUUAAACAAUUUAAUUAAUUAGGCACAACUUAAUUAAACAAUUUCAAUCAAGUGCUUGAGAAGCUCAUAACUUCUAAUUUGAUUAAGUCCAACUUAAUCACCUUUUUCAUUUUAUUUUCGACAUUCAUUUUAGGAGUGUGACCCAUUAGGCUUCUAACAUGUUGACAAUGUCACGACUCAGUACUCCCCUCGAGCCUGUGACAACCGUCGCGACGUCCCGAUAGAUAUUCAUUGCCCGGAAUACCAACCGGAACCUCGCAAGGCUUUAAUAUCAGUUUUCGCACCUCCCCUGUGAGCAACAGUUGUUAAGUAUCAUGUUUUGAGAGAUUAUAAACUAUUUUCAAAUCAAAACAAUAGAAAAAUAAUUUUUUUCUCAUAGGAGUAUUUUUGUGAGACCUUGUCAAGCUCGAUUAAAAGACGGUAUUGUACCGAGUGGUACAACUAAGUUAAAUCCAGCCUUGAACUAGUUCAAAUAGAAAUUCUAAGACGAAUUUGAAAAUUUUGAAACUCACAGAAUGGCUUAGAAUAGUGAUUCGGAGUUCAAGGUCCAGUUUGGAGUCCAUCAGGAAAAUUGACCGAUUAGGGAUAAAACGGUCAUUUUACCAUUUGAUGAUAAAAUGGAGAUUUUUAGCCAAGAUUUGAUCACAUUUGACCAAGAAUAAUUAUAUGAAAUAUAGUUAUGAUUAUUGGAGUAUAAAAUGAUGUUUAGCAGUGAAAAAUUGUGAUUACCGGUAUUUUUGAAGCACAAGAGUAAAAUGGUAAUUUUAUCACUAGAGGAUUAAACGAGAAUUUUUAUAAAAUGAUUUUUGCCCCAUUUGGUUAAUAUUGAUCAAUAUUAGUGUUAUUUGAGGUUGAAAAGUAGAAAUAAUGUGAUUCCGGUACAUUUCGAAGUAUAGGGGAAAAUCGUAAUUUUUCCACCUCGGGGGCAAAUCGAUAAAUUUUUCACCCUAGCACUUGUCAAGACCAAGGGAUUUUAAUUAUGGUAGGAUUGGAUAAGUACCAGAAUAUUUGUGGUGGAAAAUUAAGAAGAAAAAGUCAAAAAGUUAAAAAAAUGGGCGAAUAAGCAUGUGACACGUGGCAUGCUUGAUUAUUUUAUUAUUUUCUAUAGAAAUCAGCCAAUUAAAUCCCCAAUUCUCUCACCAUUUUCGGCUUAGGCAACCAGCAACAAGAACAACGCAAGAACAAAGGGAAAAACAAGAAAACCUAGGUGAAAAUUCAAAGAAAAAGUGAAGAAAUCAAGAAAUCAAGUGAACAAAGUGAAUAAUUUGAUUUUAGACUAUGUUAGUGUUUAGGGAUAGUUAAGCAUGGUUAUGAACAAAAACACAAAAGAAAUAUUCAAUUUCUCUAGGUUUCCUUGUUGGUCAAACCAUGAGGGCUGAAUAUCAAUGGGGGAUUGUUUUAUUUCAAGGAAAAUGGCUUGAAAAAAUGAUGAAUUAAGGUGAAACGGUUAUGUAGAAAAAUUUCGGUGCUAGUGCACCAAAUGACCGAAUUUUUCUAUAAGGAACUGUGAGGGUUCUAAUGCUGAAUUUGGCUUUAUUUAAAUGGUAUGUGGUAAACUAAGGUAUUAGAGGAGAAAUGGAUUAAAUUGGAGGUGAUUUGGACACAAUCGCCAAUUAAUCGAAUGAUCGAUCGAAUUUAAUCGAUACUACGAUUAAGCGGUAAUCGGACGUAUUUUUGCAUUUACAUAUCAAGCAUUAGUAAUUUAGAUUAGUUUAUAUCAAUUUAGGGACAAUAUAGUAAAUUCCUCGACUUUGUUAUUUGUCAAGGUAGUGAGACGUCCGGAAAAGGCAAAGGAAUUGCGCUUGAGGACUAUUCGUCCGAGUGUACCCGAAAUUCAGAUUUUCGACACCUGUGAGUGAAUUUGCAUUUCAAAAUUUAUUUGGGAAUUCUACUCAAGUUGAAAUGAAAUGCGUGAAUGAUUAUAUCUAAUUCCCAUUUAAAAAUGAAUCUCGGGAACAAGCCUUUAGUGAAAAUAUUUUUGUGAUGUUAAGUAUGAUUGCGAUGCAUCUGUGUGUAUCUGUAUGAUGCCUACAUGUAUUAUUGAGAAAAUGUGUGAAAUUGAGUAUACUGAAUCUGUGUACCCUUGUAUUAUGCUGAUAUGCAUUAUUAAUAAAUUAUGGUGAAAUUGAUGCAACCGUGCAUGUGCGGAGUGGGAAGUGCAAUGCCAGUUGAAUGACAAAGGAUGUGAUAAUUACGAUCGUGCAUGUGCGGAGUGGGAAGUGCAAUGCCAGUUGAAUGACAAAGGAUGUGCAAAGUGGGGAAGGCGAUACGUAACGCCCACAAUUUCCUAGAAAUUCAGAGGUGUGCAAAAUGGGAUGCUGAGUGACCCUCAUGCCUGAGUGAAUAAUGCACAUGCCUGUAAUGGUGUGCAAAGAGGGAUACUGAGUGAUACCCCUUACCAAGUACUCUGAUAGUUAUUUCUUUGUACCAUCAAGAAUAGUGAAGACUUGGCGGUGUAUAUAAUUGCUCAUAUCUUUGUGUAUAUGUGUGUGAUUGUGUGGUAUGUGACCCCUUAUUAUGUGACGAUUUGUAAAUAACUGUCAGUUUUACUACUUUGCUAGAAUGAUCGGUGUAAAUUGAAGGAUGUUUAAUACUUGAAUGCGUAAUAAAUUUCAGGGUAAGGGAAAAAGGGUUUAGAAUAGUAGUUAGAUGAAAAUGGCCUUAUUUUCAAUCGGUGCAUCAUGUUUGUCAAAUUUCCUGGUUGAGACUGCUUGUUCCCUUCUAAUAUUCACUCAUUGAGUAUUGUACUCAUGUUUUAUAAAAAUUCAUGUUUUCAGAUCAGGUGACUGUUGGACCCUAGAUCGAGGAGUCCUCGUAGUGCAUCUCCUUGGUAUGUGUCUGGCAUUCGAUAGUAAUCCCUUUUAUUGUAAAUGUCUCCGCUGGAAGUCAUGGGUCUUUUUGUAUUGUGAAUACAAUCUAACAAUCUGAAUAUGUGUAUGCAAUGUAAAUUGCUAAAUACAUGACUGGUAUAGUGCAUGUAUGUUAUUAUCGAUAAUGCCAUUAUGUUUUGGCUAUGUUCACACCCGGAAAAAGGUGUGUGUGUGUAUGCAUGAUAUGAUAAAUUUGUUAAGCAAAGGUAAAUGGGUAGGCUUGCUUGGGCUUAGUGAGCUAUGCUCAUUGCGCUCAUGCGUCGGUCAUGGCCCUAGAAAUUGGGUAGUGACAAACUUGGUAUCAGAGCUCUAGGUUUGUCUAGGUCCUAGAACUUCCUUUUUGUUGGUCCAGCGGAGAGUCGGGUCUUUAUGUGGGAACUUCAGUUGUAAAGUGUGAACCGCGGUACAUUUUACAACCAAAUGACCGCAUAGAUUCCCAAUCUUAGAAACCACCUUUUGCCUUAAGUAUGAUUAUAAUAUGUGUUUAAUAUUAGGUGUUUGCUCUUGUCUAGGUAAGAAUACCACCUAAGACACGGGCCACCUUACGACAAGUGGGGGAGCAAGAUGCCCCUACUGAGAUGACUAAUAGGCCACGGGCACCCACCUGUAGGGGGCGAGGUAGACGUGGCAGGGUCGCUAGGCUGGUGAGAGCGAGUACGCCUAUGAAUAGGAGAGAUAAGGGACAGCCCUUAGGUGAGACUGUUAGGCCACCAGCGAGAGGCAUUACUGUUGAGGACUUGGCGGCAGGUCUGCAGGGAGUCAAUCGGGUUGUAAAAAUGAUGGCAGCCCGUAUGGAGGAUAUAUAGAAAAUAGUAGAGGGGAGACAUGUGGAGCAAGAGUCCCCUAGUUCCCAAGGCUAGACAGACCGCCAACCUCCCGAGGGUUAUCAGGGUCGAAGAGACUUUAGUAGUGGGAUUUCAUUGUCUAGCCGUCAAGGCCCACAUGGAGAAUUAAGGUUACCCCAACAAGGGAGUAACAUGAUGAGUACCAGUGUUGAGUCAAGGCAGAAAGCUUUUAGUGGAAUGAGGCAACAACAAGACUCAAGGCAAAUUAGUCAGGCUAUUCCUCCCUGUGAUAAUUGUGGAAGACGACACAGAGGACGAUGCUAUUUUCCCAUGAAAACUUGUUUUGGUUGUGUCCAGCUUGGACAUAGGGUGAUGAACUGUUCGAUGGCCCAACAAUCGCAAGGUUCUGUUCGCGGUCCUAAUCAGCCAGCUUUGUUUGCUCCUUCGGCAACUAUUUCAAUUGGCCAAGAGGUUAACGAGAUAAGAGAUAGAGGCGCUGGUGCUUCCUCUCGGGGUAGACCAUCUGGGUCUGGACGUCAGAGCUUAUUGGGAGCGGCCCAAGCGAGGGUGUAUGUUUUAACUCCCCAAGAGGCCCAAACCUCAAAUGCAAUGGUCUUAGGUAUUUUUCCUAUCUGUGAUAUGAAUGCUUGGGUGCUAUUUGAGCCUGGUUUAACCUAUCUGCUUAUUUCUACAUGUUUUGCACAUCGAUUGAGUAAGAAUCGUGUUAGGAGAGAGGAAUACUUGGUGGUACCUACUCCUUUAAAGGAGGUAUUUGUGACUGAAUAAGAAAAUAAAUCCUUCGUAGCUCGAAUCAAGGAUAAAAAUACCUUAGUGAAUUUAGUGGUGUUAGACACCUUAAGGAGCUUAAGGAUCAGUUGGAGGAUCCUUAUGGAAAGAAAGAAAAGAUGUUUACCAAAGGCACAGAUGAAAUGUUGAGGUAUGNNNNNNNNNNNNNNNNNNNNNNNNNNNNNNNNNNNNNNNNNNNNNNNNNNNNNNNNNNNNNNNNNNNNNNNNNNNNNNNNNNNNNNNNNNNNNNNNNNNNNNNNNNNNNNNNNNNNNNNNNNNNNNNNNNNNNNNNNNNNNNNNNNNNNNNNNNNNNNNNNNNNNNNNNNNNNNNNNNNNNNNNNNNNNNNNNNNNNNNNNNNNNNNNNNNNNNNNNNNNNNNNNNNNNNNNNNNNNNNNNNNNNNNNNNNNNNNNNNNNNNNNNNNNNNNNNNNNNNNNNNNNNNNNNNNNNNNNNNNNNNNNNNNNNNNNNNNNNNNNNNNNNNNNNNNNNNNNNNNNNNNNNNNNNNNNNNNNNNNNNNNNNNNNNNNNNNNNNNNNNNNNNNNNNNNNNNNNNNNNNNNNNNNNNNNNNNNNNNNNNNNNNNNNNNNNNNNNNNNNNNNNNNNNNNNNNNNNNNNNNNNNNNNNNNNNNNNNNNNNNNNNNNNNNNNNNNNNNNNNNNNNNNNNNNNNNNNNNNNNNNNNNNNNNNNNNNNNNNNNNNNNNNNNNNNNNNNNNNNNNNNNNNNNNNNNNNNNNNNNNNNNNNNNNNNNNNNNNNNNNNNNNNNNNNNNNNNNNNNNNNNNNNNNNNNNNNNNNNNNNNNNNNNNNNNNNNNNNNNNNNNNNNNNNNNNNNNNNNNNNNNNNNNNNNNNNNNNNNNNNNNNNNNNNNNNNNNNNNNNNNNNNNNNNNNNNNNNNNNNNNNNNNNNNNNNNNNNNNNNNNNNNNNNNNNNNNNNNNNNNNNNNNNNNNNNNNNNNNNNNNNNNNNNNNNNNNNNNNNNNNNNNNNNNNNNNNNNNNNNNNNNNNNNNNNNNNNNNNNNNNNNNNNNNNNNNNNNNNNNNNNNNNNNNNNNNNNNNNNNNNNNNNNNNNNNNNNNNNNNNNNNNNNNNNNNNNNNNNNNNNNNNNNNNNNNNNNNNNNNNNNNNNNNNNNNNNNNNNNNNNNNNNNNNNNNNNNNNNNNNNNNNNNNNNNNNNNNNNNNNNNNNNNNNNNNNNNNNNNNNNNNNNNNNNNNNNNNNNNNNNNNNNNNNNNNNNNNNNNNNNNNNNNNNNNNNNNNNNNNNNNNNNNNNNNNNNNNNNNNNNNNNNNNNNNNNNNNNNNNNNNNNNNNNNNNNNNNNNNNNNNNNNNNNNNNNNNNNNNNNNNNNNNNNNNNNNNNNNNNNNNNNNNNNNNNNNNNNNNNNNNNNNNNNNNNNNNNNNNNNNNNNNNNNNNNNNNNNNNNNNNNNNNNNNNNNNNNNNNNNNNNNNNNNNNNNNNNNNNNNNNNNNNNNNNNNNNNNNNNNNNNNNNNNNNNNNNNNNNNNNNNNNNNNNNNNNNNNNNNNNNNNNNNNNNNNNNNNNNNNNNNNNNNNNNNNNNNNNNNNNNNNNNNNNNNNNNNNNNNNNNNNNNNNNNNNNNNNNNNNNNNNNNNNNNNNNNNNNNNNNNNNNNNNNNNNNNNNNNNNNNNNNNNNNNNNNNNNNNNNNNNNNNNNNNNNNNNNNNNNNNNNNNNNNNNNNNNNNNNNNNNNNNNNNNNNNNNNNNNNNNNNNNNNNNNNNNNNNNNNNNNNNNNNNNNNNNNNNNNNNNNNNNNNNNNNNNNNNNNNNNNNNNNNNNNNNNNNNNNNNNNNNNNNNNNNNNNNNNNNNNNNNNNNNNNNNNNNNNNNNNNNNNNNNNNNNNNNNNNNNNNNNNNNNNNNNNNNNNNNNNNNNNNNNNNNNNNNNNNNNNNNNNNNNNNNNNNNNNNNNNNNNNNNNNNNNNNNNNNNNNNNNNNNNNNNNNNNNNNNNNNNNNNNNNNNNNNNNNNNNNNNNNNNNNNNNNNNNNNNNNNNNNNNNNNNNNNNNNNNNNNNNNNNNNNNNNNNNNNNNNNNNNNNNNNNNNNNNNNNNNNNNNNNNNNNNNNNNNNNNNNNNNNNNNNNNNNNNNCGAACUUAAUCGAUACCGUGAUUAAACGGUAAUCGGACAUAUUUUUGCAUUUACAUAUCAAGCAUUAGUAGUUUAAAUUAAUUUAUAUCAAUUUAGUGACAAUAUAGUAAAUUCCUCGACUGUGUUAUUUGUCUAGGUGGUGAGACGUCCGGAAAAAGGCAAAGGAAUUACGCUUGAGGACUAUUAGUCCUAGUGCACCCGGAAUCUGGAUUUUCGACACUUGUGAGUGAAUUUGCAUUUCAAAAUUUAUUUGGGAAUUCUAAUCAAGUUGAAAUGAAAUGCAUGAAUGAUUAUAUCUAAUUCCCAUUUAAAAAUGAAUCUCGGGAACAAGCCUUUAGUGAAAAUAUUUCUGUGAUGUUAAAUAUGAUUGCGAUGCAUCUGUGUGUAUCUGUAUGAUGCCUACAUGUAUUAUUGAGAAAAUGUGUGAAAUUGAGUGUACCGAAUCUGUGUACCCUUGUAUUAUGCUGAUAUGCAUUAUUAAUAAAUUAUGGUGAAAUUGAUGCAACCGUGCAUGUGCGGAGUGGGAAGUGCAAUGCCAGUUGAAUGACAAAGGAUGUGAUAAUUACGACCGUGCAUGUGCGGAGUGGGAAGUGCAAUGCCAGUUGAAUGACAAAGGAUGUGCAAAAUGGGGACGGCGAUACGUAAUGUCCACAAUUUCCUAGAAAUUCAGAGGUGUGCAAAAUGGGAUGCUGAGUGACCCCUAUGCCUGAGUGAAUAAUGCACAUGCCGUACUGGUGUGUAAAGAGGGAUACUGAGUGAUACCCUUUACCGAGUACUCCGAUAGUUAUUUCUUUGUACCAUCAAGAAUAAUGAAGACUUGGCGGUGUAUAUAAUUGCUCAUAUCUUUGUGUAUAUAUGUGUGAUUGUGUGGUAUGUGAAACCCUUAUUAUGUGAUGAUUUGUAAAUAACCGUCAGUUUUACUACUUUGCUAGAAUGAUCGGUGUAAAUUCAAGGAUGUUUAAUCCUUGAAUGCGUAAUAAAUUUCUAGGUAAGGGAAAAAGGGUUUGGAAUAGUAGUUAGAUGAAACUGGCCUUAUUUUCAAUCAGUGCAUCAUGAUUGUCAAAUUUCCUAGUUGAGACUGCUUGUUCCCUUCUAAUAUUCACUCACUGAGUAUUGUACUCACGUUUUAUAAAAAUUCAUAUUUUCAGAUCAGGUGAUUGUUGGACCCUAGAUCGAGGAGUCCUCGUAGUGCAUCUCCUGGGUAUGUGUCUGGCAUUCGAUAGUAAUCUCUUUAAUUGUAAAUGUCUUCGCUGGAAGUCAUGGGUUCUUUUGUAUUGUGAAUACAAUCUAACAAUGUGAAUAUAUGUAUGCAAUGUAAAUUGCUAAAUACAUGACUGGUAUAGUGCAUAUAUGUUAUUAUCGAUAAUGCCAUUGUGUUUUGGCUAUGUUCACACCCAGGAAAAGGUGUGUGUGUAUGCAUGAUAUGAUAAAUUUGUUAAACAAAGGUAAAUGGGUAGGCUUGCUUGGGCUUAGUGAGCUAUGCUCGUUGAGCUCAUGAGUCGGUCAUGGCCUGGGAAAUUGGGUCGUGACAAUUUUGGUCAGUUUUCCUCAAAAAUUUCGAAACCAACUAAAAAUGUAGAAGGCGAGUACAAAACACAUAUUUCAUAAUAAAAAAUAAGUUUAUAUGUCUAAAACAUUAAUUUAAAGUAAAACUAUACCUAUUUGAAUAUAAUAAAAAUAUUUAAUAAAAUAUUCUAUUUUCUUAUAAAACAAUAUUUAUAGAGUUAUCGGUAAAUAAUUUUUGUGGCGUGAAAGCUAAAUAAAUUCGUACUUACUGUAAUACAGAUAACCAAAGCAUAAGAUUUAAUUUACAGUGACACAUGGGCCCACAAACGACCAAAGUAUCAAAAGCGGUAAACCUAUAGUUUUUUAAGGAUGCAAGUCCAAUGGUAACUCUUGAUGAAAUCAGCUAUUUACAGCCUAUUUUGAGCCUGAAAUGGAUGGAAAUGAGGCUGGUGAGAUUAUAUAAUCCCAGUGAGUAAACAAAUACUAUCUAAAAUAUCUAAAGCUGAGUAAAUGGAGACAAAUAAAAUAGUUUAACAUACUGUAAUUCAUCACCUUUUAGCUCAUUUCAACAAAAUAAAAUCAAUUCAUUUAAAUCGAGUAAUCCACAUGGCUUAUGAAUUUCUUAAAACUUUGGCUCGUGCCAAAAUCAUUCUCAUACUCAGUUAUCAGGGAUAACUUGGCCGAGGGCUAUCCCAACCGAGUUCGUCAAGGUUGUUAAAAAUUUAUGUGCGCAUAAAUCAUGUUUUUAUUUUGAAAACAUAGCCGUUCCUUGGCGUUGGUUGAGUUCACCCUCACGUGGUGGUUUAGCAUGAAGUAAACUCUAAAGUGUUAACCUUAGGAGUUAUCCAUCCGCGCCUCUCAUACUGAGGUAUGAAUAUAAUAGGGUUACCGUGCCCUUCUAAUAGGCUGGUCCACAGAACCCGUCCACUGCAACGACCAAUAUAUAACCCACCAAUUCAAUAAAAUUUGCAAUAGCAUGACAUGACAAUUAUUUUAUUUUACAGCCUCUCAAAGUAAAUCAACAGUUCAUACAUUUUCAGCACAUUUACCAAUUCAACCAUUCAUGCCAAUAUUAUCAUAAGCCAUUCAAUUCAAACCAUGAUUUAUAACACAACAAUUAGUCUCAAAUUACUCCAUUUUCAAAACCAUCUUUCAAUUUAAAAACAAUUUUAUAAAAUCUUUUCAUUUAAUCACAUUUUUGCUUAUAAAACAUAAAGAUUUACCAUUUAAACUCAUUUUCCAUAAAAUCACAAAAAUGAAUUAAAAUUCACUUCAGAUAAUCAAGAUGAUGAUAAGGUUACUCACUGUAUCAAGAGUUUGAAAUACUCCUAUUCUCAGUCCUCUGACACAAAGUCUUUACCCUUGUUAGAGGGCUCAUCACCUAUAUACAAUACACGACACACAAUUCAAUAUACUGUGUCAUACCAUUAUAAAUCUAUUUCAGGCUUUUUACUAAUGCAUGAAAUGGAAUGCAAAUCGUUCGGAUUAUCAUCUAAACACGGUGUUCUACACAAAUUUAAUUGUGUACCAAAAUAAAUCGGUAUUGGCCUAAUUCGAUCUGUCACCCGAUUAAUUGGCCAAUAUUUCCAAUUCAACUCUAAUUAAUUCCAUUUUUCUCCCAAUUCUUCAAAUCACCAAACACAAGUCAAAUAACAUAAAAUUUAGCAAAACUAUCCUCACAUUUCUUCUUGAGAAUUUCGGCCAUGGUGAGUGCAUCAACACUAUGAUUUUUCCUACUUGAUUUUCUCAUCAUAAUUCAUCAUUUCCUAACCAAUUCACUUGAAAUAAAAUCAAAUUCACCAUCAACACUCUACAAGGAAGAUUCGGCCAAUGAUGAAUUCAUGAGGAAUAUGUGAAUUUCAAGCUUAAUUCUUACACUUAACACCAUAAACAACUAAAAACAUCCAUAUAUCUUAAAAAUGUAUCUAAAUCAUCAUCAAAUUCUCUCUCCUAGGGUUUGAUCAGCAAGAUACCCAUCAUGAAAUCAUGUGAUUCAACCAUGGAAAAUAAGAAAAAAUGCUUAAGAAAGAAAGAUCUCAAGCUUAAUUAAAAAAUCUUACCUUUUUUUCACUUGUUUCUUGAAUUUUCACACCUUUCCCUUGAAUUUUUUCACCUAGGGUUCUUGUUCUUUCUUUUCUUCCUUUAUUCUUCUUUGGCCGGCCAUAUGAAUGAGAAAUGGGCUGAUUUUGUGCUAAUUUAUAUGAAAAAUAAUAAAGAAAUAAAAGCUUGGCACUUGUCACCUUAUCAUUGGUCGAUUUUUAAAUUCUUAACUAUUAAACUUUCUUUCUCUACCACAUAAAAUCCUUCAAUUAUCCAUGGUAAUAUUGGGUAAAAUCCAUGUGCUGGACAAGUGUUGGGUGUGUAAAAUUACAAUUUUUGCCCCUGGGGUGGCAAAAUGACUAUUUUACCCCUAUGCUCGAAAAAAUGUCGAAAUUAAAAUAUUUCACUUCCCAAACUCAAAUUAUGUUCUAAAUAGUCAAUCUUGAUCAAAAACUUCUUCCAACAUUCCAAUUUUAACCUCGGGUGGCAAAAUGACUAUUUUACCCCUAGAUCACAAAAAUUCCAAUUUGACUCCAAAUAGGUCCUCGAACUCUGAAUCACCAUUUUAAGUCAUUCUGGGAAUUUAAAAUUCUCAAUUUCAUCUUAAAUCUCUAUUUGAACUAGUUCAAGGCUUAAUUCAACUUAAUUAUACCAUUUGGUACAUUGUCGUCCUUUAACGAUUUUUUGGGGCUUUCCAAGUGUGCAAGUAUAUUGUCAAUCACAUGAAUGACAUGGCAAGUAUUUUAUAAGGUUGGGCUUGACAACACUACCCCCCUUAAAAUAAAAUUUUGACCUCAAAAUUUCAUGUACUGAACUCAGAGAAAAGAUGGUGGUAUUGUUUUCUCAUCUAAUGCUCGAUUUCUUAUGUCCUCCCCUUUAUAAGGAAUUUCGAUUUGUUCACCUCAUUUACCUCCAAUUCAACUCGAGUACUUCACUUAUGUCUAUUAUUAUCCUUUAAAAUCAGAUCAACAGUAACUUUCACAAUUAUGAUCUCUUAUAUCGAGACACCAAGCAUGCUUCUAUUACUAUCAUUAAAUUUGAACCAUAACUCCAUAUCAAUCAUACCAAUUUUGAUCGAAUUUUAUACUUAUUUAGGUAUACCAAUCACUAUCUUAUUACUUCAUUCCAUAUCAAAUUUCUCGACUUUCAUUCAUUCAUCCUAUCCUCAUACACUAUUGUGUAGUUUACGGCAUCAUUAACAUGCCAUACUCAUUUCUGUACAUAUCCUCCGCGUUAGGGAAGAUUAAUGGCUUCAAUUAUUUCCACAUACUUCAUGUUUACCUUGCAUUUAGGAAAUUUCAAUCUUCUUAAUCCUAUUAAUCCAUCUCAUAUGGCUUAAUCACACUAUAGAUUACAUUCUUUUAAUAAUUUCCCCAAAAUUCCUUAGGUCGUCAUAAAUCGACUUCUAAUAAGAUUCUUGAUCAUUACAUUAUCUAUACAACUCAUCAAAUAUAUUGAGUUCAAAUCUCGAACCACUAAAACCAUUCUUCAUUUUAGUUAGGUACAUCACUAACUCUACACAUACAUAUACACGCACAUUCAAAUGUCCAUAUUCCUCAUUAUGUAUACGGGUCUUUGUUUUCAAAUGCCUUCAGACUAAUUUCUUUUUGUUCAUUCCCAUCCAUAACCAAGAUUCAAUAAAAUAAUCUUUAUAAUUCAUACAAAUUCUCAUCAUGCCUGUGCAUAGUUCCACAUCAUUUACAUACUUAUACUCUCUUCCUAUCAUUUUCAAUUAUAUGCUUAAGUUUCCUUGUACUAUAUAUCAUUGCGUCACAAUGUCAUCUCCAUUGAAUUAUAAUCUAUUAUGCGUGCAUGCUUUAUAAUCCCAUUGAUGCCUCAAAGAUUUAUCUUAACAUGCUCAUUGCAUCUUAUGCAAUACCACAAUUCCUAAAAGUCAUCCUUUUUCCUCAAUUAUCUUUCAUGUCUCCUACAUAUAUUGUAUCCUUAUUGCAUUCCGAUAUUGAUUUGCCACUUAAAACUCAGACUCAUUUGAAUCAUGUAUACCUCAAGCAUUUUGAAUUCCAAUUUCCAUAAUAGAUUAGGAAAAUUUCAUUAUCUGACUUCAUUAUCAAGGUCAACUUCAAUCAUCGUUUGUUCCAUUCUUUCAUACGAAUAUAACAUCAUUCUUCCUUAACCAAUUUACAAAUUGUACUUGAAAUUACAAGACUUGAAACUAGAUUCUCCUCAAGUACUUUUCAAUAUUAAUACUAAUAUCACUAUCAGCUUAUAGCUUCCUUUUUAUAACCACAUAACUUAGUGCUUUCUUUCACGAGAUCCAUGGAAGAACUUCUCUUGAGUAUUUCCUUGGGAAUAUCUAUCUUAAACUUAUGUCUCACUGCAAGUGAUCACUUAACCCAAGGCUUAGCCAUUUGGCUCCUUAGCAAGUUUCAAAGUCACACAUCUUAUACUCAUCAUGUAUAACUUAUAAUUCUUUCUCAAAGGUGUUUAAACAUUCUUGAAACACUUAAUCAUUUAUUUGCUCUUUCAUACUCCAAGUAUAUCAUUUCCAUAAAGGCAUGCCCUUGCUCACCAAAAUAUUUACAUGCAUGCUUAACUAUUCAUGCUUCAACUUAUCUCCAAGGAUUUCUAACAUACCACGUGGUUUACUUAUGUUGUUACUAAUCCUUUCCUUUCAACAAAGUCAUGGCAAGAUUAGUAUAUUCUCAUAACAAUAUUCUAUAUAAACUCAUUUGCUAUAUCAUCCUUGAAAUCUUUAUUCACUUUUCAUCACUUGGUAUUGACAUCUUUUAUCAAUACCUCAUACAUUCUUCUAACUUUUCACUCGCUUUCUCUUUAGUCUUUAACAAGGCUUAAUCUCUUGUCUUCUUUAUUUCUUAAGAUUUGACUUCAGUCAACAUAUUAUUCAUUUUAACACUCCACACGUUAAUUUAUUUUUAUGUAGCCAUCUUAAAAACUCUCUAACUUUUCUUUCUCUUACAUGCCAAUAUCUAAGGCAAUAAAGAAACUUUGCAAUUUCACUUAUCAUCUUUAUCUUAAUACCUUCCCAAUGCACUUAAGACUCCAAACAACAAAGCUUAGCAUCAAAACCAAUGACCAUUCUUCAACUCAUGAGUUUCAUCUUCAUGCCACUCCCAACUUGCUCGUGCUUUCAAGCCAUAAAGGGUUCUCAACCAAUUACAUUUAUAAAGUGGAUAAUUCACUUAAUUAUUUCAUCUCGUCCUUGUAGUUAUAAGAUCAAGAUACCUCAAAUUUAGGAUGCAGAAGUUCCAUCCUAGAGCAUAUCCAAAAAUCAACAUAUUUCUAGUCCCACCUUAGGACAUCUUUCCCAUAUGGUGUAAUGAAUUCACAAUAUAUAUAUCAUCAUACACAUAAUUACUUAUUAUUUAUGGUAUCCCACUAUUUUCAUUAUCCAUUUCUGAUCAUCUUCCUUGUCUUAUAACUCUAAUAGUUUAUUAACUUCCAGUACAAAGACCACGAAAAUAGUUCAUCUUUCACUACACUUAUACUCACAAUCCUUAUUAAUAAAAAAUUUAUCUUUUUCAAGUUCCUUCAUUUAUCUUUAAUGGACCAUAUUAGUAUUAGAUUAUCUUCCUAUAAUGUUAUGGCAUCAUUUUAUACUUCCUCCACCCUCAAGCUUACAAUCCUUGACUUUAUCACAUUAAUCGCUCAAAAUGUCAUCUAGAGCCUCAUUGAUUUCUUCCAUAUCCUUUCCAUUUGUAACCACAGUUAAGAUUCCCAAUUUCAUAUCUCCAUGAUUAAUUGUUAGUCUUACCACACUGUCUCCCAAUAUCUUGUGCAAUUACAACACACUGAACUCGCUUAUUAUAACAUAGUCCCCUAGUUCAAUGUGUUUGCUCGGAAAUCAUCUUCUCUGAUACAAUUUGUCUCAUAAACCAGAAUUUUAUUUAUUUAGCUUUGCAUUCAGAAUCAUAUCAAAAAACUCACAUACAAUGAUAAGUAAUGAUUCCCAACAAACAUCAUCAAUUCAAAUGACCUUUUAUACCUCAUCAAAAUUUAGGGUUAUCACCCCAAAAGUUCAUCAUGUUAAUCGGUAUCCAUUUCUUAAUACUGCAAAAUAUAUUCAUUGUUAAUUAGGAUAAUUGCUUAAAUCAUUAAUGACUUUCCACAUCAGUCUUUAGUAAUUAUUUAAGAUGAUCAACCAUGCCACUAAGAUAAAUAUCUUUCCUUAAUAGUCAUAGUGCUAGUCCACCUCUGUCCUGUCAAAAGAUUCCCAUAUACCUCCAGUCACUUAAACAGCUACUUUAUAAUACAUUCUAGUCAUACACUUUAAAAGCCAAACUAUUAACUUCUUUGUACAGAUAACUAUUAUCUUCUUUACUCUACAUCUACCUAGAGUUAAAGUAGUACAAAAUCCUACGAAAAUAUUACAUGUCAUUAAGAUCAUCAUCUUAAUAUGAUCUUAUCGGAAGAUUCUACUCAAGUCCUUCUUAAGAUCCUCUUCUGGGUUCUCUUCCUCUUGAGAUUUUCUCCUUUGUUCCUCAAUCCAGGCUUGUUGUAUUCUCCUACAUUCCUCAACACUCACCGAUGUAGCAUUUCUUCCACAACCGGGAGGAAAAUGUCGUACAACGUUCACCUUCCUACGGGGAUUAUUUGCAAGCGUUACUUUCUCCUUAUUCUUUUGCUGUUGUUCCUUUACAUUCAUCCCACAGCUUAGAGGAUAGUGUCGAACAACUGACACGCCCUUCCUAGGACGAAUACCUUCCCUUGCAAUUGCCUUCCUCGCCUAUUCUCUAUGGUACUCUUCAGGUUGUUUCAAAAGGAAAUCUUUUACAGUUUUUGGAGUAUCGAAGCUGCUCUCACUUUCAAAGUUCUCACUGCUCUCGAAGCAUUCCUUAUUAUGAAACCAUUCUGGAUUACCUAGAUCAGAGCGCCAUUGGCUCCUAGUAGUGGAAUCUAAAGAUCCCUCACUAACACUAUGAAGGGUAUCGAGACUACCGUAUUUUCUAGACAUGGUGUGUGUGUCACCAGCGCACCUCAAAAUCUAUAUGCAAUCAAGCAGUAAUUUCUUAAUCAUUUACGCAUCACCAGAGCAGGUAGGUUUCUAUAUGUAGGUGCAUGCAUUCUAUUCAACCUAACCUGACUUAACUUAACUUAACUUGGGGCCACAUUGACACUGUAAAUUUUUAAAAUAGCUUUAAAACAACUUUAAAGCCAAAAGCUUUGAUCUUUAAAAUCAAAAGCUCUGAUACCAAUCGAAUUGUCACGACCCGGUACUCCCUCGAGCCCGUGAAAAUCGUCGCGACAUCCCGAAAGACAUUCAUUGCCCGGAAUGCCAACCGGAACCUCGCAAGGCUUCAAUAUAAGUUUUCGCACCUCCUCUGUGAGCAACAGUUGUUAAGUAUCAUGUUUUGAGAGAUUAUAAACUAUUUCCAAAUCAAAACAAUAGAAAAAUAAUUUUUUUCUCAAAGGGGCAUUUUGGUCAUUUUUCCUCAAAAAUUUCAACACCAACUAAAAAUGUAGUAGGCGAGUACAAAAAAUAUAUUUCAUAAUCAAAAAUAAGUUUAGAUGUCUAAAACAUUCAUUUAAAGUAAAAACUAUACCUAUUUGAAUAUAAUAAAAAUAUUCAAUAAAAUAUUCUAUUUUCUUAUAAAACAAUAUUUAUAGAGUUACCGGUAAACAAUAUAAUAGGGUUACCGUGCCCCUUUAAUAGGCUGGUCCACGAAACUCGUCCACUGUAGUGACCAAUAUAUAACCCACCAAUUCAAUAAAAUUUGCAAUAGCAUGACAUGGCAAUUAUUUUAUUUUACAGCCUAUCAAGGCAAAUCAACAGUUCAUACAUUUUCAGCACAUUUACCAAUUCAACCAUUCAUGCCAAUAUUACCAUAAGCCAUUCAAUUCAAACCAUGAUUUAUAACACAGCAAUUAGUCUCCAAUUACUCCAUUUUCAAAACCAUCUUUCAAUUUCAAAACAAUUUUAUAAAAUCAUUUCAUUUAAUCACAUUUUUGCUUAUAAAACAUAAAGAUUUACCGUUUAAACUCAUUUUCCAUAAAAUCACAAAAACAAAUUAAAAUUCACUUCAGAUAAUCAAGAUGAUGAUAAGGUUACUCACUGUAUCAGGAGUUUGAAAUACUCCUAUUCUCAGUCCUCUAACACAACGUCUUUACCCUUGUUAGAGGGCUCACCACCUAUAUACAAUACACGGCACACAAUUCAAUAUACUGUGUCAUACCAUUAUAAAUCUAUUUCAAGCUCUUCACUAAUGCUUGAAAUGGAAUGCAAAUCGUUCGGAUUAUCGUCUAAACACGGUGUUCUACACAAAUUCAAUUGUGUACCAAAAUAAAUCGAUAUUAGCCUAAUUCGAUCUAUCACCCGAUUAAUUGGCCAAUAUGUCCAAUUCAACUCCAAUUAAUUCCAUUUUUCUCCCAAUUCUUCAAAUCACCAAACACAAGUCAAAUAACAUAAAAUUUAGCAAAACUAUCCUCACAUUUUUUCUUGAGAAUUUCGGCCAUGGUUAGUGCAUCAACACUAUGAUUUUUCCUACUUGAUUUUCUUACCAUAAUUCAUCAUUUCCUAAUGAAUUCAUUUGAAAUAAAAUCAAAUUCACCAUCAACACUCUACAAGGAAGAUUCGGCCAAUGAUGAACUCAUGAGGAAUAUGUGAAUUUCAAGCUUAAUUCUUACACUUAACACCAUAAACAACUAAAAACAUCCAUAUAUCUUAAAAAUGUAUCUAAAUCAUCAUCAAAUUCUCUCUCCUAGGGUUUAAUCAGCAAGAUAACCAUCAUGAAAUCAUGUGAUUCAACCAUGGAAAAUAAGAAAAAAUGCUUAAGAAAGAAAGAUCUCAAGCUUAAUUGAAAAAUCUUACCUUUUUUUUUUCACUUGUUUCCUUAAAUUUUCACACUUUUCCCUUGAAUUUUUCCACCUAGGGUUCUUGUUCUUUCUUUUCUUCCUUUGUUCUUCUUUGGUCGGCCAUGUGAAUGAGAAAUGGGCUGAUUUUGUGCUAAUUUAUUAGGAAAAUAAUGAGGAAAUAAAAGCUUGACACUUGUCACCUUGUCAUUGGUCGAUUUUUAAAUUCUUAACUAUUAAGCUUUCUUUCUCCACCACAUAAAAUCCUUCAAUUAUCCAUGAUAAUAUUGGGUAAAAUCCAUGUGCUGGACAAGUGUUGGGUGUGUAAAAUUACAAUUUUUGCCCCUGGGGUGGCAAAAUGACUAUUUUACCCCUGUGCUUGGAAAAAUGUCGAAAUUAAAAUGUUUCACUUUCCAAACUCAAAUUAUGUUCUAAAUAGUCAAUCUUGAUCAAAAAAAUUCUUCCAACAUUCCAAUUUUAACCUCGGGUGGCAAAAUGACUAUUUUACCUCUGGAUCAUGAAAAUUUCAAUUUGACUCCAAAUCGGUCUUUAAACUCUGAAUCACCAUUUUAAGUCAUUCUGGAAAUUUAAAAUUCUCAAUUUCAUCUUAAAAUCUCUAUUUGGACUAGUUCGAGGCUUAAUUCAAUUUAAUUGUACCAUUUGGUAUUAUGUCGUCCUUUAAUGAUAUUUUGGGGCUUUUCAAGUGUGCAAGCAUAUUGUCAAUCACAUGAAUGACAUGGCAAGUAUUUUAUAAGGUCGGGCUUGACAGGCAAUGAACUCAACAUAUAAUUCUUAAGUUAAACUUAUAAUUAGAUAAAUUUAAACUACUUUAAAUUUAUCAUUAAUCAAGUUAAUUACCUAUAGUUCAUAGACCAAGAGUGGGAUCUAGCAAUCCAUCAUGGCCACCCAAAUGUUAGAAGAGUCAAGUAUGGUUUGACUCAAUUUUUCAAUAAUCAGCCUUUUAGUACAAUUCAUUCCCUCAUAAUAUAUCCCAGUGAUGAUAAGAGCAUGGUGUAGUGUCUACUCUUAUUAAUCUCCAUAUUCAUUCUUAAAGUUUGAUCAUCAGCUUUAUAAAGACUUAUGAAACUCCUUUCAUAAUCUUCAAGGUCUUCAAUAAGCUAAUAUAAACCAAGAACAGCUAGGAUAUGUCUUUUGCAUCACUUGGGGUGAUGAUUCCUAUCUUGACCACUUAUUUGCCUUCACAUGCUUCAUGCUACACCCAAAAGCAUCUUGUUUUGGCAUCCUUGGUUAGGCACCCAUAGGGAUGAAAGCAAAGCAUAGCACUCCACACAUAAGACAACAUGGUGUCUCAAGUUUAGGGAGUAUUUACACAACUAACACAUGAGAAGUAUUGCAUAGACACUUGAGUGAAAUACCAAAUGCACUUCUCAUGGCGGGUCAUGUUCAGUGAACUUGCUCUCCUAGGCAAGCACCUACAAUCUAGUUCCAAGUAUCUCUAUACUUCAACCUAUGAGAUCGAUUACUUACUUCUCAAGCAAGGAUGUCACGACCCAAAUUCCGAGCCAUGACCGGCGCAAGGAUCCAAUGGAUGUAAUCCACUAAACCCAAGCAAGCCUAUUAUUUUAUCUUACUCAUCAUUCCACCAAAUAUUGCUAAGUCACAAAUUAUAACUUUAAACCAAAAUAGUAAUAAACAUUGUCAACUCGUAUUGACAUUACUCAUUUAAAAUUUACAUACAAUGUUUACAACAUGUAUUCUAAUAAUUUAUAUCAAGUUUGUCUAUACAUCUCAAAAAGAAGACUCAAUUUCCAGCGGAGGGACUCGGAUGAAUAUACUGCUACUGAAUGCCAAGACACCUACCAAAAGAUGGACACAAAUCUACAAGGACACCCCGUCCUAGUUACCGGCUGCCUCGUGAUCUGAAAAAAUGAAUUUGAAAAUGGUGAGUAUAAACCCAGUGAGUGAACAAGGAAGGGAACAAGCAACCAUAAGGAAUCCUUAACGAAAUCAUGAUGCAUUCCUUUUCAAAACAAUGCAAUUUGUUUCUAUUCUUAUUAAAAACCCCUCAUCAAGCCCUUAAAUGAUUAAUCAUUUGAAAAUCAUGAACUCAUACAUAACGAAUCAUUUGAAGAAUGAAAGCUUCAAUAUUGAACAAGCAAGUCAAAUACGACAACGAAUCUUCGCUGCAGUGGAAACCCAUACUAAAUAACGAAUUUAGUUAUUAGUUGAACGAGGGUUUCUCAACUGGCCAAGGGUUUCUCACGAAACCUCCUCAUUUAAAACUUAACUCAUUUAAUCCUUAAUGUUGGAAGUCCAUGCUCCGAUAUGGUAGCAAAGAUGUGAAAGAUAGGGCAGUAAUUAGACAAGAUAGGAGACCAAAACAGAAAGUUUUUCGCUGCAGCAAGAUUGAAUCUCGCUGCAGCGAAAUUGCAACCCAGAAAACAGAACGUUUCUCGUUGCAGCGAGAAUGAAUUUCGCUGCAGCGAGAAGCUACAAUGUCAUUCUCACUGUAACGAAAAUGCAUCCUCGCUGCAGCGAGUUUUUGGCCAGCCUACCCUUUCAAAACCUGAGAGUUUCUCGCUGCAGCGAAAUACAGGGCACCAAAUGAAAAUUUCCCUUCUUUCAAAGGAGAAACCACCCUGCUGAAAUGUCCAAACCAACAUAAAACACAUAAUAAUUUCUCAUGGUUUUAACAUGUCAAGUUUCACAUACAUUACAACCAUAAUAACACACAUAUUUACAUAUGUAUAUAUGUAUACGUAUAUACCCAUCAUCAUCAUCACACCAUCCCAUCAUUAUCAUCACCAGCUCAUGCGCCCUCCCUACUCGCACAUGGCUAGGUCAUCACCGGGUUAUGCGCACUCCCUACUCGCAUAUAACCGGGUCAUCCUCAGCUUAUGCGCACUCUCUACUCGCACAUAGCCGAGUCAAUAUAAUUACACAACAUUAUAUUCAAGCAUAUAUGUAUAUCAACAUAAUGCAACCACAUAGAAAUCCAUAAUAUCACAUAUCAUAACAUAAACCAUUUCACAAGAGCUUGUUCCCAAGGCAUUCAUUUUUGGAGAAAAAUUGUAUCAAAUCAUUCAAACACUUUGUUCAAAAUAGUCAUUUUCCCAAAACAAUUUUGAUAGGCAGUCCACUCACCAAUUGAUUGUAGAGCCUUUAGAUGACUCCAAUUCCCCUAAUUGUCUAAAUGGGAUGAUGGGGCCUCCUUAGAACCUAGGAUCACAUUAGCAUAAGUAAUAGGUCAAUUUACACACUAUGAACCCUAAAAGCUAUCUCUUAGCUAGCUUUCAAUUACCACAAUUAAUGGCCAUCUAUGUUUAUUAUCUUAAUCACUAAAAGUAAUGAACAUACUCAACAAUAAAAUAGCUCAUAAAUUCCAAUUACUAGCCAUUUUCUACAAUUAAAAAUCGAGCUUAUUUCAUCACUUACCCUAGGGCUCUUUUAUAGUCAAAUUCUCUUCCAAUUGCUUUCAAAUCAAUGGAGUAAUUCUCUUUUUCUCUCUCUAGAAUGCCCAACUAGUGAGAGAAAGUAUGAAAACUAGAUUUUUCAAAGGUUUCAAAGUGAGAGGAUGAAAUAGCACAACGGUUUAUGGAAGGGUGCACCAAAAGCAUGAAAAGUGGAGCUAGAGAGAGAAAGUUAUGGAAGCUUGAAGAAACUCCCAUAGAGGAAUUGAAGAAACAUGAGAGAGGAGAAGGGAAGAAGAAGACCAGCUGCUAGAAAUUCUCUAGAAGCUACUGGAAAUUCAAGAUAUUUAUAGCCAAUCUUAUCCAUUCCCUUAAAAUUACGAAAAUGCCCCUCCACCAAUUAACUUAUUCUCCUCCAAUCUUUUAUGCAAUCUUUUUGCUCUUUUAACACUAGGACAAGAUCCAUAAUGGUCUAGACAUGUUUGGGUUCAUCAAAACUUAAAAUUUUAACUCGAGGUGAAAAAUGACCAUUUUGCCCUUGUUAUGAAAAUUGUUGUCAUUUCUAGUUUUCUUCAUGUUUUCAUCAGCACACAUCAUUUAUGCAGUCUUAUACCUAUUUAGACCUUAAAAUAUUAUAAAAAUUUCUUUUGGGAGCUUAUUAGAGAAAAUGAUGAAACUACCAUUGGCUCGUAUUAUUACAUCUAUGCUUAGUUACAAGCCUAUAAAGGUUGGGGUCUCACAAAGGAACAUAGAAUGUACCAAUCUUUAAGUAUCAUUGAUGUCCAAUCUCAAUGAUACAUUGACUAGGAACAUUUUGGGAUUAUGCUUUGAUGCAUACGGAUCUCAUAACUGCAACCUAUUAUAGUUCCCUUGCAAGGCAAAUUAAUCUCAUGGACUUCAUCCAAUUAGACUUAUAACUUUUUAUAAUUGAUGUCUUGUUGAUGAAAGAAAACCUUUAAUCAUUCAACAUGAAUGAUGUUGCUGCAUGAUUGGAAUCAAGCCUUAACCAAUCCCAAUUGGCUACAAGGCUCAUCCCAACAAGUUGCUUAAUGUACUUCGGGGAACAACCUUGUGUGGUACCAACUACAAUUUUAUCCAAGAGUUGGAAGAGGAUCAUAUCAGCUAUCCAGUUCAAAAGGAGGAUUAAAAAGGGAAAGCCCUCAUAUGUGGCCAUGCCUAUCUACAAAAACUAAAAUAGCACAAGUCCAAUACUCGAUGAAGUGAGGUUGGUUUUAGAAGAAUUUCAAGAUAUGAUACCAAAAUAGCUAUUUACGAUUCUACCACCUCGACGAGCUAUUGAUCAUGAGAUAGAAUUACUCCCGAGCAUCAAGUCACCAACAAAAGGGCCAUACAAGAUGGUUCCCCUAAAUCUAGUGAAGUUAAGGAAACAGUCAGACAAGUUGAUCUAAGUUGGAUUCAUCCGACCUUCAAAAGCAACUUUUGGGGCCCCAAUAUUUUUUCAAAAGAAAAAAGAUGGGAGUUUGUGGUUAUGUGUGGAUUAUCGGGCUUUGAACAAAGUUACAAUAAAGAAUAAAUAUCUAAUUCCCUUUAUAGUAGAUCUUUUUGACUAGUUGAGUCAUGCGAAGUACUUUUCUAAAUUAGAUUUGAGAUUUGGCUACCAACAAGUAAAAGUGGCCAAUGGAAAUGAACCGAAAACCACUUUCGUAACACAGAAUCGUGCGUUUGAAUUUCUUGUUAUGCCUUUUGGACUAACCAAUCAUCCUGGCACUUUUUGCACAUUAAUGGAUCAGGUUUUCCAUGAUUAUCUGGACUAGUUCGUGUUAAUAUACCUUGACGACAUUGUGGUGUAUAGUUCAACUUUCGACGAACAUCAAAAGCACUUGGGACAGGUUUUUCAAAGGUUACGAGACAAUCAGUUGUAUAUGAAAAGAGAGAAAUGCACAUUCGCACAAACCCAAAUUUAAUUCCUUUAUCAUGUAAUUGAGCAAGGCCGUAUACGAAUGGAUUUCCAGAAAGUGAAGGUAAUUAAAGAGUGUGCAACCCUAAGAAUACUACUAAACUUCGCUCAUUCUUACGGUUAGCCAACUAUUAUAGAAGAUUUAUAUAGGGGUAUUCAAAAAGAAUGGUGGAACUUACAUAACUGCUUAGAAAGGGACAAAAAUAAGAUUAGACACCUCAAUGCUAAGAAGCUUUUGAAUAUUUGAAGGAAGUGAUGAUGAUGGACUCUAUCUUGGCACUCUCAGAUAUUGAAAAGCCUUUCAAAGUAUAGAUAGAUGCAUCAGACUUUUCUCUUAGAGGGGUAUUAUUACAAGAAGGUCAUCUAGUCAUGUUUGAAAGUUGAAAGUUGAACUAAGCUGAAAAGAGAUACAUGACACAAGAAAAAGAGCUCUUAGCUAUAAUUCAUUUCUUACGGGGCAUGGCAACACUACUUACUAGGGUCCCAAUUUGUGGUUAACACAAACAAUAGUGCAAGUGGUCACUUUUUCACUCAGUCAAAACUCAUAGCUAAACAAGCGAGAUGGUAGGAGUUCUUAGCUGAGUUUGAUUUUCACUUCAAACACAAGUUCGGAAAGGCUAAUCAAGUGGCAGACACCCUUAGUAGAAAGAUUGAAUUCGUAACUCUUAAAGUGAUAGAUCCAACCACAGCCAACAGAAUAACUACAGAUAUCUGUAACCUUAUUAAAAAGAACUCGAAAAGAGAUCCCUUUGCCAUUGCCAUCAUGAAAUUAAUAGAGAGCGGGAAGUCUAAGUAUUUUUUUUUUGUGAAAAGUGGACUCCUACUAACAAAAGAGCCAUGAAUAUUUGUUUCGAGAGCUUGAAAGUUGAGACAAAAAUUGAUGCGGGAAUGUCAUGACGCUCUAUGGGCAAGACAUCUAGGUUGAUAACGCAUUAUGGCAUUACAAAAACAAGGUUACUAUUGGCCCCAUAUGCAGUAAGAUGUGAUGUAUUAUACCAAAACAUGCCUUAUUUGCCAACAUGACAAAGUAGAGAGACAAAAACCAACAAGAAUGCUUGAACCGCUACUAGUACUGAGCAAACCUUAGGAAAACAUUUCUUUUGACUUCAUAGUAGGGCUCCCUAAAAUGGGAUAUAUGACAACAAUUCUAGUGGUAGUAGAUCAUUUUUCAAAGUAUACUACAUUUAUCCUAGUACAAAAGUUUGGCUCUACAAAAGAAAUAGUUCGUAUGAUUUUCAAACAUGUGAAAAAAAUAUUAGGGCGUAUUUGAGAGCAUUAUCAGUGACAAAGAUCUAAGGUUUAUUGGUUUCUUUUGGAAAUAGCUUUUCAAGCUAUUAGAGUCAAAACUCAAGAUCUCCUCUCGUUAUCAUCCACAGACAAAUGGUCAAACAAAAUACUUCAAUGAACUACUAGAAGAAUAUUAGCGACACUUUGUACAGGUAAAUCAGAAGAAUUGACCUAAUCUACUAGAUGUGACUCAAUUAUGUUUCAAUUCACAAAAAAGUUCUAUCACAAACAAAACCAUUUUAGAAGUUGUCAUUAGGCAAUAACCUAGACUUCCCAACACCUCGAUGAACUCCUAUAGCAGGAAAAGCCCUAGAGUUUUUAACUUUUCUAAGAAGUGGAGGCAAAACACUAAGAUCACCCGAGCCUAUCUACAGAAAGCCUCGAGCAACUCAUAUUCUAAAGGAAAAACGAUAGAUGACUAGUGUGGAAGUAUGAAAGCCUUGUACAAUUUACAACUAUGGUGGGAAAACCUUUUUACAAGAUUGAACCACCUAAAUAGAUGAACGUGCAUUUGUGUUUCAUGUCAGCAACUUGAAGUCAUUCCAUGUAGAUGCAAGCAAGAGCCAAGCCACAAAAGCUACCAUCACCACUAAGUCACCAUCACAAAGUUGAGUAAAAGAGAUUCUUGCAGAGAGAACAACCAUAAUCAACUGACGGCUAACAUAGGAGUACUUGGUGAAAUAGGAAGAUCUAAAGAUAGAUGAAAUCACUUAAGAGAAGAAAACUGACCUCUACGCCUUCAAGUAGAAGAUUGAAAAGUUCCAAGUCAACCAGUUAACGAGGACAUCAACAGAUUGAGUGGGGAAGAUGUCAUGAGCCAACCUUGUAUAGGACUAUGACAAGGUAUAACUAUCUAGGAGACUAAGUCAUUUGUACCCUCAAGGGAGAUAUCCCCCUUUUAAACAUUGUAGUGGCACCUGAUGGCGCUUUUAGAAAUACUUGUUAAAUCUUUAGGGGAAGACCCUUUAGGGAAGGAAUGUCUCCAUCUCACGCCUUAUAAUAGUUCUUGGUGAUUUACUUGUAAAAUCUCAUAAACUCCUUAUAGGGGGUUAGUAGUCGACAGAUUGUUGAGUUACCUCACUGGUAAAGGUAUGUUCAUAGCGAACCAUCUAAGGUUGCCUUAUGGCCCAAUGAUGGACUGUCGUGGUCUCUUUGUACUUAUCUUGAUAUUAAUAAAACAUUUUCUUUUUGUGGCUCUAGAGGUUGCAUACAUGGCAUUCGUUAUGCCUUAUGAUUUCAAUAUUGUAUUUCUUUAAACUAAUUUGCGGCUAUUAUUGAUGUUUGCUCAAAUAUAAACAAGUUAUUGGCUAGCUUGUAUGGAAGCGUCCAUCUAAGCAUCGCAUGGCUUUUAGCAUAUUUAAACAAAGAUGCAUAGUUCGUGACAUCUAGCCAUGUCGACCAAUUCCUUCUUCAACUGAUUUUGAUAAUUAUAUUAAUGUUGACCAUAAUACCCCUAUUACUAAUUUUGAUACUAUUGAUUUUGAAGUUGAUUAUUUUAUCCUUAACACCAAUUCUAUUUUUCAUAUUGAUCCUAUACCCAUAAGACCACCAUCUAUUAGGCAAAGUAUCAGAUUUAGAAAACCUCCAAAAUACAUAAAAGCUUACCAACAUCAUUUACCUUUUUAUAAAUCUCAUACCAAUUCAGUCACUACUCACCCUAUUGUAAAUUACAUUUCUUCCAAAUAUCUUUCUUCUUCUCAUAAAGCUUUGACUACUUCCUUAUCCCUUAUUCUUGAACCCCAAUCAUAUCAUCAAGCUGUUAACUAUGCUCAAUGACAAGAUGCCAUGGAAACAAAAUUGAUUGCUUGGAAAGCUAAUGACACAUGGAUUGUGAUGCUUUGUCCUAAUGGUUGUCAUGUAAUAAGCUGUAAGUGAGUCUACAAAGUGGAGUUUCAAGCAAAAAUGGAAGUGUUGAAAGGUACAAAACAAGACUUGUUAUCGAAGGAUACAAUCAAAGGGAAAGUCUUGAUUACUAAGAGACUUUUAGCCAAGUUGCUAAGCAAACAACAAUAAGACUUUUCCUCACUUUAGUUGUUGUUCAUGGAUGGCAUUUGUCUCAAUUGGACAUCAACAAUGCUUUCUUACAUAGUGAUUUGAAUAAGGUUUUUCAUAUGGAGUUGCCUCACGGGUACACUAUCAAGGGGGAGUAUCCACUAAACUCUAGAUUAGUGUGCAAAUUUCACAAGUCACUACAUGGCCUUAAACAGGAAUCUAGGCAAUGGAACUCUAAGUUGACAUAGUGUUUACUUCAAUUUAGGUUCUGUUAGUCAAAAUCUAACUUUCUCUAUUCACUAAGAAAACUAAGGAAGGUGCUUUCAUUGCAUUAUUCAUUUAUGUAGAUAAUAUAGUCAUUGCCAAUUCUAUUGAUCAAAUAGUAGCCGAGGUGAAAAAACAUUUACACACGAGGUUCUAACUUAAAAAUCUAGGGGGUGAUGCGUUUAGCUAUGGACGACAUGCUUAAAAUAUGUAGUGGAAAAAAAUUAAAACUUUAGAACUAAACAACCAAAAUAUGCCUCAACUCAUGGAUCACCUAGGUGAUAUUUUACACAUAAAAGUAAAAUAUUAAUUAUUAUUCAGAAAGUUACCUUGCUACGUAAUUUUGUAAUUACAAUGGCACUUCCAUAAGCAAUACUGUAAACACCACAAGGAGCAAAAACCCUAACCAAUCAAGUACUUGGCCUCCAACGAUAGUACACACAAUUGCAUAUGAACUUUCAACAAAAGAGAGAGUUUUUAACUAUACUUUGUGCUAGCAAAGGGGACAAUAAUUGUCCUUUUCUUCUUUUUCUCAAGCUUAGUUGAACCUCUCUUGAAAAUUACUUCAUAAGCAAUUUUCACUUUCACACAAUGCAAGCGGCGGCAAAAAGAGAAAACGCUUUUUCUUUUUCUAACAAAAACUAGGUUUUCUUCAAUUGUGAAAAACUCUCAUAUGAAAAAUAGUUAAAAUGUAACUUAUAUAGUUAGGUUAAAAUAAUUUUAGUUUUGCAAUUAAGCUCUCAAUAUUAUAACACAUCAUAAUAUUGGGCCUAUUACUUAAUUAAACUCUUUUAAUUAAGUCGUUGGAAAUUAAAAUCAAAAUUAAUUUCCUUUACAUUUUCCAAUCAAGGCUUUAUAAUUUUAACUAUUUAUAAUUAUGCCUAAAACUUAAUUAAACUCAUUUAAUUAAGUUUAUAGAAGUUAAUUACCUAGCAUGUGAUUUAAGUCUAACUUAAAUCAUCACUCUCCCAAUUUAAUUCAAACUGAGCCAUUAUGUGUGACCCAUUAGGUUCCUAACAUGUUGGCAAUGGAAUUGAUUAAUGAUUUAAUUGAUCAAUAUAAAUUUCAAUCAAUUAAUUUAUAAUCAAUUCCAUAAACCAAGAUUGGCAUCUAGCAAUGCAUCAUGGCCACCCAAUUAUUAAGAGAGUCAAAGGGUUCUUUGACAAUCUUUUGGUGUAUAGUCCGUCAAUGUAAUUCAUUCUCUCGUCAUAUAUCCGAAAGAUGAUAAGAGCUUGAUACAAUGUCUACUCUUAUUGACCUCCAUAUUCGUUCCAUAGUUAUAACAUUAGCUUUAUAGAGACUUAUGAAACCUUUUCAUAAUAUCCAUGUCGCCUUGGCCAAGGACUUCAAUAAGUUAAUGUUAACCAAGAACUACUAGGAUAUGUCCUUUAAAACACUUGAGGUGAUGAUUCCUAUCUUAACCACUCAUUUGUCUUCACAUGCUUCAUACUAUACCCAAAAGCAUCAUGUUUUGGCAUCCGUGGUUAGGCACCCAUAAAGAUGAAAUUAAAGUAUAGCACUCCACAUAUAAGACAACCUGGUGUCGCAAGUCUAAGGAGCAUUUACAUGACUGACACAUGAGAAGUGUUGCAUGGACACUAGAGUGUAUUACCAAAUGCACUUCUCAUGGCGGGUCAUGUUAAAUGAACUUGCUCUCUUAGGCAAGCACCUAUAUUCUAGUUUCAAGUAUCUCUAUACUUCAAUCUAUGAGAUCAUUUGCUUACUUCCAAAGUAAGAAACAUAAAAUAUACCAGUCUCUAAGCAUCAUUGAUGUCUUAUUAAUCUCAUGAUACAUUAACCACGAAUAUUUUGAGAUUAUGCUUUGAUGCAUAAGGAUCUCAUAACUGCAACCCAUUACAAUUAUCUUGCAAGGCAUAUUAAUCUCAUAGACUUCAUCCAAUUAGACUUAUAACUCAUUAUAACUGAUGUCUUACUGAUGAAGGAAAACCUUUAAUCAUUUAACAUGAAUGAUAUUGUUGCAUGAUUGGAAUCAAACCUUAACCACUCCCAAUUGGUUGUAGGGCUCAUUCUAACAAGGGUACCUAAGUAUUUCUUAGGUUUGGAGAUUGCAAGGUGAAAGAAAGGUCUUUGCCAAAACAAAUACACUUUGGAUCUAUUGCAUGAAGAUGGUUUAUUGGGAUUUAAACUAGCUUUGACCCCCAUAGAUUACAAUAAUAAGCUUUCAAAGCUUACUAAUGAUGAGUAAUUGAUAAAGGUCAAUAAAUACCAACAAUUGAUUGAAAAAUUGCUUUAAUAUACUUCAACAGGCCUGAUAUAACAUAUACAGUACAAACCUUGUCAUAAUUCAUGGUUAAACUAGCCAAUUGUCAUUUUUAGGUGCUUAUAAAGUAUUAAGAUACACUACUAAAAAUAAUGUAUAUACUUCAGGGUAGCAUACGGACGAGGGAUUCAAUUUUCAACUAAGUUUUCUUUGAAAUGAGAGCUUAUGUUGAUAGUAUAAAGGUAGGCUACUGUGAUAUAAAGAGAUGAGUGAGAGGUUAUAUCGUGUUUCUUGGAGAUUUACUUAUGAACUGGAAGUCCAAGAAACAAAGUUUCGUUGCUAGAAGUUCAAAAGAAGUUGAGUAUAGGUUUAUAACUGCAGCUUGCUUGAGGUGAUGUGGUUGGUGUUCCUGCUUAAUGAUUUUGGUGUUCAUCAUUCAACAGCGGUUGAUCUCUGCUAUGACAACCAGUUAGCUUUGUAUAUAUGCAAGAAUCUAACUUUCUAUGAGAAGACAAAGCAUUUUGAGAUGGAGUGUCACUUCAUCGAAGAGAAUCAAUUCAAAGGGACAUCAUAACCCUUAGAUAAGUUUUUUUAUGUUAUGUUAUUUAAUUGGUAUUCCUUAAUAGUCCAAAUACAAACUUCUUACUACAACUGCAACACAUUAAAUUGUUCUUAUUUUUUUCAGAAAAUGUUAACAAGUGCUUACAUUACCUGACAGUUUCAUAUUCCUUUAUAAUUCAUAAUGUUUGAAAAAACAACCCACUAUAGUAUCCAUGCUUAAUCAUUUAUUAUGGCUUCUUAUACGCUAUAUAUAUUCGAAAUGCCUAUUUGAUUAUGUAGAAUGUUGCAAAAUUGUUUAAAUUAUUUGAACUUUUACACGAGAAAUCUAGUUAAUCAGUCUCAUUACUCUAGUAAUUCUAAUUCUUUUAGCUUUAGUUUUAUGUUUACAAGUUUUAAAUUGUUUAAGUUUUGCCUCACUAUAUAUCUUUUAUAUAAAUCAACCCAAUAAAACAAAAUGAAUUUAUUCAUUAGAAAGUUUAUACUUCAAAAAAUUAGAUAAUGACAAAUAAUUGGAGUCUUAUAGUGGUAAAGUUAGGCAAAAGAUAUGGAGUGAAUAAUUAUCAGUGGCUAAAUUUCACCUAUGAUCUUUAAUUUUUUUUUUAUUUUGGUAGUACUUUAAUCUCUAAUCUCUUAAUUACUUAAUAUACAUUUGGAUUUACAACUUUUUAAAAUAAUUCCAUUUUGGUAUUCUGUCGAAUUCUUCUUGUUCUACUCUUUUUAUAUUUUUUUAAUUCUAGAAUUUUGCUUUGAGAUCAUAGAGGCUAUUGUUUUUUCUUUUUCUUUAUCUAAAUUUUGGGAAAUGGGCUUUUAUCGAGAUUUGAUUAUGAUUUAUGGUUCAUUUUGAAGGUUGUCGAGACUAAUGAAAUUUAGUUGUAUGAAUAUUUAUCUUGAAGGAAAGAUGAAAGAUUUUUGUUCAUUUUUAUAAGAAUUUAUAUUUUGUAAAUUUUGAUGAUCUUGAUAAUUAAAAAUUUUCAGAUUUUUCAUAAUACUCGAAAAAUCAAAAAAUAUUUUUCUAUAAUAUUAUCUAAAUAAUAAAAAACUUAUUGUUAAACAAAUACUUUUCACAAAAAUUAUUAUUAUUAGAAAAUACAUUUUCACAAAACAAACAGAUCAUAAAUUAUUAUUGUGUAAUCUCAUGAAAACAUUUCUUCUUUUAAAUUAAAAAAAAAAAAAGAAAAGAGAAACCAGUAUAGACUUACCUAUUGUCGCAAGAUAAGCAAUAUCGACCCCUAUAUAAGAUAUCCAAGAUAUAUUUCAAUGUAAGGAAAGAGAAAAUUUAUUUUUUUAAUUGAGAAAAGGGAGAUACUGUUGGUAUAUGCCCCUGAGCGAAUUAGAAUGGUCAAGGAAUAUAUAUUGUCAUUUAAUGCACAUUUAAUCACAAAACUAUAUGUGAUAGAGGUUUUCCUUCAUGUUAGUGUAAUAAUAAGGAGUUAUUAAGUACUAAUUAGAUGAAACCCGUGAAACAUAAAGGCCUUGUAAGAGAAUUGUAAAGUUGUUACAAUUAUGAGAUCACUAUGCAUCAAAGCCAUGUUCCUAAAAUUGUUCUUGGUCAUUGUAUUGUCAAGAUAGGGCAUUGGCAAUGCUCAAAGACUGGUACAUGUUAAGCCUUUUUACUUGGGAAGUAAGCAAUCGAUCUCAUAGAUUAAAGUAUAUGGAACACUUAAGGAUAACAUGUGGGUGCUUGUUAAAAAACAAGUUCACUGAACAUGACCUACUAUGAGAACUCCAUUUGGUAUUUCACUCAAGUGUCUAUGGAAUAUGCUCUCGUGUGAUAGUCGUGCAAUUAGUCCUUGGACUUGAGACACUGGGUCAUCUUGUAUGGGGAAUGACAUACCUUGAUUUCACCUUUACAGGUUUGGAGGCUACCAGAUGAUUAAAUAAAGUGUUGUUGGGUGUGCCAUGAAGCAUGCGAAGGUGAAUGAGUGGUUAAGAGAGGAUUCAUCAACCCAAGUGAUAUGAAGGAAUGUAUCUCAAUUGUUCCCAAUUCUUGAUUAACUUAUAUAAAGUCUUUAGCCAAAGCAUAAUGAAUUUGAGGAAAGUUAGUUUCCUAAAUUCAUAAAGUUAGUCAUGAAUUAUUAAAGCUAAUAUGGAAUGUUAUAAGUAGACAUUGAGCCAUACUUUAUGACAUAUCUGGGAUAUUUGAUGAAAUGACCGUAUUGCACUGAAAGGCUAAUCACUGAAGGGCUUUGUCAAAUUCUUUAAUUAACUCUCUAACAUUUGGGUGGUCAUGAUGUAUUGGUAGAUGCCGCUCAUGAUCUGUAAAUAUAAAUCAAUUAUCAAAUUGAUAUUUGAUUAGGAUUUAUAUGUAUUGCCAACAUGUUAGAAGCCUCAUGGGUCACACACAUUAAGUGACAUGAUUGAGAUUAAAUAAGGAUAAUUAAUUAAAUUGGACUUAAUUAGAAUAGACCAAAUUAAAGUGGAAAAUUAAUUAAGUUCACAAGGACUUGAUUGAAUUAAAAUACAAUUGUUGUAUCUGGGGUUACAACUUAGUUUGGCUAUAUAAAUAUGUUAUGUUAGCCAACUAAAACUCUAAGCCUCCAGCCAUUUCUUAGCCGUUCCAUAAAAAUAAGAAAAGAAAAAAAAGUUUUUUUUUUGUCUGAUAAAAAUAAGGUUCGGUAAUAAUUUUUUUUCUUUUUGUUUUAAAAAUAAAACUUACUAGCACAAGUAAAAUCUGACCUUUGAGAAGGUCUUAUUUCAUCAUUGUGUGAAUUACUGUUAGAGGCCAAACACUUGGGUGGUUGAAGAUUUGACAAAUCCUAAAGGUGAAGAAGCAAAGAUUUUGGUUGUAGGAUUUUAAGCCAUCUUAUUCUCUUUUCCGAGUUUCUUGUUUCAUCACAAGCGUUUUUAUUUAAUUGGCUCUUGAUUACGAUAUCUAGAGCAAGAUAUGUAACUCUUAAACUUAUGAAUGUUUAUAAUUAAUAUCAAAAUUAUAUGAAAAACACAAACAUUGAUCUUAUAGGAUUCGACUGUUUCUCUGAUUAAAUACUAGUUUAUUAUUCGAUUGCGUUAUAUUUUAAAUUUCUUGACUAUUUUCAUAUUUGAGCAUCAGGUCGAAUCCCAGUAGUGGUAUCAGAGCCUUUGUUUGAUGUUUUCAUGUAAUAUGCAUGCUUGAUUCUUGGUGAUAAUCAACAAGAUUGAUUUGUGUGUUGAUUUGGUGUAUAUCAGUUUUGAAGGCUUUCUUUAAAAUCUAUUUUUCUGCUUUAAUUCAAAUCUGGACAGCAUGUAAUUAAUUCAUUAAAACAUGUUUUAAUAGGUUUAAAAUCAUGUUUAGUUGAAAAAUUAAUAAUUGGAUUAAAAGGCUUGCAAAGCUAAGUUAAAACCAAAUAGUUUUGAGGUGUUUUGGAGACUAAUGUGCCGAUUAUAUUUUACAAACAUUAGGUAAAUGUUAUGAGCAGUUUUUAAUUGUUAAAAUUAGUUUUAUCAAAUUAAAUUACUGCAUGUUUCGGCCAAACUUGAUUUAGUAUGAAAAAGGUUCAUAAAAAUUAUGUUUUUGAGUUCCAAAACAACAAAGAUUCAAUGCAGAAAAUUUUGGGCAGCUAUGAUCGGUGUUGGUGGCUUAAUUCUUCAUGAAUUUUGUGUUUAAUUGUUAAACACACUUGCUGGAAAUUUCCAGCAACUUUUUCAUGAGUUUAACUCAUGAUUUAUAGAGUUUUAAGAGCACUUAAAUGCCAUCUAUUUUAAUUUUGGGUGAUUCAUAAAAAAUAGGAAAUUGUUUCCUACUUUAAAAGAAAUUCCUAAAAUUAAGGAUAGAAUUUUAAUUUUGGGUGAUUCAUAAAGAAUGCGAAAUUGUUUCUAGUUUAAAAGAAAUUCUUAAAAUUAAGGAUAGUAUUUUUGUUGGUCCCAAUAAUAUGUGCUAGAGGGGGGUGAAUAGCACAAUUUUGCUUUCACUAAAGUUACCUCUUAAAUGGGGACAAAUGCAAGAUGAACAAUAAAUUUAAAGAUGAGUGGAAAACUAAAGCAGUGGAGACAAUACACAAAUAUUUAUAGUGGUUCGGUCCAAGACCUACAUCCACUACCUUGAUUGUUCAACUAAGGAUUUUCCAAACCAAAUCACUAAAAACAGUAGAAUUCACAAGCUUCCACCAAGCUUUUACAAUGGCUUUUCGCAAGCUCAGCCACAACCUUUAGCAAUGGUUUUUCAUGGGAUCAACCAAAACCCAAAGUGGUUUUUCAAAGGCUUAACCACAACCUACAACAAUGGUUUUUACCGAGAACUAAAACCCAACAACCAACUUUUCUAGGCUAAGUUGGAACCUUUACACUCAAUCAAGCAAUCCAAGCUUGAAUAAAUCCCUUAGAGUGACUCAUUCACUCUAAGUGUACAAAUAGAGAAGAAUAAAGAAGUACCUAUGAUCACUUACUUGAUCUAGAUGGUACAAGAUGAAGUGCUGAACUCUAUUACAAAGAUUGACGUUUAAGUGCAGUAAGGUGCAAGAGGAUUUUCUGGUUUUUCAACUUUAUAUCACUUGAAAGCCUUCAAUUCUCUCAAAAACUGAUUUCUAACCAUUGGAAGACCCUUUUAUACUUGGAGAAACAACUCUGAUGGUAAUUUGACAGUUUAUGGUCAUUGGAAACAGUUGAGGAUAAGUUCUAGUCAUUAAUUUGUCUUGUAGUGCUCUGGUUCAAAUUGCAAACAGAGAGCUCUUAGUUGACUAACUUGGUCGACUAAGUUGGUUCUAUUUCAUGUUGCAGAUUCUGGCAGAGCGUAGUUAGUCGACUGACUUGAUCCACUAAGUUGGUUCUGUUUCUCAAACUCUUCAGCUUGCCAUUUCUCCAAUUUGAAUUUUAGCCAACCAAUACUCUUCAUUAUCCAACUAAGGACCUUCUUUUUUGUUAAUCAAUCGUUUUUCUUCAUUCAUAUGAUCUUUGGUAUACACUUUUGAAGGAUUGAUUUAUUAUUUACAUACAAUUUUUGUCCUACACACUUAAACAGUAUAGUUAGACACCAAUGAAUGGGAAUAUUUUGCUAUCAUAAAAAACAUAUAGAGUCAACAUUCUCUAUCUCUUAUUUUUGAUGAUGACAAAACAUUUCAAGAUUAAGAAUGCAAUGUUUAUGUUUAAUAUGAAUGCUUCAAAUCUUUACGCAUAAUGAGUUUCUCCCCCUUAGUUAAUGCAUCUAGUUUUCUUUAAAGAUUUUCAAUAAAAUUUUUAUAAUAUCUAUAAUAGCUAAACAAGAUAACAAUAUCCACAGUAGAAAGCAACUAGCACAUAAUAUUCGACAAAACCAUAACUAAGCAUCACACACAUAAAUUAAACAUGAAAACCUAUCACACUCAAUUUAACUUAGUUUUCCUUUUCUUUCUUUUUGUCAUUAAACAAGAUAUUCAAAACUCCCCCUUAAUGAGUGCAUCAAGAUUUUCUCUUAAUCUUUAAAUCAAACUUUAAUGAAUGAGAAUCAUAAGCACUCAUACACCUAAGUCAUACAAGCUUAUAGAUAUAGUUCAAUAACUUCAAGAGUCAAGCUUGUGCCUAUGUAAGAACAAAUGUAUGAGAGUUAAAUCAUUUCAAGAAAUCGUCAAGGAUUAGUCAAAUAUUGUUCAAGCAAAUAUGAUCAUUUUGUCAUAAUCAAAACUAUAAUAAUUUUAAAGCUAACAAUCUCCCUCUUUUUGAUAUGACAAAACUAUGAGCAUAAUUUGCAUUUGAAAUGAUGUUAAAAUCUCCCCCUCAACAUAUGCAUAAAAUUAAAUUUGCUCAUAAACCUUCUCCCCCUUUUUGUUAUAUCAAAAAGGUUAAGAAGAGUGAGCACUAAACAUUUAAGCUCAAGAAAUAAUGGUUAGCAAAAUCCAUCAAGAAUAUAAGCAUUAAGACCAUGGAUAUGUAACCAUAAAGUUACCAAGUCAUCAUAUAUAUGCACUUUACCACAUGAAUAUAUACUAUAAGAAAAAUGUGUGCAUAACAAUUAUGAAGUCUAACAAAGAUGGUGAUAAAGAUGUUCAAUAAGCACAUAACCCAUGUUUGAACUCCAAUACCAAGUGUUAAAACUCAAUAUACCAAUUGAUAGAUAUAAGUAAAAUCUCCCCCUUUGUAAAAACACAAUAUCAAUUAUGAGAGAUGGAAUCAUUUUAAAGCUCAUUAUAUCAAUUGGUAAAGUACUAGUAAAGACUUCCCUUAUCAUUAAACAUUCUAAGCAUAUCAACUUCAAGGCUCAAAAUAUUUAAGAAAGAUAUGAUUAAAUUUAAAGCUCAAGAGAGAAGAGACAAUUAUAAAGCUUGAUACAAAUUUUAAAGCUACACAAUUAUUGAGAAAACUUAAGGCUUGAUACCAAUUAUGCAUUUGAACAUUCAAGUUUCAGUGAGAGGCGAUAUAAGGCACAAUAUCUAUUUUGGUGUUUAGAAAGAUGUUACCGGUAGCGUAGAACACCAAAUGUUGAAUUCUCACCAAACCUUGUUGUUGAAGAUCUUAAUUCGUUAUGAUAUCAAUGACAAUGAUUGACUCUCCCUUAAGAAAUCAUAAGCUCAACACAAUUUGUUAGAGAUCCUUAAUAGAUUAAAUAUUAGGAAAGAAAUCAUGAGCCUAGAGUAAAUGAGCAUUCAAAUGGUUAUUUAAUUUAUUUCCCUAAUACUCAAGUAUUCAUGGAACUAAAAGAGUAUGAGCAUUUGAAAAGAUGUUCAACAUAUGCAUCAAUACUCAUAUUUCAAGAAGUAUUUGCAAAGUAGUUCCUAGGCAUGUCUAAGUUAUCAUUAGUCUUCAAGCAUUAUUCUCAAUUAUCAUCAAGUAUUAUCGAUCAUCAUCAAGCAUUUUUAGCAAGUAUUCUUCCAAAUUAAUUUCAAGCGGUCAUUCAUCCAAGUCAUUUUGAAGCAAGCAUUGCAAGAUGUAUUCUCCAAAUUAUAUAUGAAAUUGUAAAUUCAAGGAGAACUUUCACAAAAGGCAUAUCAUUAUUAAUGAAGCAUGACUAAAGCAUUUUGCAUUUAUUGCAAUCAUGUAUGAAAGUUAUGAUCAAAUAAGCACAAACAUGAUUACAAGAAACAACAUGGCUAUCUUCUUUAAUCAUGAUUCCAAUUUUGUUCAUCAAAAUGCAAGCAUGGGUUCAAUAUAGACAUAUACCCAUUGAAAAGAUAUGCAACCAUUGAAGUUCAGGGUACAUGCAAUUUCUCAAUAAUUCAUGAUUCAUGAGUGAUAUCAAUUGCUAUAGGAUAUUGAAAGCAAAGCACUCAAUUCAUGAAUAUAUUCAAAGUGAACAUUCAAUAAUCAAUGAAUACCAAUUAUCAAGAUUCAAGAAAGAGAUAUUUAAUCAAAGCACAUUAGGCAUUUAUUGCUAACUAAAGCUAUAGCCCAUAUUUUAUUUGACAUGUCAAGUUGUUUAUGGUGACCUAUAAGCCAAAGUUGGAUGCACACUAUCAAACCCUGUUCUAUAAAAUAAUUACGACAUCAUUUACAUGCUCAAUAGAAUGUUUGCAUGUUUAGGAAGUUCGAGGAAUCGUUAAAAGACAAUAUUGCCCCUAAUGGUACCAUUAAGUCGAUUAAGUUUCGAACUAGUUCAAAUAGGAAUUUUGAGGAGAAAUUAAGAGUUUCAUAGUUCAGGGAUGACUCAAAAUGGUAAUUUGGAGUUCGAGGAUCAAUUUGGAGUCAAACUGAAAUUUUCAUUAUCUAGGGGCAAAAUGGUCAUUUGCCACUUAAGGACAAAAUGGAAAUUUUGAGAAAAGAGUUUUUUGGCGCCAUUUAACUUAUUGGAGUAUGAUUUAAGUAUUGGAGUAUAAUUUGAGAGUUUGGCAGUGAAAAAGUUUAAUUCUGAUGAUUUCUGGAGUGCAAGGGUAAAAUUAUAAUUUUUCCAUCCACGGACAAAAUUUGAGAUUUUGAGAGAAUUUAGAUCAAAUUUUACAAAUUGGAGAAUGGUAUGAGUAUAAGGGAUGAAAAAUAUGUCUAUGGGCAAUUUUUCAGUUUUUGGGGUAAAAAUGUAAUUUUGACUUUUACGGGGNNNNNNNNNNNNNNNNNNNNNNNNNNNNNNNNNNNNNNNNNNNNNNNNNNNNNNNNNNNNNNNNNNNNNNNNNNNNNNNNNNNNNNNNNNNNNNNNNNNNNNNNNNNNNNNNNNNNNNNNNNNNNNNNNNNNNNNNNNNNNNNNNNNNNNNNNNNNNNNNNNNNNNNNNNNNNNNNNNNNNNNNNNNNNNNNNNNNNNNNNNNNNNNNNNNNNNNNNNNNNNNNNNNNNNNNNNNNNNNNNNNNNNNNNNNNNNNNNNNNNNNNNNNNNNNNNNNNNNNNNNNNNNNNNNNNNNNNNNNNNNNNNNNNNNNNNNNNNNNNNNNNNNNNNNNNNNNNNNNNNNNNNNNNNNNNNNNNNNNNNNNNNNNNNNNNNNNNNNNNNNNNNNNNNNNNNNNNNNNNNNNNNNNNNNNNNNNNNNNNNNNNNNNNNNNNNNNNNNNNNNNNNNNNNNNNNNNNNNNNNNNNNNNNNNNNNNNNNNNNNNNNNNNNNNNNNNNNNNNNNNNNNNNNNNNNNNNNNNNNNNNNNNNNNNNNNNNNNNNNNNNNNNNNNNNNNNNNNNNNNNNNNNNNNNNNNNNNNNNNNNNNNNNNNNNNNNNNNNNNNNNNNNNNNNNNNNNNNNNNNNNNNNNNNNNNNNNNNNNNNNNNNNNNNNNNNNNNNNNNNNNNNNNNNNNNNNNNNNNNNNNNNNNNNNNNNNNNNNNNNNNNNNNNNNNNNNNNNNNNNNNNNNNNNNNNNNNNNNNNNNNNNNNNNNNNNNNNNNNNNNNNNNNNNNNNNNNNNNNNNNNNNNNNNNNNNNNNNNNNNNNNNNNNNNNNNNNNNNNNNNNNNNNNNNNNNNNNNNNNNNNNNNNNNNNNNNNNNNNNNNNNNNNNNNNNNNNNNNNNNNNNNNNNNNNNNNNNNNNNNNNNNNNNNNNNNNNNNNNNNNNNNNNNNNNNNNNNNNNNNNNNNNNNNNNNNNNNNNNNNNNNNNNNNNNNNNNNNNNNNNNNNNNNNNNNNNNNNNNNNNNNNNNNNNNNNNNNNNNNNNNNNNNNNNNNNNNNNNNNNNNNNNNNNNNNNNNNNNNNNNNNNNNNNNNNNNNNNNNNNNNNNNNNNNNNNNNNNNNNNNNNNNNNNNNNNNNNNNNNNNNNNNNNNNNNNNNNNNNNNNNNNNNNNNNNNNNNNNNNNNNNNNNNNNNNNNNNNNNNNNNNNNNNNNNNNNNNNNNNNNNNNNNNNNNNNNNNNNNNNNNNNNNNNNNNNNNNNNNNNNNNNNNNNNNNNNNNNNNNNNNNNNNNNNNNNNNNNNNNNNNNNNNNNNNNNNNNNNNNNNNNNNNNNNNNNNNNNNNNNNNNNNNNNNNNNNNNNNNNNNNNNNNNNNNNNNNNNNNNNNNNNNNNNNNNNNNNNNNNNNNNNNNNNNNNNNNNNNNNNNNNNNNNNNNNNNNNNNNNNNNNNNNNNNNNNNNNNNNNNNNNNNNNNNNNNNNNNNNNNNNNNNNNNNNNNNNNNNNNNNNNNNNNNNNNNNNNNNNNNNNNNNNNNNNNNNNNNNNNNNNNNNNNNNNNNNNNNNNNNNNNNNNNNNNNNNNNNNNNNNNNNNNNNNNNNNNNNNNNNNNNNNNNNNNNNNNNNNNNNNNNNNNNNNNNNNNNNNNNNNNNNNNNNNNNNNNNNNNNNNNNNNNNNNNNNNNNNNNNNNNNNNNNNNNNNNNNNNNNNNNNNNNNNNNNNNNNNNNNNNNNNNNNNNNNNNNNNNNNNNNNNNNNNNNNNNNNNNNNNNNNNNNNNNNNNNNNNNNNNNNNNNNNNNNNNNNNNNNNNNNNNNNNNNNNNNNNNNNNNNNNNNNNNNNNNNNNNNNNNNNNNNNNNNNNNNNNNNNNNNNNNNNNNNNNNNNNNNNNNNNNNNNNNNNNNNNNNNNNNNNNNNNNNNNNNNNNNNNNNNNNNNNNNNNNNNNNNNNNNNNNNNNNNNNNNNNNNNNNNNNNNNNNNNNNNNNNNNNNNNNNNNNNNNNNNNNNNNNNNNNNNNNNNNNNNNNNNNNNNNNNNNNNNNNNNNNNNNNNNNNNNNNNNNNNNNNNNNNNNNNNNNNNNNNNNNNNNNNNNNNNNNNNNNNNNNNNNNNNNNNNNNNNNNNNNNNNNNNNNNNNNNNNNNNNNNNNNNNNNNNNNNNNNNNNNNNNNNNNNNNNNNNNNNNNNNNNNNNNNNNNNNNNNNNNNNNNNNNNNNNNNNNNNNNNNNNNNNNNNNNNNNNNNNNNNNNNNNNNNNNNNNNNNNNNNNNNNNNNNNNNNNNNNNNNNNNNNNNNNNNNNNNNNNNNNNNNNNNNNNNNNNNNNNNNNNNNNNNNNNNNNNNNNNNNNNNNNNNNNNNNNNNNNNNNNNNNNNNNNNNNNNNNNNNNNNNNNNNNNNNNNNNNNNNNNNNNNNNNNNNNNNNNNNNNNNNNNNNNNNNNNNNNNNNNNNNNNNNNNNNNNNNNNNNNNNNNNNNNNNNNNNNNNNNNNNNNNNNNNNNNNNNNNNNNNNNNNNNNNNNNNNNNNNNNNNNNNNNNNNNNNNNNNNNNNNNNNNNNNNNNNNNNNNNNNNNNNNNNNNNNNNNNNNNNNNNNNNNNNNNNNNNNNNNNNNNNNNNNNNNNNNNNNNNNNNNNNNNNNNNNNNNNNNNNNNNNNNNNNNNNNNNNNNNNNNNNNNNNNNNNNNNNNNNNNNNNNNNNNNNNNNNNNNNNNNNNNNNNNNNNNNNNNNNNNNNNNNNNNNNNNNNNNNNNNNNNNNNNNNNNNNNNNNNNNNNNNNNNNNNNNNNNNNNNNNNNNNNNNNNNNNNNNNNNNNNNNNNNNNNNNNNNNNNNNNNNNNNNNNNNNNNNNNNNNNNNNNNNNNNNNNNNNNNNNNNNNNNNNNNNNNNNNNNNNNNNNNNNNNNNNNNNNNNNNNNNNNNNNNNNNNNNNNNNNNNNNNNNNNNNNNNNNNNNNNNNNNNNNNNNNNNNNNNNNNNNNNNNNNNNNNNNNNNNNNNNNNNNNNNNNNNNNNNNNNNNNNNNNNNNNNNNNNNNNNNNNNNNNNNNNNNNNNNNNNNNNNNNNNNNNNNNNNNNNNNNNNNNNNNNNNNNNNNNNNNNNNNNNNNNNNNNNNNNNNNNNNNNNNNNNNNNNNNNNNNNNNNNNNNNNNNNNNNNNNNNNNNNNNNNNNNNNNNNNNNNNNNNNNNNNNNNNNNNNNNNNNNNNNNNNNNNNNNNNNNNNNNNNNNNNNNNNNNNNNNNNNNNNNNNNNNNNNNNNNNNNNNNNNNNNNNNNNNNNNNNNNNNNNNNNNNNNNNNNNNNNNNNNNNNNNNNNNNNNNNNNNNNNNNNNNNNNNNNNNNNNNNNNNNNNNNNNNNNNNNNNNNNNNNNNNNNNNNNNNNNNNNNNNNNNNNNNNNNNNNNNNNNNNNNNNNNNNNNNNNNNNNNNNNNNNNNNNNNNNNNNNNNNNNNNNNNNNNNNNNNNNNNNNNNNNNNNNNNNNNNNNNNNNNNNNNNNNNNNNNNNNNNNNNNNNNNNNNNNNNNNNNNNNNNNNNNNNNNNNNNNNNNNNNNNNNNNNNNNNNNNNNNNNNNNNNNNNNNNNNNNNNNNNNNNNNNNNNNNNNNNNNNNNNNNNNNNNNNNNNNNNNNNNNNNNNNNNNNNNNNNNNNNNNNNNNNNNNNNNNNNNNNNNNNNNNNNNNNNNNNNNNNNNNNNNNNNNNNNNNNNNNNNNNNNNNNNNNNNNNNNNNNNNNNNNNNNNNNNNNNNNNNNNNNNNNNNNNNNNNNNNNNNNNNNNNNNNNNNNNNNNNNNNNNNNNNNNNNNNNNNNNNNNNNNNNNNNNNNNNNNNNNNNNNNNNNNNNNNNNNNNNNNNNNNNNNNNNNNNNNNNNNNNNNNNNNNNNNNNNNNNNNNNNNNNNNNNNNNNNNNNNNNNNNNNNNNNNNNNNNNNNNNNNNNNNNNNNNNNNNNNNNNNNNNNNNNNNNNNNNNNNNNNNNNNNNNNNNNNNNNNNNNNNNNNNNNNNNNNNNNNNNNNNNNNNNNNNNNNNNNNNNNNNNNNNNNNNNNNNNNNNNNNNNNNNNNNNNNNNNNNNNNNNNNNNNNNNNNNNNNNNNNNNNNNNNNNNNNNNNNNNNNNNNNNNNNNNNNNNNNNNNNNNNNNNNNNNNNNNNNNNNNNNNNNNNNNNNNNNNNNNNNNNNNNNNNNNNNNNNNNNNNNNNNNNNNNNNNNNNNNNNNNNNNNNNNNNNNNNNNNNNNNNNNNNNNNNNNNNNNNNNNNNNNNNNNNNNNNNNNNNNNNNNNNNNNNNNNNNNNNNNNNNNNNNNNNNNNNNNNNNNNNNNNNNNNNNNNNNNNNNNNNNNNNNNNNNNNNNNNNNNNNNNNNNNNNNNNNNNNNNNNNNNNNNNNNNNNNNNNNNNNNNNNNNNNNNNNNNNNNNNNNNNNNNNNNNNNNNNNNNNNNNNNNNNNNNNNNNNNNNNNNNNNNNNNNNNNNNNNNNNNNNNNNNNNNNNNNNNNNNNNNNNNNNNNNNNNNNNNNNNNNNNNNNNNNNNNNNNNNNNNNNNNNNNNNNNNNNNNNNNNNNNNNNNNNNNNNNNNNNNNNNNNNNNNNNNNNNNNNNNNNNNNNNNNNNNNNNNNNNNNNNNNNNNNNNNNNNNNNNNNNNNNNNNNNNNNNNNNNNNNNNNNNNNNNNNNNNNNNNNNNNNNNNNNNNNNNNNNNNNNNNNNNNNNNNNNNNNNNNNNNNNNNNNNNNNNNNNNNNNNNNNNNNNNNNNNNNNNNNNNNNNNNNNNNNNNNNNNNNNNNNNNNNNNNNNNNNNNNNNNNNNNNNNNNNNNNNNNNNNNNNNNNNNNNNNNNNNNNNNNNNNNNNNNNNNNNNNNNNNNNNNNNNNNNNNNNNNNNNNNNNNNNNNNNNNNNNNNNNNNNNNNNNNNNNNNNNNNNNNNNNNNNNNNNNNNNNNNNNNNNNNNNNNNNNNNNNNNNNNNNNNNNNNNNNNNNNNNNNNNNNNNNNNNNNNNNNNNNNNNNNNNNNNNNNNNNNNNNNNNNNNNNNNNNNNNNNNNNNNNNNNNNNNNNNNNNNNNNNNNNNNNNNNNNNNNNNNNNNNNNNNNNNNNNNNNNNNNNNNNNNNNNNNNNNNNNNNNNNNNNNNNNNNNNNNNNNNNNNNNNNNNNNNNNNNNNNNNNNNNNNNNNNNNNNNNNNNNNNNNNNNNNNNNNNNNNNNNNNNNNNNNNNNNNNNNNNNNNNNNNNNNNNNNNNNNNNNNNNNNNNNNNNNNNNNNNNNNNNNNNNNNNNNNNNNNNNNNNNNNNNNNNNNNNNNNNNNNNNNNNNNNNNNNNNNNNNNNNNNNNNNNNNNNNNNNNNNNNNNNNNNNNNNNNNNNNNNNNNNNNNNNNNNNNNNNNNNNNNNNNNNNNNNNNNNNNNNNNNNNNNNNNNNNNNNNNNNNNNNNNNNNNNNNNNNNNNNNNNNNNNNNNNNNNNNNNNNNNNNNNNNNNNNNNNNNNNNNNNNNNNNNNNNNNNNNNNNNNNNNNNNNNNNNNNNNNNNNNNNNNNNNNNNNNNNNNNNNNNNNNNNNNNNNNNNNNNNNNNNNNNNNNNNNNNNNNNNNNNNNNNNNNNNNNNNNNNNNNNNNNNNNNNNNNNNNNNNNNNNNNNNNNNNNNNNNNNNNNNNNNNNNNNNNNNNNNNNNNNNNNNNNNNNNNNNNNNNNNNNNNNNNNNNNNNNNNNNNNNNNNNNNNNNNNNNNNNNNNNNNNNNNNNNNNNNNNNNNNNNNNNNNNNNNNNNNNNNNNNNNNNNNNNNNNNNNNNNNNNNNNNNNNNNNNNNNNNNNNNNNNNNNNNNNNNNNNNNNNNNNNNNNNNNNNNNNNNNNNNNNNNNNNNCAUGCAAAAUUAGAAAGUGGGUAUGGACACCCAUGCUGGCCAAACCUCCAUGGAUGAGUUUUGAACUUGAGUUUUGGUUGAUUUUAAUUGAAUUAAGUGAUUUUAGUUAGGUUAUAUUGAAAUAUAGCAAAAAUAAGCUAGAGAAAUAAUUUUCUCCCAUUCAAACCCAUUAUGCUGAAUUUUCUAGGGGAAUAUUGGCUGCUGAUAUUGAUGUUUAUUUGAAGAAUUAUGAUGAAUAAUGAUGAAUUAUGAGCCUAAAAAAAAAUAGGAAUUUUUGGAGCAAAAAUACGAAUUUUUACCCACUAGGGGUAUUUUCGUAAUUUGUUAUCGGGACGUCGCGACGGUUGUCACGGGCCCGAUGGGAGUUUCAGGUCGUGACACACACAAAAUCGUUAGAUCAUGUAAACGUUAAGGCUCAAUGAAGACAUAGUUAACAUUUAAAUGCAUAUUCAAAGUAAAUUUCAACUAUGUCAACUCACAAUAUAUGCCAGAUCAAACUUAACAAUUAAAUUUAUAUUCAAAUGCAUAGCUCAAGUCAAGUUUUAGAUUUCAAACCUUAAGGUCAAGCAUAAAGAAAAAUCAUAUAAGCAUGUGUCUUGACCAAUAUAGUAGAUGAACCAAGAAUAUUUCAUUAAGUUUGAUGAGUUCGUCUUAAUCAAGUUUGUAUGCAUAAUCAAGAAAUCAAUUUUGAAACAAUCAUUUAAGCACAAACGUAAAAUAUAUUUGAAGAAUUGUUCCUAGAUUAGCAUUUGAACAUUUCAAUUUUCAUGAGAAGAUUUUUUCUAUAUAAGCACAUGAAAAUCCAAUCGAAUUAGCAAAUUCAAUCAUUGAUGAACAAUUUCUCAUAUUUCUAUUUUGUCAUUGUAAAUACAUAAGAAUUUAUGGAAUCAAUAUGAGUGUCAUGCGUGGGAAUAGAUAGGUUUAUUUCAUCAAAAAGGAUUUCUCAUUUUUCAGCAAGUUUUGCAAUUUCAAGAACAUGUACUUGCACCAAAUGAUCAUGAGAGUAUUCAUGUUGCAUGUUUUUAAGAGUCAAGAAUCAUCUUUGAAAAAAGAAAUAUAGGGAAGAAAAUAUUGUAAUGGACAAGAUGUAAAGUAAAAAGACAUUUUGGAACUCAAAACCUGUCCAUUUUGGCUUUAUAGCACUCAAGAGUCAACUACAUAUCCCUUGGGUCUAGCAUCAUUGUUUGCAUUUUGUUCUAUAAUAGUCAACGAGCAAUGCUAAGGAGUCAAUUAUACUAGAUUCCUGCACAUUGAAAAGCUACAAAAAAGAGCAAAACAUGCAAUGUUCCAAGGUAUAAUGAUCUCAAAACAUGGAUUUGUGUGAGAACAAUUUAGAAUUCCAUUUCAACCAUGUUUGGAACAUUAUUUUGGACAUGUAUGAUCAAAGAUUCUUCAAGAAAAACAUGUGAACUCAAAUUCUGGCUUUUAUUGCUCAUUAUUCACAAGUGCUAAAAAGUUGAAAUGCUUAUUUGAAGAAUCAUGUCUCUAAUAUGCUCAAACAUAUUCAAUUUACAUCAUGAUGCAUGACUAUGACUUAUAACAUGUACAACAAGCAUUUAAACAAUGUUUAAGCAUAAUAAGCAUCAAACUUAGCAUUUUCUACAAUUUUUCAGCAUAUGGACAAAAAUGCCCUCGAGGUCAUUCAAGCAUUCAUUUGUAACAAGAACAAGAUAUAAUGGCAUUUUCAACAUAAGGCAAACUUAUUCAAGUUUUGUCUCAUUGAAAUCAUUAUAGCCUCAAGCGUUACAAGAAGAUUUGUUCCUUUGCUUGAAAAAUGCCAUCAAUGACAAAUUAUCACACUCAAAAUCAUGCUUAAGAAAUCCCUUUCAAUCAAUUUCACCAAUCAUGAGAAAAAUACAAAGAAAAAUGGGAUUUAUGCAAUACAUGUAUUAAAUCAAUUUUGCUCAACCAUGCUAUAUCAUCAAAAACAAUGAAUGAAUUUCAAUCAAAGAGAAUAAAAGAAUUUCACAGGAAAAUCAAUUGAUAAAGAUUUAAUCUUUCUUUGCAAACUUUUAACUUGAAACAUUCAAGAUUAGGCUUGCUUUGUGAAAAAUCAUGAGCUCAAUGUCACUCAAUUUUGUUCAAUUAUGCUUUAAAUGAUUUAUGAAAUGUGUAAUGAGCAUAAUGAAUUAUGCUUAUGCAUGUCAAGGGUCAUUUGGAAAUAUCUCACAAUUAUGUUCCAAAAAUGCCCUUAUGACCAUUCAAGCUUACAAGCAAACAUGCACAUCCAACAAGAACAAGUCAUAAGUAUUUUUCAUUAUGAAGCAAACUUGUUCAAUUCAUAUAUCAUUCUAAACUUAAAGGAUGGCAACAUUUUUCUUAUGUAAGAUCAUUUUGCUUUAAAAGUACCAAUCAAAGUAGUCAAAACUUUCAAGCUCAUUAUCAACCAUCUUGAACUAUUCAAGUAAGUUCUAGAAUGUAAAUCAAGAUUGUUCAAAUAGUCAAUCUAUGUAAGGCAUAAGGAAAUCGAGGAUAAUUUUUUUUAACUCAAUUUUCCUCGUUUUAGGCAACUUGAAUAGGUGUGAGUGUAAGUCAUCAAGUAUGCUCAUAUUUCUAUCACAUUAUCCAACCUUUAUGUUUCAAAACUAUGCUCAAAAAUUAAUUUUCCUCAAGGAAGUAGCAUGGAAAUAAUUUCAUAAAACAUGAGGAAAUUUUAUAGAAACAAAUUUUCCAUAAUCAAGCAAUCUUAAUAAAACAAUUUUCUCAAAAUAAGGAUGAUGAUAUAUUCAAGAUCAAAUAUAAGUACAUACUCCAUCUUUAGAUUCAUACGUCCUUGCAACUUAUAGUAUGUAUCAUAUCAUACCAAGUUGCAUAGUCAAGAUUGAUCAAUAAAGCUCAAAGAAUUAUGCACUUAAUAUUCAAGCAAGAAUAGGCAACUAAAAUUUUCAAUGUAGCAAACAAUUUUAGAAACCAAGCCAAAUGAAUGAAACAUUCAAUAAAUAAGCAAUCAAGAUUCUCAUUAAAAAAAAUUUAGCAUAGAAAUCACCCAUUUUCCUUUACGUGUGACUAGAGAGCAUCCAUUCUUCAAAAUUGUUCCUCCUUGCUCUAGCACACCUACAAGAGACAUUUUUCAUUUGAACUUUGGUAUCCAAAUUGCUUUGGAUCCUUGAAAGUUAGUCUCGUUGCAUAAAAUUCCUUUUGAAACCCACACUUGUUUAGUUUUAUAAGGUAAACAUUUUCUAAUUGGACAAAUGUAUGAACAAUAACUAUAAAAUGUGCAAUGAUUGCCUUUAGUCAUUUUGGAAGAUGAGGAAUUCAUGAAAGCCUUUUGUUUCUCAUUUAAUAAAUCUUCAAAUUUUCUCUUCACAUCAAAAUUUCUAUUUUCCAAAAUAUCAAUUUUCUUUUGGUAAGCUUCAAAAUCUUUUUCCAAGUCAAUUUUUGCUUUCAUCAAAAAUUCAUUCUCAACAUCGAGUAUGGAAAUAAUUUUCUUGUGCUUCAUAUUCAUUUUCUCAAACUCAAAUGCUAAAUCUUCAAAAGCAUCAUGCAAUUUGUCACGACCCAAUUUUUCGAGCCAUGACCGGCUCAUGAGCUCAAUGAGCAUAGCUCACUAAGCCCAAGCAAGCCUAUCCAUUUACCUUUUCUUAACAAAUUUAUCAUAUCAUGCACACACACACAUUUUUUUUUCGGGUGUGAACAUAGCCAAAACACAAUGGCAUUAUCGAUAAUAAUAUACAUGCACUAUACCAGUCAUGUAUUUAGCAAUUUACAUUGCAUACACAUAUUCACAUUGUUAGAUUGUAUUCACAAUACAAAAGGACCCAUGACUUCCAGCGGAGACAUUUACAAUAAAAGGGAUUACUAUCGAAUGCCAGACACAUACCCAAGAGAUGCACUACGGGGACUCCUCGAUCUAGGGUCCAACAGUCACCUGAUCUGAAAACAUGAAUUUUUAUAAAACGUGAGUACAAUACUCAGUGAGUGAACAAGGAAGGGAACAAGCAACAAUUAGGGAGAAUUUAAAAUCAUGAUGCACUUGUUUCAAAACAAUGCAAUUUAGUUCAUUCCUAUUUAAAACCCCUCCAAACCCGAGAGUUUUUCGCUACAGCGAGCAUGAAUUUCGCUGCAGUGAAAACAGAGCAACAAGAGAAACAUUUUUCCUCACUCAACAAAAAGCCAUCCUGCUAAACUAAUAAAAUCAACAUAAAAUUCAUGAAAAUUCUCAAAGUAUAAUGUGUCAAAUUUCACGUACAUUACAACCAUAAAUCAUUGUCCAUCAAUUUGUUAUAUCACACAUAUUUACAUAUAUAUAUAUAUAUAUAUAUAUAUAUACGUAUAUACCCAUCAUCAUCAUCUCACCAACCCAUCAUCAUCAUCACCAGCUCAUCAUCAUCAUCACCAGCUCAUGCGCACUCCCUACUCGCACAUGGCUGGGUCAUCACCGGGUUAUGCGCACUCCCUACUCGCACAUAACCGGGUCAUCCUCGGCUUAUGCGCACUCCCUACUCGCACAUAGCCGAGUCAACAUAAUUACACAACAUUAUAUUCAAGCAUAUAUGUAUAUCAACAUAAUGCAGCCACAUAGAAAUCCAUAAUAACCACAUUUCAUAACAUAAACCUUUUCUCAAAAGCUUGUUCCCAAGGCAUUCAUUUUCAUGAAAAAUUGCAUAAAAUCAUUCAAACACUUUGUUCAAAACAGUCAUAUUCCCAAAACAAUUUUGAUAGGCAGUCCACUCACAGGUGUCGAAAAUCCGGAUUUCGGGUGAACUCUGACUAAUAGUCCUCAGGCGCAAUUCCUUUGCCUUUUCCGGAUGUCUCACCACCUUGACAAAUAACAAAGUCGAGGAAUUUACUAUAUUGUCCCUAAAUUGAUAUAAACUAAUUUAAAUUACUAAUGCUUGAUAUGUAAAUGCAAAAAUACGUCCGAUUACCGCUUAAUCGCGGUAUCGAUUAAAUUCGACCGAUCACCCGAUUAAUUGGCGAUUGUGUCCAAAUCACCUCCAAAUUAAUCCAUUUCUCCUCUAAUACCUUAAUUUACCACAUACCAUUUAAAUAAAGCCAAAUUCAGCAUUAGAACCCUCACAGUUCCUUAUAAAAAAUUCGAUCAUUUGGUACACUAGCACCGAAUUUUUUUCUACAUAACCGUUUCACCUUAAUUCAUCAUUUUCCAAGCCAUUUUCCUUGAAAUAAAAACAAUCCCCCAUUGAUAUUCAGCCCUCAUGGUUCGACCAACAAGGAACCCUAGAGAAAUUGAAUAUUUCUUUUGUGUUUUUGUUCAUAACCAUGCUUAACUAUCCCUAAACACUAACAUAGUCUAAAAUCAAAUUAUUCCAACAACAAUUCCUCUUCCAUACCCAUUUUUCAGAAUUGAAUUCAUCAUGAUAACUCAAUAUUCAACCAUGGAAAUCAAGAACAAAAGCAUGGGUAAGCUAGGUAUCAAGGAGAAUUAAAGAAAUUUUAACUUACCUAGCUUGUUUCCUUGAUUUCUUCACUUUUUCUUUGAAUUUCCACCUAGGUUUUCUUGUUUUUCCUUUUGUUCUUCCUUUUUUCUUGUUGCUGGAUGCCUAGGCCGAAUAUGGUGAGGGAAUUGGGGAUUUAAUGGGCUGAUUUCUAUAGAAAAUAAUAAAAUAAUCAAGCAUGCCAUGUGUCACAUGCUUAUUGGCCCAAUUUUUAACUUUUUGACUUUUCCUUCUUAAUUUUCCACCACAAAAUAUUCUGGUAUUAUCCAAUCCUACCACAAUUAAAAUCCCUUGGUCUUGACAAGUGCUGGGGUGAAAAAUUUACCGAUUUUCCCUUGGGGCGAAAAAUUACUAUUUUGCCCUUAUACUCCAAAAUGUACCGAAAUCUCAUUUUUUCUACUUUUCAACCUAAAAUAACACUAAUAUUGAUCAAUAUUAACCAAAUGGGGCAAAAAUUGUUUAAAAAAAUUUCGUUUAGUCCUUUAGUGGCAAAAUACCAAUUUUGCCCUUGUGCUCCAUAAAUACCGAGAAUCACAAUUUUUCACUGCUAAACAUCAUUUUAUACUCCAAUAAUCAUAAUUAUAUUUCAUAUAAUUAUUCUUGGUCACAAAUGUGAUCAAAUCUUGGCUAAAAAUUUCAAUUUUAUUAUCAAAUGGUAAAAUGACCGUUUUGUCCCUAAUUGGUCAAUUUUCUGAUGGACUCCAAACUGGACCUUGAACUUCAAAUCACUAUUCUAAGCCAUUCUGUUGGUUUUAAAAUUUUCAAAUUCCUCUUAGAAUUUCUAUUUGAACUAGUUCAAGGCUCGAUUUAACUUAGUUGUACCACUCGGUACAAUACCGUCUUUAAUCGAGCUUGAUAGGGUCUCACACAAUUCAUCAAAAAGCAUAUGAAUUAAGUUCACAAGAUGAAGAACUUACCUUUAUCUCCUUAAGAGCCAUGAGGCAUAAUUCAAUUUGAAUUGAGGAUUCAUCUUCACUUGAUUCCUUGUUUGCAUUUGCCAUGUUGCUUGUUGAGCAUUGAUUCUCACAAGAGUUGUCCUCCAAUUCCUUUUCCAUCUUUGUUUCUUCAUAUAACUCUUUUAAUUUUUGCCAAAUUUCCUUAGCACUUUUGCACAUGAAUACUUUAUCGUAUUCUGUAUAAUCAAGUGCACAAAUGAGAGUGUGCAUGGCCUUAGAGUUGAUUUGUGCUCUCCUCAUUUCAACUUCUGUCCAUUUAUUUCUAUCUUUAGGAGUUUUCUCACCAUUUACCGAAUUUGUGAUCAUCGGAAUGAAAGGACCAUCGGUAAUGGCAUCCCACAUCUCAUAGUCAUAAGCCCUAAUAUAAAUAGACAUUCUAGUACUCCAAUAAGGAUAGUUUGAUCCAUUAAAUAGAGGAGGUAUAUUUAUGCAUUGACCCUCAACAUCAACAAAAUUUUCAAGAGCCAUUAGAAUCUACCCUAAGAAUGUUAGGCCUUAAAAAUUAGGGUUAGGCUCUGAUACCACUUGUUGGUCCCAAUAAUAUGUGCUAGAGGGGGGUGAAUAACACAAUUUGGCUCUCACUAAAGUUGCCUCUUAAAUGGGGUCAAAUACAAAAUGAACAAUAAACUUAAAGAUGAGUGAAAAACUAAAGCAAUGGAGACAAUACACAAAUAUUUAUAGUGAUUCGGUCCAAGACCUACAUCCACUACCUUGAUUGUUCAACUACGGAUUUUUCAAACCAAAUCACUAAAAACAGUGGAAUUCACAAGCUUCCACCAAGCUUUUACAAUGGCUUUUUGUAGGCUUAGCCACAACCUUUAACAAUGGUUUUUCACGAGAUCAACCAAAACUCAAAGUGGUUUUUCAAAAGCUUAACCACAACCUACAACAAUGGUUUUUACCGAGAUCAACCAAAACCUAACAACCAACUUUUCUAGGCUAAGUUGGAACCUUUACACUCAAUCAAGCAAUCCAAGCUUGAAUAAAUCCCUUAAAGUGACUCGCUCACUCUAAGUGUACAAGAAGAGAAGAAAUAAAGAAGUACCUAUGAUCACUUAAUUGAUCUAGAUGGUACAAGAUGAAGUGCUGAACUCUAUUACAUUGAUUGGCGUUUAAGUGCAGUAAGGUGCAGAGAGGAUUUUCUGGUUUUUCAGCUUUAUAUCACUUGAAAGCCUUCAAUUCUCUCAAAAACUGAUUUCUAACCAUUUGAAGACCCUUUUAUACUUGGAGAAACAACUCUGAUGGCAAUUUGACAGUUUAUGGCCGUUGGAAACAGUUGAGGAUGAGUUCUAGCUGUUAAUCUGUCUUGUAGUGCUCUGGUUCAAGCAGAUAGAAAGCUCUUAGUUAACUGACUUGGUCGACUAAGUUGGUUUUGUUUCAGGUUGCAGAUUCUGGCAGAGAGCAGUUAGUCGACUGACUUGGUCCACUAAGUUGGUUCUGUUUCUCAAACUCUUCAACCCGUCAUUUAUCCAAUUUGAAUUUUAGCCAACCAAUACUCUUCAUUAUCCAACUAAGGACCUUCUUUUUUGUUAAUUAAUCGUUUUUGUUCAUUCAUAUGAUCUUUGGUAUACACUUUUGAAAGAUUGAUUUAUUAUUACAUACAAUUUUUGUCUUGCACACUUAAACAAUAUAGUUAGACACCAAUGAAUGGGAAUAUUUUGCUAUCAUAAAGAGCAUAUAGAAUCAACAUUCUCUAUCUCUUAUUUUUUAUGAUGACAAAAAAUUCCAAGAUUAAGAAUGCAAUAUUUAUGUUUAAUAUGAAUACUUCAAAUCUUUAUGCAUAAUGAGUUGCUCCCCCUUAGUCAAUGCAUCUAGUUUUCUUUAACGAUUUUCAAUAAAAUUUUUAUAAUAUCUAUAAUAGCUAAACAAGAUAAUAAUAUCCACAGUAGAAAGCAACUAGCACAUAAUAUUCAACAAAACCAUAACUAAGCAUCACACACAUAAAUUAAACAUGAAAACCUAUCACACUCAAUUUAACUUAGUUUUCCUUCUCUUUCUUUUUGUCAUUAAACAAGAUAUUCAAAACUCCCCCUUAAUGAGUGCAUCAAGAUUUUUCCUUAAUCUUUAAAUCAAACUUUAAUGAAUGAGAAUCAUAAGCACUCAACAUCUAAGUCAUACAAGCUUAUAGAUUUAGUUCAAUAACUUCAAGAGUCAAGCUUGUGUCUAUGUAAGAACAAAUGUAUGAGAGUUAAAUCAUUUCAAGAAAUUGUUAAGGAUUAGUCAAAUAAUGGUCAAGCGAAUUUGAUCAUUUUUUCAUAAUUAAAACUAUAAUAAUUUUAAAACUAACAAUUUUAAUUUGAAAAAUUCAUAGGAAAUAGUUUCCUACUUUAGAAGAAAUUCCUAAAGUUAUGUGAUAGCAUUGAACUUUCCUUAAAAUUCUGAUUUGACUAGAAGUUUCCAAAAUUUGUUAAGUCACCAUUUAGGAAACUAAUCGAUGUUCUAAAUGUUAUAAAUUAAAAUGUUGUCUUAGAUAUAUUUUAGGAAGUUUACCAAGGUUUUCAAAACUAAAAAGGGUUUUAAUUAUGGAAAGAAUUAAAAUGGAAAGUCUUAAAAAGGAAGAUUUUAUUUCAAUGAAUUUCUAAUUAGAAAUAACAAGUAAAAGGUUUACUUUAAGUGUUUUGAAAAUGAAAAUUUCUUAAGCACUAAAUUGAAAUAAAAUAAUGCCAAAUAAUCUGAGUUUAGCACUUCAAGUGUAUUCAUUGAUGCUUUUCUCAAAUAACACACAAGAUCACCAAGUGAUAUUGAGCUUGCAAUUAUUUCUAUGCUUUUGAUUGUGAUUAUAAAGCAUGAGGAUGAUUAUGGACCCAAACCUUAGAAUAUUAGGUCAUAGAUGGUUAAAUUUAUUUCUCAUGGUAUUUAUUUUAAAAUAGGGUCUGCGCAUCCUGCCUUAUCUCUAUUUUCUCUUAGUUGUAAGAUUCUUUUCUCACCUAACUCCCGUCGAAUGUAGCUCGAGUUUUCUUUAUUAUAGAAUGUAAUUAGUUAAAUCAAAGAGUAAAACUAGGGUUGGAUAGAAAAAUUUUUUGUAACUUGAAGAUGGAGAUCCAAAGGCGCCAUGGUGAUUCAAGGAGAUUACAAGCAAAGCUUGAAGACGAUGUCUGUGUAAAUCCCCUAGGAAUUUGACCAACUAAUUUCCUUAAUGGCUCGAGGAAAUUAGAAUUAGUGAAGUCCAUAAUGAUCCUAGCAGUUGGCAUGAGAUAGAUUUAUUUUUUAGUAUAUAUAUAUGAUAUAUGUGAAAUGCGAUAAAUGCUAUGCAUAUCAACAACACCAAAUCGAUGAGACCUUAAUUAAUGAAUUAAUAAAUAAAAUCCCUCAUUAAACUAUUGAGUCAAAAAGUUAUCUUCCACCAUAUAACAAGAUAACCAGACUGCUCUUUUAGUUGGAGGCUUGUUGAGUCACUCAAGGCCAAACUUUUACACAAGUACGUUUGAGUUAUUGGUGGGUCUUACUCAACUAGUACCAUGUUGUUCGGAUAUGUCACACAUGACCGUAUAGUAUUAGAGGUAUAGUUAGGCAAAAUGUAUAUGAUGCAUUUAGACAAGGAGUUGUCACCUAAUUGAUCUAGGAGUUGCAAAAGUUAUAAUUGGUAAGCUAAGUUAUCUACCUAAUUAGUGUCAUCAUGGCUUGUUGAGUCACUCAAGGUCAUGGUGGGAUGAAAAGGGUCCUAGCUCAAUAAGAAGUUUAAAGGUUAAAUUUCUCGAAAUAGUAUAAUGAGGCUAUUCUUUUGAUAAAAUAUUGAGAAUAAUCAUACAAGAUUCUAAAACAUUAUCUUUAUGAUUAUAUAAUUUGCAUUAAUGACUAAUAAUCAUAUAUGUUGGUUUAUAUAGGAUAUAUAUCAUGGUGAAUAGUUUGUCACUUAGAAGCAUACUUGAUGCUAAAAAGUUGACAGGCCCAAAUUUCAUUGAUUGGUUUCUCAAUAACAAGAUUAUCCUAAAACAAGAGAAAAAGGCUUAUGUCCUUAAUGGUCUUGUUCUCGAGGAAACUAGUGAUGAUGCUAUAAGUGAGGAAAAUGAGGCCUAUAGAUUUUAUAUGGAUGAUUUCGAUCAAGCCACAUGUGUGAUGUUGGCCAGUAUAGCUUCAGAUCUUCAGAAGCAACAUAAAGCUAUGAAUGCCCUGUAUAUUAUCUUAAACCUUAGAGAAAUGUUUAGUAAGGAAAAUCGCACAAAAAGAUUCAACAUUUCAAGGGAAUUGUUUCGAUGCAAGAUGUCUGAGGCAAGCCCAAUAAGGCCUCAUAUGCUUAAGAUGAAAGGAUAUAUCACUUGACUUGAGCAAUUAGAUUGGGAUAUGGAUCAUGAUUUGAGCAUAGAACUUGUACUUUAGUUACUUCCACAAAGCUAUUCACAGUUUGUGUUGAAUUUCAACAUGAACAAGAUUGAGGUAACCUUUUUAGGCUUAUUGAAUAUGCUCACAAAUGUUGAGAACAACAUUGUGAAGGAGAAACCUUCAGUUUUUCUUUGUCUCUUCCAAAAAAAAUAAAAAUAAGAAAAGAAAAUUGUCUAAGAAAGACAAAGAUGAAAAGGCAUCAACUUCGAAGGGUAUGAAACCUAUUGGAGGAGUGAAGAAGGACAAAGACAAUGACAAAUUCCAUUUUUGUGACAAGCUAAGGCAUUGGAGAUGCAAUUGCAAGGAUUAGCUUCAAUCCAUCAAAGGGAAGAAACAAAAGGAAGCUUCGACAUCAAGUAGGAAUCAUAUGAUGAUUUAUUUUUCAUUACUUGGUAUAUGAUACCUUACUCUUUAUUAAUGGUUUUAAUAUGUAUGACCUAUUCAAGGAACUAAUGACAAUGAGCAGUGAAGAAUAAGACCAUGAAGGUGACAACCUUAGUUGAUUGUGAUCAACCUUGUUGACCUAGAUUAAAUCGUGGAACAAUAAAUAAUUUUAGAAUAUUGAAUGUUUUUAUAACAUGAUUGUCAAGAUGAGAUGUUUUUGGUUUAGGCCUAUGGCUGAAUAUUUUAUUUUAUGUUUAAAAAACAUAGAUUUAUAUUUUGCUAGCAUGAGAUGCUUAGCUUAUAUAUAUAUAGUUACAUUACAUCUCAUUUUGUUUUAAAAUUGUUCUAAAUUAUUUAUCCUUAAGUAUAACCUUGCUUAUAUGAUAAUCAAUACUAAGUCAUAAUGAUAAGAUCAUUGUGAGAUUAUUUUUCUUUUGAUUAUGAAUCAAAAAGAGAAUUAAUAAGUUGACUUAGAUAAAAUUGAGUCCUAACUCAAUGAAUUCAUAAUAAGAUUAUGAACACAUUUAGUUAAGGAGCAUUAUUAUUAAGAAAAAAUAUCUAAAUUAAAGGUUGCUUAGAACUAAAAACAAUUAAUUAUCAUAUUGAAUUCAUAAGAGAUUAAUCACAAAGCAUUCUAACCCCAAUUAAUCACAUGAACUAACCUUUGAUAGGAUUUCAUUCUAUAACCAAUGAUGAAUAACUUAUAAUAUGUAUCUAUACAUAAUAGUUACGGAUAUAACACCUCAAACAAAAAUAAAUAAGUUUACUUGGUAAGAUUUCUAUACAUGAUAGAAUAGUGGGAGCUAAUGACACUUUAAAAGUCAAAGGUCAUGAAAUUAUAAAAUCCUAUAGAUAAGAUCUAUACACAAAGAUUGAUUUAAUGGGGUGCAUAAAGAUGCAUAAUUCAUCCAUUAAACACAAACCAUUAGUAAGAUGCAUAUUGAUGCAUUAUUCAUACAAGAUGAGUCUAUUAAAUAAUCCAACAUAAAUGAUUGGAUAAUAAUCUUUAUUCAAUGUAAUAAAUUCAAAAUAGUUGAAUACUUUGAAUAAGAUAAACAUAUUUUGUGCAAAUCAUAAGGUUAGUGGGAGUAAAAUAAGUUACUCAUUCAAAGUGUAUGAGAUACAUUUGUCAGUCUAAGAAAAACAAAUUGGGACUAAAGAGUCAAAGCCUAAAAAGGGACUCAACAAAAGAAUUUGGGAUGACAUGUUAAAGGAGUUUAAUAUAGAGAGAAUCCUAAAUGUUACUAGUGACAUAAAGUCAUAAUUGAGCAACUGUAUUGGACUGGCUCCAAAACAAGAGAUAACUGCAUGAUUAUAUCUAUAAUCGGAUACAAACCUUUUGUUUAGGCUACAAAAGAAGAAAUAUUUGGAUCAUUGGUUUAAUGAACAAAUAGAUGAUUCCAAGUUGUUAAAGUAACAACAAGAGCUAUAAUAAUGGAAUCAAGAUCUCGUUGUGAUCUAAAUUAGUAUUUCGAUUAUGACAAUGGAGAUUGUCAAACAUAUAAAUUAAUAUAUUCCCAAAUAUUGCAAUUUGAGUUGUCCUAGUAGAGACACAAUUUUUAAGCGAAAAUGUUCGAUAUUGGAUACGUUAGUAAUUGACUCAAGUGCAAGUGAGAGAUUAUUGGUAUAUGCCUUUGAGCCAAUUAGAUUGGUCAAAAAAUAUGUAUUGUCAUUUAAUGGAUAUUUACUCACAUAACUAUAUGUGAUAAAGGUUUUCUUUCAUGUUAGUGCAAUAAUAAGGAGUUAUUAAGUACUAAUUGAAUGAAGCCUAUGGAACAUAAAGUUUGCAAGAGAAUUGUAAAGUUGUUAUAGUUAUGAGAUCAUUAUGCAUCAAAGCCAUGUUCCUAAAAUUGUUCCUGGUCAUUAUAUUAUCAAGAUAGGGCAUUGACAAUGCUGAAAGACUAGUACAUGUUAAGCCUCUUUACUUGAGAAGUAAGGAAUUGAUUUCAUAGAUUGAAGUAUAUGGGAUACUUGAGGAUAACAUGUGAGUGCUUGUUAAAGAACAAGUUCAUUGAACAUGAUCCGCUAUGAGAACUCCAUUUGGUAUUUCACUCAAGUAUUUAUGGAAUAUGUUCUCAUGUGAUAGUCGUGCAAUUAAUCCUUAAACUUGAGACACUAGGUCAUUUUGUAUGGGGAAUGACAUAUUUUGAUUUCACCACUAUAGUUCUGGAGGUGACUAGAUGCUUAAACAGGGUGUUUUUGGGUAUGUCAUGAAACAUACGAAGGUGCAUGAGUGGUCAAGAGAGGAUUCAUCACCCCAAGUGAUAUGAAGGGAUGUAUCUCAGUUGUUCUCAAUUCUUGAUUAACUUGUAUAAAGUCUUUGACCAAAGCAUGGUGAAUUUGAGGAAAGUUAGCUUCCUAAAUUUAUAAAGUUAGUCAUGAAUUAUGAGAACUAAUAUGAAAUGUUAUAAGUAGACACUAAGCCAUGCUUUUUGAUAUUUUCGAGAUAUUUGAUGAAAGAAUCCUAUUGCACUGAGAGACUAAUCACUGAAGGGCUUUGUCAAAUUCUUUAAUCGACUCUCUAACAUUUAGGUGGUCAUGAUGUAUUACUAGAUGCCGCUCAUGAUUUAUAUAUAUAAAUUAAUUAUCAAAUUGAUAUUUGAUUAGGAUUUAUAUUUAUUGCUAACACGUUAGAAGCCUAAUGGGUCACACACAUUAAGUGACAUGAUUGUGAUGAAAUAAGGAUAAUUAAGUAAGUUAGACUUAAUUAGAAUAGACUAAAUUAAAGUAGGAAAUUAAUUAAGUUCACAAGGACUUCAUUGAAUUAAAAUACAAUUGUUGUAUCUAGGGUUACAACUUAGUUUGGUUAUAUAAAUAUGUUAUGUCAGCCAACUAAAACUCUAAGCCUCUAGCCACUUCUCAGCUGUUUCAUAAAAAUAAGAAAAAAAAAAUAGUUUUCUUUAUCUAACAAAAUAAGAUUCGGUAAGAAUUUUUUUUGUCUCUUUGUUUUAAAAGCAAAACUUGCUAGCACAAGUAAAAUAUUACAUUGGAAAAGAUCUUAUUCGGUCACUGUGUGGAUUAAUGUUAAAGGCCAAACACUUGAAUAGUUGAGCGGAUAAGAAAAUCAUUGCAUAGAUCCUAAUCGCAGCUACCACUUUCCACUAAAAGGAUGAUGAUCCAAAUUGAAAUCCCCUUCGUUCGUAGAUCAACUAUAAAAGAAAAACAAAAAAAAAAAGCUAGAUUAUUGUCGCAAAUUAGCUCAAGCCCAGGGUAGCCGCACUCACGAGGCAGGCUCUUUAAUCCAAAAAGGUAAUUGAUGUUAAGGUUUCCAUAGAAAGAAAUACACAGAGCUUGUUUUCUCUUCGACCGAUGCAAGGUUUGAGGUAAAAAGAAAUAGCAAGGACUGCCAUGAUGAAAAAGAGAACUGAGCAUAACAUCCUUAAAUUUGGGUGGGAGACACUUGAGAAUUGAGAUGUUAAGUUUUAUCUUCUUUGUGCAUAGCAUAUUUAUAAUUCUUUUAAUUUAUUUAUUUAUAUAUUUCAAAUUUCUAUAAAUUUUUUCUUUAAAUUUUUAAGAAUUAUUAAUUAUAUUUUUUUCGAAAUAAAAUGUAUGAUGAGUUUCUUAUAGAUAAUUUAAUUAUUUAAAAGAUAUUACUAGCUUGAAUUUAAAAAAUAUUAUCCAGCAUAACAUUCUUAAAAACUAUUGUAAAUUUUUAUUUUCUUAUUUUUGACAUGUUAUAUAAAAUUAUUAUUUAUUAUGAAUAUUUUGAUUGUUAAUUAAGUUCAAUAAAUUAAUUUUAAAAAUUUUUAAUGUUUAUUUUUCGUUAUCUUUAACUUCUAAUAAAACUUGAUUAACUUUACCCCGACCAAAUGUGAUUCAUAAAAAUCUCCAUUAUUUAGCAGGUGCGAAGAAAAAGCUUGGUUCACCUUUGUUGAUUGUUCAAACUCAAAAGCGUCGAAAAACGUCUACGCGCAAAUAAUCAAAGGACAAAGGAACCUUAAAUGAACUUGUAGUAGUAAUCAAGAAUUUUCUCAGCUAGUGGGACCAUUUAUUGAUAGUAAAAAAUAAUUUAAUUAUUAAAUUUAUUUUAAAGGAUUAAUGGAAUUAAAUUAAAUCAAAUUAAAUUAAAUUAAAUUAAACAAUAGUGAUAUUAAAUAGUUACGAGAGAUUGUAAUAAUGUUGAGUGUUGGAGGGUAACAAAGGAACUAAUGCUGGAAACCUCUAUUAGACGUGGGAAUUUGAAAUUUUAUAAGUUUAUAGGGUUACAAUGGGUUCAUUAGACUAUAAAUAAAGGAAUUAAACUUACUUGUACAGUGUUUAUAGUAGAAUUUUUAAAUUUCACAAACAGGUUCAAAGAGCUUUCAUGUGUCUAUUAAGAUAAAAUUAAGUAAAAGUAAAAAAUUUUAAUUAUUAUUUUAAUGAACACAUGUCAAUAUAUAUAAAUCGAUUUCUGGAGUUUAAAAACUUCAUUACUAAUUUAUAGACUAAAAAUUCAAUUAAUAAAAUAAUACAAUUAAAUGUUUCAAAAGGAUGUUUAAAUUUCCCAACAUGAAAAAUAUUUUUUCAACAUUAAUUAAUCCUUCAUUAAAAUAUUAAAUUUUCGUAAUCUUUCAUAUCAAUGAAAUACAAAGAUAGAGAAUAAGUUACAAUUAUAUUUAAAAAGUAUUAUUAUUACAUGCUAUGUUCAAAACAAUAUUGUUACAAUUCAAAAAAAAGUUGUUACAUGUUUUAACUCUAAGAGGUUAUAUUACAGUGAAACAAAAAUGAAUAAAUUAUAUGCCAUGUUUAAUAAUAGAAAAGAAAAACAAAACGACAAUGCACACCAAAACUUCAGCACUAAAUGUUACAUGCCAAGGCCAAAGUUCCAAUACCAGAUAUUACAUGCCAAGGCCAAAGUAGAAUAUAUUACACACCAAAACUUCAGCAGCAAAUGUUAUACGCUAAGGUCAAAACUUCAACAUCAAAUAUUACACGUCAAGGCCAAAGCUUUAGUACCAUAUAUUACACACUCAAACUUCCUUCUUCCUACUGAUUUUAUACACCAAUGCAUGAAUCACUUUGUUACAUACCAAGCCAAGGUAUAUUCUACCAAACUUGAAUCACUGAAAAACUCAACAUUAAUAAACCCAAGAAUUUGUUGUUACUCGCCAUGCCAUGCUUCUUGGUCGUAGAUUGACGAUAAAGUGUUUUGUGAAUGUAAACUAAUAAACCUAACAAUAUGUUGUUAUCUUCCAUGUCAUGCUCUUUGGUCUAUAGAUCGAAGAUGAUAUGACAAGAUAAAUAGAGAGAGAUGGUGAUAGUGGUAAAAUUAGGGAGAGUUGGAUGAUAAGAGAGAAACAUGGAGAGCAUAGCAAAAUAGGGUACACAGUAGAUGAAUGAUGGGAGAGAAAAAUUGAGAGUAUUUAAUUUGUUUGAAAUGAUUUUAAAGGUAUAUUUAUUAUCUCAUGAUUAAAAUCAAAUAAAAACAGUUAACUUUAUAUUGAAGGUUAUUUCUGAAAUGAGAUUAUAAGGAUAAUCAGUUCUCACAAUUUCUGUUUUAAGCAAUUACGAAAAUAAAAUUGAGUGAUGGUAUUAAAGGCUUUGCCCGUCCCACCACACACUAGCCAAAGCGCCAUCGGCAAACUGCAGGUGUAGUGGCGAUUGGGAGACAAAUGGUGGUGCUAAACUACUAAUUUUGUCAUCUCCCUUUUUAUUUGAAAAAGAGAAUUCCAUCUCUGCUUUUUUAGUAGGAGUACAUACGCAUCAAUAAAUGAGUAUAGUUAUGGUGUAUAUAUUAAUGUCGCAAUCACGAGUCUUAUAAAAUAUUUUUAUUUUGGUUAGAAGAUUGUCCCACCUCAUAUACAUUAGAUUAACUAAUGUCAUAUAAUUUUUGAAAAAAAAAACUAAUAUCAUAUAUAUUAACUUGUUUGCUUAUUAAUUUUAUUAAUUGAUAAUACAUAUUGAAUGUAAUACUAAGGCCAUACUUAUUAAGAAUUAUUUACUCGUAAUGUAAAUUAAACUCGGGAAUGUAAUUUUAUAAAAUGAUAAUUUUGAUUUUGGUUUUGCAUGUUUUUAAUAUAUAUGGGAAGUUUUUAUUGUUUUACUUUUUUGAAUUUAUAUAUAUUGCCCUUUUUUUGAUGAAUUUUAAGUAAAUUUAAUAAAAUUUAAUUACUAAUUUAAUAGACACAUUUCAAUUUGUAUAAAUCAAUUUGUGGAGUUAAAAAAAUCCAGAAAUUAAUAAAAGUAAUACAAUUACUUAGAUUUAUUAUUCUAUAUGACUCUGGAGUUUUCAAACUUUACAAAUGUGAUUAAGGGGUUGACGUGUGUCUAUUUAUUAAUUAAUUAGUACUUGUUGUCAUAUGUGUUGGUAUAUGAAUAUUUUUUAAUUAUUUAAAUAACAAUUAUAUAGAAAUAUAAAUGUCUCUAAAUGUUAAGGUUUAAGUAUAAAUCAUUGGAUUUUGUAAUGUUAAUUCACAAAUUAUUCAAUACUAUUAAAAUUAAAAAUAUUUUUUAUAAAAUUUAUUUAAUACAAUUAAUAAAUGUUAUUCACAUAUUGGAUAAAUCUCAUUAAUAUUUAUAAUAAAAAUAUUUUGAAUGAAAAUCAUUCAAUGCAAUUAGAACUCUUAAUUACAAAUUGAUUAAUAUAUAUAGCAAAAUAUUUUUAAAAUGGUAAUACAUAAAUAUAGUAAACAUAUAUGUAUGUGUUUGUCAAUUAAAAAUUUCAAUAACAUCAACGUUUGUUUUCAUCGUAAUAUUUUCUAAUUUAUGUCAUCAAAAAUAGCAAAAAACUGAAGUAUAGAGUAGAAAAGAUGUGUUGACUUGCUAGUUUGAGUCUUCUCCACUCUGCUUCAAUUUUUGGUUUUAAAAGCAUUGCCUCUGCCUCAGGCGAUAAGUAAAAGGCGAGUUCUCGUACAACUGCCCAGACUAGAUGCAAAUGGUAAUUAUUCUCUGUCACUUCCUCUUGGUAUUGAGUGCUUCAGCAGUUGGUCUUGGUCCAGUCUCGCCAGAUCAAGAUGCCUGCGAGCCAAAACACUGCAAACCCGGCCAGCCAUCCGUCCGGUACCCCUUCCGGUUGAAAGGCCGCCAACCGGACCACUGUGGCUCAUCUGGGUUUGACCUGUCCUGCAACAACAAGAACCAGACGGUGCUGGAGCUGCCCCGUUCUGUCAAGUUAUUGGUGAAGCAUAUAGAUUAUGUAAACCAGAGGAUUCAGGUGUAUGAUGAAGAUGGUUGUGUCCAAAAGCAGCUUCAAAAUCUUACCUUAUCCGCAUCUCCUUUCACGUUCCGCUCAGACACAGAUCCCUACUAUGACAGCAAACCGGGAAACUUCACCUUGUUCAAUUGUUCAAUUGAAGAUCAAUCGAAUGAUUAUGAUAAUUACGGGAGCAUUUCCUACUUAAGUGUGCCUGGCUUCUACGUUAAAUACUUGGAUUCUGAUUAUGGAGGCUAUGACCUGUUAAAUUGCAGCAAGACUAUAGAUAUCAUUGAUAUUCCUCGAGGGUUGAUGUCUGACCAGAAAAACAAGUUUUACUUCAGUUGGACCAACCCGGCGUGUGGUUCAUGUGAAAUUCAGGGCAAAGGAUGUCGACGCAAUACUACCAAGGCCUUGGGCAUAGAGUGCUAUUACAUCCACAUGGAUCAUAAAGGUGCCACAUACAUAUGAGUUUUUAAGUAGUAUUGUUCUGAAAUAUGAAUUUUUUUAAUUAAAAGAAAAUGAGUCAAUCAAUGUAUUAAAUAUUUAAGUAUUUUUGAAAUAUGAAUUUAGUGUUGUUCACCCGUAAUUCUUCUUUUUUCAUUAAACCUGAUCUAAAGGGUCUAUGCUUUGAAAUCUAAGCCAGGGUCAGUCAGGUUCAAUCCUAUACAUAAUUUUAUUAUUACUAUAAAAUAAUAAAAGUAUUUUUAUGUUAACAUUUUAAUUUUUAAAUUAUAUUUUAGAUUUUAAAAUAUUUAUUAUCUAUUUGCUAAUAUAAAAAUAAUAAUCUCAUUCCAAAAAAAAAAAAAAACCAAAAAAUAAAAAGUAAAUGGAGAUUACAAAUAUGAGUCAUUUUGAUAUCUUCUGUUUAAGUAUUUUGUGCUUUUCUUGGCAACUUUGGGGAAGUAAUAAGGGACUGAGAAAUGGGUCAUUUUGGCUUUAAGAUAGUUUGACGUUUACUUAAAGUUUGUGAUCUACGUCGACUAAGAGCUUGUUUCGUAGAAAGUGCUGUCAGAACUAGAAUUGUCUUAAAAAUAUUAUAAACAGAGAUUAAAAUAAUAUUUGAUAAAUUCAGAAGAUUAGUUGAUCGUAAGAUUAAAAAAUUAUUUGAUAAUAUUUUUUAUUUAAUUUUGAUAAAUAAUCAAAAUAAAAUAUUUAUCUUUAUAAUUAAAUCAAAUUGUAAAUUUUAAAUUGAAAUAAAUGAAGCUUCUUCUUAAUUGGAAAUAAAAAUUGUCAUCAAGUGAAAUAAUUACACUAAAUGAAAUAAAUAAUAAUGUGAAGUAAUAUAAUUCUAAAUGCGAAAAUGAAAGUGCAGCAAAAAUUGUAUUGUUAAAACUCAUUUAUGCUAUAGUGCUUCAUAUAAUUUUAUAAAUUAUUAUUCAAAUAAUAUAAAAAAAGUUGAUCAAAUAUUUAUUAUUAUACAUUGCAAUUAAUAAUUUUUAAUGAAGUUUUGAUUUAUAAUUUUGUCUAAAAAUUAUAAACCUCGUGUAUAAAUUAAAAUUUGUAAAUUUUGAGAUCUAAAUACCUUGUUUAUGCUCUCUUCUAUUAGCAAAAAUAAGUUAGGUAGAACUUUUUGAUGUAAAAAUUACUGACAUUAUGGGAUAAAUUAGGCUUCCCAAAUUAGGGUACUAAACAUGAAAACCAACUACUUUAACUUACAGUUCCAGCAAGAAAUUGCUUGGUUCAUAUUAAAUCAAUACUUGUUUUUUACCUAUGAUUUAAUAUCAUUUAUUCAAAAUCUUGUAAUUAAACAUUAAUUUGCGGGGCCGAAAUCAAUUUUGAAUGUUUUAGAAACUUAAGGGAAACUAUAUAUAGAGUAAUGAUAUAGGAUUAUUGUACUGAUGUUGAGAAAUAUAGCAUGCUGAUCAUUUUUUAAUGUUUUCCAGGUGCAAGAAUGAAGCUAAUGAUUUCAGGUACAUGGUUGUUCCAUACAUUGAUUUUAUGUUGAGAAAAGAAAUGAUCUGAUGAAGCAUUGUAAUCUCUGACUAGGAUCAUGUUAUUUGCAGGUUUAACCAUAGGAUCGCUUCUCCUUUUAUUGAGUGUCAUUGGACUCUGUUGGCUGCACCACUUGAAUAAAAAAGAGAAAGAGGGCCAACGCAAGAUCGAACAGUUUUUGGAGGAUUACAAAGCUCUUAAGCCCUCAAGAUAUUUCUAUGCUGAUAUUAAGAGGAUAACAAACCAAUUCAAGGAAAAACUUGGACAGGGUGGUUAUGGUACUGUGUUCAAAGGAACACUUUCCAAUGAUGUUUCAGUAGCUGUUAAGGUUCUGAAUAACUUCAAGGGAAAUGGUGAAGAGUUCGUUAAUGAAGUUGGUUCAAUGGGAAGAAUCCACCAUGUCAAUGUUACUCGCUUAGUUGGUUUUUGUGCUGAUGGGUAUAACCGAGCCCUUGUUUAUGAGUACUUGCCGAAUGAGUCAUUAGAGAAAUUCAUAUUUGCAGCUAAGGGUGAGAAUCGUUUCCUUAGUUGGGAGAAGCUUCAUGAAAUUGCUUUAGGCAUAGCCAAAGGCAUUGAGUACCUCCACCAAGGUUGCGAGCAACGGAUCCUCCAUUUUGACAUCAAACCUCACAAUAUUUUACUGGAUCAAAACUUCACUCCUAAGAUCUCUGAUUUUGGUUUGGCUAAGUUGUAUUCCAAAGAGCAAAGUGCUGUUUCAAUGACAGCAGCAAGAGGAACCAUGGGCUAUAUUGCACCUGAAGUAUUGUGUAGGAACUUUGGAAACGUCUCAUACAAAUCAGACGUUUACAGUUUUGGAAUGCUCUUGCUUGAAAUGGUUGGAGGGAGAAAGAAUAUUGAUGUGACAUUGGCCAAUGAAAGCCAAGUGUACUUCCCGGAGUGGGUUUAUAAUCGUUUAGACAAAGGACAAGAAUUAGGAAUUGAUAUCGAAGAUGAAGGGCAUCAUAAGAUCGCAAAGAAACUUACAAUUGUUGGACUUCGGUGCAUUCAGUGGUAUCCAGUUGAUCGUCCUUCAAUGAGAUCUGUGGUUCAAAUGUCGGAAGGAGAAGCAGACAAUCUGACAAUGCGAUCAAAUCCUUUUGCCUCUAAAGAUGAAAAGAAGCCUAAGAAGCCCAUUAACAGAGAGCUAGCAGCUAUUUCUGAAUAAGAAGAAAAACAAUUUGCAGACUGCAGCCUCAAAAUUAAAAUGAGUAUUAAGCUAUUCCCCAAG